CAGCAUUAGCAUUAUGUAUAAAAUAAAUUUAGAGGCAUCAUAUUCAUUCACAAUCUUGCAGAGGUAAUACCAGAUUAUGGCACGCAACUCUUGAAUAGCAGAUAAAGGAGGAGAUGCAGUGGGAAGGUAGUAACUUGCUUGCAUGAGAACUAAAAAGUAAUAUCCCAAGAUCAAUUAUAGAUCUCAUAAAACAAAAACAGUGAGGCAAACACAAUUAUUGUGAACAAUUAUUCAUAGAACCACAUAGCAGCAACAAGAUCAAAGUCAUCUGUGUAUAAAUCGAUUCCCCACAGCUGACUGCCUCUGACCUAAACAUAAUGAAAUUACAUAACUAAGAAGUAGAGUCAUAAAAUAUGCUGCUGUAACAGCUAUCAAUAAAUUUCCAGACAAAUGGAAUUUGAUAUGUAAGGCUAUAACUAGCAACACUUCAAAAUAAUUUGAAGUAGCAUGAUCUUACUUUAAGGAUCAAUACUACAAUCUUUCAGAAAAAUUAAAGUCUAACCAAAAUUAAAACCUUAAACAUACUAAAAUCUGGUAAAUAGACCUAUAGGAAUUCCAAUGACCUCCAAAAUAUUUGAAAGAAAAAUUAAUUUACAGCAAAAAAUGUUAAAGAUUUGUAAAAUGGAGGCCCAUACUACUAUUCAAAUUACAAAAGAGGAAAGGGAGCUGGCCAUUAAAUGAUAAAGGCAUGCAUAAAGAAAUACGAGCACCACAUUAAAUGAUAAAGGCAUGCAUCGAGAAAUACAAAAAAUAUGCCCAUAAAGACGUCCACUCAAGCCUUAUAAGCGGCUUUAUGCAAAGGAAAGCCAAUUAGUUAACAGUAAAUGAAUUUCAAGGUGCAAUAAUUAAACUCCCUGAUCAGCACAUUUAAGGUUCAUGCAUUUCUACAAAACAUGUAAAUCAUAAGAACUUUUUUGGUCCAAAUGCUAACCAGUAAUUAAGUAGAUUAUCAAAGUAGUCACAGAACAAGCACCACAUUGAUUGCUAUGCAAAAGAUGAAAGUAAAAGUUAAUACUUUAUUUUAUUUUACUUUUCGAGAGUUUUGAUCAUCAUGUGCAAAAUAGUAGUAUAACUUGCUCAGUGUUAUCUCAAAAAGCUUGCUUAAAAUACCUAUUAGCACCAGUCCAAGUUGUCAAAUAAAUCCUUAUCUAUCCAUUCAUCUCUGACCUUGCCAAAAAGAUUUAAACGAGCAUCUAUAUUCUCACUCCAAUCUUUCACAAUCAUAGGCUUUAACUUAGACCAGUUCUUCAAUAUCCCUUCCACUGUGAGCCCCUCGAAAACCUUGUAAAUUGAAUCACAUUUGUCGUCAGUUUCAAAUCCAUCUGUCAAAAGGCUAAGCAAAUGAAUAUACAAUCAACACCAUUCUUCCAAACGAAUAUACAGUCAACACCAUUCUUCUAAACACAAACAAAGUUUGAACGUAUGACAGAUUUUUAGCCAUUUAAUAUUCCAUCAAAUAUAAUUAGAUCACACCUACCAAGGAUUUUUGAAAAGAAUGCAUUCUCAUCUUAAGCAGCAACCUCACUAGUAACACAUUUUCAUACCCUGUUUCCACCUCUGGUCGCACCACCAAAAAAAAUUCAGUACUAAUUAGCUUUAAUAUGUAAAUUUUCGCUUAGUUUAAGCUAGGGUUUUCUUUCGAUUGAAACAGAGGAAAGCUUUUGGGUUAUUAAAGUGAAAGAUAUGGAAUAAUACAAAAAAUUAUUGAAGUGAAAGAGCAGGAAUACAAAAAAUCAGCAGAUGAGAUCGUUGAAAGAUGCGGAGGUUUGUAUAUAAAUAUUAAAUUGAUCGUUGAAAGAUGUAUAAACCUCCAUAAAAUUGAGUUACGACUUGAAGGAUUGUAUAUAAACAUUAAAUUGAUCUAAUUUAACUUGUAUGUAAACACUAAAUUGUAUAUAAAUACACAAAACAGAACCAUAUCAGUGUUGGAAAAAAAAUAAGAAUCCAGAGUUAUAUAAAUUCAAUAAAAAAGUAUUGAAUUUUUUAUUACUAACUUUGAACACUCUAAUUUCAAUAAAAAAAAUAUAUUACUAAAAUAGUCUUAAUUGAAUUUAAUAUUAAAGAUAUUAGAAUAACUCAACACUAAUAUUCUCAAAUAUAUUUCUCUCCAUAGUCUAAUCUAAUCCAUUCUAAGAAUCCUAUAGAAAAUCUAUUAUUUACUUUUUCCUUAUUAAACACAAAAACAUGUCAUUUUGUUGCUAACUAAAAUUUUGGAACUAACAACAGCAGAUUAACUAAAAUUAUCAGGAAAAGAAAUCAAACAGGAUUUUAAUCGUCAUCAUCUUCACUCUUGCCUUUUUCUUUUUCUUCACACAUGUGGCUUGCACACGCAUUCCCCUCUCUCAUCCUUAGGGCCGCCCUUCAACAAUAUCCAAUCAUCGAUUAUAAUUAUUUAGAUUGACCAAAUCAAGCUUUGAUCAUAUAUCGGUUGAGGUUAGAAGUAGGCAGGCAGCAACGACAAUACUAAUUAAUAUCUCAUGAGAAUUUUAAAAAAGAAUCUAACGUUGCCCAAUUCGUUUGAUUUCAAUGAAAUCUUUCUCCUACCUAUACUUUCGCAUAUUCUCUUUUAUUUCCAAAGUUAAGGUUAUGGAUGUUGUAGAGUAAAAAGAUGAACAUUGCUAGGAAAGCAAUAAAAGGAAAUAAAUAAAAAUUAAAAAUAUAAAAAGAGUUAAGUCAUUUUUUUUGUCUAUUAGUGUUUUUGUAUUUAAUAACGAAAGAUAAAAAUGAAGUAAAUAUUAUCUGUUAGAUUAUUAAAAUACAUACUUAAAAUGUUUUAGUGACAAUCUAAUUAUAAAUUAAGGGUCUAUUUGAGAUUGAGAUUGAACAGUUAAAAUGUUAUAGUUGUUGUAGUUUAGAAGUUAAGAUGAUUUGAUUUUACACUUAUAUGAUAAAAAAUUAUUAUAUCUUUAUUAAUUUUAUCAAAAUUAUUAUUAAAAAAACUAAAUUUAUUAUAUACUAUUAAUUUUUAUUUUAUACUUAAAAUUUUUUUUUUCUUACGGCAAAAGUUUUAGCACCUCAAUACCCAACCAAGUCUAAAACUGCACAAUAAUAAUUAUGAGUGUGCAUGUUAAAAUCUACACACAUUCUUUAAUUUCAAUCAACAGUGUUACAAACUUAGUUAAAAUAUUAUAUCUGAAAUUAUUGAGGGGAAAAAAAAAGAAAAAAGAAUGUUGUUUUCAUGAUAGUGACAUGCGUCGUGCACAUUUUGCUGUUGGCUCUUUGGUCUCUAACCUAGCGAAUAGGUUGCUGUGUCCUCGUUGUUAGAUGCCCGAACCCAGCGCAAGAACUUUGUACGAUACCAUAUAUUUUGUAUGAAUUUAAGCUGAAGUUGGUACCUUUUAUUGUUUUAUAUCAUGACAUCAGGGAAAUUUUUAAUAGAUCUUCAUUUUAGGCUAAAGUACCCGAACAAUAGUUCCCAUGCACUUUGUGAUCUUUUUACAAAAUAUUAAACUAAAUAGCUGUGGAAGUAACAAAGAGGGCAACUUUUUACCAUAAUGUGAUGAAAAUAAUUUAUUUGUUGUCAUCACGAACUAACCAAAUCAAAACAAAAAACUAACUCAAAUCUGUGCGUCUAGUAACUUAUAUGAUGAUCAUUAGAUCUUGUUCUUGUUAAUGCGUCUAGUAACUUAUAUGAUGAUCUGAUGAUAUCCGUAACAUUAACAUACCCAUAAUCCAUUAUUUUAUAAUUAUAAAAAUUGAAGAUUCGGUCAUGCAAUUUUGUAUGAUGAACAGUGUUUCAUUUUUCUGUGAAACAUAAGAACAAUUUGUAAAUAAUGUCCAUGCGGACCUUGUAAUAGCGAAGCAUCAUUAUUGAUCUUACUUUGAUGAUCGCACUUUAGUUUCUUUUUAAAGUGCCUUUUGUUUAUUUUAUCGGCAUCCGCUUUUACAAAAGUUUUGGUCCUCGUUCAUUCAUCAAAGCUUCUACUUUUAUCUUUUAUUAGGCAUCUUAUAAAAAGCUUAAUUUAAUUGGAUUCAUGUUCGAUAUGAAGAUUGUUUUACUUACUUCAAUCUUUCAAUCAACCGAAUUUAUUCUUUUCUGAUCUGGAAAUUAUUCAUGAAAAAAUAGGCGCGUCAGUAGGACAACAGGGACCAAGUACAUAAUAUGAAAAUUCAUUUGUAUUGCUUACUCUAAUAAGCUCUUAAACUCACACAUUCCUCUGCAGUUACCAGUGAUCUUUUGCUCACUAAAAUUGUUAAUAUAUAUUCAAGGUGAAUAAAGAAACUCAUCAUCCCAGAUAAUUAAAGAGGUGAACUUGUUCUAAAUCCUUUAAUAAUUUCUAUUAAUAGCAUAUAUAAUCUCUAAUCCUUGAUCUUGAUAGUAGUUCUUUCUUAAUGUCCAAGAAAAAUAUCUCUCAUUUGUCUUAAUCUUGUCAUUUAAUUUUCUUGAAUUCUGAGUUAGUGUUUAUUGUUAAAUUCGGUUUUCGGUUAGUAGCUGUUGGUUAAUAGCUUCGGUUAAUCCUUGAAUUAAACAUAUUAAAAUCUAAUCAUAAACCCGCCUUUCCCUAUUUUACGACACCCUUUGUGUAAUAGUGACUUCAAAAGUGUAACAUAUUUUUGAACAAUUGCAAGGAAAGAACAUAUUUGACACUUCACGAAACGGUAAAUAUAUAAGCUUCAAUUCUUGUACAACAAAUUAAUAUAACCAACAUCAACCGUCAAUUGAUCAAUAAUUCAGUAACAAAAAGGGACAGAUAUCCUAGUCUUUCUUUACUAAUGAAGCAAGCCAUUAAACUUCGAAAGCUAUUUCUAUUUCCACAUUCUUCAUGUACCAAAGCCAAAAAAAAAAAAAAGCAACAAAAAUUUGGAAGUAAUCAUCUUUAUUCAGCAGCAUGCAUAUUAAUUAAAACAUAUUCAAAAAGAGAUAUACAAUAUCAGGUCUGGAGACGAAAUGAGCCCACAGAGACUACCAAUAAUGUAGUGGCUUGAUUAAAAAUAUUAAUCAAGCCACUACAUUAGAAGAACAAGAGUUAAUCAUGCAUAUUAAUUAAAAAUAUUUUUGCUAUCAUCCACCUGUUCUCUCUAAAUAGUUGCCACUUUUUUUUUUCGUUUGUCUGAAAUUCCAAGCAAAAAUAUAAUUAGAAGAACAAGAGUUAAGGGUUAAAAAAAUGGAAAAAUAGGGCUCCUCUGUUUUCAUUCCCCUGUUUUUCUGUUCGGUGAUUACAAAGAUUUAAAUCAAAAUUUAUGAUGCAGGCUACACGGCACCUGGUGGAAGACUGCUAGGGUUUACCUUUUAUUGUUAGUUAGAAAUUUAAUUUAGAAUUUGUAGUGUUUGCCUUAUAUAAGUAGGUUUCCUAAUAGUAAAAUUAAAUAAUCAAGUUUAUGAUGCACUAGGAUAUGGUUGUGAUAAAUGAGCUUUUUAUGUAUCCUGUGAGGCUGAUUAUUAUUUUAUUACAUUGAAGAUUCAGUCAUCUCUUGGUAGUCUUGUGAAUCAAGCGGAUUUAGUUAGUAGUAGGUAAUACUCUGGACUUCACAUAGUAAACGGAAUGGAGCAUUAUUUUAUCCCGCUAAAUCAGUUUUUUUUUUAAUUAAAAAAUAAUUCAUCAAACACUUUAUAGCUCUGGUUUUAAGUUGGUAAACACUUUAAGCCGCAACUUUAAAUUCAGUUUACGAGAACUCCUAACAGUCACUGUGGCUUGGGUAGAAAUGAAUAUACUAGCAUAAGUAAUGCUACCCAGGAAAUGUAGUUGAACCUAACCAAACUAAAACCAGAUGAUGAAAGCUUAUAUACGCCAAGAGAUUUAUUCGUUUCUGAGUUUGUUUCCAGAAACCCGGAACCUCCCCUGUUUCUACAAACACGGCACCUUUGUUUUCAUUCCCCUGUUUUUCCAUUUGGUGAUUGUAAAAAUCUAAAUCUAAAUUCUUGAUGCAGUCUACACGGCACCUGCUAGAUGAUUGUUUGGGUUUAUCUUUUAUUCUUAAUUAUCAAUUUAAUUUAGAUUCGUAGUGUGCACCUUAUGAAAGAUUAAAUAGAAUAAUGUGAAAAAAAAAGAAUGCCUUUGUUAAUUUUGACUUCAUAAUGUUGCAGUAACCGUCCUCUCUUAUCAUUCCCCUGUUCUUUGGUUUAGUGAUUGCAAAUAACAUUCUUUUCAUCUACUCUUUAUUUAUUUAUUUUUAAUUUUUAACUCAUUAAUUCUUGUUCUUCUUAAAGCGUUUAGUAAAUUAUAUGAUCACCUGAUCAAAUCCCUCACAUUAACAUACAACAUAACUAACAAAGUGUUGGCUCCACUGGCAAUGGAGUCUCCUCAAGUGGCUUAACUGGAUUUGCUCUCCAGUUCGACUCGCAAGGAAGUCGCCUUUGUUGGGAAAACUUGUACCAAAAACUCUGAUCUGUUGGCUUUGUAUCAGUAUUGCUUGUUUGUUGUCUUUUAUUUCAUUAUUUGUAUCUAAGUUUAUUUGAAGAUUACAGAUCAGCAGGAAAAGCCCUUUUUCUAAAGCUAACUAUACAGAUUUUAGAAUAGGGCUCAACCACAUGAAAAUAUUUACGUUGUAAUAUCUCAUAUUAAUAAUCUAAAAACAACCAAUCCAACAAGUUCAAAUUCAGUCAAAUCUAAAAAAAAAUUGCUUUUAAGGAGUACAUGAUAGCUAUUAAACUUUGGUUAAAGAUCUUUUGGGCAAACGUGAAAUUCAGUCAAUCAUAAAUCAACCAAUCCAACGAGUUCAAAUUCAUCACUUGCAAAAUUAAGUUUUCUUCCGAAAUUGAGUUUUUUCCAGUAGAAAUUUUCCCGCAGUCACGAGCACUAUCAUCAAAACAAGAUUAUUAACAUAAGAACAAGAGUUGAGGAAAAAAAUAUCUGUUUAUAUGGACACGGGGUGCACGCUUUAAGUCUUGUUCUUUUACAAUUCAAUUGUAUUGCUUACUCCCAUAAACUCCUUACUCACAUUCUUCUGCAGUUAACAGUGAUCUUUUGCUCAUUAAAAUUUUUCUUAUAUAUCGAAGGCCAAGAGUGAAGCUCAUAAACUCUGUGAUCCUAGAUAACCGAAGAGGUGCGUUUGUUCUAAAUACUUUAAUAAUUUCUUUCAAUCGCAUAAUUUCUAAUCUUUGAUCUUGAUAGCAGUUGUUUCUUAAUGUCCAACAAAAACUAUCUCUUGUUUGUCUUAAUCUUGUCAUUUAAUUUUCUUGAGUUUUAAGUUACUGUUUAUUGUUAACUUCUGUGUUCUUAUGCAGUAUUAUUAAUGGUUAAUUUGCAUCCAUCUUCCAAAAAAGUUUUCUUUCUUCAUAAAAUUGUUGGUUUUCCAUUCAGGCCCCUGAAACCUUUUUCUAAAAAGUUUUUUGUUGUCGUUUCUUUCUUUUUCUUCCCCGCUAGUUCAUUUAAUUUAUUUGAAUCCAUUUUUUUUUCAACAGCCAAAAACUAGAUAUUUAUAGUUAAGCAACAGGCAAUGGCUAUAGAAGCGUGUCUGGCUUUUUUAACCAACUGUGUAUCAGAAGGUGCAAAGUCACUGUUCAACCCUAUUACACGGCAGAUAUCUUAUGUGUUCAAGUACCAGAGCUACAUAGAUGAGCUAAAAGAUCAAGUGAAGCAGCUGGGAUAUAAGAGAGAAAUGGUGCAGCAACCAGUUAAUCAUGCUAGGCUACAAGGGGAUGAGCUUUUUGAGGGUGUCACAGACUGGCUACAUAGCGUUGAUGAAUUCAUCAGUGAAGGGGUUGCAAAAUCCAUUAUUGAUGAUGAAGAUAGAGCUAAGAAGUCCUGCUUCAAAGGAUUAUGCCCAAACUUGAUUUCUCGUUACAAGCUUAGUAAACAAGCAGCAAAGGCGGCAGAAGCUGCCGCUAGUCUCGUGGGAAAAGGCAACUUCUCCAAUGUUUCCUACCGUCCUGCUCCAAAGCGGGCAGAACAUAUGCAAGUGAAAGAUUUCGAGGCGUUUGAUUCAAGAAUGAAAGUAUUUCAAGAUGUUGUGGAGGCGGUGAAGGAUGACAAGGUCAACAUAAUUGGGGUCUAUGGGAUGGGCGGCGUGGGCAAAACCACGCUGGUCAAACAAGUUGCAAACCAAGUGAUGGAAGAUAAGUUGUUCGAUAAGUUCGUUAUGGCCGAGAUAACACAGACCCCAGAUCAUCAUAAAAUUCAAGACAAACUUGCUUUUGAUUUAGGCAUGGAAUUUGACUUGAAUGAGAAUGAAUUUCAAAGAGCUUCUCGACUGUGUCAAAGGUUGAAGCAAGAGAAGCGGCUCCUCAUUAUACUGGAUAAUAUUUGGACAAAACUUGAGUUGGAUGCGGUUGGAAUUCCUUCUGGAGAUGUGGAUGAGAAAGAUAGAGAGGACGAUCGGAGAAGACUCACAAUAAUAUUGACGUCUAGAAGUCGAGAUUUAUUGCGCAAUGAUAUGAAAUCUCAGAAGGAUUUCUCAAUUGAAGUUUUAUCAAAGGAAGAAGCAUUGCAAUUGUUUGGAAAGAUAGUGUGUAAUUCUGCAAAAGCAUCUGCUUUUCAACCUUUAGCAGAUGAGAUCGUUGAAAAAUGCGGAGGAUUGCCUGUUGCACUGAUUACCCUUGCAAAAGCUUUGAAAAAUGAGAGGCUUGACACUUGGAAGGAUGUGCUGCGUCAGCUAAGAAGUUCCAAUGCAAAAGAAAUUGAUGGAAUGGAAAGAAAUGUGUACAUCUCCAUAAAAUUGAGUUACGACUUACUGGGAAAUAAGGAAGCAAAAUCUCUGUUCCUUCUUUGUGGUCUAUAUACUGAAGGUGAUGUCAUACACGUUUCUGACUUAUUGAGAUAUGGUAUGGGUAUGGGCUAUUUUAAAAACGUUUACACACUGGAAGAAGCAAGGAGUAGAGUGCAUACGUUGAUCGGUAAACUCAAAUCUUCAUGCUUAUUGUUGGACGGUGAUGCCGAAGAUGAAGUUAAAAUGCAUGACAUCAUUCAUGCUGUUGCUGUAUCAAUUGCAGAAGAGGAGCUCAUGUUUAAUAUUCCAAAUGUUGCCUACGUGGAGAAAAAGAUGGAAGAGACAAUACGGGAAGGUCCAAUAGCUAUUUCUUUACCUUAUAGAGAUAUUCAAGAGCUUCCCGAAAGGUUGGAAUGUCCCCGUCUCGAGUUACUUUUGUUGUUUUCAAAGCGUGAUAGCUCUUUGCAAAUUUCAGACCUCUUUUUUCAAGGGACAGAAGAACUCAAAGUUUUAGAUUUUACUGGAAUAUUUUUCUCUUCAUUACCUUCAUCACUUGGUUGCCUCAUUAACGUUCAAACAUUAUGUUUAGAUGGUUGCCGACUGAACGAUGUAACUAUAAUUGGACAGCUAAGGAAAUUAGAGAUUCUCAGCUUCCGAGAUUCUGAUGUUAACGAGUUGCCACUUGUAAUUGGACAAUUGACGAGAUUACAGUUGCUAGAUUUGAGCAAUUGUAGCAGCCUUGUGGUGAUAGCUCCAAAUGUCAUAUCAAAAUUAUCUCGAUUAGAAGAACUAUAUAUUGGUAACAGCUUUUCACAGUGGGAGAACGUUGAAGGAGGAAGUAACGCCAGUCUUGUUGAGUUGAAGGGGUUGUCAAAGCUAACUACUUUGGAGAUACACGUUCGGGAUGCCGAAAUUCUACCGCAGGAUUUGGUCUCUGUGGAAUUGCAAAGCUAUAGGAUAUGUAUAGGAAAUAAGUGGUGGAGCAGCUGGUCCGUUAAAUCUGGAUUAUCAAGAUUGAUGAAGCUCCAGGGGCUAGAAAAGUUUGGCAUUCUUUUGCAGAAUUACAGGAUGAAACUGUUGUUGAAGAGAACUGAAUAUCUCUAUCUAGGAGAACUGAAGGGUGUUCAGAAUGUUGUUCAUGAAUUAGAUGAUGGGGAAGGUUUUCCACGAUUGAACCAUCUUUCUGUAAAAAGUUGUUCUGAGAUUUUGCAUAUUGUCUGUUCAGUUGGACGGGUUCGUCGCAAAGUCUUCCCCUUGCUGGAGUCAUUGUCUCUUCGUCGUUUGAUCAAUUUGGAGACAAUAUGUGACAGCCAACUCACAGAAGAUCAAUCUUUCAGCAACUUAAGGAUUAUAAAAGUAUCAGACUGUCACGAAUUGAAGCAUCUUUUCUCAUUCUACAUGGCCAAAAACCUACUGUGGCUUCAAAAGGUAGAAGUGUUUUUUUGCGAUGAUCUGGAAAUGAUUGUUGGUAAGUGUUGAAAUUAAGUGUUGGUGGAUUUAUGGACUUCGCCUCAAUUAUUUUGAAAAAAAAAAAAGACAACGACAAAGAUUAAUUAUGUAUAUUGUUUUAGUUUGUUUAUAGGACCCGACAUGGACAAACCAACAACUUCUUUGGGAUUCAACGAAAUCAUUGCUGAUGAUGAUCCUGCUCCAAAGGUGAUAAUUUUCUGUUCAAUAAUUAAUUGAUUAAUUUAUUAUCACGAUUAAUCUUCGAUCAUCAAAAGAAUAUUAUACUAGACGGUUGUACUUGAAGGAACAAAAAUGUACGGGUUUUCUUUGCAGGUUAUUCUUCCGAGCUUAGAGGAAUUGAAUCUCAUGUCAUUAAGAAACAUCAAAAAAUUAUGGGCCGAUCAUAAUCAAGGAAUGUACUGUUGUCAAAAUCUAACAAAGCUGCACGUGGUCGGUUGUCAUCGUAUGAAGUAUCUGUUUUCAUAUUCUAUGGUUAAUAGUCUUGCGAAACUCCAACAUCUUGAGAUAAGCUAUUGUGAGUCAAUGGAAGGGGUAGUCGACACCACGGGAUGGUCAGAAAGAGAUGAAGGAAAGUUGAUUGAAUUAAAGGUUUUUCCUAAGCUACACUCCCUGCAGCUAGAAUGGCUUCCAAGACUAAGUAGCUUUGCCAAUAUGGGACAUAUUCAUUCAGAUUUAGUUGUUGAAUUCCCUUCUUUGCUAAACCUCAUGAUUGGUUGUUGCAGUAAUAUGUUAAGAUUCAUCUCUACGAGCUCACCAGAAGACACCAUUCAUUCUGAAAUGCAACCUCCUCCUCUCUUUGAUGAAAAGGUUUUUUUUUUUUUUUUUAAUUAAAAAAAAUAAUUUUAGUCACAAUACUUGAUUUGUCUUUUCCUUGAGUCUUCAAAUUUAGUUAAUAUCCGCCUCUAAUUUAGUUAUCAAUUGAUUAUGCCAUUAAUUGAUUAACUAGUUAUUUAAUCUUUAACUGCCAGGUACGAGUUCCUAGGUUGGAGGUAUUAUAUAUUGCGUGGAUGGAUAACCUAAGAACAAUAUGGCACCACCAGCUUGCUUCGGAGUCUUUCAGGAAAUUGAAGAAUUUGGAGAUAGAAGAGUGUGAUAACCUAAUGAAUAUUUUUCCUCCAUUGGUAAGGUUGCUGUAUUCAUUUCGAUUUUUUUUUUCAAAUAACAUUCAACAAUUUUUUAAUCUUUUCUGUGUUUACAAAUGAUAUUCAGCCACUAAUUAUUUAUUUCAAAUAUUGUACUUCAAACCACCACUCUAAAAUCUACGUUUUAAGUCUAGUUUUUAGGUUCACCAGCAUUAGAAUCAACAAUAUAAUUUUUUUAAACACGAUUCAAUAGCAUAAUAUAAUUCAAUUUAAUUGUUUUUGCUCAUAUCUUAAUAAGUACGAUUUUCAAAAAUUAAAGGAUAGUCACUCAUCUUAUAAGUUCACAAAUUCAUCUAUAUAUUUCUCUUUUCCUUAGUUCUUCACAUUUCGAUUGGGAAAAAAAAAAAGAAAGUCUUCAAAUUUAAUUAAUAUCUCCAGUUUAGUUAAGAAUUGAUUAUGCCAUUACUUAACCACAAAUUCAUGAUUGUUUACAACUGACCCUUGAUUGUAAAGAAAUUUCCUCGAGUCUGGAAGUACUUAAUAAAGAUCCACUUUAUAGCAAUCCCUUGUUGACAGUACUGGGAAGUCUUUUCCAAAUUUUUUUUUUCCAUUUUUAUACAUACAUAAAAAAAAGGGGACCAAGGAAAAGGGAAAAAGAGGCAUUUUAGUUGAGUUUUUUUUAAAGGAAUAGUUGAAAUGUGCAAAUUUAUGCUUAAAAACUUAUAUCAAGAUGCAAAAUAAGUCUAAAGUAUUUAGAAAUUGCCUUAAAUUCUUUCUACGUCCCUAAUACUAAAUAGUGUAAAUACAUUUUUAUCAUCUUUGUUUAUCUGGCUUUUAUUUAUUUAUCUUGUUACCUUUUUUGUUUAACAAAAAAUUAUCUAGUAGACAUUUCACAGUUUGUUAUGUUCAUAAAACGUAUAAUUGUAUGAUUAAACAUACUUUGAGCCUAGUUGAAUGAUACUCUUACAUUUUUACUUUUUUAAUAUACACACACACACACACUCUCUCUGCUUAUUUUCAGGUUGGAAUUCCUACUAGUCUGGUGAAUCUUUAUGUAUGGAACUGCAAAAAAUUAGAAGAAAUCGUAGGACAUGCUGGAGAAGAAGUGAAGGAGAAUCGUAUUGCUUUCAGUGAAUUAAAACUUUUGGAACUUGAUGAUUUACCAAGGCUUACCAGCUUUUGUUUGGAGAAUUACACUCUUGAAUUCCCAUCAUUGGAACGAGUAUUUGUGACACAUUGUCCGAACAUGAAGACUUUUUCUCUGGGAAUCUUAUCCACACCAAAGCUGCACAAAGUGCAAGUGACUGUAAAGGAAGAUGGUGAAUUGCACCAUCGGGACGACAAUCUUAAUUCCACCAUACAAGAACACUAUACAAGAUCUCAUGGAAAUAAGUAAACCCGUAAUUUUUUUCACAGCAUCAUAAGAAAAAAUCAUUUUUUUUUUAGUAUUUUUGUUGGCUGUUGAGUUUUAACAGUAGUAGCUAUUAAACAAGAACAAUCAGUGUAUAUUAAAAAGUUGGAAACUGGUUGAUACCACUUGGGAAUCGAGCAGCUCACUUGUUUGCGAGUAGAAACCAACUUUACUACUAAUUACACUCAUUCCAAAAAUAGUAACUAAAGAAUCAGGAAAUUUCCUAUUCACUAUUCUUCAUUUUUUAAUGCAAAAUUCCCAUGAAAAUGGGAUCAAAAUACAUGUAUGUAUACCUAAAACAAAUUAUUAUUUUUAAUUAAAAAAAAACACAGUUGAGGUGAAAUGAAACCAGAGUCAUGAUAUCUCUGGUUCCAACUUUGGGACAACAGCAGACUUGAGUUCUAUAUGAGAAACACGUACAGCACCAAUCAGCCGCUCCAAGACACACGAAGCGUUAUGCCAUUCCGAGAACAUUCAAGCGUUAUAUCUCAAAAUCAUGUCUUUUCCCUUGUGUCUGUUAAGGAAGCACACUGAGCACGUGUGAACUAAGAGUAGCUGCACGAUAAGCAUGUGUUAGUUAAAGAAGUAUAUGCCAGCUCAGCCAAUUAGUUAAGCAGGCUUUUGAUUCUGUUAUAGUUGUGUACCUUGCUUUAAUUCUGUUUUUAUGAUGUAAGCAACGAGUAUAAACACUGCUACGUUUGUCAUUUGUAUGUUAUGGAAAGAAAAGAAAUCCAGAAUAUUCUAUUUCACUUUCUCAUGAAUUUUCUGAGCUUCCAAACAAAAUUAUCAGUUCAAUUUUAAGCUUUUCAACAGUGUCCAUUUAGACGUGCAAAAAAAACAAUCAUACAUACCUGUACAAGGAAAGCCAUGUCAACCACCGACCGAUGUUGUAAUUACACCAAUUACGACAAGGCCCAAAACUCCACUAGCAAAAGUAGAAUAACAUCUAUGCCAACAUCAAUCUAUAGAGAGAUGAACAUGUUAAUGGUAUCGGACGAGCUAUUUGAACGGGAAACAUCUCAUGUACUAUAAUAGAAAUUUUAAGAGCAUUUACUUCUAAGUACUGGGGACCGCGGAUAUAGUUACAACCAACUGCAUUUAGAAACAAAAAUUUGCGCUUGCGACAAGAGCUGAUCUCUUCAUUCCCCUGUUUAGUAAUAAAAAAAAAUCAAAAUAGCGGAGAAACAGGGCCCUCUUUUCAUUCCCCUGUUUGAUAACAAUAAAAACAAAACAGAGGAGAAACGUGGGCUCUCUUUUCAUUCCCCUGUUUUUCUUUUCGGUUUGGCGAUUUUAAAAUUUUAUAUCCACAUUCAUUAAAAAAAAAAAAAAAAGUUAUUCCAAAAAGAUUUUCUAUUUUCAUAUAGACGUUUAUUUAUUAACCAAAAUUUAAAAAGUGUAAUUCUAAACUUAUCCUUGUGCUUUGAUCUUGGAGGGGUUUUUCAUUUUUUCUACACUGGCCAUAUCAAUUAAUGAUGAAAGUUCUUAUCCUUAAUUGCUUUUGAAAUGAGUGAGCACGGUAUGACCCUUAAGAGAAUUAAUUAAUUGGACAAGUUAUAUAACGCCUUUGAUAUGGCUCCUAGACAUGUAUGCAAUUUGUAUCUUUCCUCAAGUAUGCAUGAGAAUACUUGAGGAAAGCUUCACAAUAGUUACGGCCGGAUCUGCACUUCACAAGUCCUAAUAGGGAAGUAUAAAUAUAUGCUUCUGGAACAGUGCAACUCUCCAUAAUAAGUACCUAAGAAUAGACAAAUUUUCAUUACAAUAGAAUGAUAAAUUAUAAUAAUAUUGACACAAUGAUGCCAAUAAUAAGAAUCUUAACAAAUCUACUAAUUUUAGAAUAUGGCUUAGAGUGCUACAAUGAACCACAACAAGUUAUCGAUAUUAUAAUAUCUAUAAUUAAUAUUCCAAUAAUAACUGGGGCUCCUUUGUUUUCAUUCCCCUACUUUUCUGUUAAGUGAUUGCCAAAUUUUUAUAUCUAAAAUUCUUCUAAUUUUAAACUAAGGUUUAUUUAGAAAAAAAAAGGGAGAGAGAGAGAGAGACUCGAAGAGCAUUAAAAAAUGUAAUUUUUAAUUUUCACUUAAGCAUUGUGUGACUUUUAUCAUUUUUUAAAGUUGGCCAUUUGUACUGAAUAAAUAAAAUAAUGGAUAGACUUAUGGACCACUUUUUUUCUGUUAUAUUAAAACAUGAGAUGUCUUUUCUUGAUGUUUUCAUCACACAAGAAUCUGUUUAUGUCAUCAUGCAUCAUGGGUUUAAAUGGGGUAAAUAAAUUAAGAUCGAGGGCAAGUUUGUUUAAGUUCUAAAGUUGCUGAAUAUAAAAAGGGCUGAUAUGAAAAUUACCUAAAGUUUCAAAUAUUGUUAUUCAGCAACCACUUUUAGGUUGCAUUAGUUUCUACACAAAUUUUAUAUAAAUAAUUUAUAACUCCCAUUAUUAUUUAAAAAACUGUAGCAAUUGUUGAAAAAAAAUUCUAAUUAAAGAAAUUGACAUUAUAAUUUAAGGGAUAGUUGCUGUUUUAAUCAUUAGAACUUAAGUCAAUUAUCCAGCUUAUCCUUGUAUUCUUAAAAACUAUAUAAAAUACCAUUAUCUCUUCUUUUGUAGCUAUUGAAUUCGACUUUCACAACAUAAAUAUUUAUUAGCAACAACUUAAAAUUCAAACAAAUAUAAUAUGUAAUGUAUGAAAUACAAAUAAUAGUUAAACAAAUUUUGAUUAUUUACUAUUAAAAUACAUUCACAUUAAUAUCUUAAGGAUAGGUGGUACUCAAAUAAUUUUUUAAAAAUCAGACCCAAAUUAUAUGCAUUGUUAAUAUGUAUUAUUGUCUAAUAUUUGGAUUUUGUUAAGUUACAACUGUUGUAACUUACGAUCUCUUCAAAAAAGAAAAUUGAGUCCCACCACCUAUUAAAUUUUUUACAUUAUUUUUUAAAAGACUGUAAGUUACAUCAGUUGUAACUUAACAGCACCCUUAAUAUUUUACUUUACUUUUAUAUCUUUACAAAACAAUACCAACAAGACAAUAAUGUAUGAAAUAAAUAAAAUAAAUAAAUAAAGAACUGAUAGCGAAAUUAAGUCUAUCAUUAGUUUCUUGUGGUGUGAACUCUUGACAAUUCUCCCACCUAAAACUCUCUAGUGGUGUGAACUUUUGACGAUUCUCCAAAAAUUUGUCAUAUUGCAAAAAGCAAUGUCAAUUGUAAUGUCAUUUCCAUUAGUCAUAGUGGCAGAUAGGACUAGAAAUUGUUGAAACCCAUUGACUUAUUUUUCUUUCUAAAAAUAAGAAAAGCACACCCGUCCGGGGAAAUAAUUUUGUAGUACCUCAUGUCGUGAAUAAGGGACAAUACGAUCCUUUUUUUAUUAUAGUAUUUUUAAAUUUAUUAACUAAAAAAUUAAUUCUAAUAUUUUAUAAUAAAUAUAAGUAGGAUAUUAAAAUGAAUAUAAUAAUGUAUACAUAUUAAAAUAAUUUCAAUAUCUAAAAAUAUUUUAAUAUUUUAAAAUCUCGUAGUCUAUUAAACCAAAUAAUAAUAAAUAGAGACAUAAUAUUCAAAUAAAUACAUAAAAAUUUAAAUUGUUUUCAAUAUCACAUAAAAUAAUUUUAAUAUUAUUAAUACAUGAGAAAUAUUAUAUUAAUUGUAAAAUCUAUUUAACCUAAGGAUUCAUUUAAAAUUUUUUGUAAUAAUUACAAGUAUUUUAUAGAUACAAAUAUAUUAAUUCACAUUUUAAAAAUUAAUAUUGAAAUUAAUUAUUUAAAUUUUAUAAAAAAUUUUGAAGUCUUUUUUUUUUUUUUGGCUACCAUCUACUAAGAGUAGUAUUAUGAUCAAAAGGGGUAUUGGUAUCCUAUAUUAAAAAUUUGAGGUCUACGUGACUAUUUUUCUAAAUUUUUAGGGUAUCAUUUUGUUUUUGACAAAAGUAAAAUUUCAUUUUUGACAAAAAUAAAAUUUCAUUUAAAUGGCUAAAAUGGUGAAUAAAAUAAUACUACAGUGGGCGUAAAUGGAAGGUAAGAAACAAUGAAAAUGAAUAGUCUAAUGUCACCACAGGCACAUAAGGCCAAAGUUUGUUACAUCUGAUCAAGGACAAUUUAGUAUGUGGAGUGGGUCCUGCGUGUCAUUUUUUGGGCAUCUACCUUCUUCAGCAUUGAAGAUUUGAUGUUGACGACAUUUUAAAAAUUUGGAAGACCCAUCAUACAUUUGGAUGGUUGUCAUUAUUUGAUAUUAUCAUUAUCUCGUGGUGAUCCUAUUAUUUAUGUGGCAAAAGAGGUAAUUAAAUAAAAUUUAAUUGGAUGUAACACUUGUUUCGCGUUGUGAACUUUUGACAAUUCCCCUAUAUCCCUCCAAAAACUUUCGUCAUUUUGCCAAGAUACCUAACGAUUGUAAUGUAAUUUUCAUUAUUCAUAGUGCCAGAUAAUGGAGGUCCAGGAACGGACCAGAAAUUAUUGCUACCCGUGGACUUUUCCAAUUUAUUUUUUUUCUUUUGGAUGGUUGACGUUAUUUGAUAGGAGGACGAGAUAGAGAUAGAGUUCUUAAUCGAACACCCGUUUUAUUUAAUGGGGAAAUUAUCAUUUCACCACUACUCUUUUGCCUUAUGCUCAUUCAAUUACUACAAAAUUUUAACAUGUUCUCUGCACUACUUUUCUUUUUUAAAUUUGUAUCAAUUACUCACUUUUAUACUAACACCAUUAAAUAAUUUAAACAAAAUAAUAAAUUUACCCCUAAAUAAAUUAAAAGACCAUUUUAUUUUAUAAAAACUUAAAAAAUAAAAAAUAAAAAUUAUAAUUAUAAUUAUAAAAAUACCCCUAAAUUUAAUAAAGAAAUAAAUCCCCAAAUUAGAAUUUUUAUUUUAAUAAAAAUUAUAAUUAUAAAAUAAUUGCAAAAUUUUGGGAUUUAAUAAACAUCCCCUAAAAUAUUAAAUUUUGGGAUUUAUUUUUAAUAAAUAAAUUUAGUUAUUUUAAUAAAAUUUUACAAAAUUAUAAAUUUGUAAUAAAAAUAAGCUGAGCGCCUCUAUUUUGGAUUAUUUUUUAUUAAAUUUAGGGGUAUUUUUGUAAUUCUAAUAUUUUUUUUCAAAGCUUUUAUAAGAUAAAAUGGCAUUUUAAUUUAUUUAGGAGUAAAAUUAUCAUUUCGUUUAAAUUAUUUAACAGUAUUAGUGUAAAAGUGGCUAAUCGAUUCAAAUUUAAAAAGAAAGAUAGUGCAGAAAACAUGUUGAAAUUUUGUGGUGGUUAAAUGAACAUAAGUCAAAAGAAAGAUGGUAGAAUGAUAAUUUCCCUAUUUAAUAUGGAAGAAGAUCUUUAAACUCUCAGUGAGGCUAUGGCUUCAACAGAUGCAGCCUUGUGGAAAGAGGCAACAAGUAAUGAGAUAGACUCAUUAUUAUCUAAUCAACUAGAUGCAUCAACAAGAUCUUAACUUAGAUUGGAACUUGAAGCAUUGUUGUUUGAAACAUUGGCUCAAGCCUUUAGAGCGAGGUUGGAUGCAAAAUGAUUUACAACAAAGAAAGGAAAAAAUAAAUUUACUAAUUUACAAAAUAAAUUUAGUAAAUUAAUAAAGUCAUUAUAUGAUCUUAAAUAAGCACUAAAGCAACAGCAUGAAAAUUUUGAUUCUAUGAUCAUGUUGCAUGGAUUUUAACAUAAUAACGAUGAUAAAUGCAUUUAUUCUAAAUUAAUGGAUAAAUAUGGUAUGAUAAUUUUCCUCAUUUGAGAAAGAAUUCUUAAAUAAUGUCCCAUAUUAAUUAGUAAAAGAGAGUCACUUGGGCUUAUAAGUAGUAGAGAUGGGCAAAAUUGGAUGCAGAUGAUAUUCGGGUUAAUAUGAUCAGAUUUUGGAUUGUUCGGAUUGAUAAAAAGUCAUAUGAAUGCAAUAUGAACUUGCAUCCAAUCCGAUUAUGUACGGAUCAUAUUCAAAUUGGAUGAAUAGUGCAGAUUAAUUUGGAUUCGGAUCAGAUCGAUAAUAUCAAACUGAAAUCGGAAUCAGAUGUGUUCGAAUAAAUCAGAUGAAUUUCAAUCACUUGCAAGUUGAAAUACAAAAUUGAAAAAUCAUAGAAAUUAAGAAAAAAAUGCAGCAAGCUAGCAAAUGGAAGAACAAAGGCAAAAAAUUAUAUUAUAAAUUAAUCGUAAAAAGGUGCUAUUAGCAAUUGUUGCACAAUGCGAAAAUGUCCUGGAACUCGCUGUGUAGACAUGCAAAAGUUCCGUAAGUGCAUUAACAAUUAUUUUCCAAAAAAAGGUUGUUGCGUCAAUAUUAAAGGAAUUGACAUCCAGGGACCCAGUUUAGUUGCUUAAUGAUUAAUUAAUUAAUCAAUUUAUAAUAUAUUAAUCUUUUAAGUUGAAUACUUAAAAUCUUAGACCCCAAACAAUAAAUCAUCUGAGUAAUAUAAAAGAGAAAUUAUCAUCCUAUUUUUUAUUUGACUUCUUGUAGCUUAUAAAAGAGAAAUUAUCAGUCAUUUACUCAAAGUUUAUUCAGUUAUUAAAAUUAAUAUAAAAUUUAAAUUUAUUUAAUUUUACACUCAAUGUAUGCAAUUUGUAUUAAACAUCCGUUAAAAACAUAAAGUUAUUCCAUCAAAGUGACAAAAUAGAAGCGAACACAAAAUUGUAUUGGUGAUUAUGUUUUAAGAGUAAUUUUAUCUUUUUAGUAAACAGUUAUCCACAUUGUAACAAUGGGUAUAAAAUUAAGUAUAUUUAAAUUUUUAUAACUUUUAGGAUAAUAAGAUAAUUUUUAGGUGGAUGACUGAAAAUUUUUCUUUUCAAAAUAUUUUGAAAACAAUACCAAAUGUACCAAAACAUUGUUUACUUACACUCUAUAUAUAUAUAUAUAUAUAUAUAUAUAUAUAUAUAUAUUUAAUUUCUUAACUCAUUCUUAUCCUUAUUCUUGCUAACAUAUCCACAAUCUGUCAAUGAAAUUUACUUUUAUAAAUUUGAAGAUUCUUUCAUGCAAUUUUGUACGAUAAUGAGUUCUCAUGUCUCUGUUAAAAAAGAAUUCGUAAAUAAUACAAAUGAAAAAAAAACAAAAAGUAGCAGGGCUGGCAAUACAAACCAUAACUUUUUUUCUUUGAAAUAUGCAUAAAUAAAGUUAAUAGUGAUGUGUCAGCACGAUCUUGAGAGCACGGCUUGGAGUCUCAAUAAUUAUUGACACUCAUAUUUGAAAACUUUUGAAAAGAUAAAAUCCAAUAUGAAAGGUGAAAUGUUAUAAUCAUAGUAACUAGAAAAUUGAUUGAUUUACAAAUAUCAAUUUAAACAAUUUUCAUGUUGAUCGACAAUUUAAGUAGAUUGACAAAGAUUGAAGUAAUUACUGUUGGUGAUUGAUUGACUUUGUCCUUAUCCUUGCCUUCUUCUUAUCAAAAAUCGAGUGUCAAUUAAAUUGGGCCAGGGCUUCUGAUUGCAACUAAUAGACUUCAUAUACGCAUAAUGCUCCCUACGGACAUACGUACCAGUAUUUGAUUGAAAAAGGGAUGCGUGCUUAAUGCUCAAGUCGUCUUCUUCUGGAAAUUCAUUGUUAUUACUCUCAUCAACUCGUUACUCACAUUCCUCUUUAGUCAACAGAGAUCUUUUGCUCAAUAAAAUUUUUCUUCUAUAUUCAAGGUGAAUACAGCAGCUCAUCAACUCUGAUCCCAGACAGGUAAAGAGGCGCACUUGUUCUAAAACCUUUAAUAUUCUUUUAGUAACAGAAUCUCUGAUACUUGUUCUUCAUAGCGGUUCUUUCUUAAUUUCCAUCACCUUUCCUAGGAAAAAAUUCUUUGGUUUUUCUUAAUCAUAUCAUUUAUUUUUCUGAAGUCAUAUAAUUUAGUUUUAGUAGCAGAAUACUUGAUAUUGAUAGCGGUUCUUUCUUAAUUUCCAUCAACUUUCCUUGAAGGAUACCUUUCUGUUAAUAGCAAAACAUCUGAUCCUUAAGAUAGAAAAAGAAAUUCUCUAUUUAGGUAUCAGUUGGUUCAAGAUCAAUAUCGCGAUGUUGUUUGCGGUCUUUUCUUUCUCCGUCUUUCCCUUUAGUUCAGUUUAAUUUAUUUGUUUUCCUUUCUUUGAUAUAUUAUUAGAUUUGUUAAGUAGCAGACAAUGGCAGAAGUUGGUCUGGCUGCUUUUUCCAGCAUUGUAUCAGAAGGUGCAAAGUCACUGUUCAAACCGAUUAUACGGCAGAUAUCUUAUGUGUUCAAGUACCAGAGCUACAUAGAUGAGCUAAAAGAUAAAGUGAAGCGGCUGGAACAUAAAAGAGAAAGGGUGGAAAUACCCGUUCAUCAGGCAACUCAACAAGGAGAUGAGAUUUAUAAGGAUGUUGCAGACUGGCUUAAUAGCGUCAAGGAAUUCACUCAGGGAGCUGCAAAAUCCAUCACUGAUGAUGAAGAUAGAGCUAAGAAGUUCUGUUUCAAAGGAUUGUGCCCAAACUUGAUCUCUCGUUACAAGCUCAGUAAACAAGCAGCAAAGGCUGCAGAAGCUGCCGCUAGUCUCGUGGGAAAAGGCAACUUCUCCAAUGUUUCCCACCGUCCUACUCCAAAGCUGGUAGAACAUAUGCAAGUGAAAGAUUUCGAGGCCUUUGACUCAAGAAUGAAAGUAUUUCAAGAUGUUUUGGAGGCGUUGAAGGAUGAUAAGCUCAAGAUAAUUGGGGUCUACGGGAUGGGCGGCGUGGGUAAAACCACGCUUGUCAAGCAAGUUGCGAAGCAAGUGAUGGAAGAUAAGUUGUUCGAUAAGGUCGCUAUGGCUGAGGUAACAGAGAACCCAGAUCAUCAGAAAAUUCAAGACAAACUAGCUUCUGAUUUAGGCAUAAAGUUUGAGUUGAAUGAGAGUAUAUUCGACAGAGCAAAUCGACUAUGUGGAGUAUUGAAGAACAAGGAGCGGCAUCUCAUUAUAUUGGAUAAUAUUUGGAGAGAACUGGAGUUCGAUAAAGUUGGAAUUCCUUCCAGGGAUGUCGAGAAAGAAAGAAUGGAUGAUCAGAGACGAUGCACAAUAAUACUGACGUCUAGACGUCAAGAUUUAUUGCGCAAUAUUAUGAAUUCUCAGAAAGAAAUCCAGAUCGAUGCUUUAUCAAAAGAAGAAGCAUUGCAUUUAUUUAAGAAGAUAGUGGGUGAUUCAAUGAAAACAUUUGCUUUUCAAUCUAUAGCAGAUGAGAUCGUUGAAAGAUGCGGAGGACUGCCUGUUGCACUGAUUACACUUGCAAAAGCUUUGAAAAAUGAGAGGCUUGACACUUGGAAAGAUGUGUUGAAUCAGCUAAGAAGUUCCAAUGCAAAAGAAAUUGAUGGAAUGGAAAUAAAUGUGUACAUCUCCAUAAAAUUGAGUUACGACUUAUUGGGAAGUAAGGAAGCAAAAUCUCUGUUCCUUCUUUGUGGUCUAUUUAGUGAAGGUCAUGCUAUACCAGUUUCUUCCUUAUUGAGAUAUGGUAUGGGUAUGGGCUAUUUUAAAAACGUUUACACACCGGAAGAAGCAAGAAGUAGAGUGCAUACGUUGAUCGGCAAACUCAAAUCUUCAUGCUUAUUGUUGGACGGUGAUACUGAAGCUAAAGUUAAAAUGCAUGACGUCAUUCAUGCUGUUGCUGUAUCAAUUGCAGAAGAGGAGCUCAUGUUUAAUAUUCCAAAUGUUGCCGACUUGGAGAAAAAGAUGGAAGAGACAGUACAGGAAGGUCCAAUUGCUAUUUCUUUACCUUAUAGAGGUAUUCAAGUGCUUCCUGAAAGGUUGCAAUGUCCCUGUCUUGAGCUAUUGCAUACGGAGGGUGAUGGCUCUAUGCAAGUUUCAGACCACCUUUUUAAAGGGACGGAAGGACUCAAAGUUUUGAAUUUUAAUCGAAUUCACUUCUCUUCAUUACCUUCAUCACUUGGUUGCCUCAUUAACCUUCAAACAUUGUGCUUAGACUAUUGCCGACUAAAAGAUAUAGCAAUAGUUGGACAGCUAAAGAAAUUAGAGAUUCUCAGCCUUGUAUAUUCCGAUAUCAAGCAGUUACCACUUGAAAUUGGACGAUUGACGCGGUUACAGUUGCUAGAUUUGAGCAAUUGUUGGAGCCUUGAGUUGAUACCACCAAAUGUCAUAUCAAAAUUAUCUCGAUUAGAAGAAUUGUUUAUGCAUAACAGCUUUUCACAGUGGGAUAAGGUAGAAGGAGGAAGUAAUGCCAGUCUUGUCGAGUUGAAGGGGUUGUCAAAGCUAACUACUUUGGAGAUACAUGUUUCGGAUUCCGAAAUUCUGCCGCUGGAUUUUGUCUCUGUGGAAUUGGAAAGAUAUAAGAUAUUUAUAGGACAAAUGUCUGUCCGGUGGCUCGUCGAAUCUAAAACAUCAACAUUGAUGGUGCUCAAGGGGCCAGAACAAGUUAGCCUUCUUUUGGGGAAUGAUGGGACGAAAAUGUUGCUGAAGAGAACUGAAGAUCUCCGUCUAUGCUCACAGAAGGGUGUUCAGAAUAUUGUUCAUGAAUUAGACGAUGGGGAAGGUUUUCCACGAUUGAAGCAUCUUCAUGUAAAAAGUUGUUCUGAGAUUUUACAUAUUGUCGGUUCAGUUGGACGGGUUCGUUGCGAAGUCUUUCCCUUGCUGGAGUCAUUGGAUCUUAUUAAUUUAACUAAUUUGGAGACGAUAUGCUACAGCCAACUCAGAGAAGAUCAAUCUUUCAGCAACUUAAGGAAAAUAAACGUAGAUUUCUGUCCAAAAUUGAAGUAUCUCUUCUCAUUCUCUAUGGCCAAAAACCUAUUGCGGCUUCAAAAAGUAAAAGUGGAAAACUGCGAUGAUUUGAAAAUGAUUAUUGGUAAGUGUUGAAAUUAAUUAUUGGUAGGAUUAUUGACAUUGACUCAUUCUUUUUUUCUUUUCUUUUUUUUUUUUUGGUGAAAAAAACAACGGAUGUUUAUUAUAUAUUGUUUUUGUUCAUUUAUAGGGCCCGACAUGGAGAAACCAACAACAACUCAGGGAUUCACAGAAAUCAUUGCAGAGGAUGAUCCUGUUCACCAAGUAAUAAUUUUCUGUUUAAUAAUUAAUUAAUUAAUAUAUUAUCACGAUUGAUCUUCAAUCAUCGAAAGAAUAUUAUAUUAGAAGUUGUAGUUGAAGGAACAAAAAUGUAUGGUUUUUCUUUGCAGGUUACUUUUCCACGCUUGGAGGAACUGAAACUUGUCAGUUUAACAAACAUCAAAAAAUUAUGGCCCGAUCAAUUUCAUGGAAUGUAUUGUUGUCAAAAUUUAACAGAAGUGACCGUGUUCGGUUGUGAUCGUCUGAAGUAUCUGUUUUCAUAUUCUAUGGUUAAUAGUCUUGGGCAACUCCAACAUCUUGAGAUACGAAAUUGCUGGUCAAUUGAAGGGGUAGUCAACACCACGGGGUUAGGAGGAAGAGAUGAAUUGAAGGUUUUUCCCAAACUACACUACCUGUCGCUCCAUUGGCUUCCAAAACUAAGUAGCUUUGCCUCACCAGAAGACGUCAUUCACACUGAAAUGCAACCUCAAUCCCUCUUUGAUGAAAAGGUUUUUUUUCAUUGAAUUUUUAAAUUCUCUUUUCGUUGAGUCUUCAAAUUUAAUUAAUAUCCAUCUCUAACUGCAUUGAAUUUUCAACUUCAGGUACGACUCCCAAGUCUGGAGGUAUUACAUAUUAAGAGGCUGGAUAAGUUGAGAAAAAUAUGGCACCACCAGCUUGCUUCGAAGUCAUUUAACAAAUUGAAAAAAUUUGAGAUAUCAGGGUGUCAUAAUCUACUGAAUAUUUUUCCUCCAUUGGUAAGAUUGCUAUAUUCAUUUUGAAUUUUUAUUUCAAAUAACAUUCAACAAUUAUUUUAAUCAUUUUUGUGUUUACAAAUAAUUUUCAUUCACAAAUUAUUUAUUGCAAGUAUUGUACUUCAAACUUCUGGAGGGAAAAAAAGUAGUGUACUUCAAAUCACCAUUCUGAACUCUGCAUUUUCAAUCUAAUUUAUAGGUUCACCUGCAUUAAAGUCAACAAUAUAAUUGUUUUAAACACGAUUCAACAGCAUAAUAUGAUUCAAUUUAAUUGUUUUUUUUCUUAAAUCCUAAUAAAUAAGAUUUCCAGAAAUUAAAAGAUACUUAGUUACUCAGCUUUUAAGUUCACAAAUUCAUAUAUAUUUCUCUUUUCCUUGGGUCUUUAGAUUUCGAUUUUAAAAAUAAAAUAAAGAAAAGUGUUCAAAUGUAGUUAAUAUCUCUAGUUUAGUUAUGAAUUGAUUACGCCAUUGAUUAAGCACAAAUUCAUGAUGGUCAUUUUGAAUCGACCGUUGAUUAAAAAAUUUCCUCAAAUAUUCACUCUAUAACAGUCCCAUGUUGAUGGCGUUGGGAAGUGUUUUCCAGAAAUGUUUUCCAUUUUUAAAAGCAUGAAUAUCGGGAAAAAAAAAAAUGGGAAAUACAGCGUUUUAGUUUAGUUAUUUUAAAAAUAGGCAUGUUUGAAAAUUAAAAAUUUUUAAAAACUAGCAUCAAGAUGAAAAAUGAAUUUAGAAUAUUUAAAAAUUACCUGAAAUUCUUUCUCUGUUCCUAAUACUAAAUAGUGUAAAUGCAUUUUCAUUAUCUUUGUUUUUCUGGUCUUCUAUUUAUUUAUUUUUGUUUUAAUUUUUUCCUUUUUUUCUUUAACAAAAAAUAUCUAGUAGACAUUCAUGGUUUGUUAUUUUUCAUAAAACAAUUGUAUGAUUUUGACAUACUUUGAAUCUAGUUGAAUGCUACUCUUUAUUUUCAGGUUGGAAUUCCCAAUAGUCUAGUGAAUCUUAAUGUAUCAUACUGUGAAAAAAUAGAAGAAAUCAUAGGACAUGUUGGAGAAGAAGCGAAGGAGAAUCGUAUUGCUUUCAACGAAUUAAAACAUUUGGAACUUGAUCAUUUACUAAGGCUUACCAGCUUUUGUUUGGAGAAUUACACUCUUGAAUUCCCAUCAUUGGAACGAGUAUCUGUGACACAUUGUCCGAACAUGAAGACUUUUUCUCAGGGAAUCGUAUCCACACCAAAGUUGCACGAAGUGCAGGUGAGUAAAAAGGAAGUAUUAAGUUUUAUAUGAAACUGUGAUGUUGUUUGGUUACUAAGAAAAUAGGAAGAAAGAAAACUUCUGUAAGCUGAGAAUUCUGUUAUUAUUGACCUAAUGAAUCUGGAAAUUACAAGCCUUUUUAUAUGUGCAUAGAAGAUUCUACACACAUUGCACACACGCACAGUUUAAUACUAACAACCUCUAUAACAACCUUUAGCUGACUCAGCUGCCAUGUCAGCAUACUCAUUAACUAACUAAUUCUAUUCUUAACAGGAAGAGGGUGAAUUGCGCCGUUGGGAAGGCAACCUUAAUUCCACUAUACAAAAGUGUUACGAAGAAAUGGUAUGUGUUAAAUCGAUUCGUCGAAAUUACUUAUGCAUCUCCCUUGCACUUGCACAUUUAAGUAUAUACACCUGCCUUGUAUAUAUAGUUUUAGAAGUUAAAACACAAAACAUGUAAGUUUAAUGUAUAUAUAUCUAAUGCCUUUCAAAAAGAAAAAAAAUUGUAUAUAUCCAGUGCAAUUGUUUUGGUUUGUGCAGAUUGGAUUUCGUGACAUAAUGCGUUUGCAACUUUCGCAUUUUCCACGUUUGCAAGAAAUAUGGCAUGGCCAAGCACUGCCUGUCAGCUUCUUCAACAAUUUAAGAGAGCUGGUGGUGGAUGACUGCACGAAUAUGUCGAGUGCUAUUCCUGCCAAUCUGCUACGGUGCUUGAACAAUUUGGAAUACCUGGCAGUGAGGAAUUGUGAUUCACUAGAAGAGGUGCUUCAUUUGGAAGAACUAAUUAAUGCUGAGGAAGAACAUUUUGGCCAACUGUUCCCUAAUCUUUACGAGCUAAAGCUCAUUGAUCUUCCAAAACUCAAAAGAUUCUGCAACUUCACUGGGAAUAUAAUUGAACUGCCUAAGUUGGACAAUCUAACUAUUGAGAAUUGCCCUAGUAUGGAAACACUGCCUGUCAGCUUCUUCAACAAUUUAAGAGACCUGGUGGUGGAUGACUGCACGAAUAUGUCGAGUGCUAUUCCUGCCAAUCUGCUACGGUGCUUGAACAAUUUGGCAUGGCUGAAAGUGAGGAAUUGUGAUUCACUAGAAGAGGUGCUUCAUUUGGAAGAGCUAAGUGCUAAGGAAGAACAUAUAGGCCCCAUGUUUCCUGAGCUUUCCCUGCUAGGGCUCAUUGAUCUUCCAAAACUCAAAAGAUUCUGCAACUUCACUGGGAAUAUAAUUGAAAUGCCUAAGUUGGAAUAUCUCAUUAUUGAGAAUUGCCCUGAUAUGGAAACAUUCAUAUCCAACUCUGUAGUGCACGUGACAACAGAUAACAAGGAACCUCAAAAAUUAACAUCAGAAGAGAACUUCUUGCUGGCUCAUCAAGUACAACCUCUCUUUGAUGAAAAGGUGAUUAUUAUUAUUAUUAUUAUUUUUCCCUUCACUUUCGUUUCAUAGAUGUAAUUUCAUUAGAAUCAAAUCAAAUUUAAUGACUCAUCUUUUUGCACGUCGUCUUAAUUUUUAUAUGAUUUAACAAUAUAACUGCAGUUAUUAACUAUCUUUAUAGUAUGAAUUAUAAAAAUGUCUGAAAUUAAUUGGAUGCCUGAUAACACGAGGUGAUCUAUUAAUUAUGUGUAUUACAUCUCUGUUUUCCUAGCUAAUUCAUAUUGGAUUUAGCAUCAGAUUUCAUUUAUGUGUUUCAAAGGGUAAUCGAUUUGAUACUUAUAUUUGGGAUCCUACUGCAAAGCAUACUAAUUUGGAAAUAAAAUAUAAAAUGCCGUGAUUAAUCUUGUCCAUAAAAUAUGCAGGGGAAGACUGCAGAGAUUGGAUACAUAUUUUCAUUUACAACUUAAUUUUGUUGAUUUUUAGGUUGCAUUCCCUCAAUUGAGUUGGUUAACGCUAUCUGGAUUACACAAAGUGCAGCAUCUCUGGAAGGAAAAUGACGAAUCCAACAAAGCGUUUGCAAACUUGGCAAGUCUAGAAAUAUCGGAAUGUAUUCAGUUGCAAAAAUUAGUACCACCUUCGUGGCAUUUGGAAAAUAUGUGGGGACUGGAAGUAUCGAAGUGUCACGGGUUGAUAAAUGUGUUGACGCUCUCAGCAUCUAAAAAUCUAGUGAACCUUGAAAGAAUGAAGAUAGCUGAUUGCAAAAGGAUAGAAGAAAUCAUACAGUCGCCGGUUGCAGAAGAAGCGAAAGAUUGCACUGUUUUCAAGAAAUUGAAGUACUUGACACUUGAUUGUUUGCCAAGCCUAACAAGCUUUUGUUUAGGUAAUUACGCUCUUGAAUUCCCGUCCUUGAAACAAGUAGUUGUGAGACAGUGUCCAAAAAUGAAGAUCUUCUCUCAAGGAGUCUUAGACACACCAAUGCUAAACAAAGUGAACGUCACCGAAGAAGAAAAAGAUGAUGAUGAUGAAGGAUGUUGGGAAGGCAACCUCAAUGACACCAUAAAAAAAUUGUUCAAUGAAAUGGUGAGUAUCAAUUAAGUUUUGAUGCUAUUUAGCAAAUUAUUUUAUAGAAACUAAUGUGAUAUAAUAUGAUUGGUUGACUGAAAAUAUAUAAUAAUAAUAAUAAUAAUAAAUAAAUAAAUAAAUAAAUUAUGAGGACCAUGUAAUGUUUUUGUUUAAUCAAUCAUAUUAUGUCGCAUUAGUUUAUACAAUAUUAUUUGUGCACAAGAGGUGGUGGUCAUAUCAUUACUCUAGCUUUAUUAUUCUUAUGGUGGCAAUGUAUGCUUGCUUACACGAGUAAUUACAAAAUCUGCAGAAUUCUAAAGAAGAGAUUGAGCCAACCCUUCAGGUACAGUGAAGAAGCUAUCCCGAACCAGGCCAAUCUCUUAUACAUGAUUCAGCUUGCUCGUUCUUCUGUACUUGAAUAAUUUGGUUCUAUAUAUUUACAAUUUUUCGCUCAUGCUACAGACUUGCAAGACACUUUGGAUUUUGUUUGAUGCAUUCUCCGUUUAAGAAAGGACUUGAAUUGAUGUUUCAUGUUUCAUGCAAUAUUCAAUUAGAUUCUGCCUAAAUUUCUGUAUUAUUCGUUCAAUUGGUCUUUUAAGCAUUUGAUUUCUAACCUCUCCUAAUGGAAGAUCAUUAUCUGAAGAAAACAGCAUAACAUUUGUGGCAUUAUCAGAAUAAGAAUAUUUUUGAGUAUAGUAAAAUUAUCUCCACCACUGUUAAAAAGAAUUAAUCAGUCAAACUGACCUCACACCAGCACGCUUUAAAUUAAAAGAAUUUCGUGAAGUCGAGACCAUGUUAUAGAUCUCAUGGAAAGAAGUAAACCCGUAAUUUUUUUCACAGCAUCAUAAGAAAAAUCAUUUUUUUUAAGUAUUUUUGCUAGCUGUUGAGUUUUAAUAGUAGUAGCUAUUAAACAAUAACAAUUAGUGUAUAUUAAAAAGUUGGAAACUGGUUGAUACCACUCGGGAAUCGAGCAGUUCACUUGUUUGCGAGUAGAAACCUACUUUACUACUAAUUACACUCAUACCAAAAAUAGUAACUAAAGAAUCAGGAAAUUUCCUAUUCACUAUUCUUCAUUUUUUAAUGCAAAAUUCCCAUUCGAAAACACCAAUGACUUUCAUUCAAAGUAAAUGAGAAAUUACAAUGAAAAUAGAAUCAAAAUACAUGUAUGUAUACCUAAAACAAAUGAUUUUUUUAAUUAAAAAAAAAACACAGUUGAGGUGAAAUGAAACCAGAGUCAUGAUAUCUCUGGUUCCAGCUUUGGGACAACAGCAGACUUGAGUUCUCUAUGAGAAACACGUACAACACCAAUCAGCCGCUCCGGUAAUUCAUCUGUAGUAUUUGCCUGCAUACAGAAGAGCAAGAUAAAGAAGACACACACAGAAGCAUUAUAUCAUUCUGAGAACAUUCAAGUAUGCAAAAAUGCAAGUUGCAGUGCAAUAUCUCAAAAUCAUGUCUUUUCCCUUGUGUCCAUUUAGCAGUGGGGGAAAAAAACAAUCAUACAUACCUGUACAAGGAAAGCCAUGUCAACCACCAAUGUCGUAAUUACACCAAUUACAAGGCCCAAAACUCCAUUAGCAACAGUAGAAGAAUCGAUGUCAACAUCAAUCUACAGAAAGAUGAACAAUGUUAAACCAUGUUAAAGGUAUUGGACGCUAUUUGAAAGGGGAACAUCUCAUGUACUAUAGAAAUUCCAAGAGCAUUUACUUCUAAGUACUUGGGACCGCGAAUAUAGUUACAAUCAACUGCCUUCCCCAAUAAACAAGGGGUGCUUCCAACACUCUGGCGCACUAUCCAUGACCCCUGCAUGAUUCAGUGCUGAAAAUCAAGAACAAGUGCAAAACAAAUUCAAGAGGGUAAAAAGGAGAUAAAGUUUGAAGGUACAACCCAUCAAUACAUUCACACCUAAAUGCAUGCCUUCUUUGUACAAAUUGAAGUGUACCAUGCAGUAAAGGGUAAGUAUACGUUAAUAUAGUCCUACUACAUGAAGGCCAAGAUGGAUACCUUAGGAACAGAUGGAAUAAGUUUCAACCUACUAUUGCGAAAUUCAUCAUCGCCAUCAACAAACCGUUGCAAAAGUGAUCCCGUAACCAAUUGCCUUGUGACAAAAUAAAAUACCAUACUAUAAUGUGUUGAACCAGGAACCUGCAGAUGCUUAGGUUACAACUAUACAACCUCCCAAUACAAUAAGUUUGAAACUUAUACCUUCUGAAAUGAAACAAACUUUCUUGAAGAUUAAAGAUCAGUGAGAAAAGCCCUUUUUCAGAAGCAACCUACAUAUUUUAGAAUAGGGCUCAGUGCGUUAUAGAUUCAAUGAACCAUGAGAAGUUAUUUACAUUGUUGUAUCUCACAGGCAGUCUUUUCUCCUAAUGUAUCAAGGGAAAAUGCUAGUGAAUUGAAUGAAGCUAGAGCAGAGCAUGAUGUUGCUGUGUAGCUGACUUUAGCAGAUCAACUCACUAAGCUAACCUGGCAAAGUUAUUUAGCUGGUUGAGCUGAUGUGUCAAAUUAGUUAUGCAGCAAAUGGUUAUGUGAUGUAACAAACUCGUGUGUGUGUUGAGCAAAUUGUAGCUUAAUAUAAAUAUCAGUCUGUAUUCAUUCAGUUGUAAUGCUAAAGUAAUAAAGGUUCUACAAACUUCUUUACAGAGCUUUCUUUUAUUUUCUUCAUUUUCUAGCUUGCCAAACAAUGCAAAACUAAGUUUCUUUCAUGGUAUUAGAGCCAUAAAUGGCGAAUACAGUUCAAAAUAACAACUCUUUUAGUUUUGUUACGCCUGUAAAGCUAGACCAAAACAACUUCAUUUUAUGGCGGGCACAAAUUUUAGCAUCGAUCAAAGGAAACGGUCUGGAAGGGUUUAUCAAUGGUGAUCAAGAAUGUCCUGAGCAGUUUCUUUCUUCUGGAAACAACAAUGGAGCUGAAAUUUUUACUGAAUCUGAAUCCAAAUCUAUUAAUCCAGAGUUCAUAGCUUGGAUGAAGACUGAUCAACUUCUGUUGAGUUAGAUGAUGUCGUCGAUACAGCAAAAUCUACUUGCUACUGUGAUUGACUCCACAACUUCAAAACAGCUUUGGAAGACUCUUACUAGUAUGUUUAUUUCUUAAUCACAAGCUAGAAUUCAAACACUUAGAAUGCAGAUUCAAACUAUUAAGAAAGGUGCAAUGCAUAUGUCUGAUUACUUUGCAAAAGUAAAACGUAUAGCUGAUACUUUAGCUCUAGCUGGAAAACCUGUUGAGUUAAGUGAUCUUGUGAUGCAUGUAUUAACUGGUCUUGAUUCAUCAGAUUAUGAAUCUUUAGUCACAGGUGUUUUAGCUCGAGGUGAGAAGAUAACAUUAGAUGAACUAUAUCCUUUGCUAUUGAAUCAUGAAAAUAGAGUUGAACAAAAGAAAGGAAAAAUUGCUGGUGAUGUGAUGCACAAUAUGACAGCAAAUAUUGCUCAAAAGAACUCAUAUGCUGGAAAGAAUAAUGGCAAUUUUCAAAAAAAUUAUGGAAAUAAUUCUAGGUAUGGAGGUUUUAAUGGAUAUGGAUAGGGUCAGUUUAAUAAUGGUGGUAAUUCCUCUGAAAUUGUUUGUCAAAUCUGCUUCAUACCUGGUCAUGCAGCCAAUAGAUGCAAAAAUAGGUACAAUUCAUCUUUUGUUCCACAGAGAAACUAUGGCAGAGGUAAUAUGAAUGGUGGCAGAGGUUUUAAUCAAGGGCAAUAUGGUAGAGGAAGAGCUUUUAAUAGUAAUGGUGGCAGAGGUUUUGGAGGUUUUGGUUUAAAUGCUGGUUUUGGCUAUGCACCCAGGGGUUUUGGCUAUCAAGGAAAUAUGGUGUAUCCAGAUAGUAAUCCUUCUGCUUAUUACUCAUUCACCCCUGGACCAUCUACUUUUGUUUCUGGUCAAGGAAAUAAUAAUCCUGGACAGUCAAGUGCUUCAUCUUCCUCAGCUAUGCCUUCUUCACUUCCACCAGAACACAUUGAAGAUCCUUCAUGGUAUAUUGAUAGUGGAGCAACAAAUCACAUUACAAAUGAUCUAGGUAAACUUCUGGAUUCACAAAUUUAUACUAGUACUGAAAAAUUAUUUGUUGGAGAUGGAAAUGCAUUAGCUAUUACACAUGUAGGAUCAGUUGUGCUAAAUACUUCAACUUCUAAACCUUUAAAAACCAUGUUCUUCAUGUCCCUUUUAUUACUAAGAAUUUGCUUAGCAUUUCAAAAUUAUUGGCUGACAAUCCAGUUACUGUUGGAAUUUCUUGGUGAUUUGUUUUUUAUAAAGGCUAGGAACACAAGGAAAAUUUUACUUGAAGGUGUUGCUAAAGGUGACUUGUAUAGAGUCUCUUCACAUGUUGCUGCUCAUUCAGUCUUUCUCAAUUCAGUUGGUCAAAAUAAAAUUCACUCUCUUUGCUUGUUCUCCUGUUUUCAAUUCUGAUCAGCUCACUGCUGUUAGUUCUUAUGAAUUGAAUAAAAAGCCAUGUCUGUCAGUUGUUACAAAGAGUUCUAUUGAUGUAAAUCUUCUUCAUAGAAGAUUAGGACACCCAGCAUCUUAUACUCUCAAAACUAUACUCAAAACUUGUAACAACUCUACUGCUUAUAAUAAAAUUGAAAGCUUGAAAUUUUGUUCAGCAUGUCAAUAUGGGAAAAAUCAUAUGCUGCAUUUUGAUUCAGUUGAAACAAAAACUUCAGCACCCUUACAAGUGAUAUAUGCAGAUCUUUGGGGUCCUUCUCAUGUCUGUUCUACCCAAGGAUAUAAUUACUACUUAUCAAUCUUAGAUGAUUAUAGUAGAUUUACCUGGAUAUUUCCAUUGUCAGCCAAAUCUGAUGCUCUUGAAGUGUUUACCAAUUUCAAAAUUUUUAUUGAAAAGCAUCUUCAACUUCAAAUCAAAACUGUCCAAACUGAUUGGGGAGAAGAGUUCAGAACAUUUUCCUCAUUACUCACUGCUUCUGGUAUCCAUUUUAGACACCCUUGCCCACAUAUUCAUCAUCAAAAUGGAAGAAUUGAGAGGAAACAUAGACACAUAGUUGAUGUAGGUCUGACCUUAUUAGCUCAAGCACAUUUACCACUCAAAUUUUGGUGGAAUGCAUUCCACACAGCUGUCUAUUUGAUAAACAGACUUCCAACUCCAAUUCUAAACAACAUUUCUCCUUUCCAAAAGUUAUUUCAUCAUCAACCAGAUUAUUCAACACUUAAAACCUUCGGUUGUGCUUGUUAUCCAACACUCAGACCAUACAAUAGACAUAAGUUUGAUUUCAGAACUGCCAGAUGUAUAUUCAUUGGCUACAAUUCACAACACAAGGGAUAUCAGUGUCUUCACUCUUCUAAGAGGGUUUACAUUUCAAAUCAUGUCACCUUUGAUGAAAAUUCUUUUCCUUAUGAGUCUGGAGCAGAUUUUUCUUCACUCUCUUCAAGUUGUCAGUCAACAAAAAAUUAUAAGUCUUCUUUCAAUUCCUCUGUUCCUUCUAUUACUCAGUUACAAGCACCUUUAGCAGCAUCAUCAGAACACCAUCAAAAUGUUCAUCAUUCAGAUGCUCCUACUCCCUCACCAAAUUCUACUCCACUUUAUUUUUCUGAUAAUUCCAACUCAGCUUCUUCUUCUUCACCACCACAUAAUUCACCUCCACAUACAUUGCCACAACCUGCAUCAACUGGUCAUCCAAUGAUAACCAGGUCAAAAGCAGGUAUUUUCAACCCAAAAAUUUAUUUGUCAGCUUUAUUAGCCCAGAAAUCAGAACCAACUUCUGUUUCCCAAGCACUUUCUGAUCCUAUGUGGUAUAAGGCUAUGCAAGAAGAGUAUCUAGCACUUAAAACUAAUCACACCUAGGAUUUAGUUUUACAUGCUACUCCAGUGAAGAUAGUUGGCAGCAAAUGGGUGUUUUGAAUAAAGUAUAACUCAGAUGGUUCAGUUUCAAGAUAUAAAGUCAGGCUUGUUGCAAAGGGGUUUCAUCAGACACAUGGGAUUGACCAUACAGAAACUUUUAGUCCAGUGGUUAAAGCUUCAACUGUUAGAGUUAUUCUUAGCUUAGCAGUAUUGAAUCAAUGGGUGAUUAGGCAAGUAGAUGUUAAUAAUGCCUUUCUAAAUGGCAUUUUAAUUGAAGAGGUGUACAUGGCUCAACCUGAAGGUUUUGUUGACUCAACUAAACCUAAUCAUAUCUGCAAGCUGAAUAAAGCUUUGUAUGGCUUAAAACAGGCACCUAGAGCCUGGUUUGAUAGAUUCAAGGAUGCAAUGAUCUCUAAACGGCAUUUCCAGCAUUCAAGGUCUGAUAACUCUCUGUUUCAUGCCUGGAACAGUGGUCAUCUAACUCUUGUUUCGGUCUAUGUUGAUGAUAUUAUCAUCACUAGUUCCAGUCCAACACUAAUUCAGCAAGUUAUUAAGAUUAUGAAUUUGCUUUAAAAGACAUGGGGGAACUUAGCUAUUUUCUGGGGAUUGAAGUCAGCAAGUCUUCACAAGGGGUUUCCUUGACACAAGCAAAGUAUAUUACUGACAUUCUGGAUAAACAUGGCAUGACAGAUUGCAGUCCUGUGCCUACUCCAAUGUCUACUGGUUAUUAUCUCACAAAAGAAUCAGGAGAGCUAAUUGAUAAUGUUUCUCAAUAUAGGAGUGUUAUAGGAGCUCUUCAAUAUGUUACUCUUACCAGACCUGACAUUGCUUUCUCUGUAAACAACCUAAGUCAAUUCCUUUCAAGUCCUAGAACACAACAUUGGGAAACAUGCAAAAGGUUAUUGAGGUACUUAAAAGGCACUAUACAUCUUGGGCUGCAAUUUAAUAACAAAGGAGCUUUGCAACUACAUUGUUUUUCAAAUUCUGACUGGGCUUGUGAUCGUGAUGAUAAGAAGUCAGUGGCUGGCUUUGCUGUUUACCUAGGCCCUAAUCUAGUCUCAUGGUCAUCAAAGAAACAAGCUGUUGUUUCCAGGUCCAGCACAGAGGCUGAGUAUAGAUCUCUUGCUCAUGCUGAUUCAGAGGUUCCCUGGUUACAAUCUUUACUUGGUGAACUUAACAUCAAAUUGAGCUCUACUCCUAUGAUGUGGUGUGAUAAUCAAGAAGCAAUUGCUUUAGCUUACAAUCCAGUCUAUCAUGCUAAAACUAAGCAUGUCGAAUUGGAUAUACAUUUUAUCCGAGAUAAAGUUACUGCUAAAGAGAUUGAAGUAUGUUUUGUGCCCAGUCAAGAUCAAACAGCAGAUGUGUUGACUAAGGCUUACUUUCAAACAGUUUAGUUACUUAAGAAGCAAGCUGAAUGUUCAUCCUAAACAUUUCAGCUUGAGGGGGGAUGUUAGUGAAUUGAAUGAAGUUGGAGCAGAGCAUGAUGUUGCUGUGUAGCUGACUGUAGCAGAUCAACUCACUAGGCUGACCUGGCAAAGUUAGUUAGCUGGUUGAGCUGAUGUGUCAAAUUAGUUAUGCAGCAAAUGGUUAUGUGAUGUAACAAACUUGUGUGUGUGUUGAGCAAAUUGUAGCUUAAUAGAAAUAUCAGUCUGUAUUCAUUCAGUUGUAAUGCUAGAGUAAUAAAGGUUCUACAAACUUCUUUACAGCGCUUUCUUUUAUUUUCUUUCAUUUUCUAGCUUGCCAAACAAUACAAAACUAAGUUUCUUUCAGAAAAGGAAAAAUAAAAAGAAAAGAAUAGUUACUGUUGAAAAUAAAGAUUCAAAGUUAUGAUUUCUUUGUAAUCUAGGCUAUUUUAGGAAUAAGUUAAAUUAUAAUGGGAAGAUUCAUUAGGAUUUUUUCCAGAUUUUGUUUCCUAUUAUUUAGGAAAGGAUAGAUGUAGUCUCCUAUUUUCUCUCCUAUUUUGCUGUAUAUAUUCCCUGUACAUACUGUUCUGGAAAGUAAGAAAAAGAGGAACCAAUUCACAUUUUUCUUCAUGGUAUCAGAGCCUGGCUCUAAACCCUAGUUCUCCUAUCAGCCGCCAUUUCCUUCUUCUCUCAUAAAUUGAACAAUCUACCUUCCUUCCUCUCCCAUCAAUUGUAUUCUCUGUGGCAAAAUACGGGAUGGCUUCCUCAUCAACCUCUGUUACAGUAUCACAGUCUAAAGGAAACGUGGAGACUGCAACUCAUGGUGGAAUUGAUUCUUCACCGAUCUUAAUUACCAGUCAUAAAUUGAACGGCCACAAUUAUCUCCAGUGGUCACAAUCUGUCAUGAUGUUCAUCUGUGGCAAGGGUAAGGAUGAUUAUCUCACGGGUGAGGCGGCCAUGCCAAAGGUAUCAGACCCUAGUUUCAAAAGGUGGAAGUCAGAGAACAACAUGAUCAUGUCAUGGCUUAUCAAUUCCAUGAACAAUGAUAUUGGUGAGAAUUUUCUUCUGUUUGGGACUGCAAAGGACAUAUGGGAUGCUGCAAAGGAAACCUAUUCUAGCUCUGAGAACACAUCAGAGUUAUUCCAGAUUGAAACCAUCCUCCAUGACUUCCGCCAAGGAGAACAAUCUGUCACUCAGUACUUUAAUACUCUGACUAGGCAUUGGCAACACCUUGAUCUAUUUGAAACAUACCCUUGGAAGUGCACCGACGAUACAACCUUGUACAAGAAGAUUGUGGAACAGAAGAGAACGUUUAAAUUUCUCCUCGGACUCAAUAAAGAUCUUGAUCAGGUUAGGAGCCGUGUACUCGGGACAAAGCCUCUACCACGCCCUCGUGAAGCCUUUUCUGAAGUUAGGCAUGAAGAAAGUAGGAAAAAGGUGAUGAUGGGGUCAUCAGAACCAACACUGGACGCCUCUGCACUUGCUGCCCGUGCAUCCAACUCUGUAGGGGUUAGUGAAAAUCGUACAAAGAAAGAAAGACCAUGGUGCGAUCACUGUCGUAAGGCAGGCCACUAUAAGGAGAGUUGCUGGAAAAUUUAUGGCAAGCCUGCUGAUUGGAAACCUCGUUCCAAAGGUGACCGUGAAUCUCGUGCUCAUGCAGCAUCCACCACGGACAAUCAGGCCCUACCCGAGCCAAAUCCAUUCAGCAAGGAGCAAAUGGAGAUUCUUCAAAAGCUUUUCGAUCAAGCCACUUUGAACUCCAAUGCAGGGACAAGUCUAGUGGCUCAGAAAGAGACUCAUUCAGCAUUUGCAGCCACUAAUGGAGCAAGCAAACCUUGGAUAAUUGACACUGGUGCUUCUGAUCACAUGACUGGAGAUGCCUCAAUGUUGCAGGAUUAUAAAGCUAGCAUCAACAGCACUUCAGUCUGGAUCGCAGAUGGCUCUCACACAAAAAUAGCAGGGACAGGUUCCAUCAGACUCACUAAGGAGUUACACCUUAAUUCUGUACUUUAUGUGCCUAAUUUGGCUUGCAAUUUACUUUCAAUCAGUAAAUUCACUCGUGAUCAGAAUUGUGUAACUAAAUUCUAUCCAAAUAUGUGCGUUUUUCAGGACUUGGAUUCGCGAAGACGAUUGGCAGUGCUGAGCUAUGUUCUGGACUCUAUCUACUCAAAAGCGAUCAAUCCUCCUUCAUACAAGAUUCGAGAGCAAACUGUGCCAAGUCCAAUAGUCUGUCAACUAGUUAUCCUCAUUCUAUUGUUAGUCCAAAUGUCAAUAACGAUAGUGAAAUUGUUCUGUUACACUAUCGAUUAGGUCAUUCUAGUUUCAUGUAUCUCGCAAAAAUUUUUCCCAAUCUAUUCAUCAAUAAAAACCCUUUAUCAUUUCAUUGUGAAAUUUGUCAAUUUGCAAAACAUACUCGAAAUGUUUAUUCAAGUGUUAAGUAUAAGCCUUCUCGUCCAUUUGCUUUAAUUCACAGUGAUGUGUGGGGUCCCUCAAGAAUUAAAAAUGUUUCUGGGGCUCGCUGGUUUUUGUCAUUUGUGGAUGAUCAUACUCGUCUCACUUGGGUGUUUCUCAUGAAAAACAAAUCCGAAGUUAGUCAAAUCUUCCAAAACUUUAACGCCAUGAUUCAAACCCAAUUCAAUACCAAAAUCCAAGUCCUUAAAACCGACAAUGCCAAGGAAUAUUUCAAAGACUCCCUCAGCUCAUAUCUUCUCCAUCAAGGCAUUCUUCACAUCAGUUCUUGUGUUGACACCCCGCAACAAAAUGGGGUCGCUGAACGCAAAAACAGACACCUUCUUGAAGUGGCUCGCUGUCUUUUGUUCUCAUCUCAUGUUCCUAAUUUUUUCUGGGGUGAAGCUGUUCUCACUGCAGCCUACUUAAUCAACCGAAUGCCUUCUAGAGUCUUGGGGUUUCAUUGCCCAAGAAAAGUUCUUCUCAAUUUCUUUCCACACACUAGGAUUGUUUCAGCAGAUUUACCACAAAAAAUAUUCGGUUGCACAGCAUAUGUCCAUGUUCACUCUCAACACAGGACUAAACUUGAUCCCCGAUCUCUCAAGUGUAUAUUUUUAGGCUAUUCUCCACAUAAAAAAGGAUACAAAUGCUAUUCUCCUCAUACCAGAAAAAUAUACAUUUCCAGAGAUGUAACAUUUGUUGAAAACCUGCCUUUAUAUUCCAAAACUGUUGUUCAGGGAGAGAGUAUGAGCGAACAUCAGCCUUGGGAAUCUUCUUGGCAAUCUUGGCUGGAAACCCCUCAUGAAAACCCUCAUAACUCAACCACCACACAUGAUCAAUCUAUCCAACAGCCACAAUCAGCAAUCCUCCCAACAUCUUCACAACCUUUUGAGUCAUCUGAGUCCUCCCAACCACAAUCAGCCGAGUCACCCCGUCAUCCAUCAGCCCAUCAACUACAGCCUCUAAUCUCACCUCUUCCACAGCUUGCUGUUGAUAAUCUUAAUGUUUAUAGGAGGAGAAGAACUGGAGAGCAGAUAGAGCACAGAACUCAGCCACAUGUCCAAGAAACUGAACCAAAUCCAAGCUCUUAUGAAGACAACACAGGUAUGGAUAGUCUUGCCUCGGUUGAGUUCAUGGUUCCAAGUGUGGAUGAUUCUAAUAAAUCAAUUGCAGAAAGAAAGGGGGUUCAAAGUUGUACCACUCAUCCAAUUGCCAAAUAUGUCUCAUAUGAUGGUUUGUCCCCAUCAUACCGAGCCUUUGUUUCUUCUUUAGAUAAUCUACAUGUUCCCAACAAUAUACAAGAGGCUCUCGGUCAUCCUGAGUGGAAGAGAGCUGUUCAUGAAGAAAUAAAUGCUCUUGAGAAAAAUGAUACAUGGGUUAUAACAGAUCUUCCUGCAGGGAAACGACCAGUUGGAUGUAAGUGGAUUUUUACUGUUAAAUACAAGGCAGAUGGAAGUGUUGAGAGCCUCAAAGCUCGUCUUGUAGCUAAAGGGUUCACACAGUCAUAUGGGAUUGAUUAUCUUGAAACCUUUGCUCCGGUUGCGAAGCUCAACACCAUUAGAAUCUUGCUCUCCUUAGCAGUAAAUCUAGAUUGGUACUUAUACCAACUAGAUAUAAAAAAUGCGUUUCUCAAUGGCGAUCUUGAAGAAGAAGUGUUUAUGGAAGUUCCCCAGGGUCUUGAUCUGAAUCUUACUAGAAAUAAAGUGUGCAAGCUCAAGAAAUCUUUGUAUGGGCUUAAACAAUCCCCUCGAGCAUGGUUUGAUAGAUUUGCGAAGGCAGUUGUGAGACUUGGUUACACUCAGUGUCAGGCAGAUCACACUUUAUUCCUCCGAACAUCACAAGCAAAGAAGAUCUCUCUCCUAAUCGUAUAUGUUGAUGACAUCAUUCUCUCAGGAAAUGAUGAGGAAGAACUGCAGAAGUUGAAGAAACAGCUAGCUCAGGAAUUCGAAGUUAAAGAUCUAGGGAAUCUGAAAUAUUUUCUUGGGAUGGAGGUGGCAAGAUCUAGGAAGGGAAUUGUUGUCUCCCAAAGGAAAUACACCCUGGACUUACUAAAGGAGACUGGUAUGAUUGGGUGCAAACCAGUAGAUACUCCUAUGGAUCCCUACAAGAAACUAGGCUCAGUUGAGAAUAGUGUUCCAGUCAAUAGAGGGAGAUAUCAAAGACUGGUUGGUCGUUUAAUUUAUCUCUCACAUACCCGUCCGGACAUAGGCUUUGUUGUUAGUGUUGUGAGCCAAUUCAUGCACAAUCCUACAGAGGAACACAUGGAUGCAGUCUUUAGAAUUUUGAAGUAUCUAAAGAUGACACCUGGAAAAGGAUUGUUUUUCAAGAAAUCAGAAUAUAGGAAUAUUGAGAUCUACUCUGAUGCAGACUGGGCUGGAGACAUCACAAAUAGAAGAUCAACAUCUGCUUACUGUUCCUAUGUCUGGGGAAAUCUAGUAACCUGGAGGAGUAAGAAACAAUCAGUUGUAGCUAGGAGUAGUGCAGAAGCAGAGUUCAGAGCUUUGGCAAAUGGAAUCUGUGAAGGAAUUUGGAUAAAGCGUGUACUCAAGGAACUCGGUGUGUGCAGCCCUUCAUCCAUUCUAAUGAGGUGUGACAAUCAAGCAGCAAUCAGCAUCGCAAAAAACCCAGUGCAUCAUGAUCGAACCAAACAUGUCGAGAUUGAUAGGCACUUCAUCUCAGAGAAGGUCACUAGUGGAAGUGUGGAACUAAAGUACAUUCCAACUAGACAACAAAUUGCAGACAUCCUUACUAAAGCACUGCCAAGACCUAACUUUGAAGACUUAAGUAACAAGCUGGGUUUGUAUGAUAUACACACACCAGCUUGAGGGGGAGUGUUGAAAAUAAAGAUUCAAAGUUAUGAUUUAUUUGUAAUCUAGGCUAUUUUAGGAAUAAGUUAAAUUAUAAUGGGAAGAUUCAUUAGGAUUCUUUCUAGAUUUUGUUUCCUAUUAUUUAGGAAAGGAUAGAUGUAGUCUCCUAUUUUCUCUCCUAUUUUGCUGUAUAUAUUCCCUGUACAUACUGUUCUGGAAAGUAAGAAAAAGAGGAACCAAUUCACAUUUUUCUUCAGUUACUUGUGCAGUACAGCCUUGACGCCUAGCUACAUGGUCCAUUCUCUUUGUGUCUUUGAACCAAUCAACAGCAACAAGAUCCAUUAAAUGUUUUCCCGCAGGUGUCUGCAGUUACAAAUUGCACAAAGCACAAGAGCCAACCAAACUACAUCAUAACAUGUCGACCUAGCAUAUGCAGGAUAUAUAAAUACCAUAACAAACAACCAAAAUAUGGGGGAACCUUUGUUUUGUCAUAACAAAAAUGCUUGCUACGAACUCUAAAGUUAUUUCCACCAGAAAGUUUCCAGCAGUCACGAGCAUUAUCACAGUCAUCGUGUCGCAGAUUGCCGGAAAAAUAAGACAAAUCAAUUUGAUCAGCCUGCUCUUCCUCUAGGGUAACAACUAAUUGAAAAUUAUAAACCAAAAAAAAAAAAUCAAUACCAUAAAAAUCCACUAAUGAGGACAUUAGCCAAAUAUACAAAAAUGAAUACUUAUCAUCCACCUGUCCUCUUGAAAUCAUUCUCAAUCUUUUUUUCAUUUGCCUGAAAUCCCAAGGAAAAAUAUGGAACUAAUACUUCCCAUUCAUGACUAUUGUCUGUCAUAUAAACAUGACAUUUAAUUGAAAUAGUAAAAUUAUUUAAUUAUUUUAAUUAAAUGUUAAUCCUAUAAAUUAUUUUUGUUAAAUCUAGCAAGAAUAACUAACAUUUCUUUAAGAUAUAUUUUGGCGGUAAAUUAAAAAAAAUUAAUUAUUUGGCGGGAAUUAUUGAAAUUGGAGCCAUUUUUUUGUGGGAAUUGAAAUAUAUUCUUUAAAUUAUUAUAUAAAAAGAAAAAUGUACAUACACACACAUAUAUAUAAUUUAUAUAUAAAAAUUCUCUAAUUUGUUCACAAGUAUCAUAGAUUAUAAUUCAGUUAUGAAAUAAAAUAACUACAAGGAAAAAUAUGUAACUAAUACUUCCCAUUCAUGACUAUUGUCUGUCAUAUAAACAUGACAUUUAAUUGAAAUAGUAAAAUUAUUUAAUUAUUUUAAUUAAAUGUUAAUCCUAUAAAUUAUUUUUGUUAAAUCUAGCAAGAAUAACUAACAUUUCUUUAAGAUAUAUUUUGGCGGUAAAUUAAAAAAAAUUAAUUAUUUGGCAGGAAUUAUUGAAAUUGGAGCCAUUUUUUUGUGGGAAUUGAAAUAUAUUCUUUAAAUUAUUAUAUAAAAAGCAAAAUGUACAUACACACACAUAUAUAUAAUUUAUAUAUAAAAAUUCUCUAAUUUGUUCACAAGUAUCAUAGAUUAUAAUUCAGUUAUGAAAUAAAAUAACUACAAUAAUUAUAGUUAAAUGAAUACUUCAUUAAUUCUUAAUUUGCUUCCUAACAUUAAAUGAACAACUUGAGCCAACCACCUGAAUCAACCAGUAACAACGCCUGAGUCAACCAUCUGAAAAAACCAGCAACCCUAGCUGAUUCAAGCACCUGCAAUUAACAUCAACACAUCAGGAACAAUCGUAAAUCAGCACCAAGAACAGACCAAACUGCCAUCAAAUGCCACAAAACCAAACAGUCUGCUACUGCCAUCAAAUGCAAGCAAACAUAUGCAACAAAACCAGAUGCAAGUGAAAAUCUGGAGAAUAUCGGAUAAACCAAACCAAAUGCCACACUUCUAGUAAUUAGACUAGAUGCAGUGUUCAAUUAAACUAAAUGUAGUCUCAUAUUACAUUCAAAGGUGAAAACACUGUAAAAAAAAAUACAGCCAAAACAAUUGUUUACUUUUAAGUUCUAACAAAGCGUAACAGUCCAAAACCAAAACAUCUUAACUACCAAGCAAACAUCUAACAUAAUUAUUAAAAUUAAAAAGGAAAAAACAUAGGAAUCUCAGUUCUUAUACAUUUUGUAUGCAUUUAGUAAGCACACGCACAUAGACCAUCUAUGCAUAACCUUCUUCUAGCCCACCUGCAGAUGUCACAGAGAAGAGACAUUUUUUGCAGCUUGAAGUGCUCCAAUUGCUUUGUGAAGGUCCAAUUGUAAGCCUAAAUAUUGAAUCCAUGAGUCCAUAUAAUUGAAGGCUGGUGGCGACUUUUGAGUACAAAUCAAGAGAGAGUGAAGUGUGAAUUUCUGCAUGGCCCAUAACUUCAUCCACGUAGCUAUUCACUUCUUUGCAGUGAAAAGUUCCUUAAUCCUGGCACUAAUGUUGGGCAUCAUUUUGAUUUUUCAAGCCCUUUUAGAACACUUAUUGAUUUAGGAAAUUAAGGGAGCCAUUGAAAGGUGACUAAAACGGAGUGAGUUAGGGGUCCUACCUCUCUGUAGGGCUCUCGAAUCGCGGGAAAUGAGCUCCAUUGUGACCUUCAUUUCCUCCUUUUCGGAAAAAUUAGUUCAUGGCGCUUACGAUGUGAGCAAUUACUCUUUCUGGUGUCCUGAUGGUUGAUAACAGAGACUUUCAGCCUCGCUGCCUCAGGUAAGCUUGAUGGGAGGACCAGAUGUCAUACAAAAAAUAAAAGCUUUCUUUUCUCGGUAAAAGCAUGCGCAUUUUUCUGUAAGUGGGGAAGAGGCCGCGCCGUCAACACUGCAUCGGUGAAGAUGGGUGGUGGUUGUUGGUGGAGAAACGGAGGGAGGUGGCGAUUCUGAGACUUGUUGCGAUUUAGGGUUGGCCGGUUGGGUUUGGGGGAAAUUGGGUAAAGCAAAAUGCAUUUUUGUUGUUAUAUAUAUAUAUAUAUAGAUAUAUAUAUAGUAGUUGGAUUAGCUAAAAGACAAAAAAAUUUAAAUUUUACUACACUACAUGAUAAAAUACAGUGCAUUGGAGUAUGUGUUUAUUUUGUCUUUUAACUAAUCCCUGAUUGGAAAACUACUAUAUAUAUAUAUAUAUAUAUUUUUUUUUUACUUAAUAAAAAAGUGGGCACGGGUCCGGGUUCCGGAUUCUUGGUGCUGUGACCGGACCCGUGCCCGGAUCCGCUUUUUCCAUGCAUCCGAUCCGGGUUUUACCCGGACCGUAUGCACCAGGUCCAGUCCGGAUCCGGUCUGAGCGGGCUUUUCUGCCAUCUCUACAGUGGAGAGAGGGAUUAAUUCAACGCUUAGCCAAAAUUUGGCUGCGAGUGUUAAUGGGUUUUAAGUUAUACAAAACGGUGUCGUUAAUUUAAACGGCAUUGUUUUACAAUCUUAUAAGUUCACAAAACUUAAGCAUGACUUAUAUGUAUAAUUUAUUUACGAUGGUUAAGUUAUAAGUCAUGAAUAUGUCAUAUACUCUGGACAUGAAUAUAUAUCACGAAUCUAUCAUAUUUUCAUGACACAUUCGUGACAUAACGAUAUAUGUUAUAAAAUUUCUGUCAUUAUUUAGUAUUUUUCUAGUAAUGUCAGGUCUUUAAAACCUUUCUAUUAAUAACAAAAACUCUAAUCCUUUAGCAAAAGACUAAAAAUUUUAAAAAAAUCUGUUUAAAUAUCAGUUGGCUCAUAAUCAACACUUCAAUAUUGUUUGUUGUAUUUUCUUUCUUUCUUUUUUUGUCAUUUUAUUAGAUUUGCUUUGUAUCAUGGUUUGUUUUGCUUAAGUAAUUGUUCAUUAUUUACGUCUGUGUUCUUACUAGCUUUUGAUAAUUUAUGGUUGGUUUUUUAUUCAGACCCUCGAAGUACCUUUUUGUUAAUAGCAAAACCUCUGAUCCUCAAGAAAGAAAAAGAAAUUCUCUAUUUAAUUAUUAGUUAGUUCAAGAUCAAUAUCGCAAUAUUGUUUGCAGUCUUUUCAUUCUCUGUCUUUCCCACUAGUUCAUUUUAAUUUAUCUGUAUUCCUUUCUUUGACACUUGUAUUUAUUUAUAUAGAUUGUUAAGCAACAGGCAAUGGCUGCAGAAGGGUGUCUCCCUACUUUUUCUAGCAUUGUAUCACAAGGUUCAAAAGCAUUAUUCAAACCGAUUAUGUGGCACAUAUCUUAUGUGUUCCGAGUACCAGAGCUACAUAGAUGGGCUAAAAGAUUGAGUGAAGGAGCUGGAAUAUAUAAGAGAAAGGGUGCAAAUGCUGGUUAGAGAGGCUACUCUACAAGGAGAUGAGAUUUAUAAGGGUGUCAGAGACUGGCUAAAUAGAGUUGCUGAAUUCAGUGAAGGGGUUGCAAAAUCAAUCAUUGAUGAUAAAGAUAGAGCUAAGAUGUUCUGCUUCAAAAGGUUGUGCCCAAAUUUGAUUUCUUGUUACAAGCUUGGUAAACAAGCAGCAGAGGCCGCAAACGAAGCUGAUAAACUUGUGAAGAAAGGCGAAUUUAACAUUUGUAAUCAUGUUUCCUACCGUCCUGCUCCAGAGAGUACAGAAUAUGUGCAAGUGAAAGAUUACGUAGCCUUUUAUUAUAAUAUCUUUUCACUCUAUUAACUUAAAAAAGAUUGACUUCAAUAUUAAAAAUGUAACAGUAUAUACAUUUUAUAAUAAUUUCAAUAUUUAAAAAAUAUUUGAAUACUUUACAAUCUUAUAUUAUAUUAAACUACAUUUUAUAAUAAAUAGAAACAUAAUAUUAAAAUAAAUAUAUAAAAUUUUAAGUUAGGCUUAAUAUUAUUUAAAAUAAUUUAAAUAUCAUUAAUACAUGAGAUAUAUUAUAUUAAUUAUAAAUUCUAUUUAAUCUAAAUAUAUAUUUAAAGUUUUAUACUAAAAAUAGAUAUAUUAUUAAAAUAAAUAUAACAACUAACAUUUUAAAGAUUAAUACUGAAAUUAAAAUUAUAAAUUAUAUUAAUCUACUAAAAAGAUUCAUCUAUUUGACACUAGCAGCGGACAAUGAGGUCACGGCAUAGGACAAGCAGUUAUCGUGACCCAUGGACUUUUCUACUUCUUUUGAAAAAAAAAAAAAUAUCAAAGUCAUUGAAGUGCGUUUGAUGAUAUGCUGUGUAGCUUCUCUCUCAAAUGCUUUUCGAGUGCCUCCAGUAUCUGCUUUUAUAUAAGCUUUUGUCUUUAAUCAUUCAUUCAAGCUUUCGCUAAGAGUGAUGCAGCACAGCACGUAAAUAUAGAAGCAUUGACAGCCGUAGUCAGGAGCUCUUCGGUAUUUGAAGCAAGAAUGGUUGUUUGGCUUUGUGCAUUGAAAGAGAAAAGAAAAAAGAAAGACUAAUUUCAAUAAUACAAUUUAAUUAAUUAAUUUAAAAUAAUAAGCAAAUAAUAAUGAUGAAAUUAAUUAAUAAAAAGAAGAAAAUGAAAAUUGCACGUGCUACUAGCAUAAACCAAUUGCCGGAAUGAGGUCACUUUGUAGACAAAUGAUUCUGGAAUCAGAACUUGGGCCAGCUUUGGGUUAUGGAUCCAAAAUAAAAAUAAGGUGGGCCACAUGGUCUCUUAUGAUCAAUAAAAAUCGAUUGAAAAGGAUGGUAUAGUGAGUGGAAGAGAAAUGCCGAUGGCAGAUCAAGGGAUGAAGAUACGAGCUCACUUGCAACGUGGUAUAGUUCAUCAUGGCUGGCUUUCCUAUAAGUUCAGGUCCUUUGAAUACUUUCAAUGACCUUAUUAGUCAGGAAUUUAACAAUAAUUUUUAUUUUUUACAUCCAGGAACGGUUUUAAGCAUAGGCAAAUUAGGCCUAUAAUAGCAAAUCCUCUUUUUUAACAAUUAAACAAUUAGGAAGUCUCCCUUUUUUAUUUUUGGUAUUACUUAUAAUAGCAAAUCUUCUUUUUUAGGCCUCUUUUUAGUUAGUAAUUAUCUUAUAAUUAAGAAUUUUUAUACACAUUCUAUCUUUGAUAACCUUAAUAUUAAAGAUCUCUAAUUAAUAGUAUUAUCUAAUUGUUAAUUUAUUAUUAGUUUUUCCAAGAAAAAAAUUAAAAUCUUUAUCUAUUUAAUACUUCAGUUUUUUUUUCGUCAGUGGCAGAUAAAAGAGUCGGUUUUUCCGUUACUAAGCUUUUUAUGGAUGAAUUUUUUUUUAUAAUUUCUUUGUUUUAUAGGUUCUCUGUGAAUGCCAUUAGAAAUGAGAUUGACUAAUUCAAACUUCCUUUUUCCCCUUAGCAUCCAAACGUGUGAGGCAAGGGCAACUAAUGAGUCCAUUGUGAUGAGAACCUUUGUCUAAGCAAAAGCAGAGGUCAAUUGCUAAUACCGUACUGUUAUUAGUUUCAGUGCUUAAAUUGCUCCAUAAGUUUGCAUUUUAAAGUCUCUGUCUUAAUUUCUGAGGUAUACUGCUAAUGAGACCUCCUGCCAAGUUCAAGUUUGUUGUGAUGGCUACUUUGUCAUAUAACUGACUGUGAGAGGCCAUCAAUCAGCUCUGUUUUGUAAUUUUGUACCUUUUUUUUUCAUAUAAUGAUCAAUCAAAUGUUAGCCCUUAGAUUGCAACCAAUAUUUACUGAUUGUCUUAUAUAGGAUAUAAACUAAAUUCAUAAGACAUUCCCUUAUUGAUAUUCAUUCCGACACGUCCUAGUCUUUUGCCUUGUAGAAAUGCUUGUGGUUGAAGAGCUUUACAGAGAAGCUGUCGUCAGUACUGCGCGGAAAUUGAUUAUAUUGAAUCAGAAAACUUGACCAGAUAAGGUCUGUGUGCAUGAGAAUACUUGAGGAAAGCUUCACAAUACUGAGGGCCGGAUCUGCACUCUUUCCUCUAUAUGUGUCUUCAAUAUCAAUGGCUCAAAUACAUGUGUUAUGGUCUUUUAAUAUAUAUAAAAUACCAUUAUCUCAUGCGUUAUGGUCUUAUCCUUGUAUUCUUAAAAACUACAUAAAAUACCGUUAUCUCUGCUUUUGUAGCUAUUGAAUUCGACUUUCACAACAUAAAUAUUUAUUAGCAACAACUUAAAAUCCAAACAAAUCUAACAUGCAAUGUAUCAAUUACAUAUUAUGAUUAAACAGAUUUUGAUUAUUUAUUAUUAAAAUAUAUUCUCAUUAAUAUCUUAAGGAUAGGUAAUACUCACAUAAUUUUUUUAAAAAUCAAACCCAAAUUAUAUGCAUUGUUAAUGUGUAUUAUUGUCUAAUAUUUGGAUUUUACUAAUUUACAACUGCUAUAAUGUACGGCCUCUUCAAACAUAAUGUGGGUCCCACCACGUGUUAAAUUUUUUACAUUAUUUUUGAAGGAAUUGUAAGUUACAGCAGCUGUAAAUUAGCAGCACCUCCAAUAUUUUACUUUACUUCCCCUAAUAUUUUACUUGUACUUUUAUAUCUUUACAAAACAAUACCAACAAGACAAUAAUGUAUGAAAUAAAUAAAAUAAAUAAAUAAAGAACUGACAACGAAAUUAGGCCUAUCAUUAAUUUCUCUUGGUGUGAACUCUUGACAAUUCUCCCAUAUCCCACCUAAAGCUCUCGCAUGGUGUGAACGCUUGACGAUUCUCCCAUAUCCCUCCAAAAAUUUGUCAUAUUGCGAAAAACAAUGUCAAUUCAAUAUCGUCUCCAUUAGUCAUAGUGGCAGAUAGGACUAGAAUUUGUUGAAACCCUUGGACUUAUUUUUCCUUUUGAAAAUAAUUUUGUAGAAUCUCAUAUCGUGAAUAACGGACAAUGAGACUCUUUUUUUUAACUAUAAUAUUUUUUUAAAAUUAUUAACUAAAAAAAUUAAUUUUAAUAUUUUAUAAUAAAUAUAAGUAGGAUAUUAAAAUAAAUAUAAUAAUAUAUACAUAUUAAAAUAAUUUCAAUACCAAAAAAUAUUUUAAUAGUUUACAAUCUCGUAUUCUAUUAAACCAAAUUAUAAUAAAUAGAGACAUAAUAUUAAAAUAAAUAUAUAAAAUUUUAAAUUAUUUUCAAUAUCAUAUAAAAUAACUUUAAUAUUAUUAAAACGUGAGAAAUAUUAUAUUAAUUAUAAAAACUAUUUAACCCAAGGAUUUGUUUAAAAUUUUUAUAAUAAAUAUAUUAAAUUACAUUUUAAAAAUUAAGUAUUUAAAUUAUACAUACUAGUCUACUAGAAAAUUUAAACUAUUUAAAUCAUAUUUACAUUUAGUAAAAAAUUUUGAAGUCAUUUUUUUUUUUGUGAAUACCAUAAGAGUGCUAUAGUCAAAAAGGGUAUUGGUGUUCUUUAUUAAAAGUUUGGGGUCUACAUGACUAUUUUCUAAAAUUUUAAGGGUGUCAUUUUAUUUUUGAAAAAAAUAAAAAUUUCAUUUAAACAGCUAAAAUGGUGAAUAGUACAAUGCUACAGUGGGCGUAAAUGGAAGGUAAAAAGCAAUCAGAUUUUGAUUAAACAUGCAAUGUAUGAAAUAUAUAUUAUAAUUAUACAGAUUUUGAUUAUUUAAUAUUAAAUUAUAUUCACAUUAAUAUCUUAAGGAUAGUUAAUACUCAAAUAAUUUUUCAAAAAAUCAAACCCAAAUUAUAUGCAUUGUUAAUGUGCGUUAUUGUCUAAUAUUUGGAUUUUGCUAUGUCACAACUACUGUAACUUAAAGCCUCUUCAAACAUAUGUCGAUCCCACCACGUGUUAAAUUUUUUACAUUAUUUUUUAAGGGAUUGUAAGUUACAACAGCUUAACUUAGCAGCACCCUAAUAGUUUAUUUUACUUUUAUAUCUUUACAAAACAAUGCCAACAAGACAACAAUGUAUGAAAUAAAUAAAAUAAAUAAACAAAGAUCUGACAGCAAAAUUAUGGCUAUCAUUGGUUUCUUGUGGUGUGAACUCUUGACAAUCCUCCCCAAUCCCAUCCAAAACUCCCGCGUAGUGUGAACAUUUGACGAUUCUCCCAUAUCCCUCCAAAAAUUUGUCAUAUUGCGAAAAGUAAUGUCAAUUGCAAUGUCGUUUUCAUUAGUCAUAGUGGCAAAUAGGACUAGAAUUUAUUGAAACCCCUCGACUUAUUUUUCCUUUUGAAAAUAAUUUUGUAGAACCUCAUAUCGUGAAUAAAAGACAAUAAGACUCUUUUUUUUAAUUAUAAUAUUUUUUAAAUUUAUUAACUAAAAAAAUUAAUUUUAAUAUUUUAUAAUAAAUAUAAGUAGGAUAUUAAAAUAAAUAUAAUAAUAUGUACAUAUUAAAAUAAUUUCAAUACCUAAAAAUAUUUUAAUAUUUUACAAUCUCGUAUUCUAUUAAACCAAAUUAUAAUAAAUAGAGACAUAAUAUUCAAAUAAAUAUAUAAAAUUUUUAAUUAUUUUCAAUAUCAUAUAAAAUAAUUUUAAUAUUAUUAAAACAUGAGAAAUAUUAUAUUAAUUAUAAAAUCCAUUUAACCCAAGGAUUUGUUUAAAAUUUUUAUAAUAAAUAUAUUAUUAAAAUAAAUAUAUUAAAUUACAUUUUAAAAAUUAAUUAUUUAAAUUAUACAUACUAGUCUACUAGAAAAUUUAAACUAUUUAAAUCAUAUAUACAUUUAGUAAAAAAUUUUGAAGUCAUUUUUUUUUUGUGGCUACCAUAAGAGUACUAUAGUCAAAAAGGGUAUUGGUGUUCUUUAUUAAAAUUUUGGGGUCUACAUGAUUAUUUUCUAAAAUUUUAAGGGUGUCAUUUUAUUUUUGGAAAAAAAAAUUCAUUUAAACAGCUAAAAUGGUAAAUAGUACAAUGCUACAAUGGCGUAAAUGGAAUGUAAAAAGCAAUCAAAAUGACCAACAGUCUAACGCCUCAUCAGGGACAUAAAGUCAAAGUUUGUUGCAUGUGGUCAGGGCCAUUUAGUCUGUGAGUGGGUCCUGCAUGUCAUUUUUGGGCAUUUCAUCUUCUUUAGCAUUGAAGAUUAAAUGUUGACGACAUUUUCAAAAUUUUGGAAGACCCAUUAUACUUUUGGAUGGCUGUCAUUACUUGAUAUUAUCAUUAUAUGAUGAAAUAAAAUUGGAUGUAACACUUGUUUCGCGUUGUGGGAACUUUUGACAAUUCCCCAUAUCUCCUAAAAAUCUUUCGCCAUUUUGGGAAGAUGCCAUUUAUUUUCAUUUUCAUCAUUGAUAUUGGCAGAUAAUGGGGUCCGAGGACAGACCAUAAAUUAUUGCGACCCAUGGACUUUUCUAAUUUUUUUUUUUCCUUUGGAUAGUUUUCGUUAUUUGAUAGAAGGAGAUAGAGAUAAAGUUUUUUAAUCAAAUGCCCAUUUUAUUUAACAUGGAAGAAGAUCUUUAAACUCUAAGCGAGGCUAUCACUUCAACAGAUGCAGCUUCAAAAAAGAGGUAACAAGUGAUGAGAUAGACUCAUUAUUGUCUAAUCAAACAAGGACAUCGGUAGAUGUAUCAGGAUCUUAAGUUAGAUUGGAAUUUGAUACAUUGUUGUUCGUAACGUUGGUUCAAACCUUUAAAGCAAGGUUGGAUGCAAAAUGGUUUACACCAAAGACGUGAUUUAGGAAGUUAAUUAACGUUAUUUUAGAUAAUUUAUAAUUCUAAAAUAUUUAUUAUUUUAUGGUUUUCUAUUUUUGUUUGAGUCAAUUAUGGUAUGUAUCUUAAUCUUUUAUUUCCAUUAUAAUUAUAAUUUAAAUUUUCUUUUUAGGUUAACUUAGGAAAGUGGAUUUCUUUUAUUAUAAAUAAAGAUGUCUGUAAUAAAAAAAAUAAAGAUGUCUUGUCAUUGUUUUCAGGACUUCAAAUUCAAUUAUUAAAUAAAACUCUUUUUUUUAUAAUUUCCUCUAGUAUUAUUUAUCAAAAUCUCUCUUAUAGAGUUAUUUAAAUUAGAGUGUCAUCUAAUCUCGUAUUACGCGUUAUUAAAAAUCUCAUUGAAUCAUUUAGAUUAAAACAAUAUCUAAUCACGCUUUGAUUAAAGCGUAAGUUAAUUGUGUUGGCUUGAUCCAGUACUAGAAUGAUAUUUAGUAUUUCUUACCUUAUCAAUUCCACUUCCGCUACGCUCGCUCCAUCAAUUGGUAUCAAAGCAAUUCUGUGCGAAUCACACAUCUUUCCUAGAUACACCAUACCCAUCCAAACCAAAUCCAUCAAAAAAAAAAAUUACAAAUUUGAAAACCCUACCCGUCAGACCAACCCCCACCGCCGCCCACCACCGCCAAUCAGCCAGCCAACACCACCACAAACCUCACUAGCCACCGUCGACCAAGCCUCAGUCAUCGCUGCCUCAACCGCCGCUUGAACAGCCGCAAAUCACCAACCCAAACCUGCGGCUCCACCAAGCAACCCACCACCAUUCAGCCACUUUCUCCACCAGCCACCUCCACCAACAAACUCGCCGGCCUUCGUUGACCAAAAACUGACCGACUUCGGCCCUUGAUCGCCGCCCUCUGUCACCACACGAAACGACAACCCACGAGUGCUUCCUACACGCGCCGCCACCAAAACACCUUCUUUUUCCGUCAAUUUACACCACCACCAUAAUCCCUAGCAGUCGGCAACCGUAAAUCCAGUCUUCCGCCACUGUAAAGCCGCCAUAAACCAAAAGCCACAUCACCAAAAUCAACCGCCAAUUCAAGUCGGAUUUUCCCCAAUUCAGGUUGCUGAAUAUAAAAAGGACUCAUGAAAAUUACCUAAAGUUUCAAAUAUUGUUAUUCAGCAACCACUUUUAUGGUACAUUAGUUUCAACCCAAAUUUUAUAUAAAUAAUUUAUAACUCCCAUUAUUAUUAUAAAAAAAAAUUGUAGCAAUUGUGGUUAUAUCACAUGAAAAAAAAAAUCUAAUUAAAGAAAUUAACAUUAUAAUUUAAGGGAUAGUUGCUCUUUUAAUCAUUAGAAUUUAUGUCAAUUAUCCAGCUUAUCCUUGCAUUCUUAAAAACUAUAUACAAUACCAUUAUCUCUGCUUUUGUAGCUAUUGAAUUUGACUUUGACAACAUAAAUAUUUAUUAGCAACAACUUAAAAUUCAAACAAAUCUAAUAUGUAAUGUAUGAAAUACAAAUAAUAAUUAAACAAAUUUUGAUUAUUUAAUAUUAAGAUAUAAUCACAUUAAUAUCAUAAGGAUAGGUGGUACUCAAAUAAUCUUUUAAAAAUCAAACCCAAAUUAUAUGCAUUAUUAAUAUGCAUUAUUGUAUAAUAUUUAGAUUUUGUUAAGUUACAACUACUAUAACUUAAGUCUCUUAAAAAAUAUGUGAGUCCCACCACCUAUUAAAUUUUUUACAUUAUUUUUGAAAAAAUUACAAGUUACAUCAGUUGUAACUUAACAGCACCCCUAGUAUUUUACUUUACUUUUAUACCUUUACAAGAACAAUAAUGUAUGAAAUAAAAAAAAUAAAUAAAUAAAGAACUGACAACGAAAUUAGACCUAUCAUUAGUUUCUUGUGGUGUGAACUCUUGACAAUCCUCCCCUAUCCCACCUAAAGCUCUCGCGUGGUGUGAAUGUUUGACAAUUCUCCCAUAUCCCUCCAUAAUAUGUCAUAUUGCGAAAAGCAAUGUCAAUUGCAAUGCCGUUUCCCAUUAGUCAUAGUGAUAGAUAGGACCAGAAUUUUUUGAAACCCCCGAGGCCCUAAACUUGUUUUUCCUUUUGAAAAUAAGAAAAUGGCACCUGUCUAGAGAAAUAAUUUAUUAGAACCUUAUAUCAUGAAUAACGGCCAAUAAGACUUUUUUUAAAUUAUAAUAUUUUUAAAUUUAUUAACUAAAAAAAUUAACUCUAAUAAUUUAUGAUAAAUAUAAAUAGGAUAUUAAAAUAAAUAUAAUAAUAUAUAGAUAUUAAAAUAAUUUCAAUAUCUAAAAUAUUAAUAUUUUACAAUCUCGUAUUCUAUUAAACCAAAUUAUAAUAAAUAGAGACAUAAUAUUCAAAUAAAUAUAUAAAAAUUUAGGUUAUUUUCAAUGUCAUAUAAAAUAGUUUUAAUAUUAUUAAUACCUGAGAAAUAUUAUAUUAAUUGUAAAAUCUAUUUAACCUAAGGAUUUAGUUAAAAUUUUAAAAUAAUUACAAAUAUUUUAUAAGUACAAAUAAAUUAAUUUACAUUUUAAAAAUUAAUAUUGAAAUUAAUUAUUUAAAUUAUAUAUAUUAGUCUUCUGGAAAAUUUAAAUUAUUUAAAUCAUAUUUACAUUUCGUAAAAAAUUUUAAGUCAAUUUGUUUGAUUACCACCUGCUAAGGGUAUUGUAGUCAAGGGGAAUAUUGGUAUUCUUUAUUAAAAAUUUGGGAUCUACAUGAUUAUUUUUCUAAAUUUUAAUGGUGUCAUUUUAUUUUUGACAAAAAUAAAAUUUCAUUUAAACAACUAAAAUGAUGAAUAAUACAGUGCUACAGUGGCGCAAGUGGAAGGUAGGAAACAAUCAAAAUGAACAGUCUAACGUCACAGCAGGCAUAUAAGGCCAAAGUUUGUUACAUCCCAAUACAAAAAGUUUGAAACUUUGCACCUUCUGAAAUGAAACAAACUUACUUGGAUAUUGGUGAUCAGUGAGAAAAGCCCUUUUUCAAAAGCAACCUUAGGGUACCGAGUGUUACAGAUUCAAUGAACCACAAAUACUUAUUUACAUUGUAGUAUCUCAAAGGCACCGAUUUCUUCUGAUCCGUUAAGGAAAACAAGAAAAAUAAAAAGAAAAGAAAAAGGGUACUUGUGCCACACAACCUUGACGCCUAGCUACAUGGUACAUUCUCUUUGUGUGUUUGAACCAAUUAACAAUAAUGGUGCCUUUACUUCUUGGACUGGAGAAUCGAAAUCCGAAAUCGAAAUCAUUAAUGAUGUUUACUUCAUAAAAUGGAGGCUGGGAUCCGAAUCAGAACUAUGGGGACCACCCAAAUUAGGAGUGAGGAAUGGAAGAUUGAUUCCUAAGGAAGGUGGUGGGAAUCAAUCCCCCAUUCCCAAGAUUGAUCAUUUUGCCCCCUCUCACAAACUAUAAAAUAUCUAUUUUGUCCUCAAUUAAAAAAUUAUUAUGAUUAAUUAAUAUAUGUUUAUAAUUUAUUAAUAUAACUAUUCUAAUCAAUUUAUAUAUAUUUUAAAUAUAUUAUUAUUAAAUAAUUAAUAUAUUAUUAUAAUUAAUUAAUAUAUUUUGAAUUUUUAUUAUUAUCGUCAUCAUCAUCAUUAUUAUUGUUAUGAAUGAUAAAUUUUUUUACAAUUAAUUAGUAUAUUAAUAUAUUAUUGACAAUAAUUAAUAAUAAUAAUAAUUUUUGAAUAAAUAAAUAAAUAAAAUUAAUUACUGAAUUUGAACAUUUUACAAUUAUUCUAUUAUUUGGACUUAUCGAGAACUUACAUGCAGCGUAGCUAGUUUGCUAGCAUAUGUAAGGUUUAAUUUGAAUGCAUGCAGCAUUGAGAAGAGACAACGCAGAAACAAAAUUUCCGCUUGCAAUCUUUUCAUUUCCCUUUUUAAUAACAAGCAAAAUAGAGGAUAAACAGGGACUUUGUUUUAAUUCUCCUGUUUUUCUGUUUGGUGAUUUUAAAAUUUUAUGUCUAUAUUUAUCAAAAAAAGUUAUCCAAAAUUAUUAUCUAUUUUUGAUACACGUUGAUUUAUUAAAAAAAAAUUAAAAACUUCAUUUCUAAAUUUAUCGUUGUGCUUUGACCUUGGGGUGGUUUUUUUCUGUUUUUUUACGUAGGCCAGAACCUUAAUGAAGAAAGUUUUCAUCGUUAAUUGCUUUUGACCUAGGAGAAUUUAUUCUUGGACAAAUUAACACCUUUGUCUUUUGAUGCGGCUCCUAGAUAUCUAUGCAAUUUGUGUCAUUUACUUUUGCUUUGUAUUCUUUUUUAAAUGAGUCCCGAUUGGUUCAUUUGCAGAUAAAUGAGUCAGUUUUUCUGUUUUUAUUUUUUGAAAGACGGUUUUUCUGUUACGAAGCUUUUCAUGGAUGAAUAUUUUUUUUUUAAUUUUAUAGAUUCUCUGCGAGUUUUGUUAGGUAGAAGGGUAUUUAAGUAUUUUCAUUUCAUAUUUUGACAUUUCCUUGACCUUUGAAGUAUUGAAUCAUUGUGCAGGUAUUUAAGUAAAUCUGCCCACAAUGAAGAAUAGUUCAGAACAGUUGCGGAAGAUAAAUGGCUCAAAUAUAUGCGUUAUGAUCUUUUAAUAUUUCGCCUCUGAUAUUGUCCACAUUGCUUACUGCAAUAGAUAAAGCACUUCGUUUACCCCAAAUCCUGAUAGGGAAGUAUAAAUAUGUGCUUCCGAAAUAGUGCAACUCUCCAUAAUUAUUUAAUAUGCCUCUCAAUGAAGCAAUCACCUUCAUUUACAAUUCUUCGAUUAUUAAUCCUACAUACACGUGUUUCUUUUGUCUCUAAAAGUAUCCUCAAUUAAUUUACAUAAUUUAAUAUAAUAAGUACCUAAGACUAGACAAAUUAUCAUUAUAAUAGUAUUGACACAAUAAUGUCAAUAAUAAAUGCCUUAACAAACCUAUAAAUUUUAGAAUAUGGCUCAGAGUGCUACAAUGAACCACAACAAGUUAUUAUAUUGUCUAUAAUCAAUAUUCCAAUGGUAAUAGAGUUUUUUUAUUUUCAAUCCGCUGCUUUUCUGUUUAGCGAUUGCCAAAUUUUAUAUCUAAAAUUCUUCUAAUUUUAUAUCUAAAAUUCUUCUAAUUUUACACUAAGGUUUAUUUUUUCAAAAAAGGGGGGGGGGGGGGGGGGGGGGGGGGGCAGGAGAGAGAGACUUAGAGAGUAUUAAAAAAUGUAAUUCUAAAUUUUUACUUGAGUGUUGUGUGAUUUUGAUCAUUUUUUUAAAGUUGGCCAUUUAUAUUGAAUAAAUAAAAUAACGAAUAGACGUUUGGACCACUUCUUUUCUGUUAUAAUAAAACAUGAGAUGUCUUCUCUUGAUGUUUUCGUCACAAAAGAAUAUGUUUAAUUAUGUCAUCAUAGGCUUAAAUGGGAUGCCUUUUCUGUUAUAAGAUCGAGAACAAGUUUGUUUAAGCACUAGAGCCGCUAAAUAAAAGAAAGGCUCAUAUAAAAAUUACCUAAAGCACCAAAUAUUGUUAUUCAGCUACUUCUUUUAUGUUACAUUAGUUUCUACGCAAAUUUAUAUAAAUAAUUUAUAACUCCCAUCAUUAUUUAAAAAAUAAAAACCAUAGCAAUUGUGGUUAUAUCAUGUGGUGUGAUCUUUUGACAAUCCUCCCACAUCCCACCAAAAACUCUCACAUGGCGUGAACUUUUGACAAUUCUUCCAUAUCCCACCAAAAAUUUGUCAUGUUGCGAAAGGCAAUGUCAAUUGUAUUGUCAUUUCCAUUAGUUAUAGUGGCAGACAAUGUAGUCCCGGGAUAAGACUAGAAGUUUUUGAAACCCAUGGACUUAUUCUUACUUUAUUUUUUCUUUUGAAAAUGAGAAAAGGACACCCGUUUCGGGAAAUAAUUUUGUAGAAUCUCAUAUCGUGAAUAAGAGAUAAUAAGACUUUUCUUUUUUACUUUACUGCAAUACUCUUUAAUUUUAUUAAUUUUAUAUUUUAUAAUAAAUAUAAAUAUGAUACUAAAAUAAAUGUAAUGAUAUAUACAUAUUAAAAUAAUUGGAUAUUGAAAAAUAUUUUAAUAUUUUACAAUCCCGUAUAAUAUUAAACCAUAUUAUAAUAAAUAGACAUAAUAUUAAUAUAUAUAUAAGUUUAAAUUAUUUUGAAUAUCAUAUAAAAUAAUUUUAAUAUUAUUAAUAAAUCAGAAGUAUUACAUUAAUUGUAAAAUCUAUUUAAUCCAAGGAUUUAUUUAAAAUUUUUAUAAUAAAUUAAAAAUAUAUUGGUUAACAUUUUAACAAUUAAUAAUGAAAUUAAUUAUUUAAGUUAUAUAUAUUAGUCUACUAGAAAAAUUUAAACUACUUCAAUCAGAUUUACAUUUAAUGAAAAAAUUUGAAGUUAAUUUUCUUUUUAUCAUCUACUACGAAUCUUGUAGUUAAAAGAGGUAUUGACAUUCUUUAUUAAAAAUUUGAGGUCUACAUAACUAUUUUUUUUUUUAUUUUAAGGGUGUCAUUUUAUUUUUGACAAAAAUAAAAUUUCAUUUAAAUGGCUAAAAUGGUGAAUAAUACAAUGUUACAGCUGGCGUAAAUGGAAGGUAGGAAACAAUCAAAAUGACCAACAGUCUAAUGCCACAGCAAGGACAUGAGGUCAAAAAAUUCCCUUAUUAAUUAGUAAAAGAGAGUCACUUGGGCUUAUGGCGGGCAAAAUCGGAUAUAGAUCAGAUUCAAAUUAAUCCGAUAAAUUUGAUAUUGUUUGCAUUGAUAAAAAAAGUCACCCAAAUGCAAUCUAAACAUGUGUGUGUGUGUAUACAUAUUUGUUAUAAAUUAAAGUUACAAAAGUCUUUAACCAAGGCCAUUCAUAGUAAGUUUCAAAUUUUUAGGUUAAUAUCUGUAACUUCAUCAUGCUGGCCAUAAAUAAAGCUUGCAGGUCUAGGCGGGAUUGACUCGAGUUUUUUUGCCAAUCCUACGCAUGACGGGCGGUGUUAGGAAUAAUAUCCUGCAUCAAUUGAGUAUUGAACUUGGGUUCAGCAUAUAAGAUUUGGACAACUCUUAACUCUUGAGCUAACUUACUAAGUUUUGGAUUGAGUUAAGCAUGUAUGCUUCAAUAUCACAAAUUAGUCUUUCGUUACCAUUACUUAUUUUUUCUAUUGUUUAAUCCUAACACAAUAAAUGACCUUUCAUCCCAAAAGAACUAAAGUAAUCAUUUUAGACGAAUUAAGACACCAUAAAGUAAAUCUGCACACUAUGAAAAAUACUUUGGAACAGUUAAGGAAGCGUGAGAAUACUUGGGGAAAGCUUCAUAAUUGUUACGGCCGGAUCUACACUCUUUCCUCUAUAUGCAAUAAAUAUAUGCGUUAAUGAUCUCUCAAUAUUUUGCAUCCGAUAUUGCCCACAUCGCUUACCACAAUAUAUUCACUUUAUAAACAAAGUUUACAACCCAAAUACUAAUAGAGAAUAUAAAUAUGUACUUGUCAAUGAAGCAAUCACCUUUAUUUAGAAAUUUUUUAUUAUUAAUCCUACGUACACACACCUCUUUUGUCUCCAAAAAUAUUCUUAAUUAAUCCACACAAUUUAAUACAAUAAAUACCUAAGAUUACACAAAUUUUCAUUACAAUAGAAUAUAUAAUUUAUAAUAUUAUUGAUACAAUGAUGCCAAUAAUAAAAAUCCUAUAAACCUUACAAAUUUUAGAAAAUGGCUUAGAGUGUGACAGGUUGAAUGAACCACAACAAAUCAUUUACAUUAUAGUAUCUAUGAUCAAUAUUCUAAUGAUAAUAGGGCUCCUCCAUUUUCAUUUCCCUACAUUUUCUGUUUGGUGAUUGUCAAAUUUUAUGUCUAAAAUUUUUCUAAUUUUACAGUGAGGUUUAUUUUUUAAAGAGAGAGAGAGAGAGACUCAAAGAGAAUUAAAAAAAAUGUAAUUCUAAAAUUUUACUUGUGCAUUUUGUGAUUUUUACCAUUUUUUAAGUUGGCAAUUUGUAUUGAAUAAAUAAAAUAAUAAAUAGACUUAUGGACCACUUUUUUCUGUUAUAAUAAAAAUCAGAGGUCCUUUCUUGAUGUUUUCUUUCCAUAUGAAUAAAUUAGAAUUUUAUUGGUACAGUAAUGUCAAUAAUAAAAUUCCUAACAAACAUACAAAUUUUAGAAUAUGGAUUAAAGUGUUACAAGUUGAGUGGAUCACAACAAGUUAUUUAUAUUGUAGUGUCUAUGAUCAGUAUUUCAAUGAUAUCAAGGGUCCUCUAUUUUCUUUCCCUUGCAAUUUUUGUUUGGUCAUCGCCAAAGUUUAUAUCUAAAAUUUUUCUAAUUUUACACUGACAUUUAUUUUUUUUUUAAAAAAAAGAGAAAGAGAGACACGGAGAGAACUAAAAAAUGUAAAUCUAAAUUUUUGCUUGUGCGUUAUGUGAUUUUUAUCAUUUUUUAAGUUGGCCAUUUGUAUUGAAUAAAAAAAGUAAUAAAUAGACUUAUGGACCACUUGUUUUUUUAUUAUAAUAAAACAUUUUCUUCUCCUGAUGUUUUUCAUCUCACAGGAAUAUAUUUAUCUCAUCGUGGGCCCAAAUGGGGUAAAUAAAUUGGGAUCAAGGACAAGUCUGUUUAAGUGUUGAAAUUGCAAGAAGACCUCAUAAAAAAAAUUGCCUAAAGCCCCAUUAUUGUUAUUCAACUAUUACUUUCAUGACACUUACACAAAUAAUUUAUAACUCCAUCUUUAUUUAGGGAAAAAACUGUAGCAAUUGUUGUUAUAUCACAGGAACAAAUUCCAAUUAAAAAUAUAAUAAGAAUUAAUUGCAAAUUUUGUAAUAAAUAUCAAUAUAAUUUAAUAGUUUAAUUUUUUUUGGUAGAGUAAUAUAAUUUAAAAAAUUAAUAUUUAAAAAAAUAAUAUCAGUAUUACUUUUUAAAAUGCAAAUUAUUAAAAUUAUAUUAAUAAUGUAUUUUUAUUUAUUAUAAAAUUUAUUUUAAUAAAAUCUUAAAUUUUUUUAAAUAUUUGUAUAUAUUGUUAUAUGUUAUUAUAAUAUUAUAUUUAUAUUUAUUAAAAUAUAAGAGUUAAUAUUUUUAAAUUAAUAAAGACAAAAAGUAUUAUAAUAAAAAAGAAUUCUUUUAUUAAAAAUAUAAUCAUUCUCCCAAACUUAUCCUUGUCCCUUUUUGAAAGGAAAAAAUAAAUUAGAAAAGUCUAUGGUCAUGAUAACUUCUAGCCUUGUCCCGUGGGACAUGGCUACGGUGCAGAAGCUGAAAGUAACAGCUUCGAACUUUCCCAUUUCCAUCACCUUGUUGAUGGUUGUUGAAGCCAAUAAAAAUAAAUUCCUACUCUAAAUAAAUUGUGUAUAGUGAUUGAGCAGGGUCGUGUCCACAGAGAUCGGUAAUUAUUUAAAUUCUUUUGAAACGUAAAACGUAAAAUGGGAGAAUUGUUGACAAUAAUAAAAAAUCAAAUUAAAAUAACAAAAAUGCAAAUUAAAGUUGUAAUUCAAAUUGGAGAAAGCUUUGGUUGAAGGAAUUAACUCAGUUUGAUUCGACUACUGAUCAUUGAUUCAAAAAUAGAUUAUUAUUACUUAUGAAUAAACUGGUUAUAGCUAUUGAGACCCUCUAAUAGCCAAUCUCUCCUUAACUAGUCGAUAACCAAGGUACGACUAUUGGAUAUUUCCCUAAUCAAUAGACAACCCUAGAUACGAUCAUAGGAUUUAAUCAAUUGACAGCCUGAAAAACCAGAGCGACCCAAAUCCUAAUCAACACAUAUGAUGAUUCAUUUAAAUUAGAUUGUUUAUUCCCAUAACACAACUCACUGCUAUGUUAUUUGUCACAAACAUUAAACUCGUCAUACGAUGAAUUCUUUAAUUGACAAUAGAUUAAGUUGAUAAUUAAAUAGUGGCCAAUUACCUAAUUAACAAACAUAAUCAUGAAACUAAUUCAGAGAAUAAACAAAUACCCAAAAAGUAAUAAAACAAUUAAAGCAUAAGAAAGAUCUCACAGUAGUGAUGAAUCAAAAAUUCAUUAACCUUCAACUAGAAAAAAUAAGUUUAGUUUUUCAUAGAGAGAAGAGAAAAAUUAGAUCUAGGGUUUCUUUCUUUUUCUCCAAUUAAAAUCCCCCCUUUUUCACAAUAGAUUCCUCCCUUAAAUACUCUCUCUCUCUUCUCUUUUAAAGUUCUAUUUAAAAUAAAAUAAUAAUAUUUGAAAUAUUAAAUUCGUAAUUACAAAAAUAGCCAAAAAUACAAAACACAUUAAACUAAAAACUGCAGGUCCGCAGUUGACAGCACGCGCCCACGCCUUAUCUAUAAAGUUCUUCUGACGCUCUAAAUUUCUCCAAGAGAACAAUCAUCUUUAAACAUCAUCUUAUACCUCAAUUCUAUCACAAAUCAAUAGAAUUGCACUUACAAAAGUAAAACACAAGUAAAUCAUUAUUAUUAAAUGCAAAACAUCGAUAUUAAGGGAAGUAAACAAUGCAAAACUAGUGUAUAAAUUGUACUCUAACACUUGUAUUGGGACCUCUUUCUCUCUCCUAUAGCCCCCAUGGAAGUUCCCCAUUGGCUGCUGUUACUUACAGAAGCCGUAACAUAGACUUCUAGCCAUGUCCCGUGAUGUCCAUUGUCUGCCACUAUGAAUAAUGGCAAUGACAUUGCAAUUGAAACAUUGAAAAGGUAUUUUCGCAAUAUGACAAAGCUUUUGUUAGGAUAUGGGAGGAUUGUCAAAAGUUCACACCACUUGAAACUAGAAUUAGAUCUAAUUUCAUUUAUUUCAUAAAUUAGAAAAGUCUAUGGUCGUGAUAACUUCUAGCCGUGUCCCGUGAUGUCCAUUGUCUGCCACUAUGAAUAAUGGAAAUGACAUUACUAUAAUAAAAUGACAUUGCAAUUCCAAUAUGCAAUUGAAAAGUCUAUGGUCGUGAUAACUUUUGUAAUAUGACAAAGUUUUUGUUGGGGUAUGAGAGGAUUGUCAAAAGUUCACACACCACAUGAAACUAGUGUUAGAUCUAAUUUUAUUUCGUCCGUUCCUUAUAUAUUUAUUUCAUACAUAUAUGUCUUAGGGUGAUAUUGUUUUGUAAAGAUAUAAUAGUAAGGUACUAUAAAAAGAAAAGAACUGUGUGUAUACUUCCCAGUGUAAUAAUUAUAUGUAGAAGAAAACUAACAAGAGGAAAAAUGACAAAGAGCAAGGCGCUGGUUGUUGGGAGAAGAGGACAUGUCGGCAGAGGAUAGAGAAGCCAAUCUUAGCCUUGUUGAUUGAGGGCUCAUCUUCUGAUCAUCGUAGCCUUGUUGGAGCUGUCAAACAAGUCGAUGUUGUCAUUUAAGGAGCCACAACAUUUUGAUGCUGCUUAAACUUGUUGGGGCCAUCAAAUAAGCUGUAAAUAUUAAGGUACGUAAGCCUUAAUUUUUAUGUAAUUUUAAUUUCAGAUCCAAAAUUGCAUGCAAGCCAUUAAUUUCUUUCCUUUUUUAUUUUUGAUUUGAUGAGGUGCUUGAUUUGGUCGGGUGUGUAUUUUUUCUUUGUUCUUUUUUUUUUUAAAACAUAAAUCUCCAAAUCGGGUUGGAGCGGGGAUUCUAACCCUACGAUGGCCAUAUUAAAAUUUAAAAUUUUUUAAUUUAUUUUUCUACAUCUCAAUAUUUGAAAAAAUGAUUAUAUAGAUCUAUAUAUUUUCAAUAAGAGAUACUAAGAUACUCUUUUUUACUAUAACACCUACUAGCUCUAUUAACUCAAAAAAUUAGCUUCAAUGUUAAUAUAUAUAUUUUAAAAUAAUUUUAAUAUUUUAAAAAAAAUGAAAAAAAUAUUUUAAUACUUUACAAGCUUAUACUAUAUUAAACUAAAUUUUGUAAUAAAUAGAAACUUAAUAUAAAAUAAAUGUCUAAAAAUUUAAAUUAUUUUCAAUAGCAUAUAGAAUAAUUAUAAUAUUAUUAAUACCUAAGAUAUAUUAAAUUAAUUAUAAAUUCUAUUUAACACAAAUAUUUAACUAAAUUUUUUAUAAUAAAUAUAAAUAUAUUAUUAAAAUAAAUCUAAUAAUUAACAUUUUAAAAAAUAAUACUGAAAUUAAUUUUUUAAAUUAUACUAACACUAGUUUCACGCUGUGCGAACUUUUGACAAAAACUGUUAAUUGCAAUUUCUUUUGAAAACAAUAGAUCAAAUCAUUAAAGUGCAUGUGAUGAUUUGCUGUUUAAUUAUUUCUUUAGAAUAUAUCCAAACGUAAGGUUGUGAACUAGUGCUUUCUUCAACUUAAUUGGGUCCAACAAUACACUGCAGCUUCCUCUUUUGGUCAUUCCAAGUUUAAUUCUUCAUGAAAAUCUUAGACACUAAUACAAGGAUAUCGAAUCCAAAAUUAUAAUAAUACAUGUAAUUAUUCUAUACAUGCGUCAACAAGGCAACAGUAACCAAAUACAUGAUAUGCAAAGGGGGUGCAUGAUUAAGUCCUUUUUUUAUUCAAUUCAUUGUUAUUAUUCUCAUCAACUCUUUUCUCACUUAUUUUUCAGCAGUUACCAGUGAUCUUUUUGCUCUUUAAAAUUAUUCUUAAAUAUUCAAGGCUAAAUAGAGAAGCUCAUCAACUAUCUGAUCCCGGAUAAUUAAAGAGGUGAACUUGUUCUAAAUCCUUUGAUAAUUUCUAUUAAUAGCAUAAUCUCCUUGAUCUUGACCGCAGUUAUUUCUUAAUGUCCAAGAAAAAAAUAUCUCCUGUUUGUCUUAAUCUUGUCAUUUAAUUUUCUUGAUUUAAGUUACUGUUCAUUGUUAACUUCUGUGUUCUUGUUAUUAGCAUUUGUUAAUUUGCAUCUCUCCUCUAAAAUAGUUUCUAAAAAAGAAUGUUGCUUUUCAUUCAUACCCUUGAAACCUUUCAGUUAAUAGUCAAAACUCUAAUCUUUCAGUUAAUUUAUUUGAAUCCAAUUUUUUCAACAGCAAAUACACACACACAUUGUUAAGCAACAGCCAAAAAAGUGCAGAAAAACCAGUCAAAUUUAUACAUGCGUCAACAGGGAAACAGUAACCAAAUAGGUGAUACAAAAAGGGGUGAAUGAUUCUGUCUUUUCCUUUUGCAAGUCGCUGUUAUUACUCUCAUCAACUUCUUUCUCGCACAUUUCUCAGCAGUUACCAGUAAUAUUUAAAAUCGCUGUGUAGAUAUGCAAAAGUUCCGUAAGUGCAUUAAUAAUUAUUUGCCAGAAAAAAAUAGUUGCGUCAAUAUUAAAGGAAUUGACAUCCAGGGGACCCAAUUUAGUUGCUUAAUGAUUAUUUAAUUAAUUAAUUUAUAAUAUAUUAAUCUUUUAAGUUGAAUAAUUAAAAUCUUAGACCCGAAACAAUAAAUCAUCUGAGGCAUAUAAAAGAGAAAUUAUCAUCCUAUUUUUUCUUUUUUCUUUUUAACUUCUUGUAGCUUAUAAAAGAGAAAUUAUCAGUCAUUUACUCAAAGUUUAUUCAAUUAUUAAAAUUAUUAUAAAAAUUUAAAUUUAUUUAAUUUUACAUCCAAUGUAUGCAAUUUGUAUGAAACAUCUGUUAAAAAUAUAAAGUUAUUCGUUCAAAGUGACAAAAUAGAACCGAACACAAAAUUGUAGUGGUGAUUAUGUUUUAGGAGUAACUUUAUUUUUUUAGUAAACAGUUGAUACACAUUGUAAUAAUGGGUAUAAAAUUAAAUAUUUUUAAAUUUUUAUAACUUUUUGGAUAAUAAGAUAAUUCUUAGAUGGAUAAUUGAAAAUUUUUCUUUUCAAAAUAUUUUGAAAACAAUACCAAAUGUACCAAAACAUUGUUUACUUUCACUCUCUCUCUCUCUCUCUCUCUCUCUCUAUCUAUCUAUCUAUAUAUAUAUAUAUAUAUAUAUAUAUAUAUAUAUAUUAUUUCUUAACUCAUUCUUAUCCUUAUUCUUUCUAACAUAUCCACAAUCUGUCAAUGAAAUUUACUUUUAUAAAUUUGAAGAUUUUUUCAUGCAAUUUUAUACGAUGAUGAGUUCUCAUGUUUCUGUUAAAAAAUAAUUCGUAAAUAAUACAAAUGAAAAAAACAAAAAGUAGCAGGGCUGGCAAUACAAAACCAUAACUUUUUUUCUUUGAAUUUUGCAUAAACAAAGUCAAUAGUGAUUUGUCAGCACGAUCUUGAGAGCACGGCUUGGAGUCUCAAUAAUUAUUGACACUCAUAUUUGAAAACUUUCGAAAAGAUAAAAUCCAAUAUGAAAGGUGAAACGUUAUAAUCAUAGUAACUAGAAAAUGGAUUGAUUUACAAAUAUCAAUUUAAACAAUUUUCAUGUUGAUCGACAAUUUAAGUAGAUUGACAAAGAUUGAAGUAAUUACUGUUGGUGAUUGAUUGACUUUGUCCUUAUCCUUGCCUUCUUCUUAUCAAAAAUCGAGUGUCAAUUAAAUUGGGCCAGGGUUUCUGAUUGCAACUAAUGGACUUCAUAUACGCAUAAUGGUCCCUACGUACAUACGUACCAAUAUUUGAUUGAUAAAGGGGGUGCAUGCUUAAUGCUCAAGUCGUCUUCUUUUGGAAAUUCAUUGUUAUUACUCUCAUCAACUCGUUCCUCACAUUCCUCUUUAGUCAAAACCUGUAAUAUUUCUUCUAUAUUCAAGGUGAAUACAGCAGCUCAUCGACUCUGAUCCCAGACAGGUAAAGAGGUGCACUUGUUCUAAAACCUGUAAUAUUCUUUUAGUAGCAGAAUCUCUGAUACUUGAUCUUCAUAGCGGUUCUUUCUUAAUUUCCAUCAACUUUCCUAGGAAAAAAUUCUCUGGUUUUUCUUAAUCAUAUCAUUUACUUUUCUUAAGUCAUAUCAUUUAUUUUUAGUAGCAGAAUACUUGAUCUUGAUAGCCAUUCUUUCUUAAUUUCCAUCAACUUUCCUUAAAGGAUACCUUUCUGUUAAUAGCGAAACCUCUGAUCCUUAAGAUAGAAAAAGAAAUUCUCUACUUAUGUAUCAGUUGGUUCAAAAUCAAUAUCGCGAUGUUGUUUGCGGUCUUUUCUUUCUCUGUCUUUCCCUCUAGUUCAUUUUAAUUUAUUUGUAUUCCUUUCUUUGACAUUUUUAUUCAUUUUAUUCAUAUAUAUACAUAUAUUGUUAAGCAACAGGCAAUGGUUGCAGAAGUGGGUCUGGCUGCUUUUUCCAGCAUCGUAUCAGAAGAUGCAAAGUCACUGUUCAAACCGAUUAUACGGCAGAUCUCUUAUGUGUUCAAGUACCAGAGCUACAUAGAUGGCCUAAAAGAUCAAGUGAAACAGUUGGGAUAUAAAAGAGAAAGGGUGGAAAUACCCGUUCAUCAGGCUACUCAACAAGGAGAUGAGAUUUAUAAGGAUGUUGCAGACUGGCUUAAUAGCGUCAAGGAAUUCACUCAGGGAGCUGCGAAAUCCAUCACUGAUGAUGAAGAUAGAGCUAAGAAGUUCUGUUUCAAAGGAUUGUGCCCAAACUUGAUUUCUCGUUACAAGCUCAGUAGACAAGCAGCAAAGGCCGCAGAAGCUGCUGCUAGUCUCAUGGGAAAAUGUAACUUCUCUAAUGUUUCCUACCGUCCUGCUCCAAAGCGGGCAGAACAUAUGCAAGUGAAAGAUUUCGAGGCCUUUGAUUCAAGAAUGAAAGUAUUUGAAGAUGUUGUGGAGGCGUUGAAGGAUGAUAAGCUCAAGAUAAUUGGGGUCUACGGGAUGGGCGGCGUGGGUAAAACCACGCUAGUCAAGCAAGUUGCAAGGCAAGUUAUGGAAGAUAAGGUGUUCGACAAGGUCGUUAUGGCUGAGGUAACACAGACCCCAGAUCAUCAGGAAAUUCAAAAGAAACUUGCUUUUGACUUAGGCAUGAAAUUUGGCUCGGAUGAGAAUAAAUUCGAAAGAGCAGAUCGAUUACGUGAAAGAUUGAAGAACGAGAAGCAGGUCCUCGUUAUAUUGGAUAAUAUUUGGAAAAAACUCGAGUUCGAAAAAGUUGGAAUUCCUUGUGGGGAUGUUGAUGAGAAAGAUACAAAGGAUGAUCAGAGACGAUGCACAAUAAUAUUGACGUCUAGAAGUCGAGAUUUAUUGCGCAUUGAUAUGAAUUCUCAGAAAAAUUUCCCGAUCGAUGCUUUGCCACCAAAAGAAGCAUUGCAGUUAUUUGAAAAGAUAGUGGGUGAUUCAACUAAAAUAUCUGCUUUUCAAAGUAUAGCAAAUGAGAUCGUUGAAAGAUGCGGAGGUUUGCCUGUUGCACUGAGUACAGUUGCAAAUGCUCUGAAAACUAAGGAUAGUUACUUUUGGAAAGAUGCAUUGAAUCAGCUAAGAAGAUCGGAUGCUAGAGAAAUUCAUGGCAUGCAAGCAAAUGUGUACACCUCCAUAAAAUUGAGUUAUGACUUCUUGGAAAGUGAGGAGGCAAAAUCUCUGUUCCGUCUUUGUAGUCUAUACAGUGAAGGUAAUGUCAUACAAGUUUCUGACUUAUUGAGAUGUGGUGUGGGUUGGGGUUUGUUUGAAAAUGUUUACACAUUGGAAGAAGCAAGGAGUAGAGUGCAUCGGUUGAUCGACAACCUCAAAUCUUCAUGCUUAUUGUUGGACGGUGAUGCUGAAGAUGAAGUUAAAAUGCAUGACGUCAUUCAUGUUGUUGCCGUAUCAAUUGCCAGAGAGGAGCGCAUGUUUAAUGUUCCAAAUGUUGCUGACUUGGAGAAAAAGAUGGAAGAGACAAUACAGAAAGAUCCAAUUGCUAUUUCAUUACCUCAUAGAGAUAUUCAAGAGCUCCCUGAAAGGUUGCAAUGUCCCAAUCUCCAGUUAUUUUUGUUGUAUACGGAGGGUAAUGGCCCUAUGCAAGUUUCAGACCACUUUUUUGAAGGGAUGGAAGGACUCAAAGUUUUACAGUUUCCUGGAAUUGGCUCUUCUUCAUUACCUUCAUCACUUGGUCGCCUCAUUAACCUUCAAACAUUGUGUUUAGACUGGUGCGAACUAGCAGAUAUAGCGGCAAUUGGACAACUAAAGAAAUUAGAGAUUCUCAGCCUCGCAUAUUCCAAUAUCAACCAGCUACCAGUUGAAAUUGGACAAUUGACGCGGUUACAAUUGCUAGAUUUGAGCAAUUGUUGGUGGCUUGAGGUGAUAGCACCGAAUGUCAUAUCAAAAUUAUCUCAAUUAGAAGAAUUGUAUAUGGGUAACGGUUUUUCAGGGUGGGAGAAGGUUGAAGGAGGAAGUAAUGCCAGUCUUGUCGAAUUGGAGAGGUUGACAGAGCUAACUACUUUGGAGAUAGAAGUUCCGGAUGCCGAAAUUCUGCCGCCGGAUUUUGUCUCUGUGGAAUUGCAAAGAUAUAAGAUACGUAUAGGAGAUGGGCCCGAAGAUGAGUUUGACCCAUUGCUCGUCAAAUCUGAAGCAUCAAGAUUGAUGAUGCUCAAGGGGAUAAAAAAAGUUAGCAUUCUUCAGGAGAAUGAUGGGACAAAAAUGUUGCUGCAGAGAACUGAAGAUCUCUGGCUAGAAACAUUGGAGGGUGUUCAAAGUGUUGUUCAUGAAUUAGACGAUGGGGAAGGUUUUCCACGAUUGAAGCGUCUUCUCGUAACAGACUGUUCUGAGAUUUUACAUAUUGUCGGUUCAGUUAGGGUUCGUUGCGAAGUCUUUCCCUUGCUGGAGGCAUUGUCUCUUAUGUUUUUAACUAAUUUGGAGACGAUAUGCUACAGCCAACUCAGAGAAGAUCAAUCCUUCAGCAACUUAAGGAUUAUAAACGUAGAUUCCUGUCGAAAAUUGAAGUAUCUCUUCUCAUUCUCUAUGGCCAAAAACCUAUUGCGGCUUCAAAAAGUAAAAGUGGAAGACUGCGAUGAUUUGAAAAUGAUUAUUGGUAAGUGUUGAAAUUAAUUAUUGGUAGGAUUAUUGACAUUGACUCUUUCUUUUUUUCUUUUUCUUUUUUUGGGGAAAAAAACAACGGAUGUUUAUUAUAUAUUGUUUUGGUUCAUUUAUAGGGCCCGACAUGGAGAAACCAACAACAACUCAGGGAUUCAUAGAAAUCAAUGCAGAGGAUGAUCCUGUUCACCAGGUAAUAAUUUUCUGUUUAAUAAUUAAUUAAUUAAUAUAUUAUCACGAUUGAGCUUCAAUCAUCGAAAGAAUAUUAUAUUAGAAGUUGUAGUUGAAGGAACAAAAAUGUAUGGUUUUUCUUUGCAGGUUACUUUUCCACGCUUGGAGGAACUGGAACUUGUCAGUUUAACAAAUAUCAAAAAAUUAUGGUCCGAUCAAUUUCAGGGAAUAUAUUGUUGUCAAAAUUUAACAAAAGUGACCGUGUGGAGUUGUCAUCGUCUGAAGUAUUUGUUUUCAUAUUCUAUGGUUAAUAGUCUUGGGCAACUCCAACAUCUUGAGAUUCGUAAUUGCCGGUCAAUUGAAGGGGUAGUCAACACCACGACGUUAGGAGGAAGAGAUGAAUUUAAGGUUUUUCCCAAACUACACUACCUGUCGCUCCAUUGGCUUCCAAAACUAAGUAGCUUUGCCUCACCAGAAGACGUCAUUCACACUGAAAUGCAACCUCAAUCCCUCUUUGAUGAAAAGGUUUUUUUUCAUUGAAUUUUUAAAUUCUCUUUUCGUUGAGUCUUCAAAUUUAAUUAAUAUACAUCUCUAAUUGCAUUGAAUUUUUAACUUCAGGUACGACUCCCAAGUCUGGAGGUAUUAAAUAUUAGUGAGGCGGAUAAGUUGAGAAAAAUAUGGCACCACCAGCUUGCUUCGAAGUCUUUUAGCAAAUUGAAAAAAUUGAAGAUAUCUGGGUGUAAUAAUCUACUGAAUAUUUUUCCUCCAUUGGUAAGAUUGCUAUAUUCAUUUUGAAUUUUUAUUUCAAGUAACAUUCAACAAUUAUUUUAAUCAUUUUUGUGUUUACAAAUAAUUUUCAUUCACAAAUUAUUUAUUGCAAGUAUUUUACUUCAAACUUCAGGAGGGCAAAAAAGUAGUGUACUUCAAAUCACCAUUCUGAACUCUGCAUUGUCAAUCUAAUUUAUAGGUUCACCCGCAUUAAAGUCAACGAUAUAAUUGUUUUAAACACGAUUUAACAGCAUAAUAUAAUUCAAUUUAAUUGUUUUUUUCCUUAAAUCCUAAUAAAUAAGAUUUUUAGAAAUUAAAAGAUACUUAGUUACUCAGCUUUUAAGCUCACAAAUUCAUAUAUAUUUCUCUUUUCCUUGGGUCUUCAAAUUUCGAUUUAAAAAAAAAUAAAAGAAAAGUGUUCAAAUGUAGUUAAUAUCUCUAGUUUAGUUAUGAAUUGAUUACGCCAUUGAUUAAGCACAAAUUCAUGAUGGUCAUUUUGAAUCGACCGUUGAUUAAAAAAAUUCCUCAAAUAUUCACUCUAUAACAGUCCCAUGUUGAUGGCGUUGGGAAGUGUUUUCCAGAAAUGUUUUUCCAUUUUUAAAAGCAUGAAUAUCGGGAAAAAAAAAAGGGAAAUACAGCGUUUUAGUUUAGUUAUUUUAAAAAUAGGCAUGUUUGAAAAUUAAAAAUUUUAAAAAACUAGCAUCAAGAUGAAAAAUGAAUUUAGAAUAUUUAAAAAUUACCUGAAAUUCUUUCUCCGUUCCUAAUACUAAAUAGUGUAAAUGCAUUUUCAUUAUCUUUGUUUUUCUGGACUUCUAUUUAUUUAUUUUUAUUUUUUCUUUUUUUUCUUUAACAAAAAAUAUCUAGUAGACAUUCAUGGUUUGUUAUUUUUCAUAAAACAAUUGUAUGAUUUUGACAUACUUUGAAUCUAGUUGAAUGCUACUCUUUAUUUUCAGGUUGGAAUUCCCAAUAGUCUAGUGAAUCUUGAUGUAUCAGACUGUGCAAAAAUAGAAGAAAUCAUAGGACAUGUUGGAGAAGAAGCGAAGGAGAAUCGUAUUGCUUUCAACGAAUUAAAACUUUUGGAACUUGAUGAUUUACCAAGGCUUACCAGCUUUUGUUUGGAGAAUUACACUCUUGAAUUCCCAUCAUUGGAACAAGUUUCUAUGACACAUUGUCCGAACAUGAAGACUUUUUCUCGGGGAAUCUCAUCCACACCAAAGCUAUACGUAGUGCAAGUGACUGAAAGGGAAGAGGGUGAACACCAUUGGGAAGGCAAUAAGCUUAAUUCCACUAUACAAAAGUGUUACGAAGUAAUGGUAUGUGUUAAUCGAUUCACUUUACGAAGUAAUGGUGUUACGAACACCAUUACGAAGUAAUGGCAAUAAGCUUAAUUCCACUAUACCACAUUUAAACAUAUACACCUGCGUUGUAAAUAUAUUUUUAGAAGUUAAAGCACAAAACAUGUAAGUUUAAUGUAUAUAUAUAUCUAAUGCCUUUCAAAAAAAGAAAUUUAUAUAUAUCCAGUGCAAUUGUUUUGGUUUAUGCAGAUUGGAUUCCGUGACAUAGAGCAUUUGCAACUCUCACAUUUUCCACGCUUGAGAGAAAUAUGGCACGGCCAAGCAGUGCCUGUCAGCUUCUUCAACAAUUUACGACAACUGGCUGUGGAUGACUGCACGAAUAUGUCGAGUGCUAUUCCUACCAAUCUGCUACGUUGCUUGAACAAUUUGAGAUGCCUGGAAGUGAGGAAUUGUGAUUUAAUAGAAGAGGUGCUUCAUUUAGAAGAGCUAAAUGCUAAGGAAGAACAUAUAGGCCCCCGGUUUCCUAGGCUUAACAGACUAAGGCUCAUUGAUCUUCCAAAACUCAAAAGAUUCUGCAACUUCACUGGGAAUAUAAUUGAACUGUCUGAGUUGGAGAAUCUAACUAUUGAGAAUUGCCCUGAUAUGGAAACAUUCAUAUCCAACUCUGUAGUGCAUGUGACAACAAAUAACAAGGAACCUCAAAAAUUAACAUCAGAAGAGAACUUUUUGCUGGCUCAUCAAGUACAACCCCUCUUCGAUGAAAAGGUGAUUAUUAUUAUUAUUAUUAUUAUUAUUAUUAUUUUCCCCUUCACUUUUGUUCGCACAGAUGUAAUUUCAUUAGAAUCAAAUCAAAUUUUAUGACUCAUCUUUUUGCAUGUCAUCUUGAUUCAUAUAUGAAUUAACAAUACAACUACAGUUAUGAACUAACUUUAUAGUAUGAAUUAAAAAAAUGUCUUAAAUUAUUUCGAUGACUGGUAACAUGAGGUGAUGAACUAUAUCAAUUAUGCUUGUCGCAUCUCUGUUUUCCUAGCUAAUUCAUAUUGGAUUUAGUAUCAGAUUUCAUUUAUGUGUUUCAAAGGGUAAUCGAUUUGAUACUUAUAUUUGGGAUCCUACUGCAAAGCAUACUAAUUUGGAAAUAAAAUAUAAAAUGCCGUGAUUAAUCUUGUCCAUAAAAUAUGCAGGGGAAGACUGCAGAGAUUGGAUACAUACUUUCAUUUACAACUUAAUUUUGUUGAUUUUCAGCUUACAUUCCCUCAAUUGAAGGAGUUAAAGCUAUCUAGAUUACACAAAGUGCAGCAUCUCUGGAAGGAAAAUGACGAAUCCAACAAAGCGUUUGCAAACUUGAAAAGUCUAGAAAUAUUUGAAUGUAGUAAGUUACAGAAAUUAGUACCAGCUUCGUGGCAUUUGGAAAAUCUUGAGGCUUUGAAAGUAUCGAAGUGUCACAGGUUGAUAAAUUUGUUGACGCUCUCAACAUCUAGAAGUCUGAUAAUUCUUCAAAGUAUGACGAUAGCUGAUUGCAAAAGGAUAGAAGAAAUCAUACAGUCGCCGGUUGCAGAAGAAGCGAAAGAUUGCAUUGUUUUCAAGGAAUUAAAGUACUUGGGACUUGAUUGUUUGCCAAGCCUAACAAGCUUUUGUUUAGGUAAUUACGCUCUUGAAUUCCCGUCCUUGAAACAAGUAGUUGUGAGAGAGUGUCCAAAAAUGAUGAUCUUCUCUCAAGGAGUCUUAGACACACCAAUGCUAAACAAAGUGAACGUCACCGAAGAAGAAAAAGAUGAUGAUGAUGAAGGAUGUUGGGAAGGCAACCUCAAUGACACCAUAAAAAAAUUGUUCAAUGAAAUGGUGAGUAUCAAUUAAGUUUUGGUGCUAUUUAGAAAAUUAUUUUAUAGAAACUAAUGUAAUAUAAUAUGAUUGGUUGACUGAAAAUAUAUAAUAAUAAAUAAAUAAAUAAAUUAUGAGGGCUAUGUAAUGUUUUUGUUUAACCAAUCAUAUUAUGUCGCAUUAGUUUAUACAAUAUUGUUUGUGUACAAGAGUUGUAAUGUAUGCUUGCUUACACGAGUAAUUACAAAAUGUGCAUAAUUCUAAAGAAAAGAUUGAGCCAACCCUUCAGGUACAGUGAAGAAGCUAUCUCGAACCAGGCCAAUCUCGUGUACAUGAUUCAACUUGCUCGUUCUCCUGUACUUGAAUAAUUUGGUUCUAAACGCAUUUACAACUUUUUUGUCAUGCUAUAGACAUGCAAGACACUUUGGAUUUGUUUGAUGCAUUCUUUGUUUAAGGAAGGACUUGAAUUGAUGUUUCAUGUUUCAUGCAAUUUUCAAUUAGAUACUGUUUAAACUUCUGCAUUAUUCAUUCAAUCGGUGUUUUAAGCAUUUGAUUUCUAACUAGUCCUGAUAGAAGAUCAUUAGCUGAAGAAAACAUCAUAACAUUUGUGGCAUUAUCAGAAUAAGAAUAGUUUUAUGAGUAUAGUAAAAUUAACUAGACCAUUAUUAAAAGGAAUUAAUCCGUCAACUUUAAGUAAACUUUAGAUGAUGGUUCUGACCUAAACCAUUUUAAUGCUUGGCAAAAUCACAUCCUGAGCAUAGAGUAAAGAAAGUGGCAUACAUGGUAAUCAACUUCAAGAAGCUCUUCGAAAUGCAUAAUACUGUUGGGGAGAAAAGAAAAAGAAAGAAUACAAAUAAAAAGAAGUCACACAUCAUCAGCAGUUUUUCGGGAACACAAAAAUGUUAUAAUAACUUUUCUUGAUUGCCACCCACAUGCUAAACUGAUCAAAUACAAAACAGGAUACAGAAAAUCUCUAACCUUUUUGGCACUGAAGAAGACGCCAGUGCUUUCAAAAGAAAAUGCUUGAUUGUUGGCAUUCUGGUUUGAAAAAUAUGAGUCCAAUUCCUGUGUCCAGUCAUGUACCAAAUCAGGACGACGUGCAAGUCAUACAAAGAUGACAAAAAUACAGUAUAAAUUGCGUCAAACCAAUUCAAGUCAAUUGGAGAAGUAAAUCAAGGACCAUUUGCAAUAGUUGUUCUCCACAUCAAAUUUGGGUGUCCAUCGUCUUCAUCCUCUUGUGCACUGAACCUGAGAGUCCACGAGAAAUACAUAUAAAAAUUAGGCAUGAUUGAAAUUGAUAGUAGUACAAAAUGGAUAUAAACAUCACGAUGAACAAAUUAAAUUGUUCCCUGUCAGACAAAUCCAACCUGCAAGCUUAAGCUCUUAAGCUAGACCAAAUCACACUGCAAAUAACAAGACAUAAGGCCAAAAAAAGAUAAUAUGUAUCAUUCAUAUGCUUCGCCCUAUAGAAAUGAUUUGGGCCAUAGGUCAAUUAUGUUAAAAGCAGCGAUACUAAACCCAAAAGAAGAGAGGUGAGGCGAGGGAGUGGUGGGUUUUUUUUUUUUUUUUUUCAUUUAUAUAUUUUUACCUUAAACCAAAUGACCGGUUUUACAGGUUUCUGGUUGUUUCAAAUUUUUUUAUUGCUUAAUAAUGAAACAAAUCUCAGCCAUUAGAUCACUCCAUUUAAUCCAAUGGUCAGUUUUUGUGCAUGUAUCAGAUGCACGCAUGUAUUGUAGCCGCCCCAUUUUCCUUUUUAGUUGCAAAACCUCGUUCGAAAGCAACAAUGACUUUCACUCAAAGUAAAUGAGAAAUUACAAUGAAAAUGGGAUCAGAAAAAGGUUGAGGUGAAAUAAAACCAAAGGGAUGAUGUUUCUGCUUUCCAGCUUUGGGAAACGGCGUGGAUGGAGCACGUUCAAUACGAAAAACUUCAUUAGCUCACGCGCUGCUCAGCUGAUUCUUAACAGAAAAUGAUUUAGUGGAAACGGCGUGGAUGGAGCACGUUUAACAUAUCAGUUUAAGUAACCACGUGAGAAAGCAUGUGAUGAAGGUUGUUCCGAGUUCGUUGAAGGUUGUUAACCACGUGUCAAAACAAAGUGUUCAUACUGGAAAGAAACAAAAUAUUAAUAAAUAAACCAUUAAAAAGAUUAUCUGAAAAUUAUGUUUAACUAGGCCAAUUCAAUUAUCGAGCAGUUUGAUAUAUUAAAUGAGCUAGAACAGUAGCCUUUUAAUUAUUUCACUUACUAUUAUCGAACAGUUUUAUAUCAUUCCCUAUCUUAUAGUAAAGGUAAAAGAACAGAAAAGGUAUAUUGCAUUAGAGUUCGUGUACUUCUACCUUUUAGUUUAUUCUUCAUUUUAUUAAAAUGACAGAUUCCUCAUUAAAAAAGGUCACUCUACAUAGUAUGUGGGUGUAUGUUCUUUUAAAAAGGACUGAGAGAAAAAUAAAUGUGAAAAACAAGUAACAUCUGAAGAAGAAAGUGAUGCUGACACAUUAACGACCACUUGAUUUUGUAGGGACUGCACAUAAUUGAUAAUUUCAUCCAACAUGAGACCUUUCCAAUUACCUAAUUUUAUACCAAACAACAUGAAGUUUAUAAGAAAUAUUAAAAACACAAAAACUCGUUAUUUGUUUUAAGACAGGAAAAAGUGAAUAAAAAACAAUAACAAAAAAAAGAACUCAAAUUACUUAAUUACCAUAGCUAUGAACAAGUUUUUGCAAAAUUUUCAUCCUCUCACUAACUUUCUCUCUUCUUACCUAAAACCAAAUAAUGACAAGACAACUGCCCAUUAGACUAUGACAAAAGUUGGAAAUUAAAAUAAUAUAGUAGGUUAUUUUGGAUAAAAUUAGAAAAAGAAAGUUUGAAUUUGUAUUAAUAUACUCACCCUUUCUGUUAACCCCUAUUUGAAGGGCCGAAAGAGUAGUAACAGUAGCAAAAAAUUCAAAUAAUAGAAAUCAGAGUGCCCACUACAUAUAAAUGGAUCUAAAGAAUAGAUUAUAUAAUAGCUUGUUUCUUAUGAAUGAUACAUGUGAUUCCACAGAUAAAAAGAAAAUAAAAAUCAAGUAUGUGAAUUAAAAAAAACACCUAACCAAUAGGGGUUAGUGAGAUAUUUUAGCUAAAUAUCAGUUGACAGAAUCUGACCCACAAUAAAAAUUGCUAUCUUUUCACAAUGGGAAUCUGAAUUAUAAAAUUACUGAACAAAACUUUUAACACCUACAAGUCCAAAUAACAUCAAAUAAAAUGCCUAACCAGCUGUUAAAUAUAAAAUGUCCAUGUAGGACUAAAGCCCUGUGGCUAAUCCUUCAAAGUUCCAAGCAACAAUAUGAUAAAAACAUAAUGCAUAAUAUAUAAGGAGCUUAUCUGUAAAACUUCCAUACAAUACUUAUCAUAUUAAACAAUGUACAUAAUGAAAUAUUGGCUUAUUUCUACAGAAUAUUACGAUCUAAGUACACCAAUUUCUCAAGCAAUGCCAUAUAGAAAGAUACCGAAGAAAAAAGGAAAAUAAAAAAUCGAAGUAUGUUAGUUAUGAUUUCAACUUUUGAACUAAAAGUCUGUGACAAAUUUUGCUUCGGGAAAUACUAACAAACACUUGAGAAAAACUAAAGUGUAUCACACUUGAACCGUAUAUAAAGCACAAGAAUAAAAACAACAAGGGGCAAAAAGAGGCUAGAUGUAUCAUCUUCAUUAGUUAAACAACAUAAAUAGAAUCAAAAUAUUAAUGCAUACACCAAAACCUUCAAAAUUCUCUAAACAUUCAAUUUUUUUCAGAGUAAGAAAAUAAAUUUAUAAGAAAUCGAGAAUGCGUAUUUGUUGCGGUAUUUUAUCAAGCAAUUAGCAUGCAGCAAUGUAAAUGACAAUUAAAACAUGUAAAUCUCUGUACUUUGAAAGCUCACCUUCGUUAUUCAUCCAAAGAGAAUAUAUAGGGCAUGUAAGCUCCUUCUUUGAUAUUUAUCCCUAUCGUUCAAUUAUUUUGUUUUCAUCAAAUUCCGUUAGCUCAAGUGGAGACAAAGCAAUACAAAUGGUGCAUUUAGAAGGUACAACUUUAGAAACCGAAUUUGUGCUUGCAACAUAGGAGAAACAGGGGCUCUCCUUCCAUUUUCCUGGUUUUGUGUUUGGUGAUUUUAAAAUUUUAUAUCUAUAUUUACGAAAAAAGAAAAGAAGUUUUCAAAACUAUUUUUUUUAUACAAGUUCUGUGUCAACUCAAAAAUUGCUCAUGACCAAAAAACAUCUAUGGUUCUUCAGUUACUCAAAAAUUCCUCGUUUUUGAGUUACUUUUUUUUUUUUUUUUAAUUUUUAUUCUCAAGUAAUUUUAUCAUGGAAUUGUUAAUUUUUAUUGAAUGUUGAACAAGCCUUUAUUUCUUUUCUUUCCCUUUUAAUGAAAUUAAAUAAAUGGUGGGGAUAUACCCUACAAAUUAUUGUCUCCACCCCAUAUUUAGUAUUGCUUUUACCACAUGAAAAAUUAAUUUUAUACGAUAAAUUUAUUUACUUGAAUAUUAAACCAUAUCAUGAACCAAUUGACAGGUUGAAGAAUUAACUUUCAAGUUUCAACAUUAUAAGAUUAAUAAAUAGCAUAAACAAAUUUUUAUUUUCAUUUAAAUUAAUCUAAUCCUACCAACUUCAUUUGGAUUUCAUAGUUGUUGGUUUCAUGUAUCACACGAAUUGUUAGGCACCAACUAACACAAGUAUAUGUUACUCAAGCAUCUCACUUGAAUAAUAGUCUAAGGAACUUUGAUUCGGAUGGUAGAUAUUUAACUAACUAAAACUAACAUUCUUAACUCAAAGCUCAUUUACUAGUAAAAGUAGAACCUUCUCCGUCAGCUUAUCUUGUUCAUUAUAUAACAAAAGAUAUUUAGUGAAAAAAAAAAAUUGGAGGGGGGGGGGGGAGGGGGAGACUAUGAUAAUAAUUAUGUUCAAGAUCUAGCCGCUAGGGAUAGAUUUGGCUAUGACUAUUUGUUGAUCCAGUAAUUAAUUUGAACAAUAUUGUUAAUUUUAGUUGAAACUGGAAUGAAUUUUGUGAAAGAUGCUUUCUCAUAACUAACCAACUAAAACUAACAAUCAAAUUAUCAAAAUCAGAGCUCAACUACUAGUAAAACUAUAAAAGUAAAACACUUGCUUCUCCAUCAAGUCAUCUCUUUAUAUAUAACAAAGAAUGUUUUAUGAAAGAUGGCAAAAGCAGUCAAUAACAAUUAAGUCUCAAAUAAUUCAUAAAAGAUGUCAAGCUCUGUUGCGAAUGCUGCUGAGGCUGAGAUUUGGAUUGUCCCAUUCUUCGGUAAGGGACAUAUGUUUCCAUGCAUUGAAUUAUGCAAGCAAAUCACUUCUCGUAAUUACAAAUCUACCCUCAUUAUUCCCUCUCACGUUUCCGCCACCAGCAUCACCCCUUCUUUUGUUCACCAAUACCCUCUAUUUGAAAUUACUGAAAUACCCUCCUCAUCUCCACUACUACCAUCGCCUCCUUCUUACCUCCAUGUUGUCAUGCACAACCAAAUGCUUCAGGGUCUUCGAAACCUCCUUUCAACCCGGAACCCGAAAGCCGACCUGUUUGCGUAGUCAUCGGCGUUAUGAUGGGCUGGACGGCUGAUGUUUUCAAGAAUUUUGAAGUUCCCAUUGUUGGGUUCUUCACUUCUGAUGCUUGCUCAGCAGCUGUGGAGUGUGCCAUGUGGCAGGCUCGCAUCCAGGAUGUCAAACCGGGAGAGGCCCAUUUACUUCUUGGGUUACCCAAGGAUGUUGCUUUAUUCCAAUCAGAUCUUAAACGCAGGCCUCACGGGUCCCUUCCUGGUGGCCCACAACCUUUGUGAGGUGCACCCGGUUCAGAGAAAAUAGGUCCAUCAGAACCGAGUGAUCAACCACACUGGAUGAAGCAAGUGGAGGGAUCGAUGGUGUUGAUGCUAGUGUGGGGAGUGGGCCCAUUGUUACCUGAACAAUUUUACAAAUCGACCGGUUCAGUGCUUCGUGAUUGUGAGAUGAGAACCAACCGGCGGAGUUCUAACAUGACCAAAGAUGAGAUCAUUCAAUGGUUAGAUUUGAAAUCAUGUGGAUCAGUGUUAUACAUGUCAUUUGGUACCGAAAUGGGUCCCACCUUAAAUGAUUAUUCAACAUUAGCCAAUGAUUUAGAAGCAUCAAAUCCACCGAUUAUUUAGGUAAUUCAAACUGAUGUAAAUAGAUUGGAUCCUCCACGUCAUUUAACCAGCUUAUUUUCAUAGUGGUUUAGAUAGUAAAGCCGGUAAAAAGGGUUUGAUAAUAGAUGGAAUGGCACCACAAUUAUUGAUGCCGAGUUAUCAAUUAAUAGGUGGAUUUUUAUCUCACUGUGGAUAAAAUUCAACUGUAGAAGCAAUUGGCUGUGGGGUCUCAAUUUUAGCAUGGGCAAUUAGAGGUGAUCAACGUUACAAUGCCAAAUUGGUGAUCAAUCAUCUCAAGGUGGGGUGCAUGAUCUCUGAUGAUCAGUCGAAAUUGACUUAAAAGGAUGAUAUAGUGAGUGGUAUAGAAAAGCUUAUGAGUAGGGUUGGGCAAAAUAUCCGACCCGAUCCGAUCCGAUCUGACCCAAAAAAUAUCGGGUUCAGAUCGGAUCGGAUUGUUAACAAAAUCCAAUCGGAUGUAACUUUGCCAACCCGAUCGGAUCAUGAUCGGAUCGGAUGAAACCCGAUCCGAUCCGAAAACCCGAUCGGGUUGGCUUAAAAAAAAAACUGUGUAACAAACUAACAAAGUGGCAAACACAACAAAAUCGGAUUCACACCACACAAAAAGCAAAUCUUAGAUCUAAAUUAAAAUAAUCUGUAAGUGCACACACACACACUCACAUCACACACGGUCACACACAAAUAGAGGUUUGGCCUCGGAGAUCGGAAAUGUUGAGAUGCCAAACAACGAAGCAGCAGCCAACAGAUUGGAGAUACAACCGCAAGAAGCAGCAACCAGCAGACCGGAGAUGCGGCCGCGCGAAGCCGCGAACCAGCAGCCAGCAAUCACCGACGUGAUCGUGCGAAGCCAAACCAUCGGAGAUCGGAGAUGUCAGCGAAGCAGCGGUGAGCAGAUCGGAGAUGCAACCGCAAGAAGCAGCAGCCAGCAAAUCGGAGAUGCAACUGCGUGAACCAGCAGCCAUCAGUCACCGACGCGAUCGUUCAAAGCUAAGCCAUCGCUGCAACCGCAACGUGCCGAUGGAAUCUACUACACCUCGACUGCUACCGCUUGCUGCCACUAGCUUCACCGGUUACCACAACUGCUACAACUAAAUUCACCUCCACAUUCACUGUCACCAAGUUUUUGGUGGUAUUGACUAUAUUGUUUUAAAUAAUUUAAUUUAAAAAGCUUAAAACAAAACUAUAUCUUGAGAAAAGGUUGAUUGUUUUACUUGAUUGCUUCUGAAAUUAACCCAGAAAUAUAGAAUGGAUAUAUAACCCGAAUGCUUUUAAAUCUGAAUCUAAUCCGAAUUAAUCCGAAUUUUCGAUCCAAUCCGAUCCGAAUUAUAUUCGGAUCGGAUUGGAUCGGGUUAAUAAUUCGGAUUGAGUUCGGAUGAUUUUUUCCCCAACCCGAUUGAUCCGAAAUUGAUCAAAUCAACCCGAACCCAAUCCGAAUCCGAUUUUGCCCACCCCUACUUAUGAGUGAUCAAAGAAAUUGAAAAACGAGCUCACAUGCUUCGCCGUGUAUUUAAUCAUGGCUUUCUUAUAAGUCAAUGACUUCUUUAAUAUAGUGUUUACUUUUUGGAGUGAGAGUGAGGAGUGUGGAUUCCUCUUACUCCAGUGUUUACUUACAAUUUUCAAAGGGGAAGUGAGAAUUCCACUCCGUGGAUCCCACCUAAUUUUGGAGUGGGGGAGUGAGAUUCCCACUCCCAUGGAGGAAGGUGGGAGUGGAAAUUCACUCGCCUCUCUUCCUUUUUCACCCUUAUAUUUAAUAAAAUAAAAUAAAUAAUAUCAUAUUUAUUUAACUUAUAUUAUUAUUUUAUUUUAUAAAUUACAUUUAUUAAAAAUAAUAAUAUUAAACAUAUUUAUUUUAUUAAAUUUAAUAAAAUAAGUAAAAUCAUAUUUAUUUAAAUAAUAAUAUUUUAUUAUUUUAUAAAUUAAAUUUAUUAAAAAUAAUAAUAUUAAACAUAUUUAAAAUAAUAUUAAUUUUUUGGUUAAAAAUAAUAAUUUACAUUGAUUCUAAGUUAAAAUUACUUAAAAAUAAUAUCAUUAUAUUCAUAAAGAAUUAAUAAUAUUACUAUAUUCUAUUUUUAUUUGAAAAUAUAAUAUUAUUAUACUUAUUUAAAAAUAAUACUAUUAUAUUUAUUUAAUAUUAGUAAUUAAUAAUAAUAAAUAUUUUAUUCUAAAAAAAUUAAUUUUGUACUAUAUUAUCAAUAAUAAUGUUUCAUUUGUAUUGUUGUUAUUAAUAAUUUUUUAUUUAUAUAAUUAAAAUUAAAAUUAAUAAAAUAAUUGUGAUUUACAUAGUUAAGAAUAUUAAUAAUUAUUAUUAAUUUAAAAAUAUAAUUUUUAUUAAUUUUGUAAUUAAUAACUAUAAUUCUUUAAGAGUAAAGCUGUAAUUUAAAAUCAUUACUCACAAUCUAAGACAAUGUAAACAAAUAAAUUGGAUUCUGAUUUCAAUUCCAUACUUCCAUUUCAGUGUAAGUAAACAACAUACUUCGACUCCCACUCCACACUCCUAAUCCCAGGAUUCUCACUUCUCACGAUUCUCACUCCAACGCAAAAUGUAAACGCUACCUAAAUGCUUUCAAAUAUCUUGUUAACCAGAAAUCAAUUUAACAAAAACAAUUACCGUGUAUAUUAUUAACGAAAAGGCUUUGAUUCCGUUGGCUUGGGUGUAAAUAAAUCGACUUUAUCAAGAACAGACAUCUCAGCAACUACAUAAUAAUAUAUGUAAGCUUUUGUUAAUUGACUGCAUUAAAUCAUUAAAUCAAAAGCCUUACAAAGCAUCUACAAUAAAAAGAUGGCACAUCCUCCAUCCAAACGACAAAAACAUGGACUCGCAACGCAAUUCUUGCUAAUUAAUUAAUAGGUAGUCAUAUUCCUCCGAGCAACAAAAUGAACAUCAAAUUGUUGAUGAGGCACCAUAUGCACAAAAUGUUGAUAUUGUUUAAUGUUUAAUAUUAUGGGAAAGUUUUAAUAGAUCUUCAUUUCCCUUACAUAUUGUGAGCUUAUAACCAAAAAUGGGACUAUAUGGUUGUGUGACAAACAAAAAGGGAAAUUUUUUACUAUUCGGCUAAAUUUUAAUGUCAAUAAUAUAGGAUCUGAAUUCACUUUAAUAUGAUAUCGACAUGUGUAGAAAAUUCCUUAAGUAAAUAGAUUUUGCAUAAAAGGUAUCGACCCAGAGUCAGAGGAAAAUUAAAUAGAAUGUCUUUUAAUACAACAAUCACUGGUGACCCUGUUUGGGCAUAGUUUGAGAGUACUAAAAUAUCUACUGCCAACUCUAUUCUAGUUGAAAGGCUAUCAAGGCAAAUUGGUCGCAUUGUUGAUGAUGAGGAAAUAGAGGUUGGAUUCAAGAAGAAGAAGAUUAUGGUAGUAAUGUUCUUGAAGGUCGAGAGAUGGAGAGAUUGAGAAAUAAUAGUGCAGCAAGUUUAAUGAGUGGAUAAUAUUAUGGUCAUAUGUUUUUUUUUUUUACACACAUGUAUAUAAUAUUAUAUUUCUAUGAACUAGUUUGAUUACAAUGAUUUUAUGUACAUAAAAGUUUAUAUAAAGAUUAAAUUUUUGCAUUUUCUUUUUUGCACUUAAUUUAUUAAUCAAACUAAUGAUAUGUUAGUAUUUGUUAUAUCACGAACUACAUAACAAAUUUUUUAGUUAAAAAGAUAUUGAAGUUAAUUUUAUUGCAAAUUAAAAUAGUUAAUAAAAAAUUAUUUAAAUAUGUAAUAAAGAAAAUAGAAUAUGCUCUUAAAAAAUCUUGUAAAUAAAAAAAGAUUUAAAUAAUAAUAUUCUAAAUAAAUUACAAACAAGUAAACAAGUACAUUUUUGUCAUUGUACAUGAACAUUUUACACUUUUAAUUUUCAUUUACCAGAUUUGUAUAGUAAACCGUUUAAAAAUUGAUUGUCAAAUAAUCAUCAUUUACCAAACACCCUAAUAGAUUAUUUGUAAAAUUAUUUUUUUGUUCAGAAUCAAGGUAGAAAUUAAUUCUUGGAAAGUAAAGGAAAUCUCAAACAUACCCUCAAUCAACCAUGGGAAGUUAUUUAAGUUGUAGUAUCUAAUAAGUUCUAUUAAUAGUGAGCGCACAUAUCAAAUAUAUAAAAAUAAGUAUUUUAGUUAUUAUCCACCUGUUCCCUUGAAAUCAAUCUCAGUUUUUUUUUUCUUUUACCUAAAAUUCCAAGAAAAAUAUAUAAAAGAAGAAGAACUUUUUUUUGGGGGGGGGGGGGGGGGGGGGGGGGCGGGGAUUGGGGUGGGGGAGGGGGGAGCUCCUCUGUUUUCAUUCCAUUGUUUUGAAAUUAUCUAUCAUCAGUAUAAAGUUAUACUUUUGAAUCAAUAUGCUUUGUGACUCGAUAAUUUAGCAUAAUAAAAAAAGAAAAACACACUUACUCACAUCCCGAUUGAAUCUUAUCUCUAAGGAUAAGUAAAAAAUUAUUGUUCCUCUUUUUCUUUUACGGUUUGUUUACGAAAAGAAAACACUCACACCUUCAAGAUAUUUAUAAGUAGAACACUUAAGUUUUAAGAAUAAUACACCCUAAUUUGAAAAAAAAUGAAUACAUGUAUCAUAUUUUAUGUUUUUUUUUUAAAAAAAUUAUUUGAUGACAUUAUGAGACUCUAUAUGCCAAGAUCUAUGUGAUGGUGAGAAUGGUUUCAUAAAAGAAGCAAUAGUAUAACCGCACACAUGGCAUUGUUUGUAAUGACUAAAAUUAGAAGAGAGUCUAUGUAUCUACUCCUGAAACAUUAAGAAUUUAACUAUUUAUUAAUUAAAUCAAAAUUUCAAGAUCAUAGUGUCGUUUUACAUAAAGAACCCAAAUACUAAAUCUAGCUAAUAAAGGAGAACGGUUUAGAUUAGUUGCUUGGACUUCCUUGUCUCGGGGCUGUGUGGUCAAGCCUGUCCAUCAGGCGGAUUCAGAUUUUGAAAGUUAUCUGAAUCUUCUUCUCUAUGUAAGCCUAUACAAUGAUUUUGUGAAAGACAUAUGCAAAAACAGUACCAGUAAGCAUAUUUAUUUAUCAAAGAUGUCAAGCUCUGAUGCUCAGAUAUGGAUAUCAAAGAGAGAGAUUGAAAAAGAGAGAGAGAGAGAGAGGAUAAUCAGGGACUCGUCUGUUAUCAUUCCCCUGUUUUUCAGUUUGGUGAUUGGAAGUAACAUUAUUUGCGUGUACUCUUUAUUUAAUUUAUUUUUCAAUUUUUUAAAAAUUAAUUAUUGUUCUUCUCAAAGCGUUUAGUAAAUUAUAUGAUAAUCUGAUCAAAUCUCUAACAUUAAUGUCCGCAUAAUCUAGUAAUGAAACUUAUAAUUUUAUAAUAAUCAAAUUGAAGAUUUCUUCACGCUGUUUUGUAUGAUGACGAGUUUUUAUUUUUCUGUUAAACAUAAGAUCAUUUUCUAAUAAUGUCCAUCUGGAAUUAGUAAUAACGAAGCAUCAUUUGUGGACAGAACAAUUGAAAUAUCAAGUCACUAUUGAUCCCACUUUGAUGAUUGCACUUUAGUUUCUUUCUAAAAUGUCAUUCUUCAUUCAAGCUUUUACUUUAUCUUUUAUCAGGUAUCUUACAAAGCUUUUCCCUCCUAAUAAGCUCUAAUAAACCAAUGUGCUUUUCAAUUUCGCAGGAUACAAGUAACGUAUAUGCCAAAAUUAUUCAAGCACAACAAGUAUUUAUUCGUCGAAAACUUCAACUUAAUUAUUUCAUUAGAAAAUAUGAAACGCAGAGCCAUAAACUAGUGUUUUCUUCAACUUACUUGGGUUAAAUAAAAUUUUUUCAGUAUUUUUCCCGAUCCAUUUCUUGUAUCUCACUGCAUGCUUUAUUAAAGCUUCGUCUUUGUUCUUGAUUGUGAACUUCAAGAUUAAAUCUUAAAAAUCGGGUAUAAAAGGGGUGCUUGAUUAAGUCUUCUUCUUUUGCAAUUCAUUGUUACGGCUCUUUUCAGCUUUUUACUCACAAAUUCCUCUGACGUUAACAGUGAUCUAUCGCUCACUAAAAUUGUUCUUCAUAAUUUCUUUCAAUACCAGUUCUUAAUAUUCAAGGCGAAUAGAGAGCUCAUCAACUCUCUGAUCCCAAAUAAUUAAAGAGGUACACAUGCUCCUAAAUCCUCUAAUAAUUUCUUUUAACAGCAGUUCUUAUUUAAUUUAAUUUCCGUCUAUUUUCCAAGAAAAAUUUCUCCGGUUUGUCUUAAUCUUAUCAUUUAUUUUGCUUGAGUUGUAAGUUAUUGUUCAUUUGUAAGGUCUGUGUUCUUAUUACUAGCUUUGGUUAAUUUGAAUCUAUCUUCCCCAAUAAAAAAAAAAAAGAAGUUUUUAAAAAAAGCGCGGGUUUUUAUUCGGACCCUUAAAACCUCUCUGUUAAUAGCAAAGAAAGACUCUAAUCCUCGAGCCAGGGGGAGUAAAAAAAGAACAAAGAAUUCUCUGUUUAAGUAUCAAUUGUCUCAAGAUCAACAUUGUUUUUUUUCUUUUUCUUUUUUUUGUUAAUUUGUUUGUUAUUUUAUUAGAUUUGCUUUUAAUCUAAUUGUGCUUGAGGAUUGAAGAUGAGUGAGAAAUACCCUUUUUUUCUGAAGCAACCUACAAAUUUUAGAAUAGGGUAAGAGUAUUAGAGAUUCAAUUAAUCAAAAAAAGUUAUUUACAUUCGUCAUUUGCAAAAAUGUUUGCAUUAGAAUUUUUCUAGCAUUCAAGAGCAUUACAUAUCAUCAUGUCACAAAAUAGCCUGAAAAACAAGAUAAAUCAAUUAGAGCAACUUGCUCUUUAUUGAAUUUUUUUUUUUUUUGUUUGGUUUGCCCGAAAUCCCAGGGAAAAUAUUAUAUAAGAACAAGAGUUAAGAUCAAAAAAAUGUAAAACAAGUUUCCUCUGUUUUCGUCCCCCCCCCCCCCCCCCCCCGGUUUGAUGAUUGAAAUUUUUUUUAUCUAAAUUUUAUGAUUUUCCGUUGGGGUUUUAUUAAAUAAAAAAUAAUUAGAAAAUGUAAUUCUAGAUUUACCCUUGUGCAUCGAGUGAUUAUUAUUAUGUUCUCUUAAGAUUUGAUAGUGCAAUUUUGUGUGAUGUGAAUUUCAUGUUUCUGUUAAUCAAUACAAACACAAUUUGUAAGUAAUGGCCAUGUGGAACUUAAUUAUAACCAAGCAUCAUUUGUGGAAAGAACAAAUGAAAUAACAAAAAAGCAGCGUUGGCAAUACAAUAUCAAACUUUAUUUAUUUAUUUAUUUUUGUUUUUGUUCUUGAAUAUGCAUUAAUCAAAUCAUAUAUUGUUGAUCUUACUUUGAUGAUUUGCUGUUCAGUUUCUCUCUCAAAUGAUUUUUGUGUGUUUCCGGUAUCUGCUUUUAUGAAAGAAGCCCUAAAGUGCAUGUGGAUUUUUAAAAAAAGAUUGCAUAUAAUUAUCCUAUACGUGCGUAAACAGGGCAACAAUAACCAAAUACAUGAUAUAAAAAAGGGGUGCUUGAUUAAUGCUUUUUCUUCUGCAAGUCAAUGUUAUUAUUCUCAUCAACCCUUUUCUUACACAUUCCUCGGCAGUUACCGGUGAUCUUUUUGCUCUUUGAGGUUGUUCUUAAAUAUUCAAGGCCAAAUAGAGAAUCUCACCAACUCUCUAAUCCCAGAUAAUUAAAGAGGUGCACAUUUUCCAAAUCCUCUAAUGUGUGUGUUUGUGUAUAGUAGAUCUUUGAUCUUGACAUCUGUUCUUUCAUAAUUUCCAUCUAUUUUCCAAGAAAAAAAAUUUCUCUGGUUUGUUUUAAUAUUGAAUUUACUUUGCAUGAGUUUUAAGUUAUUGUUCAUUGUUAAAGCCUGUGCUCUUAUUAUUUCGUUUGGUUAACUUGCAUUCUUCCCCCCCCCCCCCCCCCCCCCCCCCCCCCCCCCCCCCCCCCCAAAAAAAGAAAAAAGAAAAAAGAAAAAGAAAGUUUUUAAAAAGAUUAUAGGUUUCUACUCAGACCCUUGAAACCUUUUAGCUUUCCGGUAAUACCAAAAUCUCUAAUCCUCCAACAAAUGAAAGCUAGGAAAAAAAUGUCCUAAAGUUUAAUAUCUGUUGCCUUUGUAUCAAUAUUGCCAGUUUGUUGUCUUUUAUUAUAUUGCUUGUUUGUCAUUUUAUUUGAUUUACUUUAUAUCUAAGUUUACUUGAAGAUUAAAUAUCAGUAGGAAAAGCCCUUUUUCUAAAGCAACAUACAGAUUUUAGAAUAGGGCUCAGCCACAUGAAAAUGUUUACAUUGUAGUAUCUCAUAUCAAUAAUCUAAAAACAGCCAAUCCAACAAGUUCAAAUUCAGUCAAAUCUAAAAAUGAUUGCUUUUAAGGAGUACAUGAUAGCUAUUAAAAAGAUCUUUUAGGCAGAAUUGAAAUGCAGUCAAUCGUAAAUCAACCAAUCCAACGAGUUCAAGUACAGAGUCAAUUGAACAAAUUCAUCACUUGCAGAAUUAAGCUUAUCUUCCGAAAUUGAGUUGUUUCCAUUAGAAAUUUUCCCAUAGUCACGAGCACUAUCAUCAAAACAAGAUUAUUUGUAUAGGAACAAGAGUUAAGGAAAAAAAAAAAAAGGUAAAACAAGAUUCCUCUGUUUUCAUUCCCAUUUUUUUUCCUUGGUGAUUGAAAAAUUUUAUCUCUAAAUUUUUAUAAUUUUCCAUUAAGAUUUAUAUUUAAAUAAAGAAUUAAAAAAAUCUAAUUUUAAAUUUAUGCAUUGAAUGAUUAUUAUUAAAUUCCCUUAAAAUUGGUUACAAUAUCAAUUAAAUAACGCAUAGAGUUAUUGAUCACUUUGUUAAAAAUGAUCAUGUGUUCUAUUUAUAUAAUAAAACAAAAGAUGGGGUCACACUUAAGUCUUGUUCUUUUACAAUUCAUUUGUAUUACUCACUCUCAUGAACUCUUUACUUACAUUCGUCUGCAGUUAAUAUUCAUCUUCUGGUCGUUCUUAUAUAUUCAAGGCCAGCAGUGAAGGUCAUUAACUCUUUAAUAAUUAAAUAGGUACAAUUGUCCAAGAAAAAAUAGCCCUUGUUUGUUUUAAUCUUGUCAUUUAAUUUUCUACGUACUGUUCAUUGUUAACUUCUGUGUUCUUAUGUAAUAUUAGCAAUGGUUAAUCUGCAUCCAUCUUACAAUUUUUUUUUUAAAUUGUUGGUUUUCCAUUCAGGCCCUUGAAACCUUUUUUUAAAAAGUUGUUGGUUGUCAUUUCUUUCUCCGUCUUUCCCCUAGUUCAUUUUAAUUUAUUUGAAUCUAAUUUUUCCAACAGCUAAUAUAUAUAUAUAUAUAUGUAUGUAUGUAUGUAUGAAAGCAACAGGCUAGGCAAUGGCUGCAGACCUGGUUUCCACUACUUUUUCCGGCAUUGUAACAGAAGGUGCAAAGGCAUUGUUCGAACCGAUUAUGCGGCAGAUCUCUUAUGUGUUCAAGUACCAGAGCUACAUAGCUGAGCUAAAAGUUCAAGUGAAGGAGCUAGAAUAUAAAAGAGAAAGGGUGGGAAUACCCGUUCGUGAGGCUACUCAACAAAGAGAUGAGAUUUACAAGGAUGUUGCAGACUGGCUUAAUAACGUUGAUGAAUUCAUCAGUGAAGGGGUUGCAAAAUCCAUCAUUGAUGAUGAAGAUAGAGCUAAGAAGUCCUGCUUCAAAGGAUUUUGCCCCAACUUGAUUUCUCGUUAUAAACUUAGUAAACAAGCAGCAAAGGCCGCAGAAGCUGCCGCUAGUCUCGUGGGAAAAGGCAACUUCUCUAGUGUUUCCCACCGUCCUGCUCCAGAGAGUACAGAACAUAUGCAAGCGAAAGAUUUCGAGGCCUUUGAUUCAAGAAUGAAAUUAUUUCAAGAUGUUGUGGAGGCAUUGAGGAAUGAUAAGCUCAACAUAAUUGGGGUCCACGGUAUGGGCGGCGUGGGUAAAACCACGCUAGUCAAGCAAAUUGCAAAGCAAGUUAUGGAAGAUAAGGUGUUCGAUAAGGUCGUUAUGGCUGAGGUAACAGAGAACCCAGAUGUUCAGAAAAUUCAAGACAAGCUCGCUUCCGAUUUAGACUUGAACUUUGACUUGAAUGAUAGCAAACCCCACAGAGCAAAACAACUUUGUCAAAGAUUGACGAAAGAGAAGCGAGUCCUCAUUAUAUUAGAUAAUAUUUGGAAAAAACUUGGGUUGGAAGAAAUUGGAAUUCCUUUUGGGGAUGUUGAUGAGAAAGAUAGAAAGCAAGAUCUAAGGAGACGCAUGAUAAUAUUGACGUCUAGAAGUAAACAUUUAUUGACCAAUGACAUGAAUUCUCAGAAGAUUUUCCUAAUUGAAGUUUUAUCAAAGGAAGAAGCAUUGCAAUUUUUUGAAAAGAUCGUGGGCAAUUCCGCAAAAGCAUCUGCUUUUCAACCUUUAGCAGAUGAGAUUGUUGGAAAAUGUGGAGGAUUGCCUGUUGCACUGAGUACAGUUGCAAAUGCUCUGAAAAAUAAGAAGCUUCCCGUUUGGAAGGAUGCGUUGACUCAGCUGCGAAAUUCUAAUCCAAGAGAAAUUCAUGGAAUGGAUGCAAAUGUCUGCUCUUCCAUAGAAUUGAGUUACAACUUCUUGGAAAGUGAUGAAGCAAAAUCUUUGUUCCUUCUUUGUACUCUAUUUGGUGAAGGUACUCCUAUACAAGUUGCUUCCUUGUUGAGAUAUGGUAAGGGUUUGUUUAAAAAUGUUCGCACAUUGGAAAAUGCAAGGAAUAGAGUGGACGCAUUGAUCGACAAUCUCAAAGCUUCAUGCUUAUUGUUGGACGGCGAUGCUGAAGAUGAAGUUAAAAUGCAUGACGUCAUUCAUGUUGUUGCCGUAUCAAUUGCCUCAGAGAAGCUCAUGUUUAGUAUCCCAAAUGUUACCAACUUGAAGGAAGAGAUAGAAAAGAUCAUACAGAAAGGUGCAAUUGCUAUUUCUAUACCUUAUGGAGAUAUUCAAGAGCUUCCCGAAAGGUUGGAAUGUCCCCAACUCAAGUUAUUACUGUUGCUUGCAAAUGGUGAUAGCUAUUUGGAAAUUUCACACCUCUUUUUUGAAGGGACGGAAGAUCUCAAAGUUUUAAGUCUUAGCGGAAUUCAUUUCUCUUCAUUAUCUUCAUCACUUGGUCACCUCAUUAACCUUCAAACAUUGUGUUUAGACUGGUGCCAACUAGAAGAUGUAGCGGCAAUUGGACAGCUAAAGAAAUUAGAGAUUCUUAGCUUUCGAUAUUCCGACAUUAAGCAGUUGCCACUUGAAAUUGGUCAAUUGGCGCAGUUACAAUUGCUAGAUUUGAGCAAUUGUAGCAGCCUUGUAGUGAUAGCACCAAAUGUCAUAUCAAAAUUUUCUCGAUUGGAAGAACUAUAUAUGGGUGACAGCUUUCCGCAGUGGGAUAAGGUUGAAGGAGGAAGUAACGCCAGUCUUGCUGAAUUGAAGGGGCUGUCAAAGCUAACUACUUUGGAGAUACAAGUUCAGGAUGCCCAAAUGCUGCCGCAGGAUUUGGUCUUUGUCGAAUUGCCAAGAUAUAGGAUAUGUAUAGGAGAAGCGUGGGGCAUCUGGCGCGCUAAUUCUGAAACAUCAAGAUUGGUGCAGCUCCAUGGGUUAGAAAAUGUUAGCACUCUUUUGGAGAAUUAUGGGAUGAAAAUGUUGCUGAAGUUAACUGAAGAUAUCCGUCUAGAGGAACUGACGGGUGUUCAGAAUGUUGUUCAUGAAUUAGAUGAUGGGGAAGGUUUUCCACGAUUGAAGCAUCUUUGGGUAGAAAGGUGUUCUGAGAUUUUACACAUUGUCGGUUCAGUUGGACGGGUUCAUCGCAAAGUCUUCCCCUUGCUGGAGUCAUUGUCUCUCUAUAAAUUGAUCAAUUUGGAGGCCAUAUGCCACAGCCAACUCAGAGAAGAUCAAUUUUUCAGCAACUUAAAGAUUAUAGAAGUAGAAUCCUGUGAUAAAUUGAAGCAUCUUUUCUCAUUUUCCAUAGCCAGAAACCUACUGCGGCUUCAAAAGGUCAAAGUGGCUUCCUGCAAUAAACUGGAAAUGACUGUUGGUAAGUGUUGAAAUUAAGUGUUGGUGGAUUUAUGGACUUCGCCUCAAUUAUUUUGAAAAAAAAAAGACAACGACAAAGAUUAAUUAUGUAUAUUGUUUUUGUUUGUUUACAGGACCCGACAGGGAGAAACCAACAACUUCUUUGGGAUUCAACGAAAUCAUUGCUGAUGAUGAUACUGCUCCAAAGGUGAUAAUUUUCUGUUCAAUAAUUAAUUGAUUAAUUUAUUAUCACGAUUAAUCUUCGAUCAUCAACAGAAUAUUAUACUAGACGGUUGUACUUGAAGGAACAAAAAUGUACGGCUUUUCUUUGCAGGUUCUUCUUCCGAGCUUAGAGGAAUUGAAUCUCACGGAAUUAAGAAACAUCAAAAAAUUAUGGGCCGAUCAUAAUCAAGGAAUGUACUGUUGUCAAAAUUUAACAAAGCUGUACGUGAGAAGUUGUGAUCGUAUGAAGUAUCUGUUUUCGUAUUCUAUGGUUAAUAGUCUUUUGCAACUCCAACAUCUUGAAAUAUGGUCUUGUGAGUCAAUGGAAGGGGUAGUCGACACCACGGGGUGGUCAGAAAGAGAUGAAGGAAAGUUGAUUGAAUUAAAGGUUUUUCCUAAACUACACUCCCUGCAGCUCUAUUGGCUUACAGAACUGACAAGCUUCGCCAAUACAGGACAUAUUCAUUCAGAUUUAGUUGUUGAAUUCCCUUCUUUGCUAAACCUCGAGAUUGGUAAUUGCAGUAAUAUGUUAAGAUUCAUCUCUACGAGCUCACCAGAAGACACCAAUCAUUCUGAAAUGCAACCUCCUCCUCUCUUUGACGAAAAGGUUUUUUUUUUAAUAAAUAAAAUUAAUUUUAGUCACAAUACUUAAUUUGUCUUUUCCUUGAGUCUUCAAAUUUAGUUAAUAUCCGCCUCUAAUUUAGUUAUCAAUUGAUUAUGCCAUUAAUUGAUUAAUUAGUUAUUUAAUCUUUAACUUCCAGGUACGACUUCCUAGGUUGGAGGUAUUAGAUAUUAGCUGGAUGAAUAAUUUGAGAAAAAUAUGGCACCACCAGCUUCCUUCGGAGUCUUUCAGCAAAUUGAAGAAUUUGGAGAUAUAUAAGUGUCAUAACCUAAUGAAUAUUUUUCCUCCAUUGGUAAGGUCGUUGUAUUCAUUUCGAAUCUUUUUUUUUUUAAAUUACAUCCAACAAUAUUUUAACCAUUUUUGGGUUUACAAAUGAUAUUCAGCCACUGAUUAUUUAUUUCAAGUAUUGUAUUUCGAACCACCACUCUCAAAUCUACAUUUUAAGUCCAUUUUUUAGGUUCGCCAGCAUUAGAAUCAACAAUAUAAUUUUUUUAAUCACGAUUCAACAUCAUAAUAUAAUUCAAUUUAAUUGUUUCUGCUCAUAUCUUAAUAAGUACAAUUUUCAAAAAUUAAAGGAUAGUCACUCAUCUUAUAGGUUCACAAAUUCAUCUAUAUAUUUCUCUUUUCCUUAAUUCUUCACAUUUCGAUUGGAAAAAGAAAAAAAGAAAAGAAAAGUCUUCAAAUUUAAUUAAUAUCUCUUGUUUAGUUACGAACUGAUUAUGCCAUUAAUUAACCACAAAUUCACGAUUAUUUACAACUGAUCCUUGAUUGUAAAGAAAUUUCCUCGAGUCUGGAAGUACUUAAUAAAGAUCCACUUUAAUUUUGUUUCCAAAAUUAAAUAUACAUAAAAAAAAGGGACCAAGGGAAAAGGGAAAAAGCGGCAUUUUGGUUGAUUUUUUUUUCCCAAAAGGAAUAGUUGAAAUUUGCAAAUUUUGUUUAAAAACUGGCAUCAAGAUGCAAAAUAAGUCUAAAAUAUUUAGAAAUUGCCUUAAAUUCUUCGUACGUUCCUAAUACUAAAUAGUGUAAAUGCAUUUAAUAUCUUUGUUUAUCUGGCUUUUAUUUAUUUAUUUAUCUUGUUGCUUUUUUUGUUUAACAAAAAAUUAUCUUGUAGACAUUUCAUGGUUUGUUAUCUUUAUAAAACGUAUAAUUGUAUGAUUAAACAUACUUUGAACCUAGUUGAAUGAUAUUCUUACAUUUUUACUUUUUUAAUAUACACACACUUUUGCUUAUUUUCAGGUUGGAAUUCCUAGUAGUUUGGUGAAUCUUAAAGUAUCGAAGUGCCAAAAAAUAGAAGAAAUCGUAGGACAUGUUGGAGAAGAAGUGAAGGAGAAUCGUAUUGCUUUCAGCGAAUUAAAAGUUUUGAUACUUAAUUAUUUAUCAAGGCUUACCAGCUUUUGUUUGGAGAAUUACACUCUUGAAUUCCCAUCACUGGAACGAGUUUCUAUGAUACGUUGUCCAAAUAUGAAGACUUUUUCUCAGGGAAUCUUAUCCAUUCCAAAGCCAUGCAAAGUGCAAGUGACUGAAAAGGAAGAGGGUGAACUGCACCAUUGGGAAGGCAAUAACCUUAAUUCCAUUAUGCAAAAGUAUUACAAAGAAAUGGUAUGUGUUAAUCGAUUCACCCAAAUUGUUUAUGCAUCUCCCCUGCAAUUGCACAUUUAAGCAUAUACCCCGGUCUUGUAUAUAUAUUUUUAGAAGUUAAAACACAAAACAUGUAAGUUUAAUGUGUAUAUAUAUAAUGCCUUUCAAAAAAAAAAUUGUAUAUAUCCGGUGCAAUUGUUUUGGUUUGUGCAGAUUGGAUUCCGUGACAUAUGGUAUUUGCAACUCUCACAUUUUCCACGUUUGAAAGAAAUAUGGCAUGGCCAAGCACUGCCUGUCAGCUUCUUCAACAAUUUAGCACGGCUGGUGGUGGAUGACUGCACGAAUAUGUCGAGUGCUAUUCCUGCCAAUCUGCUACGAUGCUUGAACAAUUUGCGACGGCUGGAAGUGAGGAAUUGUGAUUCACUAGAAGAGGUGCUUCGUUUGGAAGAGCUAAAUGCUGACAAAGAACAUAUAGGCCCCAUGUUUCCUAAGCUUUCCAAUCUAAGGCUCAUUGAUCUUCCAAAACUCAAAAGAUUCUGCAACUUCACUGGGAAUAUAAUUGAACUGCCUGAGUUGAGAUAUCUAACUAUUGAGAAUUGCCCUGACAUGGAAACAUUCAUAUCCAAUUCUACAUCUGUAUUGCACAUGACAGCAGAUAAUAAGGAAGCUCAAAAAUUAAAAUCAGAAGAGAACCUCUUGGUAGCUAAUCAAAUACAACAUCUCUUCGAUAAAAAGGUAAUCAUUAUUAUUAUUUUUCCCUUCACUUUCAUUCGCAUAGAUGUAAUUUCAUUAGAAUCAAAUCAAAUUUAAUGACUUAUCUUUUUGCACGUCGUCUUAAUUUAUAUCUGAUUUAACAAUAUAAUUGUAGUUAUUAACUAACUUUAUAGUAUGAAUUAAAAAAAUGUCUCAAAUUAAUUAGAUGCCUAGUGACAGGAGGUGAUGAACUAUAUCGCAUAAAUUAUGCGUGUUAGAUCUUUGUUUUCCUAGCUAAUUCAUAUUGGAUUUAUGAUCAGAUUUCAUUUAUGUGUUUCAAAGGGUAAUCGAUUUGAUACUUAUAUUUGGGAUCCUACUGCAAAGCAUACUAAUUUGGAAAUAAAAUAUAAAAUGCCGUGAUUAAUCUUGUCCAUAAAAUAUGUAGGGGAAGACUGUAGAGAUUGGAUACAUAUUUUCAUUUACAACUUAAUUUUGUUGAUUUUCAGGUUGCAUUCCCUCAAUUGAUGAAGUUAAAGCUAUCUGGAUUACACAAAGUGCAGCAUCUCUGGAAGGAAAAUGCCGAAUCCAACAAAGUGUUUGCAAACUUGAAAAGUCUAGAAAUAUUUGAAUGUAGUAAGUUGCAGAAAUUAGUACCAGCUUUGUGGCAUUUGGAAAAUCUUGCGACUCUGGAAGUAUCGAAGUGUCAUGGGUUGAUAAAUUUAUUGACACUCUCAACAUCUGAAAGUCUAGUGAAUCUUGAAAGAAUGAAGAUAACUGAUUGCAAAAUGAUGGAAGAAAUUAUACAGUCGCAGGUUGGAGAAGAAGCGGAAGAUUGCAUUGUUUUCAGGAAAUUGGAGUACUUGGGAAUUGAUUGUUUGCCAAGCCUAACAAGCUUUAGUUUGGGUAAUUACGCUCUUGAGUUCCCGUCCUUGGCACACGUAGUUGUGAGACAAUGCCCAACGAUGAAGAUUUUCUCUCCAGGAGUCGUAGACGCACCAAAGCUAAACAAAGUGAAACCCACCGAAGAUGAAGAUGGUGAUGAUGAAGGAUGUUGGGAAGGCAACCUCAAUGACACUAUAAAAAAAUUGUUCAAUGAAAUGGUGAGUAUCAAUGAAGUGUUGGCACUAUCUAGUAAAUUAUUUCUAUUUAAUGUGGCAUAAUAUGAUUGCUUGACUGAAAAUAUAAAAUAAUAAUAAAUAAAUUAUGAGGGUCAUGUUAUGUUUUUGUUUAAUCAAUCAUAUUAUGUCAUAUUAGUUUGUACAAUAUUAUUUGUGCACAAGAGGCUGUGGUCGUAUCAUUACUCUUGCCUUAUUAUUAUUAUGGUUGUAAUGUAUGCUUGCUUACACGAGUAAUUACAAAAUGUGCAGAAUUCUAAAGAAAAGAUUGAGCCAACCCUUCAGGUACUGUGAAGAAGCUAUCUCGAACCAGGCCAACCUCUUGUACAUGAUUCAACUUGCUUGUUCUCCUGUACUUGAAUAAUCUAAACGCAUUUACAAUUAUUUACAGACAUGCAAGACACUUUGGAUUUGUUUGAUGCAUUCUCUGUUUAAGGAAGGACUUGAAUUGAUGUUUCAUGCUUCAUGCAAUUUUCAAUUAGAUACUGUUUAAACUUCUGCAUUAUUCAUUCAAUUGGUGUUUUAAGCAUUUGAUUUCUAACUAGUCCUAAUAGAAGAUUAUUGGCUGAAGAAAACAUCAUAACAUUUGUGGCAUUAUCAGAAUAAUAAUAGUUUUACGAGUAUAGUAAAAUUAACUCGACCAUUAUUAAAAGGAAUUAAUCCGUCAAAUUAACUUUCUCAGACCAGAACCCUUUAAGUUAAAAGAAUUUCGUGAAGUCAAGACCAUGUUAUAGAUCUUGUGGAAAUAAGUGAACCCAUAAAUGUUUUCACAGCAUCAUAAGAAAAUCAUUUUUUUAGUUGUUGAGUUUUAAAAGUAGUAGGCUAUUAAACAAUGACAAUUAGUGCGGUCGCAGUUGGGGAUCGAGUAGUUCACUUGAUUGCGAGUAGAAACCAACUUCAAUACUAUUACACUCAUUCCAAAAAUAGUAACUAAAGAAUUAUUAAGUUUCCUAUUAAGUAUUCUUUAUUUUUUAAUGCAAAAUUCCUAUUCGAAAACACCAGUGACUUUCUUUCAAAGUAAAUGAGAAAUUACAAUGAAAACGGGAUCAAAAUACAUGUAUGCAUACCUAAAACAAAUGAUUUUUUUUUUCAAUUAAAAAAAAAACAGUUGAGGUGAAAUGAAACCAGAGUCAUGAUGUCUCUGGUUCCAACUUUGGGACAAUAGCAGACUUGAGUUCUAUAUAAGAAACACGUACAGCUCCAAUCAGCCGCUCCGGUAAUUCAUCUGUAGUAUUUGCCUGCAUACACGAAGCAUUAUACCAUUCUGAAAAUGAUUCUUGAGUUACUAUUCAAGUAUGCAAAUAUGCAAAUUGCAGUACAAUAUCUCAAAAUCAUGUCUCUUCCCUCGUGUCAUUUAGAAGUGGGGGAAAAAAACAAUCAUACAUACCUGCACAAGGAAAGCCAUGUCAACCACCAAUGCCGUAAUUACACCAAUUACAAGGCCCAAAACUCCAUUAGCAACUCUAGAAGAACACGUCAACAUCAAUCUACAGAAAGAUGAACAAUGUUAAACCAUGUUAAUGGUAUUGAACAAGCUAUUUGAAAGGGAACACAUCCCAUGUACUAUAGGAAUUCGAAGAGCAUUUAUUUCUAACUACUUAGGACCGCGGAUAUAGUUACAAUCAACUGCUUUUCCUAAUAAACAAGGGGUGCUUCCAUCACUCUGGUGCAUGAUCCAUGACUAAGCCCUAUAUUUAAGUCAUAUUGAGGAAACAUAAGAAAAAAAUUCCAGAAAAAGUAUCAGCUAAGAAUUAAAAUUAAAUUCAUCAAAAUGAUCUCAAUCACUAGAUUUUUUACUGUCACAGUAUGUUUAAAAACUUGCAGAAGGCCCAAAGAGAACUUAGGACUGAACCGAGGGAAAAACAAGACGGUGUAUUUAUUUUAUUUCUGAAUGCCAACAAUUACAUUGGGAUACAGAAAUUUUAGGUAAUUUCCUCACAUAUUACAUCAGAAGAGAGGAAAGGGGAAAGAAGAACAAUAAAUGUUCUAUUCUGACCAAAGCAUAAAUGAGAUGAUUGAAUCAAGAGACUAUUACAUUGGAAGCCAGUCCAGCUGAAGCCUAUGAUAGAGAAUAGCCGUAUGACCAUCUACCUCUUCAACUAAGCUGCGAUACAGAAGACUACAAUCCCACCUGCACAAAACAUGAAAAACGGUGUACGUGCGGCAAGAACUUUGAGAAAGGUACAUAAAAAAGAUCUGAUGGCCAAGAAAUACAACAAUUGUACAACCAAAAGAGGUAGAAAUCCAUGUCUAGUACACUGCCCUCUUCAAGACCUCUAAAUACUGAGUCAAAUUGAUAGGAAUUUCAUGGAAAUAACUAUUCGACAAAUGAUCAGCCUUGCUGGCCUUUAUAAGCCAACGCACAGAGAUUAUGGAACAAUGCAAUGGUGCAAACCAAGAAUUAUUAGGGUACAGACAGUAAAAUUAAAUAGAAUAAUUUGAACACAUUACUAGCAAACCUUGCCAAGAGACUUGUUAAAAUCUAAUUCGCAAACCAGCUAGAUUUGCUAGGAAACAGGUAAUUUCAGGCAGCACGCCUUCUCCUGUUUUAGAACACUCUUUUAUGUAAUAGUGACUUCAAAAGUGUAACAUGUUUCGAAAAAAAAAAAAAAAGAGGAAAGAACGUAUUUGACACUUCAUGAAAUGGCUAAGAUACAAGCUUUAAUCUAGUACAACAAAUUAAUAUAACUAACUUCAACCAUCAAUUGAUCUAUAGUUCAGCAACAAAAAAUAUAGAUAGCUACAUCUAUUUUGUCUUCAUCAAAUACCAUUAGCUAAGUGGAGAAAAGUUAUAAAAAUGAGUCCUAGUCUUUCUUUAUUAAUGAAGCAAUCCAUCAAACUUCAAAAGCUAUUUUCAUUUCCACAUUCUUCAUAUACUUAAGCAACAAAAGUUUGUAAUAAUCUUUAGAAAGCACCAUGCAGAUUAAUUAAAUAUAUUCAAAAAGGCACAUACAGAAUCGGGACUGGAGACAAUGUGAAUUUCACAGCAUACAAGAGGAAAUAUAAUACUCAGCUUACACAGACAGCCAAUAUAGUCUUGAUUAUGUUAAAGUAACUAAAAAUAAAAAAUAGAAAAGAAGCAUACUCGUAUCGUGUCCCAUCCAUGCUCAUUACAAGUUCAAAUAUUUCUUCACAGCUGGCCUUCAUAACACCAACAGCCUUCAUUGCUCUACUACAGCUUCUCGGCAGCAUUAAGUAAACUUUAGAUGAUGGUUCUGACCUAAACAAAAUCACAUCCUGAGCAUAGAGUAAAGAAAGUGGCAUACAUGGUAAUCAACUUCAAGAAGCUCUUCAGAAAUACAUAAUUCUGUUGGGGAGAAAAGAAAAAAGAAAGAAUACAAAUAAAAAGAAGUCACAAACAAUUCAUUUCCUGCACUACACAUCAGCAGCAGUUUUUCGGGAACACAAAAAUGUUAUAAUAACUUUUCUUGAUUGCCACCCACAUGCUAAACUGAUCAAAUACAAAACAGGAUACAGAAAAUCUCUAACCUUUUUGGCACUGAAGAAGACGCCAGUGCUUUCAAAAGAAAAUGCUUGAUUGUUGGCAUUCUGGUUUGAAAAAUAUGAGUCCAAUUCCUGUGUCCAGUCAUGUACCAAAUCAGGACGACCUGCCAGUCAUACAAAGAUGACAAAAAUACACUAUAAAUUGCGUCAAACCAAUUCAAGUCAAUUGGAGAAGUAAAUCAAGGACCAUUUGCAAUAGUUGUUCUCCACAUCAAAUUUGGGUGUCCAUCGUCUUCAUCCUCUUGUGCACUGAACCUGAGAGUCCACGAGAAAUACAUAUAAAAAUUAGCCAUGAUUGAAAUUGAUAGUAGUACAAAAUGGAUAUAAACAUCACGAUGAACAAAUUAAAUUGUUCCAUGUCAGACAAAUCCAGCCUGCAAGCUUAAGCUCUUAAGCUAGACCAAAUCACACUGCAAAUAACAAUACAUAAGGCCAAAAAAAGAUAAUAUGUAUCAUUCAUAUGCUUCGCCCUAUAGAAAUGAUUUGAGUCUACAUAAGAAAAUUUUUUGAGCUUCCCGAUCCACGAAUAAUAAUAAAUCUCCUUAAAAUAAUCUUUUGUAAAUAAUUUUAUUUUUCUUGACACAUGACAAGCACCUUCAUAUAGAGAAGAAAGGAGAAUCUCAAAUUCCACCCGCUCUCAGAACACCACAUCAAAGCUUCGUAUCAGUGAACAUGGAAGAAGAAUAAAAGAAGUAGCUCAAAUCCUGUAAAAAAGAACCUUGGACUUCGACUCUUGUCAAACAGUUGACUCCGACUGAAUAUAGGAAGAGUAAUUGAGCAAGCAUAGAUCGGCCAAGCUUAAGCAAGCGCAUAGAUCGGCCAAAUUUGAGCAAAGCCGAGAGAGAGAGAUGAUUGUGGUCAAUUUACAGCCGCAGUUGAUCGUUGCCGACUCGUGCCGCCGUUGAUGGCCGUGGAACAAGAAGAGAGGUGAGGUGAGGCGAGGGAGUGGUAAGGCGCGUGACGCGAGGGCGUGGGAGUGGGAGUGGGAGUGGGAGUGGGAGUGGUGGUUUUUGUGCAUGUAUCAGAUGCACGCAUGUAUUAUAGCAGAGUUGAGUUCAAUACGAAAAACACGUACAGCACCAAUCAGCCACUUCGAUAAUUCAUCUGUAGUUGUGAGAUGAUGAAUCAAGUUUGGUUCCCAGAAACGGCUGCGUUUUGAAGCCGUAAAAGCUUCAUUAGCUCACGUGCUGUUCAGCUGAUUCUUAACAAAAAAACGAUUUAGUGGAAACGACAUGGAUGGAGCACGUUUUACAUAUCAAUUUAAGUAACCACGUGAGGAAGCAUGUGAUGAAGGUUGUUCCGAGUUCGUUGAAGGUUGUUAAGCACGUGUCAAAACAAAGUGUUCAUGCUGGAAAGAAACAAAAUAUUAAUAAAUAAACCCUUAAAAAGAUUCUCUGAAAAUUAUGUUUAACUAGAACAAUUAUCUAGCAGUUUGAUAUAUUAAAUGAGCCUGUUAAUUAUUUCACUUACUAUCUUAUAAAUCCUCUCAAAAUUACACCGCUGCUCUGACCCCAAGUUCCAUUAUCAAUUAUAUCAUUCCCUAUCUUAUAGUAAAGGUAAAAGAAAAGAAAAGGUAUAUUGCAUUAGAGUUCGUGUACUUCUACCUUUUAGUUUAUUCUUCAUUUUAUUAAAAUGACAGAUUCCUCAUUAAAAAAGGUCACUCUACAUAGUAUGUGGGUGUAUGUUCUUUUAAAAAGGACUGAGAGAAAAUACAGUAGCACGUAAAAAUGUGCACCCAGCAGCAGAACCAUAUUAAUCCACAACAGCGCAAAAUAAAUGUGAAAAACAAGUAACAUCUGAAGAAGACAGUGAUGCCGAAACAUUGACGACCAAUAUAGUGUCUUGAUUUGGUUAAUUAAAUAUAUUUUUGUUAUCAUCCACCUGUUUGCUUUAAAUAAUUUUCAAUAUUUUUUCGUAUGCCUGAAAUUCCAAGGAAAAAUAUUUGUAUAAGGACAAGAGUUAAGGGGGACAAAAAUGGAAAAAAUAGGGCUCCUUUGUUUUCAUUCCCCUGUUUCUCCGUUUGGUAAUUGCAAAAAUUUAAAUCUAAACUUAUGAUGCAGGCUACAAGGUAGCUGGUGGACGAUUAAUAGGGUCUAUCUUUUGUUGUUAAUUAGGAAUUUAAUUUGGAAUUUGUAGUGUGCGCCUUAUCUAAGCAGACUUCCUAACAGUAAUUAAAUAAUCUAAAUUUAUGAUGCAUUAGGAUAUGAUUGUGAUAAAUUAGCUUUUUUCUCUGUAUUCUAUGAGGCUGAUUAUUAUUUUAAUUUAAGCCACACCUUUAAAUUCAGUUUUCGCAAAACUGACAGGUAGCUUGGGUGUAAAUGAAUAUACAUUAAUGAAGAACGGACAUGUGGAGUACCGAUAUACUAGCAUAAGUAAUGUUUAAUUUUAAUGUAUAAAACAAUGGUGCAUUUAGAAGGUACUACUGUAGAAAUAAAAUUUGUGCUUGCAACUCAUUUUUUAAUUCCCCUUUUUAAUAAUAAUCAAAAGAAAGCAGAGGAGAAACAGGGGAUUUUCCAGUUUUUUAUUCGGUGAUUUUUAACUUUAUCAUGGAAUUGUCAAUUUUUAGUUGAAACUUAUCUAAAUCGUCCUCUCUAUAUAAGCGAAUACAAUAAUUUUGUGAAAGAUAUAUGCAAAAACAAUACUAAUAAGUAUAUUUAUUUAUCUAAGACGUAGAGCUCUAAUGCUCAGAUAUGGAUAGUCCCAUUUUUUGUUAGAGGCAUCUCUUUCCAUGCAUUGAAUUAUUGCAAGCAAAUCGCUUCUCGCAAUUACAAACCUACCCUCAUCAUUGUCUCUCACGUAUCCAGCACCACAGUUACCCAUUCCUCUCCUCACCAAGGCACACAGAUUACAGGACAAUGCAGCGAUGCCAACCAAGAAUGCUUAGGGUAAAGACGGAAACAUAAAACAGAAUAAUAAAAAAAAAUCUAUUCCGUAAACAUAAUAAUUAAACAGAAAGUGGUACGUUCAGACAAAACACCUGCUCCUGUUUUAGAAAAGAGCUCCUCCGUUUUUAUUUCUCUGUUUUACUGUUUGGUGAUUGCAAAAAUUUUUGUCUAAAUAAUGCAUAGUAGAGUCAAGAAUAAAUUUAUGUUAAAACAAAGAAACAUCAAAGAUCCCCUGAUAUUAUUAUCCAGAACAAUAUGUUUAUUGGGCCGAAAUGGGCUAACAUACAUGGGUUCAAGCUUGCAAAAUCCACAUUUAUGUAUAAUUAUAUAGUAAUUAAAUACUGAACUUGAACUCAUACAACUCUUCAAUCAUUUGGAUUUCGAAUCUGUGUUAAUUGAACUAAAUACUGUCAGGCAUUCGAGUAAACACAUAAAGAAUUCAUGAUUUAAUGUCGUUCUGAAUUUUGACUUCAUAAUAUUCCAGCUACCGUUGCAGUUUCUAUUAUUGUGUGAUAAAUAUGAAUGAUGUCUUAGUAUAAAGACAUGUCUCAUUAAUUAUACCUUAUAGAAGAGAUAUCUUUUUAUACUAAAACUAUAUAGUGAAAAGGGGUCCGCCUAAGUUACGUUAAACGUAACUUACGGCCUGGCUGUAAAACUUCAUCCAGCCCCCUAUAUUCGAUAUUAUUUAUAUUAUAUUUGUGAAUAUUAUAAAAAUUUUUGAUUUGAAAAAUUUCGUUUAACCCCUUACACUCAAUUUUAUUUUAUUAAAAUCCUAGAGUACGAAUUUGCCUCCUAUAAUUUUAAAUUCUCAAAAUAACCUCAUUUAAUUAAAAAAUAUAAUUAUUAUUAAUUGAAUUAUAAUUAUAACUAUUAUUUUAUUAUAAUUAUAAAUAUAUUUAUAUUUUUUAAAUAGAUUAUUGUUAUUAUUAAUAACAAGAAUAAAAAGUAUUACAAUUAAUUAAUCUAUUAACAAUAAUUAAUAAUUUUUUAUUAAAUUGUUAAUAAUAAUUAAUGAUAAUUAUUAUUAAUAAUUAAGUUUUGAAUAAUAAUAAUAAUUAACAAUUAUCAUUAAUAGAUUGUGACUGACUCUGAACAAGUUGUCCGAUAUUUUAUAUCAUAUUGUAUGCAUUCACUUCUGGCUACAAAAAAAAUUAAAGAAAUAGCUUUCUCUUUAACCAAACAAGAGAUUUAACAAAAUCAUAAACACACGUUUCUCAAAACUAACAAGGACUUGGACAAUUAUGGCACUAAGUAGUACUGCAAUUAAUAUCAGUGAUGAGAGUAUGUUGCUACUUUGCUAGCUAAGCCUAGGUGGGCAUUGGCAUUCCUAGGACUCUGAACAAUUAUCGUUAAUUUUUAAAAAUCAAUUAUUAAUAAUAAUUAUCGUUAAUUACUACUAUUAUUAAUUUAAUAAAAACUAUUAUUAAUUAUUGUUAAUAGAUUAAUUAAUUGUAAUACUUUUUAUUCUUGUUAUUAAUAAUAAUAAUCUAUUUAAAAAAUAUAAAUAUAUUUAUUAUUAUAAUAAAAUAAUAAUUAUAAUUAUAAUUCAAUUAAUAAUAAUUAAAAUUUUAAUUAAAUGAGAUUAUUUUGAGAAUUUAAAAUUAUAGGGGGCGAAUUCGUACUCUAGGGUUUUAAUAAAAUAAAACUAAGUGUAAGGGGUUAAAUGAAAUUUUCUAAAUAAAAAAGUUUUAUAAUAUUCAUGAAUAUAAUAUAAAUAACAUUGAAUAUAGGGGGCUGGAUGAAAUUUUAAAGCCAGGCCGUAAGUUACGUUUAACGUAACUUAGGCGGACCCAGUGAAAAGAUAUCUCUUCUAUCAGGUACAAUUAAGUAUGGUUGCUUGCAAAGAAAUGUAAAUAUAAGUCAUAAAACAAAGUCUCUAUUAUUUGAAGUACAAUUUCAUUCACAUGUUGCACAUGAGACUUGAGCAACCACGAUGUGCAGAAGACACUUUACAAUGAUUUUGCUUGUUUUUUUCCUAAUCAUUUCUGUAAUUGAUUUUGUUAGAAAAUGUUAGUAAUGAUUAAAUUACUUUAAAAAACACACUCACACAUCUUAACUGUAAAGGUUCAGAAAAUAUAUCGAUAAAGGUCAGAAGUAUCUAAUAAAAGUUGGCCAUAAACUUCAAUAUCCAAAAUUGCUUUAAUAAAGUAGCUGCAGUAAACAAAAGUCAGUAACCAUAGGCGACAAUAAAUCACAAUCAGCAACUAGGUCUCCAAAUCAAAAUAUAAUGGAUUUGGUUAAGUCUUCUUUCGAAAAGCUCUCUCUCCUUUAGAGAGGCUUGAAUGGAAGUAUUGAGGGGUCGUAAGGACUCAUGUGUUCACUCCCUGUGAGUGGAAGGUAAUCCAAAAAAAGUCAGCUUUUGGGGUUGGUGAGCUGGUUGAGAAAGCUUCGAAAGCAAAGUUCGUGUAGAGCGUUGGGGCACGAUUUAAAGCUAGUGAGCCUAAAUAACUUACUACCUAUCCAAGCAUUAACUACCAUGGAUACUGAAGAGCUAAUUCGUAAGUGUCAAGCAAUAACUAUCACAGAGGAAGACAAAGCCAAAAUAACGCUGGAGGUGAAUUUGGAAAAAAAGAAAGAACAAAUGAUGGCAGGAUGCUUAGUGGGCAAAGUACUUCUCACAAAGGGAGUAAAAAAAGAUGGACUUAAGGUUGCGUUACAGCAGGUGUGGAGGACUUUCAAAGAAGUCAAGAUCGAAAGCGUGGGAAACAACAUCUUCAUGUUCAAAUUUGCUGAAGAAGCAGACAAAAAACGAGUUCUCAAAGGGGGACUAUGGCACUUCGACAGGGCCUUGAUUGUUCUCGCUGAGCCAAGGGGGAUUGGGGAAGUCGCAAAACAAUCUUUUAUUCACACAUCCUUUUGGGUGCAUAUUCGUAAUAUCCCACUGGCGUGUAUGGAUAAAGAUUUUCUCCGAGACUUGGGCGGGAAGAUUGGAUCAGUAUAGGAGGUUCAAACGGAUGAUAAUGGAGACUGUAUUGGGGAAUUUUCCAGAAUAAGAGUCUCAAUUAACAUAACACAGCUGCUAGAGAAGAUUUUAUUUCUAAAGCAAGAAGGUGAAACUGAUAUCCCAAUGCCGGUGGUAUAUGAACGCUUGCCAGAUUUCUUUUAUUGCUGCGGAAUUAUUAGACAUCAAUACAAAGAGUGUGGCAAGUACCAAGACCAACCAAGAGAAGAUCUACCAUUUAGGAGUUGGAUGAAAGUGAUUACGGUAGGGGGUUUUACAAAGAGGAAUUGGAACAAGGAAAGGUGGAACUAUGGGGCUGGUAAAUCGGAUGAAAAAUCAACAAGCUCAGGAACUCACAACUUCCCGCAACAGCAAGGGCAAAACCAAGAAAACUCGAUAGGGGCAAACGGGUCAGUACCCAUUGAGAAAGAAAUGGGGCAAACCAUGAAGCAUGCCAAGAAGGAUGUUAUAGGAGGAGUAGCUGAGCAACAAUUAAUGCGAAGAGUGAUACAAUCAGCGGAAAAAAAGUAAAAUGAUGGCAACAAGCAAGCUGGGGAAACUGGCAAUGCAACAACCCCAAGGAAAAUGGGCACACAAGCGGGAAAUGGCAUUCCAAAAGAGAGGGAAAAAAUGCAGAUAAGUCAUGAAGAGGAAGCUGAAAUAAACAAUGGGCCGGAAGUAUCUCAACUACAGCCCAAUAAAAGGAAAUUGAAGUAAUUAACUAGAGAUCUAAGCGAGGGGGGGGGGGGAAAUUAAGUUACGAGUUCAAAAAAGGCCUAGGGGGAAAAAAUUUGGGCAAAGCCCAAGGAAAAAAACAAAGCUCUCUAGCCCCAAUAAGCUUGAGACUAAAAACCUGGAGCAUGUCUCUCCAACAGCAACGCUUCAGCUGGGUUAGGAACUGUUGGUACUGGAAGAAGUGGUAGUCAUGGAAGCAAACAAUAUGGAGAUAUCGGCGGAGGCUGGUGGUCAGCCCCCCCGGAAGCUAUGAAUAUUCUCAGUUGGAAUGUUCGGGGUCUGGGGAAUCCCCGAGCAUUUCAAGCCUUAAGAAAAAUCCUCCAAUUGCAUGGUGCUCAGCUAGUGUUUUUGUGUGAAACAAAGGUAUCAACCAUGCAAAUGAAUGUGAUUGCAAAUAAGCUGAGUUUUGAGAAUUGCCUCGCGGUGAACUGUAAAGGAAGAUGAGGCGGAAUAGCAAUGCUCUGGAAGUCAGAUAUUGGUGCAAAUCAAUUCAUACAGUCAGCACCACAUUGAUGCCGAAACUCAAAUGCCAAAUGGAAAUCGAAUGCGAGUUACAGGAGUGUACGGACAUCCGGAAACAAGACAGAAAAAACACACUUGGAUGCUCCUCAGGCGGCUGGCAGUUUUAUCUUCUAGCCCUUGGUUGUGUUGUAGAGACUUUAAUGAAAUUUUACAUCCAGAUGAGAAGAGUGGCGGCAAUGACAGGAAUGUGAAUUUAAUUAAUGAUUUCAGAGAAGUUUUGAGAGAUUGUGGCUUAAAGGAUGUUGGGUAUCGGGGGUACGCUUUUACUUGGAAUAAUGGAAGAUAUGGGUAGGGAUUCGUGGAAGAAAGGUUGGAUAGAUUUGUUUGCAAUAAAGCUUGGAGUGAUAGAUUUGUGGAUUAUGCAGCAAGCAACCUUGACACAUGGACUUCGGAUCAUUGUCCCAUGCUGAUGGCUGUUUAGGAGAGAAGUGGGGGCAUGAACCAAAGGGGUAGACAUUCCUCACGAAUCCAUUAUGAGGAUAUGUGGAGCUCGUAUGACUUGUACAAAGAGAUAAUCAAGGAGGAAUAUAAUUUGUAUAGAAAUUAGAAUAGUGAAAAUCCAGCCCAAUCCUUUCGAAAAGCAACAAAAGAUUCGAUGGGUAGGCUGUUGGGGAGGAGCAAGUUGGUGAGGAAAUUCGGAAGGUGGAGAAGCAAAUCCAAAAUAUCCUCAUGGAUGAAGAAAUCUACUGGAAGCAGCGCUCAAGAGCAGAUUGGCUCAAGGAGGGGGACAAAAACACAAAAUUCUUUCACGGCAAGGCAUCGACUAGAAGGAAAAAAAAAAACAAAAUUUUGGGGAUUGAAGAUAAUUUCGGGAGAUGGAUUGAAAAGCCAAAAGAAGUGGAGCAUGAGUUUUGCAAUUAUUUCACCAACCUUUUUACAUCAACCCAGCCGAGACAGGAUCAAAUUGCAGCAGCCUUGAAAGGAAUAACUCCGAGAGUUUCAGCCAGCAUGAAUGAGAGUUUGGAGGAACCGUUUACAGCCGAGGAAGUCUUGGAAGCUUUGAGUCAAAUAAAGGCUUCGGGGCCGGAUGGUUUUCCAGCAGUGUUUUACCAAAAGCAUUGGCAUACGGUUAAGGAGGGAGUGCUCACCACUUGUCUGCAUAUCGUCAAUUCACAAGGUACCAUAGGCCCUCUAAAUCACACUUACAUUGCUUUGAUACCAAAAAUCGGGAAGCCUAGGAAAGUGACAAACUUUAGGCCUAUUAGUUUGUGCAAUGUUAUCUAUAGAAUUGUAGGUAAGUCAGUUGCUAAUAUAUUUAAGCAAAUUCUGCACAAAAUCAUCUCUCUAUCGCAAAGUGCCUUCAUCCCCAAUAGGUUGAUCACUGACAACAUCAUAGUUGGCUACGAAUGUUUGCACAAGAUAAGGCAUUGUAAAGGAAAGCGAAAUGGAUUAAUUGCAUUAAAGCUUUAUAUUAGUAAAGCUUAUGAUAGAUUGUAAUGGAACUUCCUAGAGCAAACUUUAAAACAACUAGGCUUCUCGCAUCAAUGGAUUAGCUUGAUCAUGGGGUGCAUUAGUUCAGUUUCCUUCUAUGUGUUAAUAAAUGGCUCAGUGAAAGGCUUAAUUAAACACCAAAGGGGCAUAAGACAAGGUUGCCCCCUCUCUUCGUAUUUGUUUAUUACAUGUGCAGAGGCUUUUUCUUCCUUGCUGUAGCAGGCUGAGCAACAACGGCUUAUUCAUAGGCUAUCAUUUGGAAACGAUUUGAAGAUUUCGCACCUUCUAUUUGCUGAUGACAGCCUUAUCUUCAGCAGAGCUUCCAUGGCUGACUGUCGAAAUCUGAAGAUGAUCCUUGAGUGCUACUCCACAACUUUCGGUCAAAUAUUUAAUUUCGAGAAAUCUUCUCUUUUUCUUAGUGGCAAUGUACAACAAGAUCAAGCUGAGGCAAUUGGGAAUCUCUUUUAGCUCAAUAUUGUGUAAAGACAUAAAAAAUAUUUAGGCUUGCCGUCUAUGAUCGGGAGAAAGAGAAGCAGCUUCUUCAAUGACAUCAAGCUGAAGGUUUUCAACAAGAUCUCAAGCUGGCAGCAUAAAUUUUUUUCUUGUGGAGGGAAAGAAGUCUUAAUCAAAGCUGUUGUGCAAGUCAUCUCAGCCUACGCAAUGAGCGUUUUUAAAAUUCCGAUGGGAGUUUGUGAUGAUAUUUAAAAAAUGGUGGCAAAGUUCUAGUGGGGCUCCAAGAGGGAAGGGAGGAAUAUUCAUUGGGCGAAGUGUGAAAAGAUGAGUCAAGCUAAGUGUAAUGGAGGGAUGGGAUUUCGUGAUUUUUCAAGCUUCAACAGAUCCCUUCUAGCAAAGCAAGGCUGGAGGAUUCAGCAAUGUCCAAACUCGUUGGUGGCUAGGGUCUUGAAAGCCAAGUAUUUCUAGUCAAAAAAUUUCUUGGAUGCAAAGCUCAACUCAAACCCUUCAUAUAUUUGGAGAAGCAUUCUUUGGCGAAGGAAAAUUAUUUGCUCGGGCUCUAGGUGGAGAGUUGGCAAUGGUCAGAAAAUUCAUAUUCAUAAGGCUAACUAGAUUCCACAACCUUCAACAUUCCAGCCAAUGGUUAAGCCAACUUUUCCUUCGAAUGCUAUGGUCUCUGAAUUAAUCAAUGAGGCAAACUACUGGGAUGAGAAGAGGAUUUAUGAGCACUUCGAAAAAAUGGAUGCUGAUUUAAUUACUAAGAUUCCUCUGCCUAGAAGACCAAGGAAGGAUGAGCUAAUUUGGCAUUAUGGAAAAAAUGGCCAGUUCUAGGUUAAAAGUGGGUACCAGACAACUCUCCAAAUAAAGUUUCUAGCCAUGCCUUCAAGCUCAGUGGCUUCAAAAAAUGAAUGGAAUAUUAUUUAGUCUCUUGCUUUGCCUCAAAAGAUCAGAAUUUUUGCAUGGAGGGCAGCCAAAAACCUACUCCCCUCAGCUGAGAAUUUGUGGAAGAAAAAGAUAAUCCAGGAACCUACUUGCCAAGUGUGUAAAAUGGGAAUGGAAAAUGUAUUUCAUGCUCUAGUGGCCUGCAAAUCGGCUAAGAAAGUAUGGAGGCUAAUCUAUUUUGAAGAUGAUAUUAAUGCUGCUCACAGUCAAGAUAUCUUCAGUUUGCCGCAUGCUAUGAAAAGAAUGAGAAGCAAAGUUGACCUGGAGCUGUUGGUAACGAUUUUUUGGGUUAAAUGGAAUGCUCGGAAUCAGUUGCUAUUCAAAGGAAAAAUGGAGACCCCCCAUGUAACACCCUAGGCGAAUCCCAUAUCGGCAAAGCACAGGAGAGAUGCUGGGUUUAUAAGAAGUGAUCCACACCUUAAUUGGCAAGACGCGUUUUGGGGUCUAUGGGCGCCCCAAGAACAAAUCCGUGCAGGCCUUGUUAAGGCCCAAAGCGGACAAUAUCUUGCCAGGUCAUGACCCAACCCAGACCUGGCAAGAUAUUGUCCGCUUUGGGCCUUAACAAGGCCCGCACGGAUUUGUUCUUGGCGUGCCCAUACACCCCAAAACGCGUCUCAUGCUCCUUCUUACUCUUAGAGUAAAUUAAUAUGUCAUCAAUAAAGACAAUGACAAACUGGUCAAGAUAAGGUUGGAAGAUCCUAUUCAUCAAAUCCAUGAACGCUGCAGGAGCAUUAGUUAAUCCAAAAGGCAUAACUAAGAACUCAUAGUGUCCAUAACGAGUUCAAAAAGCUGUCUUCGAUACAUCCUCACUUCUUAUUUUCAAUUGAUGGUAGCCAGAUCGUAAAUCAAUUUUAGAGAAUACCGCUGCACCUCGUAAUUGGUCAAAGAGGUCAUCAAUUCGAGGAAGAGGGUAUUUAUUCUUGACAGUAACCAUAUUCAACUGCCGGUAGUCAAUACACAACCUCAUUGAACCAUCUUUCUUCUUUACGAACAAAACGGGAGCACCCCAAGGCGACACACUAGGACGGAUGAAACCCUUAUCUAGUAACUCUUGUAGCUGGACCUUUAGUUCUUUUAAUUCAAUGGGUGCCAUCCGAUAUGGCGCCUUGGAUGUAAGUGUAGUACUAGGAACUAACUCUAUAGUAAACUCAACCUCUCUAUCUGGGGGUAGACCAGGAAGAUCCUCAGGAAAUACAUCAAUAAACUCCCUUACAAUAGGUAUGUCUUCAAGGCACGCCCCAUCAGGAUGGUCAGCAAUUAUAUACGCUAAAAAUCCUUCACACCCCUUCUUUAGCAUUUUCACUGCCGUCACCAUAGAAAUCAAAGCUUUAUAACUCUUAUGAUUCCCUUGAAAAUGAAAUUCUUCCUCGCCAGGUAGGCGAAAAAUAAUUUCCUUAGCAAAACAAUCUAUUGAAACAUGGUAAGGUCCUAACCAAUCCAUCCUCAAAAUCAAAUCAAAAUCAUGCAUCUCUAAUGGUAGGAGAUCCACAAGGAAUUCUCUAUCACACAAUCUGAUCACACAUGACUUAUAGACAUGAUCUAUUAACUGGCAAUCCCCCAUAGGGGUACUAAUUGUCACGUGAACACCGAGUGGCGUGAUAGGCACAUCAGCAUAACGGGCAAACACACAAGAUACAAAUGAAUGUGUAGCACCAGGAUAAAAAGGAACUUUGGCUUCUCUAGAGAAUAAGGACAAUGUACCUGAUACUACAUCAUUGGACACCUCAGCAUCUUUCUCCGUUAGCGCAAAAACACGCCCUUGCACCUUCGGUUUCUUCCUCUGCCCUUCGUUAGUCGGAGUAUUUGUAGUCUCGCCACGUCUCUUUGGGCAAUCCAUAAUCCUAUGCCCAGAUUCUCCACAAGCAAAACAAGCUCCAGUUUUCCAAUGGCAUUCACCAGGGUGCCUCCUUUCACAAUGUCGACAAAUGGGGUAAUUUCUCCGAGCAGUGUCACUAGUAACACCCUUGUUAUCCCAUUUGUUACCUCCACCAUUAUACUUCUGGGAGUGAGUGCCUUGCCUAUAGGAACUUCCAUUUCGCGGUCCACCUUGUUGAUUCUUCUUAUUUCUCUGAUACCAUAAUGUCAUGACCCAACCCAGACCUGGCAAGAUAUUGUCCGCUUUGGGCCUUAACAAGGCCCGCACGGAUUUGUUCUUGGGGUGCCCAUACACCCCAAAACGCGUCUUGCCAAUUAAGGUGUGGAUCACUUCUUAUAAACCCAGCAUCUCUCCCGUGCUUUGCCGAUGUGGGAUUCGCCCAAGAACAAAUUCGUGCGGGCCUUGUUAAGGCCCAAAGCGAACAAUAUCUUGCCAGGUCUGGGUUGGGUCAUGACAUUAUGGUAUCAGAGCGGCUCCGCGUGUCCUCUUGAGCGAUGGUGGGGCAAACCUCAGCGAGGACGCUGAGUCCCCAAGGGGGGGUGUAUGUAACACCCUAGGCGAAUCCCACAUCGGCAAAGCACGAGAGAGAUGCUGGGUUUAUAAGAAGUGAUCCACACCUUAAUUGGCAAGACGCAUUUUGGGGUGUAUGGGCACCCCAAGAACAAAUCCGUGCGGGCCUUGUUAAGGCCCAAAGCGGACAAUAUCUUGCCAGGUCUGGGUUGGGUCAUGACACCCCAUAUUAUGGUAGCUAAAGUUGAAGCUAUGAUUGCAGCUUAUAAGAGGGUGCAUUCUUCAGUUGAGGCUUCCAGUGAAACAGAGCAGAGGGUACCUCUUCAGACAUGGAAUCCCCCUCAAGAUGGUUUUGUAAAAGUCAACAUUGAUGCAGCUAUCAACUUCAAAAAGAACCUUGUAGGGCUGGGGGCAGUGAUUAGAGAUGAUUCGGGGCAUGUUACAGCAGCUGCAAUCAAGAUUUCCAAGUUUCAUGGAGAUGUUUCUUAUGCUGAGGCAGCAGCUAUGGAAUGGGGUAUGUUGGUGGAGAGAGAAGCUAAAGUGAAAGUUGUAAUCGUGGAAUCAGAUUCUCAAGGUGUGGUCAGUUUAGUUAACAACAAGCAGGGCUGCAGAUCUGAGAUCUAUUGGGUUGUUUCGGAAAUUCAGAAGUUAGCGGAAAACUUCGAGUGUGUUAGUAUUAAGUAUACAGCCUAGAUCUUGUAAUGUUAUUGCCCAGUCUUUAGCUAAGUUAGCUCUAGAAAAACGCGAGACUGUUGUGUGGAGGGUUCAUACCCUUCACAAGUGAUGUAUUUCCUUUCAUCGUUGUUUUAAUUGAAAUCUAUUUUCAAAAAAAAAAAAUCACAAUCAGCAACUACAAUGAUCCAAAACCAACAUAGAAAGACCUAGAAAUAGUAAAAAAUAUUGCAAUAUAUUAAAGAAGAUUAAUUCAUCAGAGUGCCCACAACAUAUAAAUGGAUCUAAAGAAUAGAUUAUAUAAUAGCUUGUUUCUUAUGAAUGAUACAUGGGAUUCCACAGAUAAAAAGAAAAUAAGAAUCAAGUACGUGAAUUAAAAAAAUACCUAACCAAUAGGGGUUAGUGAGAUAUUUUAGCUAAAUAUCAGUUGACAGAAUCUGACCCACAAUAAAAAUUGCUAUCUUAUCACAAUGGGAAUCUGAAUUAUAAAAUUACUGAACAAAACUUUUAACACCUACAAGUCCAAAUAAUAUCAAAUAAAAUGCCUAACCAGCUAUUAAAUAUAAAAUGUCCUUGUAGGACUAAAACCUUGUGGCCAAUCCUUCAAAGUUCCAAGCAACAAUAUGAUAAAAACAUAAUGCAUAAUAUAUAAGGAGCUUAUCUGUAAAACUUCCAUACAGUACUUAUCAUAUUAAACAAUGUACCUAAUGAAAUAUUGGCUUAUUUCUACAGAAUAUUACAAUAUAAGUACACCAAUUUCUCAAGCAAUGCCAUAUAGAAAGAUACCGAAGAAAAAAGGAAAAUAAAAAAUCGAAGCAUGUUAGUUAUGAUUUCAACUUUUGAACUCAAAGUCUGUGACAAAUUUUGCUUCGGGAAAUACUAACAAACACUUGAGAAAAACUAAAGUGUAUCACACUUGAACCGUAUAUAAAGCACAAGAAUAAAAACAACAAUGGGCAAAAAGAGGCUAGAUGUAUCAUCUUCAUUAGUUAAACAACAUAAAUAGAAUCAAAAUAUUAAUGCAUACACCAAAACCUUCAAAAUUCUCUAAACAUUCAAUUUUUUUCAGAUUAAGAAAAUAAAUUUAUAAGAAAAUCGAGAACGCGUAUUUGUUGCGGUAUUUUAUCAAGCAAUUGGCAUGCAGCAAUGUAAAUGACAAUUAAAACAUGUAAAUCUCUGUACAUUGAAAGCUCACCUUCGUUAUUCAUCCAAAGAGAGAUAUAUAGGGCAUGUAAGCUCCUUCUUUGAUAUUUAUAUAUUUUGUCAUAAAAGAUUAUAUAUUGUCCGAAAAGAGCUAACUUUGGACAGGCUUUUUAUGCCAAAAAAAAAAAAAAAAUUCUUUUGUGACUAUUAUAAAGUUCGUCAAAAAGAAAUUGAAACAGGGACCAAGUAAUGUCUCAAAAAGAAAAAAAAAUGGUUAUCAAAUAUAAAAUUAUUCAAGACAAAACAUUCAAUGACUAUUGUUUAAUUUUGUCACUGUAGGUAAUUAUAUAUGAUAAAAAAAAAUGGUCUUAAAAUUAGCCAAAAGAACAAUAAUUUUGGCUACUAAUAUUUUGUGUCAUAGAUUGUGUAGUCAAUUUUACACCCCUCUUUUAGUUACCAAAUAAUUUGGUCGCCUAUAAUUAUAUUUCGUGACUAUUUAUUUUGUCAUAAAUAGUGAAAUAUUGUCUCAAAAUAAUCACUUUUGGAGGGAAGAUUUUGCGCCAAAAAAAUAUCUUUUGGUGACUAAAAUAAUUUUUGUCAUAAAAAAAAUUAAUUAAUGACCAAUGAACAAGUCUCAAAAUAAAAAUAAUUGGUUACAAAAAACAAUAUAAGUUAGGACAAGACUAUUAGCUACGAUUUUAAAAAUUUGUCACAAUAAAUACCAUUUUGUGACCAAAUUUAAAGUUGUAAAAAAUAUCAUCUUAAAAAAUCAAAUUUCUUAUAGUGGCCGAGGCCUAUGAUAGAGCAUAGCUCUAUGCCCAUUUACCUCUUCAACUGCCAUAGAGAACUAGAAUCCCACUUGCACCCAAAACAUAAAAACAAUGUACACUUGGCAUGAACUCUGAGAAAGCUACGUAAAAAUGAUUUGAUGGCCAAGGAUUACAACAAUUGUACAACCAAAAGAGGUAGAAAUCCAUGUCUAGUAUAGUGCCCUCGUUAACACCUCUAAAUACUGAGUCAAAUCAAUAGGAAUUUCAUUGUGGGAAAAAAAAAACUAUGCUACGAAUGGUCAGCCUUGCUAGCCUUUAUAAGCAACGCACACAGAUUAUAGAACGAUGCAGUGAUGCAAACCAAGAACUAUUAGGGUAUAGACAGUAAGAUUAAAUAGAAUAAUUUGAUUCCAUUUCUAGCAAACUUUGCCUAGAGACUUGUUAAAAUCUAAUCAGUAAACCUGCUAGAUUUGACAGGAAACAGGUAAUGUCAGGCAAAUCGCCUUCUCCUAUUUUAGGGCACUCAUGUAUAAUAGUGACUUUAAAAGUGUAAACAUAUUUUGAACAAUUUUAAGGAAAUUAAAACUAUAUUUGACACAUCACGAAAUGGCUAAGAUACAAGCUUCAAUUCCAGUACAACAAAUAUAACUUCAACUGUCAAUUGAAGGAGCGAGAUAAAGAGGAGAGACACGAAGCAAUAUACCAUUAUGAGAACAUUGCAGCAUACAAAAGUGUAAACGGCAGAGCAAUAUCUCAAAAUCAUGUCGUUUCCGAUGUGUGCUCAUUUGAAAGUGCAGAAAAACCACUCAAACAUGCCUGUACAAGGAAAGCCAUGUCAGCCACCAAUGUCGUAAUUACACCAAUUACGAGGCCCAAAACUCCAUCAGCAACAGUAGAAGAACCGAUGUCAACAUCAAUCUACAGAAAGUUUCUAGCAGUCACGAGCAUUAUCACGAUCAUCGUGCCGCAGAUUGCCCUAAAAACAAGACAAAUCAAUUUGAUCAGCUUGUUCUUCCUCUAGAGCUGCGAAUAAUUGAAAAAAAAAAGAUUAAUUCCAUAGAAAUCCAUUAAUGAGGACAUUAAUCCAAUAUAUAAAAAUGAAUAUUUAAGUUUGAAGCUCCUAGCUUGAAGCUUUCCAAAUAUAAAGUUACAUAGUGAAGGACAACAUUUGUCCAUGAGGUUUCUAAAAUGGCAACUUUUGCACAGUAAAAUUAAAACGGACGGCGGAAGCUCUAGAAACCUCGGAUCGGCUUCAUUCAAAAACGAAAAUCACGAGGAAAGAUUUAAGUUUAAUUAAAUCACUUUUAGUUUCAAAAACGGCUUCGUGAAGUAGAAGAAAAAGACUGAAAACAGCACGCUACGAACACUGUCCAGAAAAUAGAGCUCUGCACGAACAGCUUCUGUUUUGCCACGAUUUGAGAUCCUUAAAGCACCCCAAUUGUGAUGCCUCUAAUUAUUCCACACUUAGAAAUGUUCUAGGAGUUCAUAGGAUUUGGAAUCUCGAAAUUUCGUUUAGAAAUGAAAGAGAUAAUGAAAAAACAUGAAUGCUAGUUCAUGAUGAUUCAUUCCAUCAAAUAAAGCUACCAUUAUCUCUAAUAAUGGCACCAAACAUUAUCAUGUGCUAGACCCACCCACUUAGUUAUUAUUUAUUGAAAGUGAUCUUAUCACUUAAAUAAAUUAUUUAAUCAAAUAAAUAAAUAGCUAAAUUAAUUAAUUUCGUAAUUAAUUAAUUAACCCCAUUUUGAUCAAAUCAAAUGGUUAAAUGUGGGCUCAUUUUGUGACAUGUUCUAAUGCUUUCUCUUAAUCCAUAUUAGAUCUAAUAAAAGCCCAAAAUUCUAAACCCAAAAUUGGUCUAGAAGUCCAUAAUCAUAUAUGAACCGGAACAUGUCCAAAAUGGUCAUUUUACGUGCUUGAUAUUGCAUAAUGUUUAAUGGGGAUUUAUGAAAUUUAUUUUGUUCCUUAAACUAUUUAUGGAACAUCUAAAUUUCUAUCUUAAAUCAUAUUUAAGAUAUAUUUAUAUAUAUAUUCAUUCUUAAUGAAUUAUAAUAUAAAUAUUGAUUUUCCUAAAAUUAGGAAAUUUAACUUCUCAUUUUCUAGUAACUCCUUUUUCAUUUCUAUUUAGUGUGUGACCUUUCAGGUUCUUAGUUAUAAGGUAGUAGAACUAUUUUAAUGAUAACUCUUUAUUCAUUAAAUGAUGCUAAACUCUUUAGUAAUCAAUUAGAACUUUUCUAAUGACCUUAAGAUGCAUAGCUAAUAGGCUUUACCAAUAUUGAUCUUAAGGUUUCUAUAAGUCAUGAGUGACACCUAGCAGUAUAUCACAACUAUCCAAAUAACAAGAAUUGUUGGAUCUAUAAAACCUAUUUUAUUGUAUCUCUAUGUCUUGGUCUCUUCAUCAUCCAUGUCUAGAGAAAAGCACGGCUUAUGGUUUAUUAUGUUAAGCAGUUAUGAUUUAUCUCAAAAUAAAUCUAAAUGAACUUAACAUGAAAAUAUAAUUUGAACUCCUUCAAAUAUAUUUCACCUUGGCCAAGGAUUUCUCAUGCCAAUUCAUAUUAUCUCAUAGGGACAUCCUUUUUGUAUAUUACAAAGUGAUUAAUUCCAUAUUAGCCAUACACUUGUCUUCAUACAUAACCAACCAUGACAGCUAUUGCUAGAUCUCUUCCGUGAUUAGGAAUCCAUGAUUAUGCUUUCACAUAUCAGAGAUGUCUAUGUAUAAGACAUCUGUUAUGCCUCAAGUCUAAAGACCAUUAUUAAACAUAGUGUCUAUUACAAUGUAUAAUAAGCCAUUAACACUCAAAACCAUAUGACUUACUAUAUUUGGUCAUGUUCAGUAAACUCGUUCUCUCAACAAGUACCUAUGUGUUUGACUUGACAUGUCAUGUCAAUGAUAUGAAACUCACCAUCCAUUUUAGUAUCACAUACCAUAAGGAGUCAUAACACAUACUAGUGUUUAUAGGAAUUUAUAAUGUCCAAUCAUAAAUCCACCACUAGGAACUAUUUUAGAAGUAUAGUACAAAGGAUGCACGUUUCAUACUCUCGACAAACUCGAGAAUGUGUUCCUUAACUAUUUUACUUCUUGGACUAUAUUCAUUAAAUUAAUUUAUGAAUGUUGAUAACUUUGCCAUUUUAUAAAUAUCAAAAUGCUAUUCAAAUACAAUAAUUCCCUAAACAAACAAACACCAUUUGAUUGGCCUUUAGGGCAUAUUACUAACACAUAGCCCUUAGAAGGCCGAUUGCAAACAUCACCUUUCCCGGGGAUGGAGAGGAGGACGUCCUCAAGGAUAUUAUAAAGGGUUCUUAGUUUGAGUAGGUCAGUAUGGGUAGUGGCACACUUGAGGUAGUCAAUGGGAUAAGAAUCGGCCUCCAUCCUAUAGCCGAGGUUUCUUUUCUUAGAGGGUCGGCUCGGCUCAGAACUAUUCUCCUUGUUAUCACUUUCUUUUUCAGGGAUCCCAGCCCCCUCAGAACUGUGAUUCUCACCAGAAGCCGAUGCUUGUCCACCGCGAUUUCCCAUAGGUUCACAAUCAGAAGGAGGCAAAAUGGCCUUUGGACGGGGGUACUCAAGGGUAUCUCUAUUAUAAGAGGGACCUAUGUUACUGGAAGGAUUUUGGGGAUCAGUGGGUCUUAAUAAAUUGGGGUAUGAAUCUAUCUCUUCAUCACUCUCAUUUACAAUUAUUUUUCCCCUUCGUCUUGACAUAGUGAAGUCUUAAGAGAAAAAUAUAACAAAUUUAAGUAUAUGGGUACAAAAGUGUUGAGUGCGGAAUGCAGAAUCAAGCACACCAAAUAAUUAUAGAAAAAUAAUUGACACAAAAUUUAUGUGGUUCAGUAAUUAAACCUACAUCCACCGGAGCAAGAGAAAAAUAAUUGUAUUAUUAACAAUUAUUUGAGUACAAAUUUGAGUAAAGAAAUCUUACUUUCCCAUAACCCAAAUACACCCAGUACUCUCACACACACACUCUCCAAUUGCUCACACUUUCAGAACUCUCAAAAGCUUAAAAACUAAUAAGCUUAACAAAUUUUUUGGGAUACUUUAGAAUGAAGAAAUGACUUUAAUUUAUAGGCUUCAAGCUUGCACUAUUCCACUUAAUCCCUCUGCAAUUUGUCAAUCUUCAUCUCCAUCAAUUUGACAAAUUUUGCUAAAUUUUCCAUUUUUCUUCAUUUAGUGCAGGAUUGUCAAAUGCCAAAUAUUUUACAGCUUGCAGUUUUGGUGCCGACUUUGAAAAAACAAAAGCAAUGCAUGUGGCUCACUUUUCUUUUUCAACCAAUUUGAAAACACUCAUUGACUUUUCAACAAUUUUCCACCUCGGCGAAGAUUUGUUCAAAUAUGAGCCGACUCCCAACCAAUCAUCAUCCCCAAAGUGGCUGCAUCUCUGUGACUGCUACGUACACAAAAUUUGGGAUCAAGCCAACCGUAGUUCAAAAUUCCUGAAGGACAUAACUUAACAUAAUCGAAGGAUUUGAAUUAGUCUCAAGCAUUGUUGAAACUUAACUCCAGAAAUCACCUUUGUCAACAUAUCUGCUGGGUUAUCCUUGGUAUUGAUCUUUUUCAACAACACAUCACCACCCUCGAUAAUCUCUCUCACAUAAUGAUAUUUCACAUCUAUGUGCUUCGACCGAGCGUGAUAUGUUUGAUUUUUCGCGAGGAAUAUCGCACUUUGGUUAUCACAAAAGACCGCAAUGUUCUCUUGGAUUACUCCCAAAUCACAAAAUAAGCCUUUCAACCAGAUAGCUUCCUUUACAGCUUCAGUUACUACCAUAUACUCUGCUUCCAUAGUGGAUAGAGCAAUUGUCGAUUGUAGAAUCGACCUCCAGCUAACUGAUCCUCUACCCAAUGUGAAUACGUAGCCAGUUGUUGAUCUUUGCUUUUUAAGGUCUCCGGCGAAAUCAGAAUCACAAUACCCAACACAUUGUUGACCACAAUCCUUUUUUAACAAUAACCCAACAUCAACUGUCCCAUAUAGAUAUCGGAGAAUCCACUUUACCGCAAGCCAUUAAUUUUUACUCGGAUUGUGCAUGUACCUACUAACCAUUCUCACUGCUUGAGAUAUAUUGGGCCUUGUGCAUACCAUAACAUACAUAAGACUACCCACAACACUAGCAUAUGGAACACGAGCCAUGUAAUCGCGCUCCUCUUGAGAUUUAGGACAUGAAGAAGAGCUUAAUUUGAAAUGAGGAGUUAGAAGUGUACAUACCAGUUUAGUUUUGUCAUCCAUACCGAAUCUUUUUAGCACUUUCUUCAAAUAAGACUUUUGAGUCAACCAUAUGCUCCCAUUCUUCUUGUCUCUAUGAAUUUCCAUCUCAAGUAUUAUAUGUGCAUCACCCAAGUCUUUCAUCUCGAACUCAGAAGCCAGCUGCUUCUUUAAUCUUUCGAUCUCAUCUCUAUUCUUCAAAACUAUAAGCAUAUCGUUGACAUAGAGUAACAAAUAGAUGAAAGCUCCAUCUAUUAGUCUUCUAAAGUAAACACAAUGAUCGUGUUCACUUUUGGUGAAUUUCUGCCCUUGUAUAAAUUAAUCAAAUCUUUUAUACUACUGCCUUGGCGAUUGCUUCAGUCCGUAUAAAGAUUUAAUCAACCUACACACAUGAUUCUCCUUUCCAGUAACUUUGAAACCACAAGGCUGAAUCAUAUAGAUUUCCUCCUUCAAAUCUUCAUGUAAGAACGCCGUCUUAACAUCCAACUGAGCCAACUCUAACUCAUAUUCUGCAACUAAGGCAAGUAGGAUACGAAUGGAAGUAUGUUUUACAACUGGAGAGAAAACUUCAUUAUAGUCAAUACUUUCCUUUUGAGCAAAACCUUUUGCCACGAGUCUUGCCUUGUAUCGAGGAGUUGAUUGAUUUGGAGAUCCUUGCUUUUUGGUGUAGACUCAUUUAUUGCCAAUAGUCCUUUUCCCUUUUGGUAACUUUACAAGUUCCCAAGUCUGGUUUUGAUGGAGAGAUUUCAUCUCUUCCUCCAUGACUAACUUCCACUGAUCACUUUCACUGCUGCGUAAUGCUUCACCGAAAGUGUUGGGGAUGUCAUCAUCAAUAACUGAAAGUGCAUAGACUACCACCAUAUCUUUAGUAAGCCAUCCGGGUUUCUUUAUCUCUCUUCUUGGUCUCCUUGUUACUAUAAAAUCAUCAUUAUCUACAGCAUCAAUUGUUUCUUCAUUUUGUGGGACAUCAGAAGAAAUAACAUAUUCUUCAACUCUAGGUAUCACCUCCAUAGUUGAACCCUUAUUUGAUGUAGAACUAACUGGUACAUAUGGAGUUGUAUCAAACUUCACCAGCUGCAAUACCUCUUUGGUUUUGUUUUCCAUUUGCUGAGAACUUGAAGUUUUCAUCAUUGAAACUUCAUCAAAUGUGACAUCUCUGCUACACACAAACUUUUUGUCUUUGAGAUCCCAAAACUUAAAGCCAUUUACUCUACCUUUGUAUCCCACAAAAAUAGCUUUUCUAGCACGAGGAUCCAGUUUACCAUCUUUGACAUAAUAAUAAGCUAGACACCCGAAUAUACGAAGGGAAUUAUAGUCUUGUGCAUGCUUUCCAGACCACAUUUCUAUAGGAGUUUUACCUCCAAUUAUAGCAUAAGGCAACUAGUUUACCAAGUGACUUACGUAGUUCACAGUUUCAGCCCAAAACUUUUUAUCUAAACCAGUAUUAGAUAACAUACACCGUACUUUCUCCAGUAAAGUACGAUUCAUACGCUCAGCUACACCGUUCUAUUGCGGAGUAUGUCUCACUGUGAAAUGUCUUUUAAUACCGUCGUUCUGGCAUACUUACAAGAAUGGAUCAGAAGUAUAUUCACCCCCAUUAUCAGGUCGUAAUACUUUGAUUUUUCUGUCAGUUUAAGUCUCCACCAAUUUCUUCCAUUUCACGAAAAUCUCUAGAACCUCAACCUUUGCUCGCAUGGUGUACACCCACACACGUCUAGAGAAAUCAUCAACAAAUGUAACAAAAUAAUGGCUUCCACCAAUUGAUGUAGUCUUGGUUGGUCCCCAUACAUCACUAUGAACAUAUUCAAGGAUUUCACGAGUAUCGUGAUUAGCUGUACCAAACUUGACCCUUGUUUUCUUGCCUACUACACAAUGCUCACAGAAAUUUAAUUUAUAGGUUUUGGUACCUUUUAAGAGUUCGUGCCUCAUCAGAGUUUGCAAAGACUUUUUGCUAGCAUGUCCUAGUCGUACAUGCCAUAGCUUGGUGGUGUCACUAUGCGCCUCAAUAAUAUUUGCUUCAUCAGUUGUACCUCCCUUCAAAUAGUACAGAUUGUGACGCCGAACCCCUUGUAGAAUCACCAUAGCCCCAUGUGUAAACUUCAUUAUACUAUUUUCAAUGGUAGCCUUGUAGCCUUUAGCUUCUAGAGCACCCACAGAAAUUAGAUUUUUCUUUAAAACUAGAACAAAUCUAACCUCUUUGAGUUCUCUGACCAUUCCAUUAAACAUUUUGAGCCGAAUUGUUCUUAUCCCCAUUGUGCGACAAUGUUGAUCAUUCCCUAUCACAACUGCACCGGAUUUUAGAUUACGAGUAUUCGUAAACUAUUCCUUAAUAGGACACAAAUGAUAGGUUGCUCCAGUAUCAAGUAUCCACUUACUCGAACUAGCCACGUAUGCUGCAAGAGUAAUACUUAGUGAAUAAUCAGAAUCUUCAUCUUUCGUGCCAUGUUUGCUGCUGUUGGUUUUUUCCCAUCUCUGUUUUGAGCUUUUAGACAAUCUUUCCUCCUAUGAACCUUUUCAUGACAAAAGGCACACUCGUCUCGAGCUAUAUCUCUGCUUCUCGAUUUGGAUCGAGAAUUCUUUCCACCACCCUUUUUCUUUUUCUCCAUCGCCCAAUCUUUACUCACCAAAACUUCAGACGAUACUCGUUCAGAAUUUUUAUUAUUAUUCUGAAUCUCCAAGUUAGUCAAUGCUGUGCAAACAUCUUUGAAGAUGAUCACGCUUUUCCCAUAUAUCAAGGUAGUCACAAAAUGGCUAUCUUCCUCUGGUAGUGAGUGUAACAGAAUCAUAGCCUUGACUUCAUCCUUAAUAUCUUCAUCAAGAUUCUUCAAAUCAGCAAGUAACUUUUCAAAUCUCGAGACAUGAUCGUGCAUUGAUACCCCAGGCUUCAUUCGAAAGCCAUAUACUUGGCUCAUUGCAUGAAGACGAUUUUCAGGACUUUUCAGCCUAUACUUCUUCUCUAAUGUAUGCCACAAAGUCACCGCACACUCCUCAACUUUCACCAAGUAUUUUACCUCCUUGGUCAAAUAAGAUCUGACCUGACCACAAACUUUCUCGUUCAUACGAUCUCAAAUUUCUUCAUCAUACAAGUGUAUUUUAUUUUUCAAAACAAUAUCGAGAUCGAUUUGAAUAAGGGCAUCCAUAACUUCGCGCAUCCACAUGCCGAAAUUGAUUUUCCCAUCAAACUUUUCAACAUCGAUCUUCUGGCCUCCUAUAACAGGUGCUGAAUAGCGAUUUUACAAGUCUCGUCUCCCACUUGAAGUGUCUUCUAAAAUAGUCUCGAUAGAUCUCUCCUUAAUUCUGGAAGUUUCACCUUAUACCAUUUUCUCAACGAACUAUUUCCACUUGAAAAACAGCCUCUAUGAUGUUAAUUUCGCGUGAAUAAAUGUCCCAGGAAAGUUCCCUAAAGACUAGACGGGAACUCGGUCCUAAUUAAAAAUCGGAAUCCUUAGACUCUUAUCGCCUUUGUUGACAGAACUUUCAUAGACAUGUAAAAAUACACACUACUUACAAUAGACUGUCUCCCAAGUACAAAUGGCCGCCUCCACCGUAUUCGUGAAUAGUACUGUAUAUGUGAACAAUACAGUAUACUGGAAUAGUACUGUAUAUGUGAAUAGUACUGUAUCCCCCCAAGUACGAACCGUCGGCUCUGAUACCAGUUGUUGAGUGCGGAAUGCGGAAUCAAGCGCACCAAAUAAUUAUAGAAAAAUAAUGGGCACAAAAUUUACAUGGUUCGGUAAUUAAACCUAUAUUCACCGGAGCAAGAGAAAAAUAAUUGUAUUAUUAAUAAUUAUUUGAGUACCAAUUUGAGUAAAAAAAUCUUAUUUUUCCAGAACCCAAAUACACCAAGUACUCUCACACACACUCUUGGUAGUGUGUCUUUUAUGGGCACGAUCUGACUAGAAAAGAUACCGACCAGAAGUUCAUACUGACCAGGUACUUGUCACUCAAAGAGAGGACGUGAUCUCACAAACACGCGACAAUUUCACCACGCCCCAAACCGCUGGGAAAACACGACGCCCCACGAUUACCCACGUUCGGUUGUUGAAGACCCAUUAAGGCCCUUAACCACCCAAAUAUGACGAGCAUGGAAAAUACCCUGAAAAAGUGGGAUGAUUGCCUAUAAAAAGCGGAGAAAUCAAUGAAGAGGGGGAGAGACAAAAAGAGAGAGAGGGGAAACUCUGUCAAAUUGACUCCAGGCAUUGUUACAUAGCCACCUUAAAUACAUUUUAUCUUAAGAACAUCGCAAUGAAUGUGUGUGAGCAUAAAUCAUAUAGUUUUCCCGUAAAUUCCAUUUCCUGACUUAAGUAUCGGAGGGUUUAUGCCGGAAAAACCAUCAGCGUCUCUGAUUUGUUUUUGUGAAUGCAGGUUUAGAAAGAAAAGGGAGAGUGAUUCGGUUCCCAGGAGCUCGGGCAAUUACUAUAGCUGGUGGAGCGCAACCUCUUCUUCAUUGUCAACACACUUGUUGAUGAUCCCAUCUGGUCGGGCAAAAGGCGACUAGAUUUCAGCAUCAACAGUACGUUCAGACAAAACACCUACUCCUGUUUUAGAAACGGCCUCCUCUAUUUUACUGUUUGGUGAUUGCAAAAAUUUGUCUAAAUAAUGCAUAGUUGUAGAGUUAAGAAAAAAAGUUAUGUUAAAAUAAAGAAGCAUCAGAGAUCCCCCGAUAUUAUUAUCAUCCAGAACAAUAUGUUUAUUGGGCCAAAGUGGGCUAACAUACAUGGGUUCAAGCUUGCAAAAUCCACAUUUAUGUAUAAUUAUAUAGUAAUUAAAUACUGAAUUUGAACUCAUACAACUAUUCAAUCAUUUGGAUUUCAAAUCUGUGUUCAUUGAACUAAAUACUGUCAUGUAUUCGAGUGAACAGAUAAAGAAUUCACAAUCUGUUCUCAAUUUUGACUUCAUAAUAUUCCAGCUAUGGUCGCAUUUCUAUUACUGUAUGGUAAAUAUGACUUUUAAAUAAUUUUUUUGACAAAAUUAGUCAAGGUGCCAUAUGUGUAUCAAAUAAUAGUUGAUAAAAUCAUCUUAUAUUUUGAACUACAGAAGUAAGUAUUCAUCAAACACUUUAUAAUUGUCAGUCAAUGUUUAUGUGAACGUGACCGAAAAUGGUUACUAAGUGCAUGUUUGGGAGUUAGGAUUAAGUAUGGGAUUAGAAUAACUUUGGUAUUAAAUAUUUUAUCCCAUGUUUGGCUACUUUGCUUGGAUUGGAUUAAGGAGGACUAAAUUUAAAUUUAGGGCUUAAAUCAUGGGAUUAACAAUCGCAAUUUAUAAGUGGAUUUAGAUGGGAUUAGAAUAAGAGAAAAAAAUUUUGUUCAUGUUUCUUUCAUAAAUAACACUAUUUUUUAUUUGAAACCUAAAAUUUAAUUACUUAAUUUAUUAUUUUAUUCAUGAUUUACAUGAAUUUAUUUUUUAUUUUAUUUUUAUAGUCUAAUUACAUUGGUACUUUACUCCAACAAAAUUAACUAUUUAAUAAUUUGUUACAAUAAUUGAUUGUAUUAAAUUCAAUAAUCAACUAUGUAAUAUUAAAAAUAAUCAUAGAAAUUAAUAAUACAAAUAAAUAAUUGAUUUUGUAUAUACAUUAUUUGCUAACUUUUUGAUAAAAUAAAAUAUAUCUAAAAUAUCCGAUAAAAAUUAAUUAAAUAAUUAAAUAGUUUUAUUAAUUUAUAUUUGUUUAUUAUGAAUAUGACUACCCAAUAACUAAUUUACUACAUAUUUAAUGCUAUUGUUAAUUAUCUUUAAAUUAAUUUUAAUUAUUACUUUUAAAUAUUCUUAACUUUUUUUUUGUAUUUAAAUAUGAUUUAACAUUGUCUAAUUCGAUAUUGUACCAAACAUAGUACAAUAUAUAAUAUAAUCUAGCUUAAUCUAAUCUAACUUAAUCCAGUCCAAUCUUAAAAAUUAGCCCAAUUCAAUUCUACGUGUCAAGCACAACCUAAGAGUUCCUAGUGUUAAAAAUUUAACAUACCCACGAUCCAUUAAUGGGAUAAUUUAUUUUAUAAUAAUCAAAUUGAAGAUCAAUUUGUACGAUGAUGAGCUUUCAUGUUUCUGUCAAACAUGAAAUAAUUUUGUAAACAAUGGCCACGUGGAACUUAUAACCAAUCAUCAUUUGUUGAUAGACAAGUGAAAUAACAAAAAAGCAGCGGGUUUGGGCUUUCUCCAGGAAUCGGCUUAACACAAACAAUGUGGGGUUUCUUGAUCUUCUUAAAGAUCAAGCAUAUACGUAUACAUGUUCUAUACCUAUCAAUCAUUCCCCUAUUCUUCGGUUUGGUGAUUGCAAAUAACAUUCUUUGCAUCUACUCUUUAUUUAUUUAUUUAUUUUUAACUCAUUAAUUCUUGUUCUUCUUAAAGCGUUUAGUAAAUAUAUCAUCACCGGGUCAAAUCCCUAACAUUAACGUACACAUAAUCUAUUAAUGAAAUUUAUUAUUUUAUCAUAAUCAAAUUGAAGAUUAGUUCAUGCAGUUUUCUAUGAUGAGGAGUAUUCACUUUUCUGUUAAAUACAAGAACGAUUCGUAAAUAAUGUCCAUUUGGAACUAGUAAUAACGAAGCAUCAUUUGUGGACCGAAUAAAUGAAAUAACAUUUUAGUUUCUCUCUAAAAUGUCAUUCUUCAUUCAAGCUUUUGCUGCAUCUUUUAUCAGGCAUCUUAUAAAGCUUUUCCCUACUAAUACUAAUAAACUUUGUAAAUCAAUAUUCUUUUCAAUUUCACAGGACACAAGUAAUGCAUAUUCAAGCACAACAGGUAUUUAUUCGUUAGAAACUCCAACUUAAUUAUUUCAUUGGAAAAUAUGAAACGCAGAGCCAUAAACUAGUGCUUUCUUCAAUUUAAUUGGGUUGAACAAACUUUUUAAUGUAUUUUCCCCAAUCCAUUUCUUUUAUCUCACUGCAUGCUUUAUUAAAGCUUUGUCUUUGUUCUUGAUUGAUGACCUUCAAAAUUAAAUCUUAAAAAUCGGGUAUAAAAGGGGUGCUUGAUUUAAGUCUUCUUCUUUUGCAAUUCAUUGUUAUUGCUCUUUUCAGCUUUUUACUCGCAAAACUUCUUACUCACAAAUUCCUCUGCAGUUAACCGUGAUCUUUUACUCAUUAAAAUUGUUCUUAUUAAUUCUUUUUUAUAGAGAGAGAGAGAGAGACUCAAAGAGAAUUAAAAAAAAAGUAAUUCUAAAUUUUUGCUUGUGCAUUGUGUGAUUUUUACCAUUUUUAAAGUUGGUGAUUUGUAUUGAAUAAAUAAAAUAAUAAAUAGAUUUAUGGACUACUCUUUUUUGUUAUAAUAAACAUCAGAGGUCCUUUCCUGAUGUUUCAUUCCAUAAGAAUAAAUUAUAAUUUUAUUGAUAUAGUAACGUCAAUAAUAGAAAUCCUAACAAACAUACAAACUUUAGAUUAUGGAUUAAAGCACUACAAGGUGAAUGGAUCACAACAAAUUAUUUAUACUACAAGGUGAAUGGAUCACAACAAAUUAUUCUGACGAAAGCAUAAACAAGAUGAUUGAAUCAAGAGACUAUUACAUGGGAAACCAAUCCAGAUGAAGCCUGUGAUAAAGAAUAGCCGUACGCCCAUUUACCUCUUUAGCUAAGCUGCCAUACUGAAGGAGGCAAUCCCACCCGCACAAAACAUGAAAAACGAUGUACACGUGGCAUGAACUUUGAGAAAGCUACAUAAAAAUGAUCUGAUGGCCAAGGGAUACAACAGUUGUACGACCAAAAAGGGUAGAAAUCCAUGUCUAGUACACUGCCCUCUUCAAUACCUCUAAAUACUGAGUCAAAUUGAUAUGAAUUUCAUGGAUGAAACUAUGCAACAAUCGAUAAACCUUGCUGGCCAUUAUAAGCCUAUGCACACAGAUUAUAGAACGAUGCAGCGAUGCAAACCAAGAAUUACUAGGGUAUAGACAGUAAGAUUAAAUAGAAUAAUUUGACUACAUUACAAGCAAACUGUCACGGACCGCAAUCGUGGCACCCAAGAUAUGCGCUUGUACGCUAGUGUCGAUGAUGGUUGUUGAUGCUGAAAUCUGCUCGCCUUUUGACCGACCAGAUUCUUUCACCAACGUUUGUGUUAUCUACUGUUGCUCGUUCACUGGGAUUGGAUUCGUCCUCCUUUCUCUCAAUAGACCUGCGCUCACUAAAAACGGAUCAGAGACGCCGGUGGUUUUGCCGGCGUAAACCCUCCGAUGUCUAAGUUAGCUCAAGGUGUUUACGGGAAAACAGUGCAAUUUAGAUCUCAAAACGGUUUCUAAAUUAUUCGGAGUUUAUAAGAAAAUGGCCUGAUUGUAAUUUGGCAGCGUUUUCCCUCUCUCAAUUUUUUCUAUCCCCAUCUUCAUCGAUUUCUUCCUCUUUUAUAGCCGUUGUCCCCACGUUCCCAUUUGCCUUUCACCCUACCUUUUUCGGGUAGUGGCAGCCUCUCAUGGAACUCUAACCGCUGCAUUACGGGCAAACGUGGGAUCUCGCAUCCUCCGCAACGGUUCUGGGAACAGCGCAACUACCGCGAUUCUGUGGGAUCUGUUCCCGCUUUUUGGGGGACGGGUACCGGCUCGGUAUAUACCUCUGGUCGGUAUAUUUCCCUGGUUGGUAAUCGCCUCUGGUCGGUUCAUGCUUGUCCCCGUGUUCUGCUCGCACCAUUUGGCUAAGAUGAUCCAUGCCGGGGUGGAGAUUAGUAGCAUGGCCGACCUGGUGCUUUUAUUUACUUAACAAUGGUUGUGCUGAUUGUUGGAGACGUGCUUCAGGGGCGUGCGUGUUGGGAAUACAAUGCCCUAGACUCUUUGGAGUUCAGGCAGGCCGACCCGGUUGAGUUUGGGGAGCUUGUCGCUAGUCAAGGACUUAACGCUGAAGAGGGGUCUAGGAAAAUCCUGACGCACACUGGUUGGGAAUUGAAGCCGUUCUCCUGAUGAGCCCAAGGCAGGGCGAAACCAGUUGACAUUGUGUCACUUCCUCUAGGCUUACUCUCGUAGUAUGGGAUGCGGGAGUGCCGCACGGGCUCGAAACCUCUCGUCCCGUGACAAAUGGUAUCAGAGCCGCGCUUGUCAUCUCUCGAAGCCCUCGUCGCGAGCUCGCCAAGCGCUCCAAUGCCGCACCACGCGGGUCCCCACCCUUUCAGAUACAAGAGUUGACAAGCGGGACGAACAGGCGGGUUCUCACACCCCCAAGCGUUCGCACCAAGUGGAUGGUGUCUCCAUGCGGGUCCUCUCCAUGGAUUGAGGACGUGCAUGUAGGCAGGGAGUUCAUGGGUUGAGUUUGGCAAGUCGAUCUUCACAUUUUUGCGUGGAAGUGCACACUUGCGAGGCGUACUCCUCAUGCACGAGGACGUGCAUGGUUAUGGCGGUGGGAGAAUGUCACGGACCGCAAUCGUGGCACCUAAGAUAUGCGCUUGUACGCUAGUGUCGAUGAUGGUUGUGCUGAUUGUUGGAGACGUGCUUCAGGGGCAUGCGUGUUGGGAAUACAAUGCCCUAAACUCUUUGGAGUUCAGGCAGGCCGACCCGAUUGAGUUUGGGGAGCUUGUCGCUAGUCAAGGACUUAACGCUGAAGAGGGGUCUAGGAAAAUCCUGACGCACACUGGUUGGGAACUGAAGCCGUUCUCCUGAUGAGCCCAAGGCAGAGCGAAACCAGUCGACAUUGUGCCACUUCCUCUAGGCUUACUCUCGUAGUAUGGGAUGCGGGAGUGCCGCACGGGCUCGAAACCUCUCGUCCCGUGACAAAACGCUGCCUACAGACUUGUUAUAAUCUAAUCAGUAAACCUAUUCGACUUGCUAGGAAAAAAAUAGGGCUUUUUUGUUUUCAUUCCCCUUUGGUGAUUGCAAAAAUUUAAAUCUAAAUUUAUGGUGCAGGCUACAUGGCACCUAGUGGAUGAUUGUUAGGGUUUGUCUUUUGCUCUUAGUUAGGAAUUUAAUUAAGAAUUUAUAGUGUGCGCCUUAUCGAAGUAGGUUUCCUAAUAGUAAUUAAAUAAUCCAAAUUUAUGAUGCAUUAGCAUAUGAUUGUGAUAAAUAAGCUUUUUAUGUAUCCUGUAAGGCUAAUUACUGUUUUAUUAGAUUCUCUUGUUAGUCUUGUGAAUCAACGAGAUUUAAUUAGUAGUAGAUAAUACUUUAGGCUUCACAGGCGCACUAUUUUAUCCGCUAAAUCAAUUUUUUUUUUAAAUUAAAAACAAUUCAUCAAACACUUUAUAGUUCUAACUUUUAAGCUGGUAAACACUUUAAGCCACAACUUUAAAUUCAGUUUACGAGAAUUCCUAAUAGUCACAGUGGCUUGGGUGGAAAUGAAUAUAAAUAAUGAAAUACUAUCUAAGCAACUCAAGGGCGGUGAAUUGAGUUUCUAAAAAUUUUGUAAAACUUAAUUCAAAUAUGAAACGAAUUAAAACAACAGUAAGUAAAUCAACCAAAAUAUAAAAAGAUAGGGGAAGAGAGAUUCAAACACAGAGAUUUUUAUGUGGUUCGGCCAACCUCGCCUACAUCCACGCCUCCAAGCACACCGAGCUUGAGGAUUCCACUAGUCAUGCCUUUAAGGCUUCAAGAACACCUACAAUUGACUUCAAAGAUGUCAAUCAACCUUUACACCAAGAAAUUAUCCUCAAUCUCUUAACCCAAGUGUAUCCUAACACUUACAAUUUCUCAAUUUGAUUUAAAAAUAAAUACAAAAUAAAUCUCUCUCACACAAUGUGUUUGAUUACAAAUGAAAUUCUAAAGUGUGAAUAAAUGAGAUGUAUACAAGAAUUUAAAACUCAAUGAAAGUUGUAUGCUCAAUAAUUUGCUCAAUGAUAAUGGUUGGAAUCGUUGUUAUUUGAAUUUGAUUGAACUUAUUUAUAGUUGGAGCUGAAAUAUAGUCGUUAUUGACUUUUUGCUCAAUGUUGGAUUGCCGUUUUGACUAUGAGCAAGUUACCGUCGGACAAAAUUUUAAAUUCUCGGACCGUCGAUUUCAAGAUGUCGAAUCGCCGUUAAUGUCCAGAGGCUGCUCUUCAAUUCUGUUCAAUGUCGGCUAGCCGUUAUCAAGAGAUCGGUUAGCCAUUUGCUACAAUGACUGCUACAGUGAACUAUUUCUAAAAUUAUAAUUUGGCCCCAAAACUUUAUAAAAUUUACUAUGACCGAUAACUUUAUAAAAUUUUGUCAAAUAAGUCCAUUUCCAAAAUUUUAAGCAAUAUUUGCUAAUUUCAAAGUUCUCAAAACUUUUUCAAUUUAAAUCAUUAACAUGAAAAUAACUAAUAUCAUAAAAUUACUUUUCAUUGAAUAUAAAGCCUUAAUAUGAAAAAAAAAUAAUUUGAGCUUUUAAAUCAAGCUUAACCAAGUUUGUUAUCAUCAAAAUCAAUAUUAAAGAAAUAUUUAUGUUGACAAAUAAUGUUUAAUUUUAAUGUACAAAGCACUGGUGCAUUUAGAAGGUACUACUGUGUAAACAAAAUUUGUGCUUGCAACUCAUCUUUUCAUUCAACUUUCUAAUAAUAAUAAAAUAAUACAGAGGAGAAAUAGGGGCUCUCUUUCCGUUUCCCAGUGUUUGUGUUUGGUGAUUUUAACUUUAUCAUGGAAUUGUCAAUUUUUAGUUGAAAGUUAUCUAAAUCUUCUUCUCUAUAUAAGCGUUUACAAUGAUUUUGUGAAACACAGCAAAAACAAUAAUAAUAAGUAUAUUUAUUCAUCUAAGAGGUCAAACUCUCAUGCUCAGAUAUGGAUAGUCCCAUUUUUUGAUCAGGGACAUCUCUUUACAAGCGUUGAAUUAUGCAAGCAAAUCGCUCCUCAAAAUUACCAAUCUACCCUCAUCGUUACCUCUCAAGUACCCAUAACUAUAGUUACCCAUUACUCUCUUCGCCAAGGCACACAGAUUAAAGAAUGCUUAGGGUGAAGGCAGUAACUGUCCUGAAAUAUGACUUUUAAAUUUUUAUUUUUUUUUUACGAAAUUAGUUAAAAUGCCAUAUGUGUGAUCAAAGUUGUUAAAUAUCUUAUCUUUCAAAUUAUAGGAGUAAAUAUUCACCAAACACUUUAUAAUUUUUAGUCAAUGUUUAUGAAAACACGGCCGCAAAAUGGUUACUAAUGCUAGGGAUCAAUAAUCAAACUGAAGUUUGUACGAUGAUGGGCUUUCGUGUUUCAGUCAAAGAUGAAAUAAUUUGUCAAUAGUGGCCAUGUGGAACUUAAAACCAAGCAUCAAUUGUUGACAUAACAAAUGAAAUAACAAAAUGGCAGCGGGGUUGGCGAUACAAAAUCAAAUCUUUUUUAUUCUUUUGAUUUUUGAUUUUUUCUAUUGCAUUCUGCUUUCUUAAAAGUUUGGUCCAAUUAAAGAGAAUACGGAGCAAUGACUUGUAUCAUCUGUGGAAUAAUCCAUAGAAAUAUAUAUGUGAAGCACGCCAAAGAAAAUGGCGCUGAUGACAUACUCCUAAGAAUUGUUCAUACUGAGUCAUCCAUCAAUCAACGGGUGGAUUAUUAUCUCACUGUAGAUGAAAUUCAACUGCAGAAGUAAUCGGAUGUGGGAUCCCAAUUUUGGCGUGACCAAUUAGAGGUUAUCAAUAUUAUAAUGCGAAAUUGAUGAUCAAUCAUCUUAAUGUGGGGUACAUGAUUUCUGAUGAUCCAUCAAAAAUACAAAGUUGAUUCAAAAGGAUGAUACGGUGAGUGGAACAGACAGGCUGAUGGGAAAUCAAGCUAUUAAAAAACGAGCUCACAUGCUUCAUAUUGCAUUUGAUCAUGGCUGUCCUAGAAGUUCAGUGGCUGCUUCGGAUGCUUUCAAAGUUCUUAUUAACCAGAAAGCAGUUUAACAAAAACAAGUAUUGUGCAUAUUAUUAACCAUAUGCUUUCAAAGAUCAUGUAUAAGCAUAUCAGAGAUCUUGUUGGCUUGAAGAUCUUCUUUGGAUGCUUUCAAUACCUACACUUAUACUACCAUAUGUAAAGCCUUUGUUACUGAUUGCAUUCAAUUAUUCAAUUAAAAGUCUUACAAAGCAUCUAAAAUGGAAGAUGGAACAUCCUCCAUCCAAAAAACAAAACGGAAGUCAAAACGUUGAUAUUGUUUUAUGUUUAAUAUCAUGAUACUAGAACUUUUUAGGCUAAAGCACCUACCUGCUGUGAGCUUUACUACAAAAAAAUGAGACUAUUUAGUUGUGAGACAAAUAGAGAGGGAAAGUUUUUACCAUUUAGCUAAAUUUCGAUCUUAUGCAAAAUAAUAUAAUUCAUUUGUUAUUAUGACCUAACCAACUCAAAACAAAAAGGAUUAUUAUGGCCUAACACAGUUCAAAAUGCAUGCAACAAUGGUGUAUUUAAAAUGGAACUAAUGUACAAAUAAAAUUUAUGCAUCUCUUGGAGGAAGGCCUUUAGGCCAACAAAUGAAAAUAGUGAGCUCGCAUUUUCUAUUAUCAUUUUCACCACUUGAAAAAGAGAGGGAAAAAAAUUGAGAGGAAAAACAGGGCUCCCCUGUUUUCAUUUCCCAUUUUUUCAGUUUGGUAAUUGUAAAUAACAUUCUUUACUUCCCUCUUUAUUUUAUUUUUUUUUUAUUUUUAACUCAUUAAUUCUUUUUCUUAUUCUUGCUAAAGCGUUUAGUAAAUCUUAUGAUCAUCUGAUCAAAUCCCUAACAUUAACAUACCCAUAAUCUAUUAAUGAAAUUUAUUUAUUUUAUAAUCAUCAAAUUGAAGAUUUGUUCAAUUUUGUAUGGCGACCAAUUUUCAUUUUUCUAUUAAACAUAAGAAGAAUUUGUACAUAAUGUUCAGGUCGAAACUCGUAAUAACGACGCAUCAUUUUUCGACAGAACAAAUGAAAUAACAAAAAAGUAUAAAUCAAGUCAUUAUUGAUCCUACUUUGAUGAUCGAACUUUGGUUUCUUUCUAAGAUGCCAUUCCUCAUUCAAGCUCUUGCUUUUCUCUUUUAUCCGACAUCUUACAAAGCCUUGUCCCUACUAAUAAGCUCUGCAUAUCAAUAUUCUUUUCAAUUUCGCAGGAUACAAGUAAUGUAUAUGCCAAAAUUAUUCAAGCACAACAGGUAUUUAUUCGUUGAAAACUUUUAACUUGAUUAUUUCGUUAGAACAUAUGAAACGUAGAGCUAUAACUUAGUGCUCUCUUCAAAUUAACUGGGUUGAACAAAAAAUUUUAAAGUAUUUUACCCGAUCCAUUUCUUGUAUCUCACUGCAUGCUUUGUUAAAAGCUUCGUCUUUUGGUCUUGAUUCUGAACUUCAAAAAUUAAAUCUUAAGACUCGGGUAUAAAAUGGGUGCAUGAUUAAGUCUUCUUCUUUUCCAAUUCAUUGCUAUAACUCACACCAACAUUUUACUCAGACAUUCCUCUGCAGUUAACAGUGGUCUUUUACUCAUUAAAAUUUUUCUUAAUAAUUUCUUUGGAUACCCGUUCUCACUUAAUAUUCAAGGCGAAUAGAGAAGCUCAUCAACUCUUUGAUCCCAGACAAUUAAAGAAGUACACAUGUUCUAAAUCAUCUAAUAAUUUCUUUUAAUAGCUGUUCUUAAUUUCCAUCUACUUUGCAAGAAAAAAUUUAUCUUGUUUGUUUUCAUCUUGUCAUCUAUUUUGCUUGAGUUUUAAGUUAUUGUUCAUUUGUAAUGUCUGUGUUCUUAUUAUUAGCUUUGGAUAAUUUGCAUCCAUGUCUUUUCUUUGUUUGUGGGCUUUUAUUCAGACCCCCUGAAACCUUUCUGUUAAUAUAAAAACUCUAAUCCUUGAGCAAAAGGUUAAAAAAAGAAAAAGAAAGAAUUCUCUGUUUAGAUAUCAGUUGGGUUAAGAACAAUGUUGUUUGUCUCCUGUCUUUUCUUUGUUUGUUUGUUUGUUUAUUUUGUCAUUUUAUUAGAUUUGCUUUGUAUCUAAUUUUACUUGAAGAUUAAAGCUGAGCGAGAAAUGCCUUUUUUUUUUUUCUGAAGCAACCUACAAAUUUUAGAAUAGGGCCAAGAGUAUUAAAGAUUCAAUUAACCGCAAAAAGUUAUUUACAUGCAUCGCUUGCAAACUUAAGCUUAUCAUCCCAAAUUGAGUUGCUUGCAUUAGAAAUUUUCAUGCAUUCACGAGCAUUAUCAUCAUAUCACAAGAUAGCCUGAAAAACAAGAUAAAUCAAUUUGAGCAACAAGUUUCCUCUGUUUUCGUUCCUCUGUUUUCAUUCCCUGUUUAUUGAUAUUUUUUUUUUUUUUUGGCCUGAAAUUAAGAAGAAAAAAGUGGUAAAACAAGUCACCACUGUUUUUAUUCCCCUGUUUUUCGUGGAAAGAAUAAAUGAAAUUGAAAAAAAAAAAAGCAGCGUUGGCAAUACAACAUGAAACUUUAAAUUUUUAUUUUAUUUUUAUUUUUGAUUUUGAAUGUGCAUAAGUCAAAUCAUAUAUUAUUGAUCUUACUUCGAUUAUUUGCUGUUUAGUUUCUCUCUUAAAUGCUUUUUGUUUGUUUCCGGUAUUUGCUUUUAUAAAAGUUUUAGUCCUCAAUCAUUCGUUCAAGGAUUUGCUUUCUCUUUUAUUAGGCAUUUACAUUGCUCUGUCGAUCAAUAUUCAUUUGAAUUUCACAGUACACAAGCAAUGUAUAUACCAAAACUUAAUUAUUUCUUUAGAAUAUAUGAAAACGUAAGAGUUGUGAACUACUGCUUUCUUCUUCAACAUGCGUCAACAGGGCAACAAUAACCAAAUACAUGAUAUACAAAAGCGGUGCAUGACUAAUUCUUUUUCUUUUGCAGGUCAUUGUUAUUGCUCUCGUCAACUUCUUUUCUCACACAUUUCCCAGCAGUUACCAGUGAUCUUUUUUCUCCUUCAACUUGUUCUUACAUAUUAAAGGCGAAAUAGAAAAGCUCACCAACUCUCUAAUCCCAGAUAAUUAAAGAGGUGCACGUUUUCUAAAUCCUUUAACUUUUUUUUUUUUUUUUUUUAUAGUAGAACCCCUGAUCCUUGAUCUUGACAUUUGUUCCUUCAUAAUUUCCAUCUACUUUCCAAGAAAAAUUUCUCUGGUUUGUUUUAAUAUUAUAACUUAUUUUGCAUGAGUUUUAAGUUACUAUUCAUUGUUAAAGCUUGUGCUCUUAUUAUUUCCUUUGGUUAACUUGCAUGCUUUUCCCCAAAAAAAAGAAAAAAGUUUAUAAAAAGAUUAUAGGUUUUUACUCAGACCCUUGAAACCUUUCUGAUAAUACCAAAAACACUAAUCCUUUAACAAAAGAAAGCAAGAAAAAAAAAGGUCCUAUAUUUUAAUAUCUGUUGGCUUUGUAUUGAUAUUGCUUGUUUGUUGUCUUUUAUUUCAUUGUUUGUAUCUAAGUUUACUUGAAGAUUAAAGAUCAGUAGGAAAAGCCCUUUUUAUAAAGCUAACAUACACAUUUUAGAAUAGGGCUCAACCGCAUGAAAAUAUUUACAUUGUAGUAUCUCAUAUUAAUAAUCUAAAAAAAACCAAUCCAACAAGUUCAAAUUCACUGAAAUCUAAAAAAGAUUGCUUUUAAGGAGUACAUGAUAGCUAUUGAAUUUUGGUUAAAGAUCUUUUAGGCAGAAUUGAAAUUCACUCAGUCAUAAAUCAACCAAUCCAACGAGUUCAAGUGCAGAGUCAAUUGAACAAAUUCAUCACUUGCAGAAUUAAGCUUAUCUUCCGCAAUUGAGUUGUUUCCAUUAGAAAUUUUCCCGCAGUCACGAGACUAUCAUCAGAACAUGAUUAUUUAUAUAAGAACAAGAGUUAAGAGGAGAAAAAUAAGGCAAAACAAGAUUCUUCUGUUUUCAUUCCCUUUUUUUUUUUUUUGUUUGGUGGUUGAAAAAUUUUAUCUCUAAAUUUUUAUAAUUUUUCGUUAAAGUUUAUAUUUAAAUAAAGGGUUAAAAAAAUCUAGUUCUAAAUUUAUGCAUUGAAUGAUUAUUAUUAUUGGUUACGAUAUCAAUUAAAUAACAAAUAGAGCUACUAAUCACUUUGUUAAAAAUGAACAUGCGUUCUGUUUAUAUGACAGAGCAAAACACGGGGUGCACGCUUAAGUCUUGUUCUUUUACAGUUCAAUUGUAUUACUUACUCUCAUAAACUCUUUACUCACAUUCCUCUGCAGUUAACCGUGAUCUUUUGCUCAUUAAAAUUUUUCUUAUAUAUUCAAUGCCAAUAGUGAAGCUCAUAAACUCUGUGAUCCUGAAUAAUAAAAGAGGUGAACUUGUUCUAAAUGAUAGCUAUUCAACUUGGUUAAAGAUCUUUUAGAAAGAGUUCAAAUUCAGUCAAUCAUAACUCAACCUAUCCAACAACUCCAAGUCUAGAGUCGAUUGAGCAAGAUUCAUCACAUGCAAAAUUAAGCUUAUCAUACCCAAAUUGAGUUGUUUCGGUUAGAAAUUUUCCAGCAGCCAUAAGCAUCAUCAUUGUGUUUCCGUUAGGAAAUUGAGUUGCUUAUCAUACCCAAAAUAUUUAUAUAAGGACAAGAGUUAAGGAAAAGAUCCCUCAAGGAAAAGGUCCCUCUGUUUUCAUUCCCCUGUUCUUUCGUUUAGUGAUUGAAAAAUUUUAUAUCUAAAUUUUAUUAUUUUCCAUUGAGGUUCAUUUAAAACAGAAAAGAAUUAAAAAUGUAAUUCUAAAUUUACCCUAAUUCACGGAGUGAUUAUUAUUAUGUUAUCUCAAAAUUGGCCAUACGAAUUAAAUGACUAAUAGAGUUAUUGACAAUUUUGUUAAAAAUGAACAACCGAUAAGUCAUUAUCUUUUGCACUUCAUUCUUAUUACUCUCAUAAACAUUUUAAUCACAUUUCUCUGUAGUUAACAAUGAUCUUUACCCAUUAAAAUUGUUCUUACAUAUUCAUGGCAAAUGAAGAAGCUCAUCAACUCUGUGAUCCCAGAUUAUUAAAGAGGUGCACAUGUUCUAAACCCUUUAAUAGUUUCUUUUGAUACCAUAAUCUAAUCCUUGAUCUUGAUAAUAGUGCUUUCGCAACAUCCAAGUAAAAAUUUCUCUUGUUUGUCUUAAUCUUGUCAUUUAGGUUUCUCGACUUUUAAUUUAUUAUUCAUUGUUGACUUCUGUGUUCUUAAUAUUAGCAUUCGUUAACUUACUUAAAUCCAUCCUUUUCAACAGCCAGAAAAAUAUAUAUUGUUAAGCAACAGGAGAUGGCAGAAGUAUGUCUUGCUAUUUUUUCCUGCGUAUCAGAAGGUACAAAGACAUUGUCUGAACCGAUUAUAGGGCAGAUGUCUUAUGUGCUCAAGUGCCAGAGCUACAUAGAUGGGCUAAAAGACCGAGUAGAGGAGCUGGGACAAAGAAGAAAAAGGGUGGAAAUACUGGUUGAUCAGGCUCCUGGACAAGGAUAUAAGAUUUUUGGGGAUGUCACAGAGUGGCUAGGGAAAGUUGAGCAAUUCACUCAAGGGUAUGCAAAACACAUCAUUAAUGAUGAAGAUGAAGUUAGGAAGCCCUGCUUUAAAGGAUUGUCCCCAAAUUUGAUGUCUCGUUAUAAACUCAGUAAACGAGCAGUGAAGGCUGCAAAAUAUGCUGAAACUCUCUUGGCAACAGGCAACUUAUGGAUCAUGAGUAAUGUUUCCCACCCUCCUUCCCCAAAGAUGAGAGAAUUUGGCAACAUGAAAGAUUACGAUAUCUUUAAUUCGAGAAAGAAAAUAUUUCAAGAUGUUAUAGAGGCGUUGAAAGAUGAUAAGCUCAACAUAAUUGGGGUCUGCGGAAUGGGCGGCGUGGGUAAAACCACGCUAGUCAAGCAAAUUGCAAAGCAAGUUAUGGAAGAUAACGUGUUCGAUAAGGUCGUUAUGGCUGAGAUAACAAAGAACCCAGAUGCUCAAAAAAUUCAAGGAGAACUCGCUUCCGAUCUAGGCAUGAACUUUGACUCGAAUGAUCACAUAUACCACAGAGCAAAACAACUAUGUCAAAGAUUGAAGAAAGAGAAGCGAGUCCUCAUUAUAUUAGAUAAUAUUUGGACAAAACUUGAGUUGGACAAAAUUGGAAUUCCUUAUGGGGAUGUUGAUGAGAAAGAUAAAAAUGAUGAUCCGAGAAGAUGACGAUAAUAUUGACGUCUAGAAGUCGAGAUUUAUUGUGCAUUGAUAUGAAUUCUCAGAAAAUGUUCUGGAUCGAUGCUUUAUCAAAAGAAGAAGCAUUGCAGUUAUUUGAGAAGAUAGUGGGUGAUUCCACAAAAGCAUCUGAUUUUCGACCUUUAGCAGAAGAGAUUGUUGGAAAAUGCGGAGGAUUGCCUGUUGCACUGAGUACAGUUGCAAAUGCUCUGAAAAAUAAGAGUCUUGCCAUUUGGAAGGAUGCGUUGAAUAAGCUGACAAGUUCCAAUCUAAGAGAAAUUCAUGGUAUGGAUGCAGAUGUGUAUUCUUCUAUAAAAUUGAGUUACGACUUCUUGGAUGAUGAAGCAAAAUCUUUGUUCCUUCUUUGUGGUCUGCACCGUGAAGGUCGUCCUAUACACGUACAUUACUUACUGAGAUAUGUUAUGGGAUUGAGAUACGAUAAGGGUUUGGGUCUAUUUAGAAAUGUUUACACAUUGGAAGCAGCAAGGAAUAGAGUGGAUGCAUUGAUCGACAAUCUAAAAGCUUCAUGCUUAUUGUUGGACGGUGAUGCUGAAGAUGAAGCUAAACUGCAUGACGUCAUUCAUGUUGUUGCUGCAUCAAUUGCAGAAGAAAAGCUUAUGUUUAAUAUUCCAAAUGUUGCUGACUUUGAGAGAGAGAUGGAAGAGACAAUACAGAAAGGUCCAAUUGCUAUUUCUUUACCUUAUAGAGAUAUUCAAGAGCUCCCUGAAAGGUUGGAAUGUCCCCAACUCAAGUUAUUUUUGUUGUUUGCAAAGUACGAUAGCACUUUGCAAAUUUCAGACCACUUUUUUGAAGGGACGGAAGAACUCAAAGUCUUAGAUUUUACUGGAAUUCGUUUCUCUCCAUUACCUUCAUCACUCGGUCGCCUCAUUAACCUUCAAACAUUGUGUUUAGAUGGUUGGCGACUAGAAGAUAUAGCAAUAGUUGGACAGCUAAAGAAAUUAGAGAUUCUCAGCCUUCGAGGUGCCGAAAUUAAGCAGUUGCCACUUCAGAUUGGACAAUUGACAAGGUUACAGUUGCUAGAUUUGAGCAAUUGUAGCAGCCUUGUGGUGAUAGCACCAAAUGUCAUAUCGAAAUUAUCUCGAUUGGAAGAACUAUAUAUGGGUGACAGCUUUUCACAGUGGGACAAGGUUGAAGGAGGAAGUAACGCCAGUCUUGCUGAAUUGAAGGGGCUGUCAAAGCUAACUACUUUGGAGAUAGAUGUUCGGGAUGCUGAAAUGCUGCCGCAGGAUUUGGUCCUUGGGGAAUCGCUAAGAUAUAGGAUAUGAAUAGGAGAAGUGUGGGGCCGCUGGUCUGUUAAAUCUGAAACAUCAAGAUUGAUGAAGCUUCAGGGGCUAGAAAAUAUUAGCAUUCUUUUGAGGAAUCAUGGAAUGAAAAUGUUGCUGAAGAAAACUGAAGAUCUCUAUCUACAGGAACUGAAGGGUGUAAAGAAUGUUGUUCCUGAAUUAGAUGAUGGGGAAGGUUUUCCACGAUUAAAGCAUCUUCAUGUAGGAAAUUUUGCGGAGCUUUUACAUAUUGUCGGUUCAAUUCAUUGCAAAGUCUUUCCCCAGCUAGAGUCAUUGUCUCUUUUUGGUUUGCUUAAUUUGGAGAAGAUAUGUUACAGCCAAAUCACAGAUCAAUCUUUUAUCAACUUAAGAAUCUUUAGCGUACGUAAUUGUAACAAAUUGAAGCAUCUCUUCUCAUUCUCUAUGGCCAAAAGCCUAUUGCGGCUUCAACAAAUAAAAGUGGGUCUUUGCAACAACCUGGAAAUGAUUAUUGGUAAGUGUUGGAAGUAUUUUGAGGAAUUAUAAAAAGCUACUAUUACUUAAUGACAGAAGUUAAUUAUUAAUUUUGUUUCUAGGACUCAACAAGGAGACAAGUAAUUUCGGUUUUAAAGAAAUCAUUGCAGAGGAUGAUCCUGUUCAGAAGGUGAUAAUUUAUGAUCCUGUUCAGAAGGUGAUAAUUUUCUCUUUAAUAAUUAAUUAAUAUAUUAUCAUGAUUUAUUUCAAUCAUCAAAAGAAUAUUAGAGAGAUAGGGAGGGGGAAAAAAAAAAAAGCUUACGGUUUUGCUUUGCAGGUCAUUCUUCCAGGCUUAGAGGAGUUGGAACUUGAUAGAUUAGCAACCAUUGAAAAAGUAUGGCCGGAUCAGUUUGAGGGAAUGUCUUGUUGUCAAAAUUUAACAAAAGUGACCGUGGAGAGGUGUCAUCGCCUGAAGUAUCUAAUAAAUUUGUUGACAUUCUCAAUGCCUGAAAGUUUUGUGAAUCUUGAAAUAAUGAAGAUAGUUGAUUGCAAAAUGAUAGAAGAAAUCAUAAAAUCACAGGUUGGAAUAGAAGCGAAACAUUGUAUUGUUUUUAGGAAAUUGAAGUACUUGAGGCUUGAUUGUUUGCCAAGCCUGACAAGCUUUUCUUCGAGUAAUUACACUCUUGAAUUCCCCUUCUUGAAACAAGUAGUUGUGAGACAGUGCCCAAAGAUGAAGAUUUUCUCUCAAGGAGGACUCUUACACACACCAAUGUUGAACAAAGUGCAACUCACUGAAGAAGACGAUGAUGAAGGGUACUGGGAAGGCGACCUCAAUAAUACCAUACAAAAGUUGUACUACAAAGAAGUGGUGAGUAUUAAUUAAGCAUUGGUGCUAGGCCACUAGCUUUAUUUUAUGAAUAACACAGGAGCCCUAACCACAUAAAAAUUAUCUUAUAUAAAGUGGUGAAAUAAUAUGGUAGGUUGACAUAUAUAUACAUGUAUGUAUGUAUGUAUGUAUCCACGUAUAUGGCCCAUGUUUUGUUUUACAUUUAACCAGUCAUAUUAUGUUACAUCAAUUUUUAUAACAUUAUUUAGAUAAUAGUGUCUGAAACUGUAUCAUUAUUCUUGAUUUAAUUUUGUUAUUAGUUUUUUUUUCUAUUAUUAGUAUUAUCAUUAAAAGGUAAACGUUUUCUUACCCACCUCAUAAAUUAGCAUGCUUUAUUUUGUCUUUAACUUAUUGAAAACAUUAACCCACGCCCAUUUAGCGUUAAAAGUACAAAAUGUUUGCCGAAGAAUAUCAUCAACACAGGCCCCUAUUCACGCUAUUCUUUUGGAUAGUAAAUGGGGGUGCGUUGAUGUUAUCAUUAAUUUGGUAGACAUCGGGAAACUGUAAUAAUAUAAAAAACAAUUGUGUGUGUCUAGUGAAUUUUUUUUUGGUUUGUGCAGGAUAGAGUUCGUGAAAUGACGAAGUUGGAACUCUCAAACUUUCCACGUUUCAGAGAAAUGUGGCAUGCCCAAGCACUGCCUGUUAGCUUCUUCAGCAAUUUAGUAAAGCUAGUGAUGGAUGACUUCAAGAAUAUGACUACUGCUAUUCCAGCCAAUCUUCUACGGUGCUUGAACAAAUUAAAAAUUCUGGAAGUGAGGAAUUGUGAUUCAUUAGAAGAGGUGCUCCAUUUAGAAGAGCUAAAUGUUGAUGAACAUUUUGGCCCUCUGUUUCCUGUUCUUGUCCAGCUAGAGCUCAUUAAUCUUCCAAAACUCAAAAGAUUCUGCAGCUUCAUUGGGAAUGUUAUUGAACUGCCUGAGUUGUUGAAUCUGAACAUUGAGAAUUGCCCUAAUAUGGAAAUAUUCACUUGCAAUUCUAUAUCUAUAUUGCACAGGACAACAAAUAAAGAACCUCUGGAAAUAACACCAAAGGAGAACUUCCCGCUAGCUGACAUACAGCCUCUCUUUGAUGAAAAGGUGAUUGUUAUUAAGUUUUUUUUUUUUUUUUCCUUCGCUUUCAUUCACAUAGAUGUAAUUCUCAUUAGAAUUAAAAUUAAUUUUAUUUAAUGAUCUUUCUGUUGUCUUUACUCUUUAUAUCUAAUCUAACGGUUCUAAUGCAGUUAUUAACUAAAAUUUCAGUAUACACUCAUAAAAAUGUCAUCAAAUUAGUUAAAUGAUUGGUAACAAGGGGUGAACUCUAUCCAUAUUAUCUCUAUUCAGAUUUGAUUUAUGUGCUUCAAGGGUAACUAUUUGAAUUUUAUUUUUUGGUUCCUCCGCAACUAAAUACAAUUUGGAUAUAAAAUGCUGUCGUCAAUCUUUUCCAUGAAACUGCUUACGAAGACUGCCGACGUUAGAUAUAUGUUCUCAUUUACAACUUUUUUUUUUCCAGGUUGCAUUCCCCAAGUUACAUAUGUUGAACCUGUCUAGAAUACCCAAGGUGUCGCAUCUAUGGAAGAAAAUUUCCGAAUCCAACGAAGUUUCCAAGUUUUUGAAUACUCUAGUAAUAUCAGAAUGUAGUAAGUUACGAAAAUUAGUACCAUCUUUGUUGCAUUUGGAAUAUCUGGCGACUCUAGAAGUGUCGAAGUGUCACGGGUUGACAAAUUUGUUGACGAUCUCAACAACUAAAAGUUUAGAACAUCUUUUAGUAAAUCUUGAAAUAAUGAAGAUAGCUGAUUGCAAAAUGAUAGAAGAAAUCCUACAAUCACAGGUUGAAAAAGAAGAAGAAAUCCUACAAUCACAGGUUAAAAAAGAGGAAGAUUGCAUUGUUUUUGGGAAAUUGAGGUACUUAGGACUUGAUUGUUUGCCAAGCCUAACAAGCUUUUAUUCGGGUAAUUACACUCUUGCAUUCCCAUCCUUAGAAGAAGUAGUUGUGAGACAGUGCCACAAGAUGAAGAUUUUCUCUCAAAAAGGGCGCUUACACACACCAAUGUUGAACAAAGUGCAAUUCACUGAAGAAGAUGAGGAUGAAGGAUGCUGGGAAGCCAACCUCAAUGAUACUAUAAAAAAAUGGUACUACAAAGAAGUGGUCAGUAUUAAUUAAGCAUUGGUGCUAGCUUUAUUUUAUCAAUAAUACUAGAGUCUCAACCUCUUAAAAAUUAUUUUAUACAAAAUGAUGUGAUAUAAUAUGGUAGGUUGUGUGUGUGUAGCCCGCGUUUUGUUUUUUGUUUAACCAAUCAUAUUAUUUUAUAUCAGCUUUAUAACAUUAUUUAGACAAUAGUGUUUGUAACUAUAUCUUUACUCAUUAUUUAAUUUUGUUAUUAGUUUUGUUACUGUUAUUAGUAUUAUUAGUAGUAUUAUUAUUAAAUGGUAAAUGUUUUUACCCAGUACCCACCUCAUAAAUUAACAUUCCUUAUUUUUGUCUUUAACUUAUUGAAAACAUUAACCCAUGCACAUUUAGCUUUAAAAGUACAAAAUGUUUGAUUAAGAAUAUCAUCAACACAGGCUCCUAUUCACUAUAUUCUUUGAAUAGUAAACGGGGUGCGUUGAUGUUAUCAUAAAUUUGAUGGACAUCUGGAAACUGUAGUAAUCUAGAAAACAAUUGUGUCCAUAUAUAUAUCCACUACAGUUUUCCUCUUUUUUUGUGGCUUUUGCAGGAUAGAGUUCGUGAAAUGAUGAAGUUGGAACUCUCAAGCUUUCCACGUUUGAGAGAAAUGUGGCAUGCCCAAGCACUGCCUGUUCGCUUCUUCAACAAUUUAGUAAAGCUAGUGAUGGAUGACUUCACGAAUAUGACUACUGCUAUUCCAGCCAAUCUUCUACGGUGCUUGAACAAAUUAAAAAUUCUGGAAGUGAGGAAUUGUGCUUCAUUAGAAGAGGUGCUCCAUUUAGAAGAGCUAAAUGUUGAUGAACAUUUUGGCCCUCUGUUUCCUGUUCUUGACCAGCUAGAGCUCAUUAAACUUCCAAAACUCAAAAGAUUCUGCAGCUUCAUUGGGAACGUUAUUGAGCUGCCUGAGUUGUUGAAUCUGAACAUUGAGGAUUGCCCUAAUAUGGAAAUAUUCACUUGCAAUUCUAUAUCUAUGUUGCACAGGACAACAAAUAAAGAACCUCUGGAAAUAACACCAAAGGAGAACUUCCCGCUAGCUGACAUACAGCCUCUCUUUGAUGAAAAGGUGAUUGUUAUUAAGUUUUUUUUUUUUCCCUUUGCUUUCAUUCACGUAGAUGUAAUUCUCAUUAGAAUCAAAAUCAAUUUUGUUUAAUCAUCUUUCUGUUGUCUUUACUCUUUAUAUCUAAUUUAACGGUUCUAAUGCUCUUAUUAACUAAAUUUUCACUAUACACUUAUGAAAAUGUCAUCAAAUUAGUUAGAUGAUUGGUAACAAGGGGGAGAACUCCAUCCAUAUUGUCUCUAUUUAGAUCGGAUUUAUGUGUUUCGAGGGUAACUAUUUGAUUUUUAUUUUUUGCUUCCUCUGCAAAUAAAUAGAAUUUGGAUAUAAAAAGUUGUGAUCAAUCUUUUCCAUGAAACAUGCUUGUGAAGACUGCCGAUGUUAGAUAUAUAUUCUUAUCUACAACUUUUUUUUUUAUUUAAUUUUCAGGUUGCAUUCCCCAAGUUAUAUAAGUUAAAACUGACUAGAAUACCCAAGGUGUCGCAUCUAUGGAAGGAAAUUUCCGAAUCCAACAAAGUUUCCAUGGUUUUGAAUACUCUAGUAAUAUCAGAAUGUAGUGAGUUACGAAAAUUAGUACCAUCUUUGUUGCAUUUGGAAUAUCUGAUGACUCUAGAAGUGUCGAAGUGUCACCGGUUGACAAAUUUGUUGACGACCUCAACAACUAAAAGUUUGGUGAAUCUUGAAAUAAUGAAGAUAGCUGAUUGCAAAAUGAUAGAAGAAAUCCUACAAUCACAUGUUCAAGAAGAAGGGAAAGAUUGCAUUGUUUUUCGGAAAUUGAGGUACGUGGGACUUGAUUGUUUGCCAAGCCUAACAAAAGCUCAUGCCUUGUUGAUGGAUGCUGUAGAAGAAGGACUAUAUUGUUGUAGCAACAAGCCUGCAGAAAAUCACAGAAUACUUAUCUGUAUAUGAACAAAAACAAGUCUGAACCAGAGAGAAUGUUGUAGUAACUAUUGCAAAAAUCUAGAUCAAAUACAAACAAAACUGUCUAGAUUGUUCAUGUGCUAACUAAUAAAGUCUACUGCAGUCGAUACUGAACUACCACUAUCAUGUGCAGACAACAGAGUGGCAGGCAGCACAAAAGGGAAUGUGCUCCUAGGAUGCCAAAAAACACAAGUGUCCUAAUGCUUUUUAGUUGCCCAAAUCCCAAGAUAUAAAAGACCAUAUUUUAAGGAAAUACAUCAUCCACGACCGACACAUGCAAAGAGAACAGAAAGAGAGAUUUCAGAGUUGCAAUAGAGGCAUUUUUCGUGUUGAAAAAUGAGAGAUAAUAGAAGAUCAAAGCAUGACGUUUUGGGUCUUUUGUAUCUCAACGUUUUUUCUUGUAUUUGUUUAUUUUGUUCUCUCUCUGAUAAUGUAUUUAAUGGCAGACACUUGUGUUGUUACUGUUUCAAAGCUCAUCAUGAGCUAAACCUUAAUUUAGUUGGGUUUUGAAUAUGCUUAAUGGUUAUUUAAUUUACAUGUGUAUGUUGCUCAGAACCUGUUAUAGCAUUUUGUUUUAACUUUACUUAUUGUAAUUGCCUACCUCGGUUGACUACCUAUUUAGUGGAUAUUAGAUAAGAAGGAGCCUAAAAGGUUUGACUUAGUGGAAUAAAUUAAGAAAUACAUGGUUCUAGAUUAGGAUUCCCAAGUUGAGUUAAUCUCGAUUUGAAUAGGGCCAUGCUUAAUCUAAGAUUAGUGAAGAACUAGAUUUAGGGAUUCACCUUGUAGGGCAAAUAGAGUCUAAAACAUAAAAUGCUAUGUCUAAUGUUAGUUUAAUAACUAAUCACUAUUAGAUUACAUAUAGAUAUAAGAUAUCCAAAAAACGACAGUUGAAGACGCUAUAACAACUGUGUCUCAAUUGAAAGAUAUUCAAUAACCAAUAAGUGAGUUUAGAACCCGACUACCCUUUUGCCAUUUAGUAUAUUUUUUUGUUUGACUUUAGAUUCUCUUUAUUGCAUUCUAUUUGUUGCAUUGUUAAUUUCAUUAGAUCAUUAAUAUCAUCAUUUAUUUUCUUUUAUUUAGUUUAUUAAAAUUGCACUGUUAAGAUUGCUAUAGUAAGUCCUAUAACAUCAAUCCAUGUGGAGACGGUUUUGAUACUCAUCAUUAUAUUAUUUCUUGUGUACACUUGUAUAUUGACACUUUACCAAGUUUUUGGCGCCGUUGCUGGGGAUUGAGUGUAACACCCCAGUCUGAAAUCCAAGGGCAAAUAUGUCCAUAACUCACAUAUGAAUUUAAAUAACCCUUUACAAUCGAAAAAAAUUCAAACCUCCAAUAUAAUAGGCAGCGGAAUAAUUUGAAAAUUUUGUCAAACCAUCUAUCAUCCUCAAUUCAAGUCUACCUUCUCACUCAUUACGAAUCAUUCCUGACUUUUGGAAACUGAAUCACAAUAAACUAUAAUGAGUACAAAACUCAGUAAGCAAAUUAGUUUUCUUAUACUAAAAUACAUCCAUACUUAUACAUAAUGCAAAUGGAUGAUAUGUCAUGAUCUUUUGGAAAUACUAUAAAACAAAUUCAUAAAAGUCUCUUUCUGUCGCUUUCAAACUUUCUCAUUUUCUUUCAAUAAAAUACGUAUCCUACAAUGUGGCACUUUGUGCUGUGCGUGGCACUUUGCACCAUGCGUGGUACUUUGCGGCGCUCUGGCCCUCAAGAGGUGGCCCCCGCAUAGUCUCAAGAGGUGGCCCCCAAUGUAAAAUCUCAUAAAACAAAAAUUCUGUUUGCUAAAAUUCACUUGUUCAUUCAUAGAAAACUCAAUGCAUUUUCGUGCUCAUGCUAAUGAACCAUCACACAUACAUAUGCCCAUGUACAUAAUCAUGCCCAUUACAUAACAACACAUCACAUAAACACAUGAGCAGAGACAUAUAAAUCCAUAUUCGUACAUAUCAAAAUAGGUUUUUCAUACAAGUCAAACAUAUAUAUUAUUUAUUGUGAUUCGUUUUAAAGUCUAGUUUACUUACCUCUUGGUAUCCUCAUGCAACAAAUGCAUAUUGAUAUCAUCAACCUUAAAUCAUCAAUAAAUUUCUCAUAAGAUAUAAUCAAGUCUCAAUCAUAAACUCUAAUGUCCUGAAGUAUCUCAAUUUAAAUGUCCUCAAUAAUCGGCCCUCAAAACAUAACAGUCCAUAUUUCUCCGAUUUUUAAUAAACUAUUCUCUUAUUGGAAGAAUCUAAAAUUUUACCGACCAUAUGCUGACACAUUGAAAGUUCAUUGAUAAAUAUUUCGUAACAUAAUUCCUUCAAAAACUAUUGAAAAUAACUGACGUUUCAGACAUCAUCAAUACUGUCAAACAGUUUUCUAUUUUGAACACACUUGCUUUAAAAAUACAAAACAAUUUAUUGCUUUAUCAUAAAAUCAUGAACAUUUUUAGAAUCAUACUAUACAUAUAUAUAAAUCAUUGGUCCAAAUUUCGUAAUUGUUGAAGAAGUCUAGCUAUGGUAAAAAUAAUUUCGUAAUUUACGUUAUUCACUGAAAUCAUAAAUUUCCAGGUUUUCAGGCUUGAAUUUGAAAAAUCGUAAUUAAUUGAAAUCUUAUCUGAUUAACUUGAAACAAGUUUCAAAACAUUCUAAACGAUAUCUAGUUUAACAUACCCAAAAAUCAGAAUCAAAAUCAACUUGUACAAAUUACUAUGAUUUCCGUAAUAAUUCACUGUCAGCAUAUUUCUGCAAAAUCUUAGAUUUCUACUUCUAUUGCAAUAAUGCUUCUCCACAACAAUUUAAUAGAGACCAAUAAUUAAAACUUACCUCCAAAACUUCUCCCAACAAUAAAAACUUAAUUCCAUGUGUUGCCUAUGGCAGAACUAAGAAGAAGAAGAAGACUUCUUCUUUUUUUCUUUUCUUGAUUUUCUCUCUUGUCUCUCCAUCUCUCUCUCUCUCUCUCUCUCUCUCUUUUCUGUCGUUUUUUUUUUGCAACCGAUCCCUCUUUUCCUCUCUCUCUUAUAAUAAAAAAGACAUCUUGUUCUAUUUAUACUAGGGCAAAAAAGGAUCACUAAAAAUUAAAAAGAGUUAAAUACCCUUAGGAGAUUUGGAAUAUUACAUUGAGUGCAUAUUGUGAGUUUUUAAGUUAAUUUUUUUUCUUUUAAUUUGUUUGUUGUGUUAACAUAAUGCUUUAGCAACCCUUGCAUGCUCAAGUAUAAACCUGUUGAAUUUUAGUUUGAUCCAAAAAUUGAAAGAACUGCAAGGAGGCUAAGAAAAGAGCAUAGAGGUUUAGGAUCUGUUGCAGACAUGGAUGGUUUGUAAAAUGUGGGAGAUUUGAAUCCCCAAGGAGGAAUGAAUCCAAUUAAUGUUCAAAGAGAUAAUCCUCUUCCCAUUUUAGAUCUAGUUAAUGCACAAAGAGUUCAAGAAUGUCAGUACGGGUAGAUUGGUCAAGGGCAACUAGAGAAUAACAACAUUUUCUGCAUGACAGUUGAUAAAGAAAAUGUUGUUAGGGACUAUAUAGUGUUAACCCCUCAAACUAUAAAUCCUGGAAUAGUCAAACCCAAAGUUCAGGCUGCUCAUUUUGAGCUCAAACCAGUAAUGUUUCAGAUGUUACAGAAAGUAGGAUAGUUCAAUAGACUACCAUCAGAAGAUCUUCAUCUUCACCUUAAACUAUUUUUGAGGUGAGUGAUGCUUUCAAGAUUGCUGGAGCAUCACAUGAGGCAUUGAGGCUAAUACUCUUAAUUUUCUUUGAAGGAUCGAGUAAGAGAAUAGUUGAACUCUUUACUACAUGAUUCAAUCUCUACAUGGAAUACCUUAGCUGACAAAUUUUUGAUAAAGUAACCUACCAAGAAUGCAAAGUUGAGGAUGAGAUCACAUUUUUCCAUUAACUUAACGAUGAAAGCUUCUAUGAUGCUUGAGAAAGAUUCAAGGAGUUGUUUAGGAAAUAUUCUCAUGAUGGUAUCCCUUGUUGUAUACAGUUGAAAACUUUCUAUAAUUGUCUAAAUUCAAGCACUAGAUUGAUGGUAAACACUUCAGGAAGUGGGGCCUUGUUAUCUAAGUCUUACAAUGAGGCUUAUGAUAUUUUGAAAAGGAUAGCCAAUAACAACUAUUAGUGGCCAUCUACCAAACAAACUACAAUAAGAAGAAUAAUAGGAGUUUACAGUGCAGAUGCCUUGAUAGCAUUAUCAGCCUAAGUAACCUUAUUGAUAAAUAUGGUAAAGGAUAUAUCCACUGUUCCAGCAACUAUCAACAAAGUUGUUAAGGCAUCAUGUAUUUAUUGUGGAGAAGGAAAUUUAUUUGAUAGUUUUCUUAGAAAUCAUGCCUCAGUCAACUAUAUGGGCAAUUAUAACAGACAGAACCACAUCAACCCUUAUUCAAACACUUACAACCCUGGAUGGAGGCAGCACCCAAACUUUUCAUGGAGCAAUCAGAAUCAGAAUCAAUAUGUUGUAGAAUCUAGUGGACAAAAUAGACUUGCUCAACCAUUUAGAUUUCAUCAGCAAAAUCAAGGGCGAAGAGACACCAACAAUGAUCAACCCAACUCCCUUGAAGCCUUAAUUAAGGAGUACAUUGUGAAGAAUGAAACAUUUAUCUAAAGUCAAGCUAUUUCCUUAAGAGACCUAGAAAAUCAGAUGGGACAAGUUACUAUAGUAUUAGGUAACAGACCUCAAGAUAAUUUACCAGGCAAUACAGAGGACCCAAGAAGAGAAUGGAAAGAGCAUUGCAAAGUAAUUAACUUAAGAUCUAGAAAGGAUGUUCACAUUCUAGUUGGUGUACUAAAAAAAAGAGUUGAGCCCACUUCAAUCUAAGAAAAAACUCAAGUUGAAGAAGAUCCAUAACCCUCUACUUCACAGUACACAGGUGAAAACAGCAAAGCACACCAAUCCAAUACUUUACAAAAAAUGAUUAUCGAAUACCUAUUGAUGAAGAUCUUGCACACUAACCACACCAAUCCAGAACAUGGCAAAAGUGAAGCAGUUUGCACAACCUUCUACAACUCAGCCGUUUAGGCACCCACCACCCUUUUCUUAAAGGUUCAAGUGACAGAAACAUGACAAGCAGUUCAGUAAAUUCUUUGAAGUGUUGAAGCAAUUGUAUAUCAACAUCCUUUUUAUGGAAGGUCUAGAGCAAAUGCCAAAUUAUGUGAAGUUCUUGAAGGAUAUUUUGACAAAGAAAAAAAGGCUAGAAGAACUUGAAAUAGUUUCUCUAACACAAAAGUACAACCACAUGCAUCAGAAUAAGAUACCUCAGAAAUUGAAGGAUUCAGAAAGCUUCACAAUUUCAUGCUCUAUAGGCAAUAAAUACAGUGACAAGACACUUUGUGAUUUAGGAGCCAGCAUUAAUCUCGUGUCCUUAUCUAUAUUUAAGCAAUUGGGUGUUGGAAAGGUCAGACCAAUAAUAGUUACCUUACUACUUGCUGAUAGAUCUCAUGCCUAUCUAGAUUGAAGAUGUACUGGUGAAAGUAGAUGAGUUUAUUUUUGCAGUUGACUUCAUAGUAUUGGAUUUUGAAGCAGAUAAAGAAGUGUUUAUCAUUUUAGGUAGACCUUUCUUGUCUGCUGGUAAGACUCUAAUUAAUGUGUAAAAAGGAGAACCAACCGUGAGGGUUAAUGAUCAGUAAGUUACAUUCAAUGUGCUAAAUGCCAUGAAGAGUCCUGAUGAUGUUGAAGAUUGUAAUUUUGUUAAUGUUGUGGAUUUUACUAUAGUAGAAAGAUUAAACAGUUGCUGCAGCAGAAAGAUUAAACAGUUGCUGCAGCAAAGAAGAAAUCAAGGUUGCAAGAUUUAAAGAACUUGAUGAUAAACCUCAAGGCCUUGAAACAACUGACAUAACAUGGCUAGAAGAAAAACAACCCUUCAAAACUGAGAAGCAAAUUAAAUAUCUUGACCUUCAAAUAGGGAUAUAAAAUAUUCUAUUUCUUUUAUUAAGUCCUCAUAUUUUAGAAUUAAAACUUUUACCUUUACACUUGAAAUAUGCUUAUCUUAGUGACCGUGAUCAACGUCAUGUAAUCAUUUCAUCAUCUUUGAAUGCAGAACAAGAAAAUAGCUUAGUUUUUGUAUUAGGGAAACAGAAGAAGGCCAUUUGAUGGACCAUGACAGAUAUCAAAGGAAUCAGCCUCUCAAUAUGCAUGCACAAGAUUCUACUGGAGGAUAGUUAUGGCAAUUCUCUAAGCAAUUGAAAAGAUUAAAUCCUAUCAUGAAGGAAGUUGUAAAGAAAGAGAUCAUCAAAUGGCUUGAUGUUGGAAUCAUCCACCUAAUAUCAAACACCUCAUGAGUGAGCCCAAUACAAUAUGUUCCAAAGAAAAUUGGAGUGACAGUUGCAGAAAAUAAAAAGAACGAGUUUAUUCUUAUAAGAACUGUAAAUGGAUGAAGAGUCUGUAUAGACUACAUAAAGCUAAAUAAGACCACAAGGAAGGAUCGCUUUCCACUGCCUUUCAUAGAUCAGAUACUGGAUAGACUCGCUAGAAAGGAGUAUUAUUAUUUCUUAGAUGGAUACUCAGGAUACAACCAUAUUGACGUAGCACUAGAAGACCAGGAGAAGACAAAAUUCAUUUUUCCUUAUGGAACCUUUGCCUUUAGAAAGAUGCCAUUUGGCAUGUGCAAUGCUUCACCAACUUUCCAAAUGUGUAUAAUGUCCAUCGUUUCAGAUAUGAUUGAGCAAAUACUUGAGGUAUUUAUGAAUGAUUUGUUUCAGUUUUUGGGGAAUCAUAUGAUGACUAUUUGUAUAAUUUAAAAAAUAGACUUAGAAGAUGUAAAGAGACAAACUUAGUAUUGAAUUCGGAAAAAUGUCAUUUCAUUGUACAAGACGAGGAUAGUCCUAGGCUAUAAACUCUCUAAAAAAAUGAUAGAAGUGGAUAAGGUAAAAAUAGAGGUGAUUAAUAAACGUCUAUUAUCCACUUCAGUUAAAGGCAUAAGGAGUUUCUUGAGGCAUGCUGGAUUUUAUAGAAGGUUUAUUAAGGAUUUCUCCAAAAUAUCAAAACCUUUAUACAUGUUGUUGGAGUGUAACAAACCUUUUAAUUUUGAUGAUGAUUGCUUGAAGGCCUUCGUUGAGUUAAAGAGAGCUUUUGUUACAACACAAGUUGUUGUAACACCUAAUUAGAGUAUGCCUUUUGAGUUGAUGUGUGAUGCUAAUGAUCAUUCGGUUGGAGCAGUGUUAGGGCAAAGAAAAGGCAAGACUUUCCAUUCCAUUUAUUAUGCCAGUAUGACUCUAGCUAAUGCAAAUUCAACUAUACCACAACUGAAAAUGAGAUGCUGACAAUUGUAUUUGUAUUUGAUAAAUUUAGAGCCUAUUUGGUUGGCAGCAAAGUGACUGUUUACAUAGAUCACUCAGCCAUAAAAUAUUUGACUCCAAAGAAAGAUGUCAAACUAAGGCUAAUCAAGUGGAUUCUCUUCCUACAAGAGUUUGACUUAUAGAUCAAGGAUAGAAAAUGAACGGAGAAUUAAGUAGCAAAAUAUCUUUCAAGGCUUGAAGUAGAUGCAAGCACUUUGACCAAGCAGGAUAUCAUAGAAAUAUUUCCUUAUGAGCAAUUGUUCAUAUUGCAGCAUGCACAGAUGCUGCAGUAAUCUGAAUUUCCAUGGUUCACGGAUUUUGUUAAUUUUCUAGAAAGUGGAUUGCCACCACCUAACUUGAGCUACCAGCAAAAGAAGAUAUUAAUUUAUCCAUGAUGUCAGAAGCUAUUAGUGGGAUGAGCCCUACUUGUACAAGAUGUGUUUGUUAACAUAUAUGUUUCCAUAAUAUUGAUUUUGAUGAUAACAAACAAGAUUAAGAAUGAUUAAUCUUUUAAGCUCAAAUUAUUUUUAUACUUUUUAAAUAAAUCAUUAUUUUUACAUUAUAAAAGUUUUAUAUUUAAUGGAAAAAUGAUUUUAUGAAAUUGAUUGUUUUUAUUCUUUUUAAAUAAAUCAUUAUUUUCACAUUAUAAAUGUUUCAUAUUUAAUGGAAAAAAGAUUUUAUGAAAUUGGUUGUUUUUCAAAGUUUAUGGUUUAAUUGAAAGAAUUUUGAAAACUUUGAAAUAAACAAGUAUUGCUUGAAAUUUUGGAGAAGGACUUAUUUGAAAAGUGUCAUAGCUUUUUGGGCUAUAUCAUAAUUUCAAAAAGUUUUGGGAUUAACAAAGCAUUACUUAGAAAUUCUGAAAUUGGACCUAUUUGCAAAGUUUCAUGACGUUUUGGGCCAUAGUAUAGUUUUAUAAAGUUUUGGGGUCAAACCAUAAUUUCAGAAAAUAGUGCACUGUGAAGGUUACUGUAGCAUCCGGCUUAUCGGAUAUAAAAACCAAAAAACUGGAUACGGGGCAGAAUGUAUCCAGAACGUAAACGGCUUACCGGAUUUCGUAACCGGCAAGCCGGAUAGGCAAAAUUCAAAUUUUUGCCUUAAUGGUAACAUAAAUCCGGCUUACCGGAUUCCAAAAACGGCAAACCCGAUACGUCCAGAAUGUGCAUAACGGCUAGUUUUUGAGUUCAAACUAUAUAAACUCAAAACCAAUUCAUUUUUCGUAAUCCAAGCAAGCAAGAACAAGUGCACACAACAUAUAUUAAGCUUCAAUUUCGUAACUCAUCAUUUAUUAAAUCAUCUUUGUUCUUCAAUUUGUAUAUCCACUCUUAAAGAGAGAUUCAUUGUUGUAUUUUUCAUUUCUCAUUAAAUUGUGAGUGUACAAGUGUGAGAAACACUUGGAGUGAAGAGAUUGGAGAGAUAAUCUCUUGUUGUAAAGGUUCAUUGACACCUUAAAGUCAAUUGUAAACGUUUGAAGCCUUGGAAAGGCUUGGAUAGUGAAAUCCUCAAGCCCGGUGUGCUUGGAGGCGUGGACGUAGGCGGGGAUUGCCGAACUACGUAAAAAUCCUUGAGUUUGCUUUCUCUUCCCUUGCUCAUUUAUUAUUGUGCUUUCAUUGAAUUUAUUGUUUUCGAAUUUAUUAAGGAAUUAGAUUGGAUUUGUGUGUGGUUUGCUUAGCUUAAUUUUUAAAAAUCCAAUUCACCCCCCCUCUUGGAUUGCCUAGUUAGUAUUUCAUUUGGUAUUAGAGCGAGGUGCUCUUGUGUAAACUUAACCGUCUAGAGUUAAAGAUCCAUGGAAACCCAUAAUGACUCAAUCUUUAGGGAAGGACAAUCCACAAUUAGACCACCGUUCUUUGACGGUAAUGACUACCCAUAUUGGAAAACUAGGAUGAGAAUUUAUUUACAAGCUUUAGAUUAUGAAAUUUGGGAAAUUGUUUGUGAUGGUCCAUUUAUGCCUUUGACUAAAAAUGAAGUCGGGGACGAUAUUCCAAAACCUUCACAGGAAUGGAAUGAAUUGGAAAAGAAAAAAUCUACUCUAAAUUCCAAAGGUAUGAAUGCCUUGUUUUGUGCACUAGAUAAGAAAGAAUUUCAUAGAGUUUCUAGUUGUGAGAGUGCUAAUGAAAUUUGGCACAAACUUGAAGUUGUUUAUAAAGGCACAAAUCAAGUGAAAAGAGUCUAAAAUUAGUAGGUACACUCGGCAAUAUGAAUUAUUCCAAAUGGAACAAAAUGAGAGUGUGUAUUCUAUGUAUACUAGAUUUACGGACAUAGUGAACACUCUAGGAGCCCUAGGAAAGACUUUUUCAAAUAGCGAUAAGGUUACGAAAACUAUUAGGUCGCUACCUAAGGAAUGGAGACCAAAAAGGACUGCUAUUGAGGAAGCUAAGGAUUUAAAUAUCUUACCUAUUGAUGAUUUAAUUAGUUCUCUUAUUUCUUAUGAGGAAGACUUGGCAGCCGAAAGAGGCAAUAAGGAGAAGAAGAAAAACAUUGCUCUCAAAGCCUCGAAACAAGAGAGUGAUGAGGAAAGCGAGCUGGAUGAGGAGGAGAUGAAUAUGUUGGCUAGGAGGUUCAGAAAACUCUUUAAGAAAUCCGGUGAGCGAAGAAAAUUUAAAGACCUCAAGAACUGAAAGGAGAAGAAGGAAUUAAUCAAAUGUUAUGAGUGCAAGAAGCUUGGCCAUAUAAGAACGGAAUGUCCUCUUCUCAACAAGCUCAAGAAGAAAGCAAUGGUUGCCACAUGGGAUGAUAGCGAUGAGGAAACAAGUGAUGAUGAAGAGAAUCAAGAAAUGACAAAUCUAGCUCUCAUGGCAAUUGGAGAUGAAUCGGAUGAUGAACUUGAUGAGGUAAAUGAUCUUUUUACUUAUGAUGAAUUAUAUGAUGCUUUUAAAGAAUUGCAUGAUAAUUGGAUAAAAAUUGGUAAAAAGAAUGCAUGUCUUAAAAAGAAAAUGGUAGAGCUCAAAAAUGAAAAUGAAUCUCUAUGUGCAAAGAUUACAUGCCUAGAAUUAGAGAAUAAAACAUUGCAUGAUAGAGUUGCAUUAUUUGAGAAUUCUAGCACUUUACAUGAGCACUUAGAGUCACACAUGAAUGACUUGAAAAAUGAGAAUGAAAUGCUUAGAAAGAAGAGCAAUGAGUUAAAUGAGAUUGUUUUAAAAUUUACAGAUGGACAAAAGAUGUUGGAUAACUUGAUUAAUUCUCAAAAAUGUGUGUUUGAUAAAGGAGGUAUUGGUUAUAAGCCAAAUUUGAAACAAAAAUAUUAUAAAAGUUAUUUUGUUAAAACUACCUCCAUUAAUAAUCAAAUUGUAUGUCAUUAUUGCAAUCAAAAUGGUCAUAUGAAGAAUAGAUGUCCAAUUAAAAGAAAUGUGUAUUAUGGAGUAAAAUGUGUUUGGGUUCCAAAAGGAACCAUUGCUAACACUCAAGGACCCAAGAGCAUUUGGGUACCAAAGGGCACAACUUGAAUAUUCUUUUGUAUGUACCACAAACAAGGAAUGGUGGAGAGUUCCUUGAUGAAGCUUGUGAGGAUAAUCAUUUGAGCAUGAUCUAGGAGAAAAAGAUGAGGCAAGAUGAUUUAAUUGUUUUGGUAAUAAUUCUUGCCAUAUUAAUUUUGUUGAAUGGAUCAUGAUAAAUGGAUAAUAGCUUGAAUUUGUGAAAGUAUACUUGUAUGUUUACAUGAUAGAAUUAUCAUUGUGUUUAACAUUGAGUGCUUUAUCAUAAUGCAUGGUUAUAUAUAUAAGAUGAUAGCUUGUCAACUCAUCAUGAUAGCUUUGUUUGAUUUUGAUGAUUAUGUAAUGCCUAAGCUUGAUAAAUGAAUGAUAUGCUUGAAUUAUUAAUCUUUGAAUGCUUAUAUGUUUCAUGAUUGUGUAAAAUAUAUACAUGAUGAAUGAAUUAUAUGUGUAAAUUCUUGUGUCGUUAAUUGUGUUAUAUCAUCAUUCACUUAUAAAAUUGACAUCAUUGGUUGAUAUGAUUUCAUAUGUUUGGUCUUGUAUGCAUUUAUGUCUCAUGUAUUAAAUGACUUAUUGAAAAGUUUUAAAUCUCGAAAUGAUUUAAAAUUAAUCAAUUUUUAAAGCCAAAAAUAAAAUGGUGAGUGUAAUACAAGUAUAAGAGCUAGCCAAUAUUCAAUUAGAGCCAAAUAGAUUUCCAAGUCCAAACCGGUAAGCCAAAUCAUCUUUUGUUGCUCUCGGGUUAUCAUUCGGAUAACCGGAUUUUCAAUCCGGAAAACCGGAUUUGCUAAGCCUUCUCUCUGCCUCAAAACCGGAUAACCGGUUCUUAAAAUCCGGAAAACCGAAUUCAAGAGGAAACUUUUUGCCUCAAACCGGACUACCGGUUAGCAAAACCGGAAAGCCGGAUUCGCUUGAAAAGCUUACUGGAACAAAACCGGAUUUCCGGUUAUGCAUAUCCGGCACGUCGGUUUCGGGUUUCAUCUUUCUGCUCACAACCGGCUAGCCGGUUAGUGAAAUCCGGCAAGCCGGAUUCGUGAGCUUUUAGCUUUGUUCUUCCUCUUCCUCUCAUUCGGCUUUCCGUUUCUCUCUCUCUCACUAAAAGCUGAUUACUCCUCACUUGAUUUCAUUCCAAAAUCCAUCAAUCUCAUCCUUUUUCACUUCAAAUCCUUUAUGCUUGUAUUUGAACACACCAACAUUUACUAUUUUUUUUGGAUUAUAUGGAUGUUUGCUAUGAUUUUGGAUUAUAUGUCUAUUUUGAAUUAUAUGGAUUUGAUAUAGUUAUAUGUUAUGUUCUUUACUUAUGUUUUGGAUAAUAUGCAUUUUGAAUUUUUUUGUUGUCCAAAGGGGGAGACAAAAUAGUAUAUCAUUUCGAUGUUAUCAAAAGGAGGAGAAUAAUAUGCUUUUUGAGUAAUUGUUUUGAUAAUUGGUAUUUGAUUAUGAUGAUGAUUUUGAUGAAUUUGAGAUAAUGAUGAUUUGAUUACAUGGGUGUUUUAUAUGAUAAUUUCAUGUUAUGAGUUGUUGAUUUGGUAAUUAAUGGAAUAAUGGUUCAUGAUAUUUUAGUGUGAUUAUUUGUGUAUGGAGUUGGCUUUUAUCAUGAUUUAUAAUAAUUUGGAUGUGAUAUUACUAAUCUUGUAUUUGAGGUGAUGCUUGUUGUUAGGGAGAGAUUUUGUUGAAAUUUCUAUUCGGACAACAUUGGUAACAAAUUUGCUACUCUUAUUCUUUUCCUUUAAGUUUUAUUUUUGAUGAUGAAGGGGGAGAAGAAUACAUGUUUUUAAAUUUAUAAAAAUUUACUACUCUUUUUUCUUUGCCAAUUAAGUUUUCUUUUUGAUGAUGAAGGGGGAGAAAAAUCCAUGUAUUUAAAUCGUUAAUUUAGCUAAUUGGCAAAUUGUAAAAGAGGAUUAUAUUUAGGGGGAGCAAUUGUGGAAUCAUUCUUUAAAUACAUGAAAUGUUUGUCAUCAUCAAAAAGGGGGAGAUUGUUAACAUAUAUGUUAACAUAAUAUUGAUUUUGAUGAUAACAAACAAGAUUAAGAAUGAUUAAUCUUUUAAACUCAAAUUAUUUUUUAUACAUUUUAAAUAAAUCAUUAUUUUUACAUUAUAAAUGUUUUAUAUUUAAUGAAAAAAUGAUUUUGUAAAAAAUGAUUGUUUAAAUACAUGAAAUGUUUGUCAUCAUCAAAAAGGGGGAGAUUGUUAACAUAUAUGUUUCCAUAAUAUUGAUUUUGAUGAUAACAAACAAGAUUAAUAAUGAUUAAUCUUUUAAGCUCAAAUUAUUUUUAUACUUUUUAAAUAAAUCAUUAUUUUUACAUUAUAAAGGUUUUAUAUUUAAUGGAAAAAUGAUUUUAUGAAAUUGAUUGUUUUUAUUCUUUUUAAAUAAAUCAUUAUUUUCACAUUAUAAAUGUUUCAUAUUUAAUGGAAAAAUGAUUUUAUGAAAUUCGUUGUUUUUCAAAGUUUAUGGUUUAAUUGAAAGAAUUUUGAAAACUUUGAAAUAAACAAGUAUUGCUUGAAAUUUUAGAGGACUUAUUUGAAAAGUGUCAUAGCUAUUUGGGCUAUAUCAUAAUUUCAGAAAGUUUUGGGAUUAACAAAGCAUUACUUAGAAAUUCUAAAAUUGGACCUAUUUGUAAAGUUUCAUGACGUUUUGGGCCAUAGUAUAGUUUUAUAAAGUUUUAGGGUCAAACUAUAAUUUCAGAAAAUAGUGCACUGUGCAGGUGACUGUAGCAUCCGGCUUACCGGAUAUAAAAACCAGAAAACUGAAUAUGGGGCAGAAUGUAUCUAGAACGUAAACGGCUUACCAGAUUUCGUAACCGGCAAGCCGGAUAGGCAAAAUUCAAAUUUUUUCCUAACGGUAACAUAAAUCCGGCUUACCGGAUUCCAAAAACGGCAAACCCGAUACGCCCAGAAUGUGCAUAACGGCUAGUUUUUGAGUUGCAUAACGGCUAAUUUUUGAGUUCAAACUAUAUAAACUCAAAACCAAAUCAUUUUUAGUAAUCAAAGCAAGCAAGAACAAGUGCACACAACAUAUAUUGAGCUUCAAUUUCGUAACUCAUCAUUUAUUAAAUCAUCUUUGUUCUUCAAUUUGUAUAUCCACUCUUAAAGAGAGAUUCAUUGUUGUAUUUUUCAUUUCUCAUCAAAUUGUGAGUGUACAAGUGUGAGAAACACUUGGAGUGAAGAGAUUGGAGAGAUAAUCUCUUGUUGUAAAGGUUCAUUGACACCUUGAAGUCAAUUGUAAACGUUUGAAGCCUUGGAAAGGCUUGGAUAGUGAAAUCCUCAAGCCUGGUGUGCUUGGAGGCGUGGAUGUAGGCGGGGAUUGCCGAACCACGUAAAAAUCCUUGAGUUUGCUUUCUCUUCCCUUGCUAAUUUAUUAUUGUGCUUUCAUUGAAUUUAUUGUUUUCGAAUUUAUUAAGGAAUUAGAUUGGAUUUGUGUAUGGUUUGCUUAGCUUAAUUUUUAAAAAUCCAAUUCACCCCCCCCCCUCUUGGAUUGCCUAGUUAGUAUUUCAGUGUUCAGACUAGAUAAUUAGAAGAUAUGUCCCUGACGAAGAGAUUUCAAGCAUUUUAUAGUCUUAUCUUGCUGCAGUAUAUGGUAGACACUUUGGAGGACACUAAAUAGCAGUAAAAGUUUUUCAAUCAGGUUAUUACUAGCCCUCCAGCUUUAGAGAUGCUUACAAGUUUGUUAGUGCUGUGAUAGUUGUCAAAGAGCAUGAACCAUUUCUAAAAAACAUGAAAUGCCACUGACCAAUAUUUUAAAAGUUGAGCUUUUUGAUAUAUAAGGGAUAGACUUUAUGAAGUCGUUCUCACAAUCUUUUAGAAACUUAUAUAUCUUAGUUGUUGUGGACUAUAUGUUGAAAUGGGUAGAAGCUACAGCAUUGCCAACAAAUGAUGCCAAGGCAAUGGCAAAUCCUUUAUAGGAAUAUUUUCACAAGAUUUGACACCCCAGAGUUGUCAUCAGUGAUGAAAGAAGCCAUUUUUGCAACAGGAUAUUUGCUGUAGCAUUGGCUAAGUAUAAGAUCAAGCUUAAAGUUGCUACAUCAUAUCAUCCACAAACGAGUAGUCAGGUAACAUUGUCCAAUAGGGAGAUCAAAAAGAUUUUAGAAAAAGAAGCGAAUCUUAGUAGAAGGGAUUGGUUUACUAGACUAAAUGAUUCUCUAUGGGGUUACAGAACUACUUACAAGACAUCACUUGGCAUGUCUCCAUACAAACUUGUUUAUGGCAAAGCUUGCUAUUUGUUGUUAGAACUGGAGCAUAAAGUAUAUUAGGCAGUUAAACAACUGAACAUGGGUAUGCAUGCUGUAACAGAGCAAAGGAGGCUACAACUUUUUGAGCUAGAUGAGUUGAGGUUAUUCUUCUAUGAAAAGGCAAGAAUCUAUAAGGAGAGAACCAAGCAAUGGUAUGACAAGAAAAUCCAGUAAAGAGAACUCAUUACAGGCCAACAAUUAUUGCUUUACAACUCUAGACUGAAGCUUUUCCAUGAAAAUUUAAAGUCUAGAUGGUUAGGAUGCUUCAAACUCGUCAAGGUUUAUCUUUAUGGAGUUGUUAAUCUUAAAGAUGAAAGAACUGGUUAAGAAUUCAAGGUUAAUGGGCAUAGAGUGAAGCAUUAUAUGGGAGCUAAGGUGAACAACCUAAACGAGGAUCCGGUUUGAGUAAACAAGGAAGGUGAGAAUGAAGAACCUAAAACCAAGUGCUAAUUAGAAGGGAACUAAAUGAGGGGAAGUUUAUUUUGAAUUUUUAAUCACUUUAAUUUCACUUUUGUUGUUAUUAAGUUUAUUUCUCUAUUUUGUUUUAAUUUAUGCGACUAAUUUCUAUGUUUUUUUUGUCCUUCUCCCUCUCUUUUUGAAUGUUUAAAAUUUUUAAAAUCUUUAAAUUAAUUUUAUCUCUUUCUCUCUCUAUUAUCUUUCUUUAUAAAUUUAAGCUUUUCACUGUUUCACUUUUCACUACCAAUCUCUCUUCCUCUACUGUAAUUUUUAAAAUUAUGCUCUCUAUUUCUCUCUCUCUCUCUCUCUCUCUCUCUCUCUCUCUCUCUCUCUCUCUCUUACACACACUCAAAGUCCCAAUCUCUCAUUCUAACGAAACUCCUUUAAGUGUUGCAGCAAUACUGAGAGUCAAGGCACCUACUAAAAGGUUGAAGGACUAAAAAAGAUUCCAAAAUCACAAAGUUGAAGAGAAGUAUAAUAAGUCCAUAAGAUCUCGUAUAAUUUUAGAAGAGAAUGGUUUUGAAAUUUGUUGAACAACCCACUGGCCUUAUCAGCAUCAUUCUCAUAACUGCUAUAAAAAGGGGGUGGAUCAAAUGAUCCAAGUUGUAAAGGAAUUUUAUUCUAACUUGCUGGAGCAAAUCCAAAUUCCUUAAGACUCUAGGGUGAUAAAUGUCUUUUAUGGUUUGCCCCUACUAUUAAUUGUGAAUACGCUGAAUUUAUUAAGAGCAUAACUAUUAAGAAAUAGAGGGAGAUGUUUAAAGCAUUAAUUGUGGAAGGAAGUGAGUAGGUUAAUGAAGAAGCUGGGAUUGUUAAUAGGAUUGGCCUUAAAUUGAUUAUAAAGGUUUGGGUGAACUUUAUAAAGUCUAGGCUUAUGCCCACCACGGCACACCACAACAAUGUCAAUGCUAGAGUGAAAGGAUGGACAAUUGAUGUUGGGAAAGUGAUUGAGCAAGAAAUUAGAGACUGUGCUACAAAAAAAAAAAAAAAAUCAGCUGUCUUUUUAUUCCCCUCACUCAUCAUUGGGAUUUAUGAGGCCUUUGGUGUCAAAAUUUGUUGACAAUGAUGAGAGGGUUAAAAAUGAAAUGGCCCUCACAGUAAGAAGAAUAGAGAAGAUUGUAGGAGAAUCAACUGGUACAACAACCCAAAGCAUCCAGUUGUAAGAAAAUUAAUAAAAGCCACUACAUUUGGGAAGAUUCUGAAAGAUUUGAGUGACAACUUAAAUGCAUGGAGAGAAGAUCCAAAAGAGUUAAAUCAGAGGCUUUAGGCUUACUUGCUGCAUCAAGAAGCUCAAAAACACCAGUUUGUAGUUUAUAUACAGAGCAAGAAUGUAAACUUCCCAGAGUCUCUAUUGUAGCAGUACAAUUUCCACAAAGCAACAGAGACUGUUCCAGCAAAUGAUGAAAAGGAUGAAAGUGAAAAAGAGGAAAAAGAUGAAAAAGGAGAAAAAAGUGAAAAAGAUGAAGAUGAAGAAGAGACUGAUGAGAAGUAGGAAGAGGAGCUACCAGCAAUAACUCCUAAAAGCUAUGGCAAACAGAAGAUCUUGCUUGAUGAAAAUCAAAAUGAUAAUGAUGCGGCCAUUUAAGAGACCAUUAACAAGUCUGCAAUGACAGAAGGAGAAAAGAAAAGGUUAAAGGAGCUCAAUGUCUACAUAACUGCUAAGGAACUUGCAACAACACCUCGUUCAGCAUUAGCAACAAAGAAGUCUCCCAAGAAAUCUCUAGUCAAAAUUCCCACAAUCUCCAAUAAAAGAAAAAGAGCACAAAUCACUAAAGUAGAGAUAGUUUAUGGAUAAGGGUUGAAAUUCUAUCAUAACACUUAGAUUUGGAUUAAGUUUAAUGAAUAUGUUGUAGCAAACCAAGCUGGGUAGUUUAGAAAAAUUUUCAAGAAUCUAAGGAUAAAAAUAGCUCUAGUUUGGGGGAAAUUAGGAAAAUUUUCAAAGUUAUUGCAAAUUGUACUGGAAGUAGAAUAAUUUUUUCUUCAAUGACUUAGUUGCUGAGUAACCAGGGCUGUGUUUGUAACCCAUAUCCAAACUUGAGUAAAAAGACAGUAAGAGUUAUGAGCAUUGCUGUAGCAACCCAAAAAGAAGAAAAAUCCUCUAUUUAGGAAUCUGAAUAGCUAGGUCUGUUCAUGAACCUCAUAUUCAGCCUUGAGUUAAAGAUAUAUAAAGAUAAGACCAUGGUUGUAGCAUCUUAGAUGCUUUUGUUGUAGCAGCUCUGAUUUGUGUAUUGAUUAAGUAAUUGGGUUCCAUCAUUACAAGUGAUAGGCAUUCGCAUAAAAAGAUUGAUUUUACUCUGAUGGGCCUCAUAAUAAAAAAAAAUUGAUGAAUGUUGUAGCACAAUUUGUAGUUCUUUAUGACCCUUGUCCCUUAUAAAUAAAAAUGUUUUUAUUGUUGUUAUGUUUGAGAUGCAUUUGAUGCUUGAGUGAUUCUGAAGCAACUCUGAAACUUGAUCAAAGUGACACAGACACACACACUGGAUAGAAUGAAGCCUAAGUCUAGAACUAGAACUGUUGAUGGUAAUGUUUAAGAAUGAAGUCUGAGGGUUAAUGAAUUAGAGUAAUCUAAAUAGCAGAGCUAAGUAUCCUCAUGCUUUUUGGUCCUUAAUCCCAAGAUAUAAAAGAGCACAUUUUAAAUAAAUGCAUCAUCCAUGACCGUCACAUGCAAAGAGAAUAAAAAGAGAGAUUUCGGAGUUGUAAUAGAGGUAUUUUUCGUGUAGAAGAAAAAGAGAUGACUAAAGAUUAAAGCGUGACAUUUUCAGUCCUUAGUAUUUUAACUUUUCUUUUAUUUGCUUGCUUUGUUCUUUCUUUGAUAAUUUAUUUAAUGGUAAACACUUGUGUUGUUACUAUUUCAAAGCUCAUCAUGAGCUAAACCUUAAUUUAGUAGUUAUUUAAUUUACAUGUUUAUGUUGCUUAGAAUCUGCUGUAGUAAUUUGUUUUAACUUUACUUAUUGUAAUUCCAUAUUUCACGUUGACUAUGCAUUUAUUAGAUACUAGCUAAGAAGGAGCCCCAAAAUAACUUGACUUAGUGGAACAAAUUACGACAAUACAUGGUUUUCGAUUGAGUUUUCCAAGUUGAGUUAAUCUCGAUUUGAAUAGAGUCAUGCUUGAUUUAAAAUUAUGAAGAACUAGAUAUAAGGAUUCAUCGUAUACAACAAUAGAGUCUAAAAUGUAUAAUGCAAUGUCUAAUGUUAAUUUACCAAAUAGUCACUGUUAGAUUGCAUAUAGAUAUAAGAUAUCCAAAAUGCGACCGCUGAGGAUACAUUAUAGAUUCUGUCCAAUUGUGUAGUAGAUGUUGUAGCAACUGUGCCUCAAUUAAAAGAUAAUCAAUAACCAAUAAGUGAGUUUAGAUCCCAACUACCCCUUUGCCAUUGAGUAUAUCUUUGUGUUUGACUUUAGAUUCUCUUUAUUGCAUUUUGUUUAUUGCUUUAUUAGUUUCGUUAGAUCAUUAAUUUCAUCAUUAAUUUUUUUAUUUAAUGUAGUAAAAUUACACUGUUAAAUUUACUAUAGCAAGUAAUAUAACAUUAAUCUCUAUGGAGACGAUCUUGAUACUCAUUAAUGUGCUCCAAAGUUUUAUUUGUGCGUUUGAAAUGCAAGAAACCAAAGUCUCAACAGUUUAAGCCUGCCAACUUUUGAAAUAUGCAUUUUUAUCAAUAGUACGUCAAGAAACUAAAGCAUGCCAACAUUUGAAAGAUGCAUUUCCACAGUUAAGGUUGCCAGUAGUUCGACAAAUUGUCCGCUGGGCAAAUUAUUAACCAUUGUGUUAACUCCACAAAAUUCUUGUUGGACUAGAUAUGACGCCAGUCCUUUUGUUGACUCUUUCAAUGCAAUGUUGGGUCCUUUAGAAAAAAGCUAUUUCUACUUGUUAACGCAACUGUAGAAAGAAGUUUUUUGUUCCUGGUCUUGAGGUCCCAACAGCAGACAUUAAAUUAUUGCCUUUUCAAUUCUGAGUUGUCUUCAAUUAGAUGCAUUAUGCUAGACUAGUAAUUGUUUUAAAAAAGAAAGCUUCAUAGUGAGAAGCUGAUUUUUUAAGGAAGGAUAAGUUUAUUCUUACCUGAAAGUGAAUGUUCCACUGAAGAAAACACGGCUGGUGCCUGGAAGGAGAGCUAGUUCAGGAUGAAAGACAGGCAAUGAUUAUAUAUUUGAAAAGAGAGAUGAUAAAAUCAAGUUUGCAUGGGGCAGGUAAAGCAUGGCAUUAAUCAGGCUCUCUGCACUUUAGGAGUGUAGAUAAUCAAUCAAAGGCCAUCAAUCAACUCUAUUUUGUUUUUUUUAAUAUUAUAAUCAAACAAAUGUUAGCCUUUAAUUGGCAUCCAAUUGUUCAUUGUCUUAUAUUAGGAUAUAAGCUAAAUUCAUAAGAGGAUCCCUCUACAUAUAUAUUUCAUGUGCAUAAGGUGUAUGAAUAAUGUUUUCUGUAUGCUUUUGCUACUCUGUUAGUAGUCUGUUUAAGGCCCAUUUCUGAUUAUCUAAUAUCUAUGUUCAUGAUUUGUUUCGUGAUGUUGGUCUGUCAUUUGGUUUUUAGUUUUUCCCAGAGGCAAAUGAAGUCAAAUUUGCAAGAACAUCGGUCUUUGAAGGAGCAUCAUUUAAGUUGGACUCUCUAACAAAACCUUCAUUCUUUGAGAAUUUUGGAUUCACUGAGAAGGUCAAAAUGGCAGGCCGUGUGAAGCCGGAAGAUGAAUUGUUUCUAGUGGCCUAUCCAUAUUUUAAUGUCAAUGGUAGUCUUACACCUUGUCUUCUCAUUGAUAUUCAUUCCUUAAGGUCAUUAAUUUUGCUUUUCUUUUGUCUUGUAGAAAUGCUUGUGGUUGAAGAGCUUUACAAAGAAGCUAUAUUCAAUACUGCCCGGAAACUGAUUAUAUUCAAUGGAGAACUUGACCAGAUAAUGUCUGGGUGUAUUAUUCACCAUUCUUUCAUUCUUAUUGUACUUUCUGUAAAUUUAGUAUGAUUUUGAUGCUAUAUAAUAGUUUCUAGAUGCCCGCCCAUUGAAUUGCUUAUUUACAACUUUUUGGUAUAUUAUAGCAGAUUUGUUUUAUAGCUUAUAGCAGAUUUUUUUUAUAGCUUAUAAAAGAUCAACUUAUGUGCUGAGUUCAAUCAUUAUUCCAUAAACUUUUUCUGUACCUAUUUUCACAUGGUAUCAAAGCUAGACUCCCUUUCUUUUUGAUCUCUUUCCCACCAUGUCUGACUAAUCUUCUAAAACCACAGUCACCUAAAAAAGACUAGAACAAAAAAUUUUUGAUUCUGAAUCUCAUUCUGUCCAUAUUACAACUAUCCGGCUGAAUGAAGGAAAUUUUCAAAGAUGGUCUCAGUCAGUUAGAAUGCAUAUUAGGGGAAGAAGGAAGAUUGGUUAUCUUACUAGAGAUGUUAAGGCUCCUGAAAUAUCUGAUCCCUCUUAUGGUGUAUGGGAUGACGAAAAAUCCAUGAUUAUGGCAUGGUUAGUCAACUCCAUGGAUGAAGACAUUUGUGCAAAUUAUAUGUGCUACUCUACUGCAAAGAACUCUGGGAUAAUGUGAGUCAGAUGUACUCUGACAAUGGAAAUUAGUCUUAAAUCUAUUAGUUGCAGCUUGCUCUUGGAGAUAACCAUCAAAGAGAUUAUAGGAUAACAAAAUACUUCAAUACUCUAAAGAGAUUGUGGCAAGAUCUGGACUUAUUCAACAACUACGAGUGGAAGAGCACGGAAGAUUUUAAACACCAAAAACAAACUAUCAAUAAUGAGCGAAUCUUGAAGUUCCUAGCUAGGCUCAAUGUUGAAUUGGUAAGAGGAAGAAUUAUUGGGAGAAAGCCACUUCCUACUCUUGAGGAUGUUUUCUCUGAAGUAAGGAGAAAAAAAAUUCGUCGAGGUGUUAUAUUGGGAAAAAGGAACUCCAUUGUCUUUGUGGAAAAAUCUGCCCUUGUUACAGCAGAUGCUAAUGCUACCUGCUCCUUCACUCAACAGCAACAAAAACCUCGAGUAUGGUGUGAUUACUGUAAUAAACCAUGUCAUACUCGGGAGGCUUGCUGGAAACUCCACGGAAAGCCUACAUAAUGGAAAAACAGCAAGCAUAGCCGUGCGUCUACCAAUAAAGUGGAGGAUAUAGAAAAAAAUCUUAACGAGGAGCAAAUUGAUCAUCUCAUAAAGCUGCUGACUUCUAAUCCUCCACCUGGUACUCCUAGUGGUUCACUAGCCUAAACAUGUAGUAUUAUUAAUGCUCUAUUUAGCCACUCAUCUACUGCACCAUGGAUUAUUGAUUCGGGUGCUUCUGAUCAUAUGACCAUCAUUUCUAGUUUAUUUGAUUCCUAUUAUCCUUGUCCUAGUAACAAAAAGGUAAGAGUUGCUUAUGGAAACUUAUCUUCCAUAACUGGAAAAGGAUCAAUAAAAAUCUUUGAAACCAUUGAGCUUAAUAAAUGUGCUACAUGUCCCUAAACUUUCUUGCAAUCUGUUACUUGUCAAUCAAUUAGCCAAAGAUUCUAAUUGUUGUGCUGUCGUUUUUUACUCCCAUUGUGAAUUUCAAGACAGGGAUUUGGGGACGAUGAUUGGCAGUGCUAGUUUGCGAGAAGUUCUUUACUAUUUUGAUGACUACUUAUCAAGGAAUAAACAAGCUCAAGGUUUGAGCAAUAGGAUUAGUUCAAACUCUGCUAGGGAUCAAAUAAUGCUUUGGCACCUUAGACUAGGACACCCUACCUUUCCUUAUUUGAAAUAUUUGUCUCCAGAUUUAUUUAAAAAUGUUGAUUGUACUACUUUUCAGUGUGAAAGUUGUUUUUAAUCUAAAAGUCAUCGAGUUUCAUAUAAAGCACUUACUUAUUGUGCCUCAAAACCAUUUUAUUUAAUUCAUAGUGAUGUUUGGGGACCCUAAAAAAUCAUUACUUUAACUGGCAAAAAAUGGUUUGUAACAUUCAUAGAUGAUCAUACGCGGCUUCAUUGGGUUUAUUUAAUGAGAGAAAAAUCUGAAGUUGAGGGUUAUUCAAAGAUUUUUAUAACAUGGUUGAAAAUUAAUUUCAAACAAAAAUAAGCCUACUCGAUACAGAUAAUGGUCUGAAUAUUUUAAUAAUUAUCUAGAGGUGUUUUGUAAGGAAAAGGGUAUAAUUCACACAUCCACUAGUCGUGAUACUCCACAACAAAAUGGAAUUGCGGAAUGAAAAAACCGCCAUUUACUUGAAGUUAGUCUGGCUAUCAUACUCUCUAUGCAUGUUCCUAAAUAUUUGUGGGGUGAUGUUGUUUUAACAGCAUGUUAUUUGAUUAAUAGGAUGCCUACCCGUGUUUUAAAGUAUCAAUCACCUUUAGAAUACUUUACACUUAUAUAUCCUUCUAGUAGGAUUACCUCGAAUAUUCAGUUAAGAGUCUUUGGGUGCACUGUAUUUGUUCACCUUCCUAACCAUCUUAGAUCUAAAUUGGAUCCUAGAUUUGAAAAUUGUGUUUUCUUGGGCUAUGCUCCUAAUAAAGAGGCUACAAAUAUUUCAAUCCUCAAACAAAGAAAUUCCAUGUCAGUAUGGAUGUUAUAUUUCUCGAAAAUCAACCUUUUUUUGGCCAAAAUUCUCUUCAGGGGGAGAAAGAAAAUAGUGAAGAUCAUUUUUGGCAUACUUAUACACCUAUGCCUAAUUUGUUUUUACCUGAUCUGAGCACUUCAAUUCAAACUCAAAAAACUAAUAUUUCUAAUAAUGAAAACUUAGGAAACUUUGAACUACAAGAACCAAGUGUUAAUGUACCAGAGACAGGGGGAGAAAUAUUACAAGAUAAAAUUCCACCACCAAAGCUUCGUGUUUAUACUCGACUAAGGUAUCAUCACAGCAAUAAAGACCCUCCCAUAAACUUGGUACAACCUCAAUUGUCGCCUCCAAGCACUGAUUCCUCAUAAAAUUUAGGUAACAUUUCUUCUCCUAAAAAUUCCAGCACUUUUUUUUUCCUGAUCUUGACUUACCCAUAGCACAUAGGAACGAAACCCGAACCUGUACUAAGCACCCCAUUGCUGGAUAUGUUUCCUAUGAAAAGUUUUCCAAUAAACGAAGAGCCUUUACCACAAAAAUCUCUCAGAUACCAAUUCCUAAAGCCAUAAAAGAAAAAUUGGACAAUGGUUUGGUCUGCAUGCUGAACAUUCCUACAGAUGAGCAAAUUGCUAAUAUACUCACCAAGGGACUACCUAAGAAACAUUUCGAGAAAUUGGUUUGCAAGCUAGCCUUGAAAGACAUUUUUAUACCAGCUUGAGGGGGAGUGUUGAAAGGUUGACCAAAUCAAAUUGAUUUGGUUUCCUUAUAUAUUUAGGUGUAUAUUAGGCGUAAAUAUAGAGUUAUUGCUUCCUAGAAAUCAGUGUGUAAUAUUCUGCUUUAAUUUUUUCUUUCCUUUCUUAGUCUCUUGUAUCCCUAUAUUAAGACUGUAUACAGUCUCAUGAAGAUAUGAAAAAGAGAAUUAUUCCAUAAACUUUUUCUCUACCUAUUUUCACACUUCCACAUCAUACGGUGAUUAAUAUGUCAUCUCUACUCAAUUUAUUUAGCAUCAAAUUAUCAGAAGAUUUUGUUACUUAAAUAGAUGGUUUUCAUUUCAACUUCAAUGUUUUUUCAGGCCUAAAGCUUCAUAGUGCUUGUUUAUAUUGUUAAUCAAUAUAUAUAAGUUUACUUGCAGGCAAUAUCAGGCAUUUUCGAAAUAUGCGUAAGUAUGACAAGGAAAUCUCAAAAAGAAACAAAAACUUAUUGCUUGGAAAAAUUUAUUUAUUUGGGGGAAGCCAUUAUGAGUUUUGGGCUCCUUAAUAGCUUUAGUAAAUUUUGGACCAUUAUUUUGAACUAUGACCCAGUUUCCCUUGUUUACACCACAGAAAAUUAGCAACACUCUCUUAUGUCUCAACUCUCUCUGUCUCAACCAACAAAAUCAACUCUGUUAGUAGUCUGUUUAAAGCCCAUUUCUGAUUAUCUGAUAUCUGUGUUCAUGAUAUGUUUCGUGAUCUUGGACUGUAAUUUGGUUUUUAGUUUUUCCAGAGGCAAAUGAAGUCAAAUUUGCAAGAACAUCGGUCUUUGAAGGAGCAUCAUUUAAGUUGGACUAUCUAACAAAACCUUCAUUCUUUGAGAAUUUUGGAUUCACUGAGAAGGUCAAAAUGGCAGACCGUGUGAAGCCGGAAGAUGAAUUGUUUCUAGUGGCCUAUCCAUAUUUUAAUGUCAAUGGUAGUCUUACACCUUGUCUUCUCAUUGAUAUUCAUUCCUUAAGGUCAUUAAUUUUGCUUUUCUUUUGUCUUGUAGAAAUGCUUGUGGUUGAAGAGCUUUACAAAGAAGCUGUCUUCAAUACUGCCCGGAAACUGAUUAUAUUCAAUGGAGAACUUGACCGGAUAAGGUCUGGGUGUAUCCUUCACCAUUCUUUCAUUAUUAUUGUACUUUCUGUAAAUUUAGUGUGAUUUUGAUGCUAUAUAACAGUUUCUAGAUGCCCACCCAUUGAAUUGCUUGUUUACAACUUUUUGGUCCUUCAAUUGGUAUCAUUUUGCAAAAAUUGAAAGUAAAGUGGGUUUUUUGCUUUUAUUUUUUAAUACAAUAAUUUGAAAUUCACUCCCAGAAAUCUAAAGGGGAAUUAAUAAGGAUGAUCGUGUUAUAUCUUUCACUAAAAUGUCGCAAGGAAGACUUUUUUUAAAAAAAUAAAUAACAAUGACUUAACCAAACUAAUUAGUGACUUGGUUGUAGUAUAGUUGUUUUGGAAUGUGCAAUAAAAGGAUCAGAGAGGAUUUCCUUAAAUGAGCAGAAGAUUAUCCAUCGUUCUUCUACCCUAAGCUGGCUGCACUAUCCAGAACACUUUUUCCUGUGAUGGAGACCAUAUAUUACAUUCACAACUUUAAGGGUGGCAAUGGAGGAACCCUUUUCAGGUUUGCCAGCUAGUUACCGACGCGUUUCCUGUGGCAACAUAUUAAUGCUUGCCUAGUAUCACUCACUGUUUUCCUGCUGUUUAACUUAUAUUUUACAUGUUUUUCUUUUCCACUUCCUGUUAGGUGCUACCCAGGUUCCUGGAAGGUCCUGAAGAAAGUGAGUAAUAAAUAUAUAUGUUUGCAUCAGCAGGAAGUGAUGCCUUCCCUUAAGGAGGUUGCUUUGGAUAUCCUUCCCUCAGCUUGAGUUUCACCAAAAUAUUUGUCUGGUGAUAAAUCCCACUUUCUUAUGUUAUAGCAGAUUUGUUUUAUAGCUUAUAAAAGAUCAACUUAUGUGCUGAGUUCAAUAAUUGGUUCAUGAUUUCUAGUUUGUAGGUCUUAUGCUGAGUAUUUUGAUACUAAUCUGCCAGUGUUUGAAAGAUCUUAUUCUUAAGAUGAAUAUAAUCAUAACUUCCACAUCAUAGCGUGAUUAAUAUGUCAUCUCUGCUCUAUUUAUUAAGCAUCAAAUUAUCAGAAGAUUUUGUUACUUAAAUAGAUGGUUUUCAUUUCAACCUCAAUGUUUUUUCAGGCCUAAAGCUUCAUAGUGCUUGUUUAUAUUGUUAAUCAAUAUAUAUAAGUUUACUUGCAGGCAAUAUCAGGCAUUUUCGAAAUAUGCGUAAGUAUGACAAGGAAAUCUCAAAAAGAAACAAAAACUUAUUGCUUGGAAAAAUUUAUUUAUUUGGGGGAAGCCAUUAUGAGUUUUGGGCUCCUUAAUAGCUUUAGUAAAUUUUGGACCAUUAUUUUGAACUAUGACCCAGUUUCCCUUGUUUACACCACAGAAAAUUAGCAACACUCUCUUAAGUCUCAACUCUCUCUCUCUCAACCAACAAAAAUCAACUCCCUUUCCAAUCUAUAUCACAAUGCACGCUAUUUCAUCAAACCCAAGACUUACUUCAACUUAGAUUCAUAUAUGUUAUUUGAUUCAUGAUUAAGAAACUGUGUUUUUUUUCUUUUUUCAAAGUACGCUUGGAGAAUAAUAAAUAAAUUUACCAACCAACACAAAAAAAGUUUAUGUGAGGCUUGGUUGACAAUUUUAUUGUGGUAAUAUGUCGUUUAAAGAUAAAUGUUGUUGAUUUAUUGAUUCUUGUGUUGACUUGGAUGGAAGAUAUGUUGAAGAAAAAGAAACCCAAAAAUUACAUAUGCAGUUUUUUUCGUCAUUUCUGACUUUCAUGAUUUUGUACAAGAUAUAAGUUUUGUUUUCUAGACUUUGUUCUAAGUAGUAUUGGAAAACUUUGCAUUGCACAUUGUAGGUGUCCUCAAAUCUAUUAAAUUGGAUUAGGCAGUCUGAACACAUUAUUAGGGUUGUAAAGGGUCCAUGCAGUAUAAUUUUCUCUUGAUGCUUUCAUAUUUUUUGGCUGUACAGAUUUGAUGCAUCAUUGAUUCUUUGAUUCUGAUGUCUAAUGAAAAUGUAUGUUUAUAUUGCAUCGAUGAAUUUUUUAAUCCGGGAAUUGUAGUAAUUGUCUGUUGUAUUUCCAUGCAGUUGAAACCUUCUUGAUUUUUUGAAAAAGGAAAAUUACUUAAUUUGAUAAAGAAGAAUAUAUGAAUUUCUGAACAAUAAAAACUGUAGGAAGCAAAAAGAUAUCCUUGUGGCAUUAAUGAGUUGCUGGAAACAAGGUUUAAGAAUUUUGUAUGCUUUUGUUAAAGCUAUAAAAUGCUAUUUAUUAUCUGUGUUGUUACAAACUAAAGUACUUUUGUGCUUUAUGCAAAUUUAAAAAUGCUAUGCUAUGCGUUAGAGCAAUAAAGUUGUUAAGAAACAGUGAAGGCUUUUGUUGCUUUACUUAAGAUGAGGUUCAAGAAUAUUAUAUAACUUUAGUGAAUGUUUGCAUGGUGGCUUUGAUCUUGUUGCUGCCCCAAACUGACUGAUUGAAGGAGAGAAUUUUACAGCUAGAUCAAGCUUCUUUCCCCAGAUUAACUUCUGACAUGGACCAAUCAAAUGGCUGUCGCAUUCUUAAAAAAAUGGUUCAAGUUUUCCAUAGUUAUGGUCCACUUAUACAGAAUCUGGAGAAAUGAAUAUAUGAAUUGUGACUUAUAUCAUCUGUGAAGGCAAGGAAUAAUCCAUGGAAUUAUAUAAGAAGCAUUGAAACUGCUUUGUUGAUGGCCUGAGGCCAGAGAAAAUGCCGAAAACAUAUUCCUAAGAAAGUUGUUCCUUCUAGUUCAGUCCGGUCCAUUAAUUAAUCCUGGCUACAGCCCUCCAAGUAGUCGGGAUUGAGGGGCUUCUGUACGUGUAAGAAUGCUCUUGUAUUUUUUUUUAAUUCUUUUUAAAUUACUAAUUGUUGAAUUGAUCAAAUUUCGCGCCAUGUUUUCAGUUUAUAACAUGGAAGAGUGCUUGCAAGUUAAGUUGGAAAAAUUAUCACCAUUGCCCUCAAACUGCUGCAUCUACAGAGUUCCGGAGCGAUUACGUCAGAUAAAUGAAAAGGCAUAUACACCUCAGGUAGUCUCAAUUGGCCCUCUUCACCAUGGCAAAGCAAACUUACAGUUCAUGGAAGCUCAUAAACAGCGGUACCUGCGUUACUUACUUCAACGGACCAUAAUAAGCUUUGACGAGUUUGUUCAAUUUAUAAAGCUCAGAGAAGCAGAAUUAAGAGGUUCUUAUGCAGAAAAAGUCGAACUAAGUAGUGAUAAAUUUGUUGAAAUGAUUCUGCUGGAUGCUGCCUUCAUCAUUGAACUCUUAUUGAGGUAUCAUUUUCGUCAACUUCAAAAAAAAGAUGAUCAUAUAUUUCAUAAACCAUAUUUAAUAGAGGAUAUAUGGUAUGAUAUGUAGUUGCUUGAGAAUCAGCUUCCUUUCUUCAUUCUUGAGGAUCUUUUUGCUCUAGCUGCAAUUGAAAUCCCUGAACAACAUGAAAAUCCAACCAUCAUCACAGUCACAUAUGAGUAUUUCAAGGGUUUAGAGGCAGUACAAGGUAAUCGGCAAAAAUUCCCUCCUUACACUGAGGUUAGGGUACAGCAUUUCCUUGAUUUUCUAAGGAUUUGUCAUCUACCAUCAUCGAGGAAUCAGGAAAAACAAGAAGGUCAGCAAUACCACAAAGGUAAAACCGCACCAAGUGUGACUGAGCUCCACCAAGCUGGAGUCCACUUCAGUUUGAGCAAGAGCAAUGAUUUGUUCGCCAUAGAAUUCAAAAACAGGACAUUGCAUAUUCCGAAACUGAAGCUACAGCUGGAAACAGAAUCCUUAUUUCGUAAUCUCAUUGCCUUUGAACAACGGCAUUACUCAGAGAAUUACAUAAAUGAUUAUGUGUUCCUUAUUCAUCAUCUCGUGAACACAGCGAAGGACGUCGAGUUGCUUGUUCAGAACGGAAUCAUUGAGAACUGGUUGCGGGAUAAAGAGACUGCGUCAAUGCUUAUAAAUAACCUUUCUAGAGGUACUACUCUGCUGUCUGAUAGCUUCUAUUUUUCUGGGCUAUGCAAAGGAUUGAAUGAUCACUGCAAAAGAACGUGCUACAAAUGGAGGGCAAACUUGAAACAAAAUUACUUCAAUACUCCAUGGGCUGGCAUUUCGGUGUGUGGCGCCGUUUUCCUUCUUAUUCUCACCGUCAUUCAGUCUGUAUGCUCUGUUAUACAAGUGUUGUCUCAACCCAAAAAUAUCUCGUGACGAAAAACCUCUGUGCGGUAUUUGUAUGUCGUUUUUGAGUUGCUGUUUUCUUUUUUUUAUUUUAAUUCUUAUUCUCAACCAAUUUUAUCAUGGAAUUGUUAAUUUUACUUGAAUGUUGAACCAAGCCUUUAUUUUUUAAUAAUGAAAUGAAAUAAAAGGUGGGGGUAUACCCUUCACAAUACCCUCUUCACUCCUUAUUUAGUGUUGCAUUUACCGCAAUAAAAAAUAAUUUUUAAACGAUAAACAUAUUUACUUGAAAACAAAAAUUAGUUUAUGCUAUUUAUUUAUCUUAUAAUGUUGGAACUUGAAAGUUAAUUUAAAUUAAUGUAAUCCUACCAACUUGAUUUGGUUUUCAUAUUGGUUGGUUUCAUGUAUCAUGCGAAUUGUUAGGCACCGACUAACUCAAGCGUAUGUUACUCAAACAUCACGCUUGAAUAAUAGUUUAAGGAAUGUUGAUUUGGAUGGUAGAUAUUUAAUCAACUAAAACUAACGUUCUCAACUCAAAGCUCAUCUACUAGUAAAAGUAAAACCCUUCUCCGUCAACUUAUCUUCUUCAUUAUAUAACAAAAGAUGUUCAAUGAAAGAAUGAAAUAUAUAUAUAUAUAUAUAUAUAUAUAUAUAUAUAUAUAAUUAAGUCAAAGUAGUCAAGAUCCAGCCACUCGGCUUGAGGGCUUGAGUUCGAACCCACAAGAACUUAUUUCAAUCCUUAUUUUAUAAAUAUGAGAUUAGGGAUAGAUUUAUCUCUAAUUAUUUAUUUAUCGAGUAAUUAAUUUUAACAAUAUUAUUAAUUGUAGUUGAAACUGGAAUGAAUUUUCUGAAAGAUGCUCUCUCAUAACUAACCAACUAAAACUAACAAUCAAAUUAUCAAACUCAGAGCUCACCUACUAGUAAAACUGUAAAACUAAAACACUUGCUUCUCCAUUAAGUCAUCUCUUUAUAUAUAAAAAAGAGUGUUUUUAUGAAAUAAUCAGUAACAAUUAGGUAUCAAAUAAUUCAUAAAAGAUGUCAAGCUCCGUUGCUACUGCUGCUGAGGCCGAGAUUUGGAUUGUCCCAUUCUUCGGUCAGGGACAUCUAUUUCCAUGCAUUGAAUUAUGCAACCAAAUCGCUUCCCGUAAUUACAAAUCUACCCUCAUCAUUCCCUCUCACAUUUCCGCCACCAGCAUUAUCCCAUCCUCGUUUCACCAAUAUCCUCUCUUUGAAGUUACUGAAAUACCCUCCUUCGCCUCCUCACCCCCAUGUUGUCGUGCACAGCCAAAUGCUUCAAGGCCUUCGAAACCUCCUUUCAACCCGGGAACCCAAAAGCCGACCCGUUUGUGCAGUCAUCGACGUUAUGAUGGGCUGGACGGCUGAUGUUUUCAAGAUUUUUGAAGUUCCCAUUGUUGGGUUCUUCACUUCUGGUGCUUGCUCAGCGGCUGUGGAGUGUGCCAUGUGGCAGGCUCACAUCCAAGAUGUCAAACCAGGAGAGGCCCGUUUACUUCCUGGGUUACCCGAGGAUAUGGCUUUAUUUGAAUCGAAUCUUAAACACAGGCCUCAUGAGCCCCCUCCUGGUGGUCCACCACCUCUGAGAGGUGCACCCGGUUCCGAGAAAAUAGGUCCACCAGAAGCCGGUGAUCAACCACACUGGAUGAAGGAAGUGGAGGGAUCAAUGGCGUUGAUGUUCAACACGUGUGAUGGUCUUGAGGGACCAUUUAUUAAUUAUUUAGCCAAUGAAUUGGGAAAGCCGAUGUGGGGAGUGGGCCCACUGUUACCUGAACAAUUUUACAAAUCGGCCGGUUCAGUGCUUCAUGAUCAUGAGAUGAGAAUCAACCGGUGGAGUUCUAACAUGACGGAAGAUGAGAUCAUUCAAUGGUUGAAUUUGAAAUCAUGCGGAUCUGUGUUAUAUGUGUCAUUUGGUACUGAAGUGGAUCCGACCUUAGAUGAGUAUUUAGUACUAGCCAAUGCUUUAGAAGCAUCAAAUCGACCGUUUAUUUGGGUAAUUUAAGGUGAUGCAAGUAGAUUGGAUCCUCUAUGUCAUUUGGACAAAACAGUAGAAGGCAGUUAUUUUCGUUAGAUGAGUUUAGUGUUGUUGACGAGGCACCAUAUGCACAACAUAGUGAUAUUGUUUAGUGUUUAAUAUUAGAGUAAUGAUAUAGCCACAAACUCUUGUACAAAUUUAUUUUGUACAAACUUAUGUGGCAUGAUAAGAUUGGUUGAAUUAAAUAUCACUUGGCCCACAUGAUUUGUUUUCAUUAUUUUAUAUUUUCAUUCAACCAAUGAAUUAGUGCCACGUCAGUUUGUAUAAAAUAAGUUUGUACAAUAGUUUGUGGCUGUAUCAUUACUCUUAAUAUUAUAGGGAAGUUUUUAAUAGAUCUUCAUUUCCGUGCAUAUUGUGAGCUUAUUGCCAAAAAUGAGACUAUAUAGUUGUGGGACAAACAAAAAGGGAAAUUCUUUACCAUUCGGCUAAAUUUUGAUGUCAUGCAAAAUAAUAUAGGAUCUUGAAUUCACUUUAAUUGGAUGUCAGCCGGGUUACCAUUCAGAGAAACGGGUCUGAAUCCGACCCGUUUCAACUCCUCCCCCCAUCUCUCCACUUUCACCUCACCCGUCCUCUUGGGUCCACCAACCGCCACUAUGUUCCUAAUUUCACACCCAAACAACUGCUGCUCCACCGUAUGCCUCUCUAUACUGUCAGCACCCAGUCCGUCCCCCAGCACAGUGACGGAAAAAAAAAAAAAAGAACACUCAGAAUAAUAACAAUAUAUAAAACAAAAAAAUACAUAAAAAUAUUAAGAAAUGGAAAAAGAAGCCAACUUCUCUUGUUCGACGAGAUGGACCCUUUCGAUCAAUAAAUUGCAGUAGCCUUCCAUCAUACCAAAAGCAUCCAACAUAUUUUGCUCCUUCAUCACAUGCUCAACCUGCAAAAACCAAACCAGGUCAUUAGACAAAUGCAAUUGAACUAGUCAAUAAUUAUAACGAAUCAAACAGAAAAAGAGACCAUGCAUGAGCGACUUUGAUUCUUCAUGCAUGUGCAUAUGUCUUACGCGAGGAGAGCACGCUCUUGAAAGCCUUGUUGGAGGAACUGAACGACGUCGGAGCGUGCUUGGGAGCACUUGACUUGGCGUUGGUUUUUGAGAACGGCCAGGCGAGAGAUUGCAAGGUUGACCUGCGGCUUGAAUUUGUAGGUCUUGAAGUUGUUUUCUCUAAGAAGAAAAUCGAGUUUCUUUCCCAUGCCGCCGCCUGCUCUUCUGAUGAGUAACUGAGCUGAUCACGCUUCCAACUCAAUCACCCAACGCACAGUGACGGAGAGAAGGAGAAGAAACAAGCAAACGAAGGCUUGUUUACUCCUUUUAGAGAUGACGAGUGAUUGCGUUGUUAUUUUAUAGUUUCAUUAGCCUGAAACUUGGACUGAAGUUGUUAUUGCUGGACAAAAGGAAAAAGAGUUCAAUCACUUCAGUACCGUUAUUAUUGCUGGAUUCAUCUCCUCUCUCGGCAGCAAAAAUCACUUCCAUAUUUUGGCAACUACUCACUUCAAUGGACUGAAGUUGUUGAAGGCCUCCGCCAAUGACCAAUGGAAAUACAUUUUUCAAUUUAUCACACCCUUCCACCCUUAUGGUCUUUAGUUUGCAAAAAGACUCUGCUGUGAGUGGACCACGACAUAUUUCCUGUAGAUUCCUUAAAUCUCUCAGAAAUAAUGACUCCAAAAGGGGGAAUGCAGGCGUCGGAGCUGGCGUACAAUCCAUUGUGUCAACAACACAAGAAAGGUUGCCAUUAUGUUUGAUUUUGUUAAGGAAGUUAAGGAAGCUCAUAUUUGUAGUCAAGCAGAGGAUCACAGCAGCUUCUAUAAUCAGUUGCAAGUUGAUGACAUGUACUGCCAGCUGGCACCAGGUGGUUAUGUAGCUGCUUGUACUCAUACAUGUGAUAAGUUUGUUAAUCAUUUUUUAAUUAGUUAGUUAGUAUUGUAACCUUCAGCUGAGAAGCAACACUUGUAUAUAUAUGCUUGUAAUCAUUCAGUAGCAUUUUAAGCUUGAGAAAAUAAAAGAAGAAAGUUUUCUAGAUCUCAGUUUAUUUUCUUAUUAGCCAAACACUCAUUUUCUGUUUUCUAACUUGGUAUCAGAGCUAGUCAUGGCGUCUCUGAAUAUUGCCUCAUCAAAUCACACUUCGAAUAUUCAUACAAACUCAACAAACUUCUCAUUCACAUUCAAUACCCCUGUGAAACUGGAUCAGGCAAACUAUCUGAUCUGGAGGUCCCAAGUUCUAGCUUCCAUACACGGCAAUAGGCUAGAAAAGUUCAUUGAUGAAAAUGUCACUCCUCCUCCAUCUCAUAUUGCUCAAAGGAUUGACGAUGAACUUAGAUCUGUUGAGAAUCCAGAUUCAUCAAGCUGGAAAGCACAAGAUCAAGUACUUCUUGGCUGGUUGCUGUCAUCGAUGAGUGAAGGUAUUAUAAGCCUGGUGUUUAAUCUGGAAACUUCUCUUGAGGUAUGGAAAGCUAUUGAAACUCAAUUUGGAUCACAGUCAAAAUCCAGACUCUUACAUUUGAGAUAUUUGAUGAAUUCAACUAGGAAAGAUGAUCUGAAAAUCAAUGAGUAUUUCAUUAAAAUGAAGAAUAUUGCUGAUAACAUGGCUGCGGCAGGAAGUGCCUUAAGCAGUGAUGAUUUAAUUUUGCAUGUACUGUCAGGACUAGGACCAGAUUAUAAUGUUGUUGCUACUUAUAUUACUGGUCAAAUAAGUGGUGAUAAAAUGAAUUUGAAUGAGGCUUAUGCUAUGUUGUUGACUCAAGAAGCUAGAAUUGAGCAACAAGCACAUAUGCUUUCUGGAAUGGAUGUUAAGCAUAAUUUUGAAGCUAAUUUUGCUCAGAACAGAGGUUUCAAGAAAGGAAAUUUCUCAGGUGGUAGAGGAUCUGGUAAUCAUAACUAUUUUACUGGAUUAGAUAAUGCUGGAAAUUUUGGAAAUAAUUACAGAAGUGGCUAUAGAAGAUCUGGUUUCUUUGGCAAUGGUUUUGGAAAUAAUCAUAGUAACCAGUUCAGAGGAUUUCAAAGUGAUAAUCAAAGGGGAUCAGGCUCAGGAAAUUGGAACAAUGAUGGGGGUGGUAACAAUAAUUCUAUCAGGCCUCAAAUGAAUCCAAAACCUCAGUGGAAUGCUUCUAAACCUACUUGUCAAAUCUGCUUCAAAACUGGUCAUACUGCAAAUGUGUGCUGGAAGCUUGAAGAAUUCUUUACCUCUGGUGCUUACAAACCUCCUCCAAACAAAAAUCCCAAAGCUACAUAUCUAGCUGAUAUGGAUGGUGCAGCUGAUCCCAACUGGUAUCUGGAUAGUGGAGCUACACACCAUCUUACCAAUGACAUGAGGAAUAUGACUAUGGCAGAAUCCUUUGCAGGUAACUCUAAACUCAUCAUUGGAAAUGGUACUGGUUUACACAUAACACAUGUUGGAAAUGCUGUGUUAAGAAUGCAUAACUCUUCUGCUCAUCAUACACUCAAAUUAAACAACAUGCUUCUUGUUCCACAAAUAUCCAAGAAUCUUAUUAGCAUAUCUCAGCUUACCAAAGAUAACAACAUUGUUAUUGAAUUUACUGAUAAAUCCUGUUUUGUGAAGGACAAGGUGAGGAAUUUGAUCAUACUGUAGGGCAAAGCUGAAAAAGGUUUAUACAGAUUGCUAUUGUUUCCCUCUAAUAAAGUCUCUUCUCAAUCAUGUCAAAGGUCUCUUGAAGCCACUCAAUCCAAAAUUUCAGAUGUUCCUCUGUUUAUGUUUUCAGUUGUUCAGUCAGUUGUCAAUAAUCAAACAAGUCCCUGCUUGCAUACUGCAGCAGAAUCUUGUAUCGGUCUAAAUUGUAUGCUGAGUGUUUCUGUUUUGCAUCAGAAACUUGGUCAUCCUAAUUCCAAAGUUUUAAGUCAUGUAAUAAACUCUUGUUCAGCUUUCAAGAAUUUAAAUGGAAGUAACUUUCUUGAUUCAUGUGAUGCAUGUAAAAUGGGAAAAAUGCAUAGAUUACACUUUCCAGUUUCUACUACCAAAACAAAGCAUGUAUUAGAAGUUUUGCACACUGAUUUAUGGGGACCUGCCCCUGUGCUUUCAGUUCAAGGUUAUAGAUAUUAUGAGUUUUGUGGAUGAUUUUUCGAGGUUCACAUGGAUAUUCCCAUUAAAAACCAAGGAUGAAACACUAGUUGUGUUUAAAAUCUUUAAGAAACAAAUUGAGAAAUAGCUAGAUAGAUCCAUUAAGUGCAUUCAAUCAGAUUGGGGUGGAGAGUAUAGAUCAUUUGUUAAUUUUCUUCAUGAGGAAGAUAUUCAAUUCAGGCACUCAUGUCCCUAUACUCACAAUCAGAAUGGCUUAGUUGAGAGAAAACAUAGACACAUAACCGACCUAGGUCUCACCUUACUUGCUCAAGCUACUUUGCCUCUCAAAUUUUGGUGGGAUUCCUUCCAUACAGCCACCUAUAUUAUCAAUAGACUUCCCACACCCAUACUAUCUAUGCAGUCACCUUAUGAAUGUGUCUUCAAAACCAAACCUGAUUACAAAUUUCUCAAGGUCUUUGGUUGUUCAUGCUUCCCUUUCUUAAGGGAUUAUAAUACUCACAAAUUUCAUUUUCAUACCUCAAAAUGUGUAUUUCUUGGUUACAGCCCUUUACAUAAGGGUUACAAGUGUAUGCAUUCUUCUGGAAAGAUUUUUAUAGCCAGUCAUGUGUUAUUUGAUGAAACUUCUUUUCCUUACACAUCAAAUUCACAAUUUUUAACUUCAUCAUCCAAACCCUCUGAUUUCCAUUACAGUCUUAUUCAAUCUUAUACUGUUUCACUUCCCAAUAGCAAUCAAGAAACCUGUGAAGCUAGCUCUGCAGAAGAUGAAGCUCCAUAUCAUCAUUUCAGUGAUCAUUCCUCACCUGACAGUCAUAAUACAACCUUUGAUGUUUCACCUUCUCAAAUACAUCUUCAACCCUCUACCAUAGCUACUUCACAAACACAACAGCCAUCAUCAUCUACUAUUCAAUCCACACAACCAUCCCAACAUUCUCUGCCAAAUCAUCCCAUGAUUACUAGAGCAAAAGCUGGUAUAUUCAAGCCUAAAGCAUUCUUAACAUCACAUAACAGCCUGGAACCAUCCACUGUUGAUGAAGCUUUGUCUGAUUCUAAGUGGAAAGCUGCAAUGCAAUUAGAGUUUGAUGCUUUAACCAGAAAUAAUACCUGGACUCUAGUACCUAUGACAUCUCAGCACAAGUUGGUUGGUUGUAAAUGGGUCUUUAGAACCAAGUACAAUACAGAUGGUACAGUUUCUAAACACAAAGCAAGAUUGGUGGCCAAGGGCUUUCACCAGACAGCAGGAGUGGAUUAUAAGGAAACUUUUAGUCCUGUGGUAAAGUCUUCUACAGUCAAAACUAUACUAAGUUUGGCAGUGAUGAAAUGUUGGAAAGUCAGGCAAAUCGAUAUAAAUAAUACUUUUCUUAAUGGAGAUAUUUCAGAGGAUAUAUACAUGACACAACCAGAGGGCUUCAUCACCAAAGAGGGCUAUGUCUGCAAACUUAGCAAGGCUCUUUAUGGCUUGAAGCAAGCUCCUAGAGCUUGGUAUGACAAACUCAAAUGGUGUCUUACAAGCUGGAAUUUCUUCAACUCCAAGGCUGAUACAUCCCUGUUCAUCAGACAUGACACAAGAGGUAUCAUUCUUGUUCUUAUCUAUGUGGAUGAUAUUCUCAUUACAGGACCAAUUCUUCCAUGUUGGAAACAUUCAUCACUAAAUUCAGUAAGGCUUUUGCCUUAAAAGAUUUGGGAUUGGUAUCCUAUUUUCUGGGUGUUGAGGUGUGUUAUACUGAUAGUGGGAUGCAUUUAUCACAAACAAAAUAUAUUAAAGAGCUCUUAAGUAGAGCUUCAAUGCAGAACUGUAAAGGUUUUGAUACACCUCUCAGCACAGGUCAAAAGUUAGAAAAGGUAGCAAAGGGCUGUUUGGGGAAAGAAUUUGAAGAUCCAACUCUCUAUAGAAGUAUUGUUGGAGGGCUCCAAUACUUGAUACUCACCAGACCUGAUAUUGCAUACUCAGUUCAUAAGCUCAUUCAAUAUCAGAGUGCUCCUACACUUCAGCAUUGGCUUGCUUGUAAGAAGGUACUUAGAUAUCUUCAAGCAACUGUCACUCAUGGAAUAUAUAUUCAAAAGGAAGGAGAGCUUGAAGUUACAGGUUUGAAUGGAUACUCAGAUGCAGAUUGGGUUUGUGAUACAGAUGAUAGAAAGCCCAUUGGAGCAUAUUGCAUCUAUCUUGGCAACAAUUUAAUUUCAUGGUCCUCUAAGAAACAAGCUAUAGUGGCCAAAUCCAGCACUGAAAGUGAGUAUAGAGCACUAUCAUCAGCAAGUUCAGAAAUCUCUUGGCUUGAAUCUCUAUUUUCUGAGCUCAACAUUGUAAAGCUGCCAACACCAGUGCUUUGGUGUGAUAAUCAGAGUGCUGGGGAAUUAGCCAAAAAUCCUGUGUUUCACUCCAGGUCUAAGCAUAUCGAGUUGGACAUUCAUUACAUUCGAGAUAAGGUACUUCAAAACCAAUUAGAAGUGAGAUACAUUCCUACAGAUGAACAAGUUGCUGAUGUCCUCACCAAAGCUUUAUCACUUCCAAAAUUCAGCUACUUCAGGUCCAAGCUCAAUGUCAUUAGCAGACCCUUGAGCUUGAGGGGGGAUGUUAAGGAAGUUAAGGAAGCUCAUAUUUGUAGUCAAGCAGAGGAUCACAGCAGCUUCUAUAAUCAGUUGCAAGUUGAUGACAUGUACUGCCAGCUGGCACCAGGUGGUUAUGUAGCUGCUUGUACUCAUACACGUGAUAAGUUUGUUAAUCAUUUUGUAAUUAGUUAGUUAGUUUUGUAACCUUCAGUUGAGAAGAAACACUUGUAUAUAUAUGCUUGUAAUCGUUCAGUAGCAUUUUAAGCUUGAGAAAAUAAAAGAAGAAAGUUUUCUAGAUCUCAGUUUAUUUUCUUAUUAGCCAAACACUCAUUUUCUGUUUUCUAACUGAUUUGGAGACGCUUCAGUUUUGGAAAGCCUUCUCUGUCUGAUCCAAAAAGAACAUUCUUCAUGUCCGGCAAUCCAUCUAAAGUUAGGUCUUCAAUACCCUUCAAUUUCAUGAUAUGCGCCCCGUUCAAGCAAAUGUUGGCACCACUGGCGAGCUUCAGUGUGAACGUUCUAGAAAUCCCAUCCGAUGGGCCAUACCGCCGCCGCCGAUCUCCUAUCAAUAUUCUGUACCUUUGCAGCAUUUUGAAGAACGACAAGUCACUUGGUAGAUUCAUUGCAUCCGGGAUGAGUAUUUCUAAAGAAGUCAAUUUAGAUAAAUGAUUCAACUCAUGAAGGCUGGCAUUUCUUCUUCUACUGUUGUUAGGUCCCAGUCAGAGACAGCCAAUGAUCACGCAUAACACAAGUGAUAUUUUUCUGCUUAUGGCGAGAAAGGACUAAAUAAUUGUUGUUUAGAAUUCUCAAUACUUUUAUUCAUAUUCUGGAGCUUAUUUAUAAUAACAAGACUUUGGUUUCCAUCCUACAAUUACGGCUAAAUAAACGAGUAUAACAACUUAGCUAAAAAUUCGAAACCGAAAGAUAAUCGAAAACAACUUCCGUGUCUUAGCUUCCCUCCUUACUCGCUGCACAAUUGUUGACAAGCGUAUUCCUAGAUCACGGCUCCAGCUCCAGCACGUAUCUUCACGAUCUCAGCACAUGCAUGUUUCAUGCAUGGCUUGCAUGGGACUCAUGCCCUUACGUAGCAAACUUAGGAUUUGGCUUUGGCAUUUCCAGAUCUUCGUGGCUCAUGCAUUUGCUGUCUAUCAUUACCCCAUCCUCGAAGAAUACCCUUGUCCUCAAGGGUCAGAUUGGGAAACUGUUGGUGCAGCAUUAUGGUGUCCUCCCAUGUUGCUUCUUCAGCCAACAUUUUUUUUCCAACGGACUAGAUUCUGCUCGAUCACUUUACCUCCUCUCUUCACCCAACGUGUGUCAAGGAUAGCUUCAGGGUCCAUGAUCACCAAGCCUUCAUCAUCCACAGGUGGUAAAUCGACGCCGUUGCUAAGGAAAUCACCCACAGCUUUCUUAAGCAAAGAGACGUGAAACACUGGGUGAAUUCGAGCAUUCUCUGGUAAUUGUAGUUCGUAGGCAACGGCUCCAACUUUGCGAAGAACUAAAUACGGCCCAAAGUACCUGCAAGUUAAUUUCUGAUGUGCCCUUCUGAACACUGAAGUCUGCCGAUAGGACUGCAACUUUAAUAACACCAUAUCUCCCUGUUUGAACUCAACGUCGCGGCGACCCUUGUCAGCUGUUUGCUUCAUCCUGUUAGCUGUUGUGGCUAAGUUUUUCUUUAAUUGUAAGAGCAGUUCAUCACGCGAAUGUAAGGCUUGAUCAACCUCAUGCACCGGCGAGGAACCAAGUUGAUACAUGGGCAUGGCUGGAGGUGGUCUUCCAUACAAAGCUUGGAAUGCAGUCAUUCCGGUGGAGACGUGGAAUGUGGUGUUGUACCAAAAUUCUGCCCACGGCAAAAAAGAAUGUCACUUUCGCAGCCACUGGUGAACAAAACAUCUCAAGUAUUGUUCCAAGCAUCGAUUAAUUACCUCCGUUUGGCCGUUGGUUUGCGGGUGGUAUGUGUUGAGUGUUAGAAAAUGCAUAUUUAUAAAGGAGAAAACCGUCAUUUUACAUUUCAAGUCUUACUAACAACCCUUACUUUUAUGUAUUUAACCUUCUUGUGAUUUAAUUACAUGUGUUUUAUUUUAAUUAAGUAUUUUAUGUAUUUUAGGGGCAUUAUAGUCAUUUCACAAUAAAGGAGAGAUUAGACGGCAAAACGGACAUCACUUUUGAACUCAGGACGGUCGAAAACCUUAGGAGGAGCAUAAAAGGAAAAAUGGAACUAUUCACAUGUACGGUACUAUUCACGUGUACGGGACUGUCUAUGUUACUGUUCACGACACUGUUCACAUAGACGGAUCGAUGACGUGGCAUUGACCGAUGAUGUGGCAUUGACUGAUGAGGUGUCACGAUCCUGUUGGGCUAAAAUUCUUAUGUACUGUUGAUGCUGACGUGGCAGCAUAUCAGUGGACGAAAAAUCUCGCGUACGGUACAUGCAUCACACAGGAUUAUUUUCAACCAAACUGCGUUACUGUUCAUCCGGGUCAAACCGUAUUACUGUUCAUCCACGUUGUCAAACCGCGUACUGUUGACUGAUGACGUGGUGCAAUCCUGAGCGUCCAAACUGUUUUUAAUCUGAUGGCCAUGAUUUACUCCAUGUAUCUAUAAAAAGGGGGCCUCUCCCCCUUAAUUUGAUAGCUCUGAAUCCAUUUUUGGGAUCCAUUUUCUAUAAUUCCCUCUCCAUCUUGUAUUUUCUACGUAUUUUAAUAAAUUCCCAUUUUGCCCCUAGUUCAAUUAUGAAUAGCUAAUUUUCUUUCAAGCUUGGGUUGAAGGUGAAGUCUCAACAUGUGUCAUGGGCUUAAUUUGGUAAAUUUAUUUUCUCUUCCCCUUUAGUUUUUGUGGAUGUUUUGACUUCUCGUCGACAAAUAAUAAUAAUCUUGUCUAGAUAUCGUCUUGGUUACACCGGCUCUCUAGUAUAAGGUUAUUAUUAUUUGGCACGAUAAGCCCUUAGCACCAUAUUGAUUAGAGUGUGGUUCAUAAGGUGUGGAUUCCCCCCUCAUGAUUUAAUUGGUAUUAAUAAGGAAUAUUUAGCCCAUGGUGCAUGUUGAUACGGAUCCAAAUACCCAAGUACGUCAUUUCAAUAGAUUUCUCUUCAAUUUAUUCUCGCCAUUUAAAUUCCAAUUUUAGAAUUUAUUCUCGCCAUUUUAAUUUAAGUUUUAGCAUAUUCCAAAUCAUUUCCAUCACAAAUCCAAUCACCCAUUUACAAAAUUAAUUCUACACACAAUUAAAAUCCACCUCCUCGUGGGAUCGACACUCGUCACCAUUGAUCUAUACUACAAUAGAUUCGUGCGCUUGCGAGUACAUUAAAAUUUGCACAACAGUAUGGUGAGCUCAUUUUGAGUUUGGUGCCUGAUAAAUUAAAGAACUCUUGCCAAAAUUUGCUGAUGAAUAUGGGGUCACGAUCGCUGAUGAUUGACUUGGGCAUACCGUGCAGCCUCACUACUCCUUCACUUUCUUCUCGAACUGGCCGCGGUGAACCAAUGGUUUCGUUGGUGCCGUGGCUAGUGGUGUCUUUGGAUGCAUUGAAAGUUUCUGCUAAUUUGCUAAUGGUGUCUUCUAAUCGCUGAAGCUUGUCAUUGAUCCCAAUCUCCAUGCGUUCCAUUCGGCUCUCCAUGCUUUUCAGAUCAGCUUCAAUUCGCUCAAUACGUUCUUUGUUGGUCAUCAUUGUUAACCCGCUCUGAUACCAAUGUUAGGUCCCAGUCAGAGACAGCCAAUGAUCAUGCGUAACACAAGUGAUAUUUUUCUGCUUAUGACGAAAAAGGACCAAAUAAUUGUUGUUUAGAAUUCUCAAUACUUUUAUUCAUAUUCUGGAGCUUAUUUAUAAUAACAAGACUUUGGUUUCCAUCCUACAAUUACGGCUAAAUAAACGAGUAUAACAACUUAGCUAAAAAUUCGAAACCGAAAGAUAAUCGAAAACAACUUCCGUGUCUUAGCUUCCCUCCUUACUCGCUGCACAAUUGUUGAUAAGCGUAUUCCUAGAUCACGGCUCCAGCUCCAGCACGUAUCUUCACGAUCUCAGCACAUGCAUGUUUCAUGCAUGGCUUGCAUGGGACUCAUGCCCUCACGUAGCAAACUUAGGAUUUGGCUUUGGCAUUUCCAGAUCUCCGUGGCUCAUGCAUUUGCUGUCUAUCAGUUGGUCCUUUCACGCUUCCCCCACUCAAUGGGACUCUCACCAAUGUACAAUUCUUCUAAUCGUGAUAAGCUUGAUAUGACAUUUGGUGGAAUAACUUUUAGAUUGAAACAGUUGCUCAGAUCCAACAACCUCAACUGAGUCAGCCGGCCUAUUUCUUCAACCAGUUUCUGCAUAUUAGAACCUCGAAGUGUAAGGAUUUCUAAUUUCUUUAGAUCUCUAAUAAUAGCGAUGUCUCCGAGUUGGCAAUCAUCGAGAGACAAUGUUUGAAGGUUUUGUAAGAGACCAAGCGAUGGAGGCAAAGGCAACAAAUGCAUCGUAGUGAAAUCUAAAACUCUAAGCCCUGUCAUCCCAGUAAAAAGGUUAUCUGGGAUUCUCAAAGAUGGAACAUUAUCAAUGGUGAGGUAUUUAAGUUGCGGACAUUCAAAAUCUUGAGGAAACUCACUAAUAUUACACCUACAUAAGGAAAUAACUUUGCAAACCUUCAGUCUCUCCUUAUCUGGCCAGCUGGUCAGCGGAAUAACCUCGUUUUCCACCGCAAACACAUGUUGGUCUCUAGAUGCAAUUGAUAUGGCUACAUCACGAACAACAUCAUGCAUAGAAAACCAUUCACUUGUAUUGCCAUCAAGCAACAAACAAGAUUUUUUGAGUUUUUCAACCAAUUCAUGUGCUCUAUCCCGCGCCUCUUCCAACGUGUUGAUGUUUUGAAACAGACCCAAACCCAUUCCAUAAAAGAGCACGUCUUCAACGCAAGAGAUGAAGGCGUACCUUAUUAGCAAAAAUGUACUCUUGAGCUCCUCCCCGUUUAAAUGACUGUAACUUAGCUCUAUACUUUUAUAUGCCACCUCCAGUGUUCCACUGAAGUUCCUCAAGGAAGGCCUUCUUAAUUCUAGCAAAGCAUCAUUCCAUUCACACAAUCUCUUAUUUCUCAAUGCCCUUGCUACGGGUACAAUGGCAAUGGGCAAACCAGCACAUUCCUUGACUAUAUCUUUUGCUACCGAUCUCAAUUCAUCAUUUUCUAUGCAAUCACCUGUCGUCUUCGUAAAAAGACUACAAGCUUCUCCUCCAUUCAAAACAUCAACACGAAAAUUCUGUUGACAAUCAAUCUUACAGGACAACACAUCUACACUUCUUGAUGUCAGCAGAACUUUACGUCCGCUGUUAUCAUCUGCCAAUGGAAUUCCAAUCGCCUCCAAAUCAAGACUCCCCCAAAUAUCAUCCAAGAUUAUAAGGAUCUUCUUCUCUACUUUCAAUCGUUCAUAUAGCCUCCCUGCUCUUACAGUUUCAGUCUCUUUAACUAAUCGCAAGCCCAUCUUCUCUGCAAUUUCUUCACCAGCGUCGUCUUUCCAACCCCACCCAUCCCGUAGACCCCAAUCAUGUUGAAUUUACGGUUGCUGAGUGCGUCUAGUAUCUCCUUCAAAGUGCACUUCCUCGAUUGAAAGUGCACGAAACCCUGGGUAGACUUAAGCCAUGGCUCUUCUGGAAUGGUUCGAAAAGAAACACUGUCCAAUCUCCCUUUUUCAAGGAGUUCAACAAUAGCAUUCACCUCCCUCACUGCUUUCUUGCUAAGCUGGUACCGAGUCUUCAAAUCAGGGCAUAACCCCUUCAAACACCGGUUGUUUGAAUUCUCUUUGUAUCCAAUAAGUUCUCCGACUUCAUUGAUGAGCCUGUGCGCACUAAUCAGCCACUCCGCAACUUUCGGUAGAAUUCCAUCCCCAUUAUUUCUGGAAUCAUCAACUUUAUGCUGCACACUGUCUCUAGCAUUCUUUAGGUUACCAACUUCAUUCUUCAGCUUCUCGAAGUUGGUCUUGUAGCUGCGGCAGUAAGUAAAUGGGUGAAAAAUGGGACCAACCAAGUUCUUUGAAGCUUUUGUAACAAUGGAGAUAACAAUUUCCAUUAUCCUUUUUUUUCCCCCCGCUUUCAGAAAACAGGGAAAAGCAAAACUAAUCAAACUAAGCAGAGCUAAUCAAUCGGCUGGGAAUUUGGAUAAAUUGCUGAAAUAAGAAGUUGUCCGAAUGAAAUUGAUGAAACAAAUAUUUAAGGGAGAAGGAGGGGAAAGGAGUGAAAAAUCUAGAGAUGAAGCGAAGAGGAGACAAAUUAAAAAGUGAGUGCAAUGAAAGAUUUGCAAAGAAGGUAUGGGAGGACAAGGAUGAUUCAGACAAGGGAAACAGAAUAUGAAGAAAGGGAUUUCAGAGAACUCUAAAGAUUAGGGAAGAAUGAUGAUUAGGAAAAUGAAGAGGCAGACAGUUGUGAUCUCGAGACUCAAGGGGUAAACUGAAUCAUGCAAAAAUGCCAAACUAAAUUCAUACAAGGAGAAGACUCGUGCUUCCAAGUCAACUAGAUUCUCCAUAAGUAAAUAGCGUUAAAGUCGCAGGUUAAAUGCUAAAUGGCAUUUUGGCAUUUCGUUGAAUUUUCUUGUUACCAGUAAGUGCUGUGCUGCCGACAUUUUUCAACUUGUAAUUGUAAGACUUUCCAAGCAAUUUUUGUGGUAGUUUUAAUUAAUUUUAAUUGUAUAUCAAAUAUUUUAUUACUGUAAUUUAAAAAUCACAAUUGAUAAACAACAAUAGUAGAGAGAACGUUAAAUAGUUUGAGAAUGAUUUUUUAUUUAGGGCAUGUUUGUGAUUGCUUUACGAACAAUCAAAAUGCUAAUUCUAUUAGCCAAUAAACACAAGCGCUUUGUCAAGAACAUUACGCGAAGAACCCUUUAUAUAAAUAGCAAUCAUGUAAUUACGGAAGGCUUAUCCUAAUUACAUUUUAGUUACAUUCAAUAACAAAUUAACAACAAUAUUACUUAAAAAUUUUCGUUUGGCAAUGAGUAUAUUGGAGGUAGCAUAAAAAAAUCUGAAAACUUUGCAAACUUUUUAUGAAAAUGCAUUAGAGUUGUUAUGUUCUUUCACUGUUGAUAAUGGAAAUAUAAUGCAGGCCAAGAGACCCAAAGUGAAAGUGACCCAUGUGCUUUUCUAAUUACUCUGCUAUAAAGCCAAAGUUUGCGGACUUUAUGAUUUUUUUUUUCAGAAAUAGAUAUGCAAAUAAAUUGAAAAGAAAAAAAAAAACCCUGUUGCGUGGUCAUGUGGGUCCUCGAAAUCAUUUCGGCAUUUAAUCGAACAGUUGGAUGUACUCGGCAAGACGGCAACUAUACUUCCUCGAAGGUUCCUGGAUGUUGCAAGUGCUGCCGGCAUUUUCAAACUCGGAAGGUUUCAAUAAUUUUUUUUCUUUGAAAUAAAGGUUUCAAUAAUUAGCUUUGAUUAUUGUGUAAUAUACGAUAAUCUAGUGAUGAUGGUCACUUAUAUAUGUGAUUAAAAGCUAAGCUGGUUGAUUUGUAAGUAAGAACACACGGCAAAGUAUUUGAGCAAGCAUUUUUAUCUUCUUAUUACCACAUUCUUCUAACCAAUUUGCUUUCACCAACAAAAUAAUUAAUAAUUUGUAAAUAGUUGGAUCUUAAGCUCAGAUUUUGACAAUACAUGAAUGAUAAUAUAUACUUAUUUUCCAAGAGUAUACUCUAUUCAAGAGAGGAUCUCAAAUUUUUAUUAGAGAAGAUCAUAUUUAAAGCUCAAGUGCAAGAAUAAUAAUGGUUGCGUUGACUGGAGAACAUCAAAUACAAACAAAGACCAUGCUAAAGGAAAAGCAAAAGCUGGCGAGAUUGAUAAAGAAAGACUAAUAAAGCUUUCCUUUCAGCAUUAAUCAUGAUUAUUGGAUGAACUAGAGGUGAUCACUGUUUUAUAUUUUUAGUGCAAAAUAGAAUACACUGCAAGAGCUGAUGGCUUUCUUUGUUGUCCUCUUAUUGUCACGUAUUUUGUAGCUUUCUCAUUUUGAUUAGUUGUUCGCUCAAUAACCUAAAUGGGUCAGGGUUUUGAUGAAUUGAAAUUGACAUCAUUUCUGUUAAGAGUAGUUUGUUAUAGUUAGUUAUAGCUGCUGACUUAUGCUGACGUGUUAGAUGAGCUAAUAAUUGUUAGUUAUAUUGGUUGUAGUUUGUUAGUAAUCUUUUAGCACAUGUAUAAGCUAAGCUCAGCUCGCGUGAAUUGAUUCCAGAAUAUUCAAGAGCUUAGUAUAAAUACUCUUGUAACAAAUACAACAAUUAAUUCUAAGCUCUCCAUUCUUCUUUCAAACUUUCUUUCGUUUUCUCUGUUUUUCUCAGAUGCUAAACACUUUUCUUAUAUUUUAACUUGGUAUCAGAGCUUCAAUCUUCAAUUCUCAUGGCAUCAUCAAGCUCAAACUCAAACACAAACUCAAUUAUUUCAUCAUUUACUUUCAUCUCACCGAUCAAACUUGAUCGUUCAAAUUAAACAAUCUGGAAGUCUCAAAUUCUUUCAUUUGUUCAAGCCAAUGGUCUAGAAGAUUUGCUUGAUGGAUAAAAAACCUAUCCAGAUCAAUUUCUUCAAGGUGAAACUGAAAACGCCUCUGCUAAUACUCAGCUAAAUCCAGCAUAUACUACAUGAGAGGGAAAGGGUCAGUUGCUACUGAACUGGUUGAUGUCAUCUAUCAGUAUUGAGAUUCUGAGUCUUGUAGUAAACUCUGAAACUUCUCUAGAACUUUGGACUAGUUUGGAACAACAGUUUGGAUUUGAAACUUUUGCUAAGAAAAUUCAUCUAAAAAAUGAUGCUUAAUAACCUUAAAAAAAGUUCGAUGACAGUCACUGAAUUUUUUGGCAAGUUAAAAACAAUUACUGAUGAGUUAGUCAUUACUGGUAAUCCAAUAAGUUCUCUGGACUUUCUUACACACCUGAUUUCUGGAUUAGGUCAGCCUUAUUAUCCUGUUGUAGUUUAUCUUGAAGCAAAUCUUGUUAAGAUCUCUAUCAAUGAGGCAUAUUCUAUGUUAUUAACUCAUGAAGUUAGUCUAUAGGCAAAUCAGUUAAGUGCAAGCAAGGAAGUUAAGUUGAACUAUACUGCAAAUAUUGCUCAAACUGGAUCUAGAUCUAAUAAUAACAAGAAACAAGGUGGUCAAUUCAAUAACAAUUGGACUGGUGGUCAAUUUAACAAUAAUUGGAACAAGAAUGCUAGCUUUAGAGGUGGAUAUGCUGGAGGCAAAGGUGGUUAUGGUAGAAAUUUUUCACAAGGAUAACGAAGAGGAAACUGGAAUGGUGUGCCAUUUGGAAAUUUUUCACAAGGAGGCAAAGGAAGUAAUUACAAUGGCAAUCCUAGUCAAAAUGAGGGAUUUACUAGUGGAUUUACUAAUGGCACAGGUGUUAUGGAUCAGGCUACUGCCACUGUAAUUUGCCAGAUUUGCUUUAAACCUAAGCGCACUGCAGCUGAGUGCAGAAACUGAUUCAACAAGGAUUAUGUUCCUUUCAACAAUCCAUUUCAGAACUCAUCAAGAAUUGCCCAUCUUACAACUUCAGAAGGGGCAAUAGCUGAUCAAGGAUGGUAUAUCGAUAGUGGUGCCACAUAUCACAUCACUAACAACUUACAAAAUCUACAAAUUGGAAGUGAGUAUUCAGGUAAUCAGCUGCUCCUUGUAGGUAAUAGUCAGGGUUUACAUAUUUCACAUAUUGGCUAUGCAUAUCUUCAAACAUCAUGCAAUACAACUUUAUACUUAAGAGAUACUUUGUGUGCUCCUAAACUUACUAAAAAUCUCAUAAGUGUUUCGAAAUUGCUUGAAGAUAACAUUGAUGUAACCAUUGAGUUUGUUGCCAAUAUGUGUUUUAUAAAAGAUAAGAGGAAGGAACGACAUCUGGCUCAAGGGAUUGCUAGAGGAGGAUUGUAUCUGUUGUUGUCAAAGAAUGACUUUGUUUCGAAUUCUAGUUGUCUCACUUAUGCACCUAGCUCUAUGCUUUCUGUUUUGAAUAAUUCAGCUUGUAAAAUUUUUGAUACUGCUACAAAUAAAGUUUGUAAUCCACAAUGUCAAAUGAACACAACCAAGAUAACAAACUUGUUUCAUCAGAAAUUUGGUCAUCCUAAUAAACAUGUGUUGAAAUCCAUUUUAUCUUCUCUUUCUAUUGAGUACUCAUCUAUAUCAGCACCUGAUUUUUGUGAUGCCUGUCAAUAUGGUAAAGUCCCUCAAAUGCCCUUUUACACAACUAGAAUCAUAACUAAAGCUCCUUUAGAGCUUAUCCACACUAAUCUUUGGGGUCCAACACCCUUACCAUCUCUACAUGGCUAUAGUUAUUACAUUAGCUUUGUAGAUGACCAUAGUAGAUAUUGCUGGAUUUUUCCAUUGACCCUCAAAUUAGAAGCAUUAGGCACUUUCAAAUUCUUCAAAACCUUAGUCAAAAAAUAGUUUGGCUACACUCUAAAAUCACUGCAGUCUAAUUGAGGGGGUGAGUAUAGAAGCUCUCAAAGUUUCCUUGAAGAAGAAGGGAUAAGGUUUAGACAUAGUUGUCCUCACACACACCAUCAAAAUGGUGUGGUUGAAAGAAAACAUAGACACUUGGUUCAAACAGGACUUACCCUUCUGACACAAGCCAAAAUGCCUCUGUCUUUCUGGUGAGAAUCAUUCCAUACAGCUUCCUUGUUAACAUAUAUGUUUCCAUAAUGUUGAUUUUGAUGAUAACAAAUAAGAUUAAGAGUGAUAAAUCUUUUAAGCUCAAAUUAUUUUUUAUACAUUUUAAAUAAAUCAUUAUUUUUACAUUAUAAAGGUUUUAUAUUUAAUGGAAAAAUGAUUUUAUGAAAUUGAUUGUUUUUAUUCUUUUUAAAUAAAUCAUUAUUUUUGCAUUAUAAAUGUUUCAUAUUUAAUGGAAAAAUGAUUUUAUGAAAUUGGUUGUUUUUCAAAGUUUAUGGUUUAAUUGAAAGAAUUUUGAAAACUUUGAAAUAAACAAGUAUUGCUUGAAAUUUUAGAGAAGGACUUAUUUGAAAAGUAUCAUAGCAUUUUGGGCUAUACCAUAAUUUCAAAAAAUUUUGGGAUUAACAAAGCAUUAUUUAGAAAUUCUGGAAUCGGACCUAUUUACAAAGUUUUAUAAUAUUUUGGGUCGUAAUACAGUUUUAUAAAGUUUUGGGGUCAAACUAUAAAUUUGGGAAAUAUUUCACUGUAGCAGUUACUGUAGUAGCUACUGUAGAAAACGGCGAUCCGACAUCUUGAUAACGGCUCGCCGAUAUCUAACAGAGUUGAAGAUUAGCCUCUGGACCUAAACGGCGAUCCGACAAUUGUGAUAAACGGCUCGCCGAUAUUUAACAGAACUGAAGAUCAGCCUCUGGACCUAAACGGCGAUCCGACAUCUAGAAUAAACGGCGAUCCGACAAUUUGAAAAAUCAGCCCAACGGUCAUAUUGACCAGUCAAACGGCGAUCCGACAGUGUGCAGACAGUCUAUAACGGCUAGUUUUCAGCUGCAGCUAUAAAUAAGCUCAUUCAAAUUCAAACAAAGGUUAAUCACAACACGACUAUUGAGCUUAUAUCCGAGAAUACAAUCUUCAUAGAGCUUUAAACACAUUCUCUCUUCAUCUAUUCACAUAUUGGGCAUUGAUUUGUAAUCUUAAAUAUUGUGUGAGAGAAAAACAAUUUGUAAUCUUUUACUUUGAGUGAUUGUAAGUGUUGGGAUACACUUGGGUUAAGAGAUUGGGGAUAAUCUCUUGUUGUAAAGGUCCAUUGACACCUUGGAAGUCAAUUGUAAGCGUUUGAAGCCUUGGGAGGCUAGCUUAGUGAAAUCCUCAAGCCCGGUGAGCUUGGAGGCGUGGACGUAGGCGGGGAUUGCCGAACCACGUAAAAAUCCUUGAGUUUGCUUUCUCUUCCCUUGCUCAUUUAUUAUUGUGCUUUCAUUGAAUUUAUUGUUUUCAAAUUUAUUAAGGCAUUAGAUUGGAUUGUUGUGUGGUUUGCUUAGCUUAAUUUUUAAAUCCCAAUUCACCCUCCCUCUUGGGUUGCCUAGUUAGUAUUUCAUUUGGUAUCAGAGCGAGGUGCUCUUGUGUAGACUUAACGUCUAGAGUCAAAGAUCCAUAGCAACCCAAAUUAGCUCAACCAUCAUGGAAGGCCAAUCUAUCACUAGACCUCCAUUUUUCGACGGAAAUGAUUAUCCUUAUUGGAAAACUAGGAUGAGAAUUUAUUUACAAGCUUUAGAUUAUGAAAUUUGGGAAGUUGUUUGUGAUGAUUUACUCAUUCCUAGAAAGAAUGCUUUAAGUGAGUUGGAUAAGAAAAAGAUGUCUUUAAAUUCCAAGGCUAUGAAUGCUUUAUUUUGUGCCUUAGAUAAAAAGGAAUUUCAUAGAGUUUCAAAUUGUUCUAAUGCUUAUGAAAUUUGGAGAAAACUUGAAAUUGUGUAUGAGGAGACUACAAACGAGGAGAAUUUUCAUGAAGUGUCAAAUUUGGCACUUAUGGCAAUUGGAGAUGAAUCGGAUGAUGACCCAUGUGCUUUUCUAAUUACCCUGCUGAAAACUAUAAAGCCAAAGUUUGCAGAUUUUAUUAUCAAUUUUUUUUUUCAAAAUAGAUAUGCAAAUAAAAAGACAAAAGAUGAGACUUAUUAUAGUACCAGUGGCGGGCCCCCUGGGUCCUCAACUUCUUCAAAUGGGCAUUUUAAUAUAUUUACAUAUAAAUAAAUGAAUAUCUUAUGUAAUAUUCACUCCAUCAAGCAUGAAGUAUAUAAUUAAUUGAAUGUACAAGCAUCGGCAUUAGUUGACAGGAAAAGAGCUCGUUAAUAAAUUAUAUGAGUGAUAAUACUACUUGAAUCAAACUCACGUCCAAAGUUGGGACUCGCCUAUUGUGCAACAGUGGCACCAUGCCACCGUUUUUGUCUUUUUCUGUGUAAAAUUUCAUGAAGCCCUUUCACUUAUUCUUAUUUGAACUUUGCUUCACAAAUAUUAAGUUCAUUUCUCCCAAACUCGUGAAUCCUUCAACGGCCGAUCAACGGCAAAUCGGCUCCUCCAAUGGCUGUGGUUGGUCAGAAAAGACAAAGGGAACUGUGGAGAACAAAACCCAAGUGGUGGUGUCACCGGAAACCGGAGAAACCGCAGUGAAUUGAAGCGGGGAUUCUGUGACUUUUUGCGGCUUUGAUCAACAGCUUUCCGAAUGCUUUACGGCAACAAGGAUGGCAUGAAGAUGACCAGCGUCGCACGAGCUUCCGAUCGGUACCAACCUUGGCUGGUGGAGUAGGCAGAAACGUAAAAAAAAUUUGGGUCGGGUUCACGAGUCAGGUUGACUCAGUUAUUUUUGCGACAAGGAUGGUGUGGAGAUGACCGGCAUCGCAUGAUCUUCCGAUCGGUACCAACCUUGGCCGGUGGCAUGGACGAAAAUGGAAACGAAAUUCGGGUCGGGUUCGUGGGUAUUUGUGAUAAAGAGAGGGGUAUUGUGAUAAAAGGUGCAAUAUAGAAGGAAAAUGUAUAAAUAGGAAAUAGUAUAAGGUGCUAAUUAUAAUGUUUAUAUGGAUGCAAUAGAAAUUAAUUUAAUAUUUAUGAGGUAAAGUUUAAAUAAAAAUGAAUGAAAGUGGUUCAAUGAAAUUUUACAACAAUGCUGGCACAAAAGACAAAACCAGUGGUACGGUACCACGGUGGUACCGUAGCUGGAUCCCCAAAGUUGAUAAGAGUUAAAUUAAAUAAAGCUUUGAUGAUUUAAUGUGCAUAAAAUUAUAAAUUUAUAAUCAUCAAAUGGAUCCACCUAUGUCACAAUAGUUGCACCAUACCACACUUUUUGUCUCUAUUUCGCAGAGCCGUAAGAUGUUUUAUUGUUCAAUCUAACUAUUGAUGCCAAAAUCGGCUCGUCCUUGGACCGACCAGAUUCGUUCACCAACGUUUAAGUUAUCCACUGCUGCACGAACCGCUAAGGCUGGAAUUACCCUCCUUUCUCUCACUAGACCUGCGUUCACCAAAAACAGAUCAGAGACGCCGGUGGUUUUGCCGGCGUAAACCCUCCGAUGCCUAAGUUAGCACAAGGUGUUUACGGGAAAACAGUUAAAUUUUGAUUCAACAGUGGUUCUAAUUUGUUCGAAGUUUGUAAUAAAAUUGUCUGGUUUCAAUUUGGCAGCGUUUUCCCUCUCCCAGUUUUGUUAUCUCCAUCUUCAUCGAUUUCUUCUUCUUUUAUAGCUGCUGUUUGUCCCACGUCUUCCGCUUACCCUCUAUCCCCCCUUUUCUCGGGUUGUGGCAGCCCCUCAUGGGGCUCUGACUGUUGCAUUGUGGCAAACGUGGGAUCUUAUGUGUCCUUCAACGGUUCCGGGAAAGGCGCAGCAGCCGCGAUUCUGUGGGAUCGUGUUCCCGCUUUUCUGGGGAGUGUGUAUCGGUUCGGUAUUAACAUCUGGUCGGCAUACGCUCCCGUGCUCUGCUCGUACCCACGGCUGAGGUGAUCCAUGCCGGGGUGGAGGUAGUAGCAUGGUCGACCUGGUGCUUUUAUUAACUUAACACCAGUCCCCCAGUUUCUGGUCUUGCGAGUGAAAUGAGUUAGGAGUAGAAACUGAUAGUCAAAUCUUACCAACCUGGGGAGCGUCUCGCCUGGUCUUCCGCUUACCAGGACAGAUCUCAGGUACCAUUUUCCUUCUAGGGAGAUUCCGACCUGAGCAUGGGCCUAAAUGAGCCUGUCCGUUGCAUAUCUGGGCUUUCAUCUAACCCGGUCUCUUGUAACGGUUGGUGACGUGGUGCUUCCCGACUCUUCGUAUUUGAAAUUUGAAACGACGGGCUAUCCGUCCUCGAUAUAUGGGGGGGUGAGCUGGCAUAUCCCAUCACUUAAAUGCUUCCAUUUCCCCCUUUUCGUUUUAAAUCCCUAGACUGGAGUCUUCACCAUCUUGUUACUCGUUUCUCCGCCGUUAACCAAAUUUUCUCUGAACUUUGCUCACACUUCCAGCGUCCGGAGUAUCCAUUUGCUGGGUGUUUUCUCUGUUACGGCAGCGCUAUCAGUGUCAGUCUAUUCCAGGUAUAGCCUUUAACCUUUUCUUCGGCUGUUGUUGAUUGGGUUCUGUGUUGCCCCUUUGUGUCCAUAUACUCGAGUUUUCUCUGUUUUCUUUUGGGAUUCCGGUAUGUCAAAUCGGAAGAGGAAGUUAAUUGUUGAUGAGGGUGAUGACGAAUCAGGGGAUUCAGGCCUCAACGUGCCAAUACCCACCGAUUUUUUAGGUCCCUCCAGUAGUGUAGGUCCUCCCCAUGGUAGGGAUACCCUUGAUUACCUACGCCCCCUGGUUGUCUCUCCCUCUCCCGAAUUAGAGCUUGUAGGAAAUAGGGGUGGACCUGCGUCGGGCUCUGGUGAGAACCACAGCUUUGGUGGGGUUGGGAUCCCUGAAGGAGUUGGUGAUGGUGAGGGGGAGCAGUUCCGGACCGAGCAGACCUGCUCAGAAAAGGAACCUAGGCCAUAGGGUGGAGGUUGAUUCCUACCCUAUUGAUUUCAUGGCUUGUGCCACCACCCCCACCGAUCUAUUUAAACUUAGGAAUCUCUACAACAUCCCCAACGAGGUUCUUCUUGUAGUUCCUGGAAAAGGUGAUGUCCCUAGUCGGCCUCCGAAAGGGUAUGUGACGAUGCACUUGGAGAGUUUCAGACUAGGAGCUCGGCUGCCCCUUCAACCUUACUUUGCCAAGAUACUGGGCGGUAUGCACCUGGCCCCAGGUCAGCUACACCCAAAUGGGUGGAGGGUUCUCUCGGCAAUGUUUGUGUUGUGGGAGAGGUGCGGGUCGGAGGAGCCUUCUCUUGUUGAAGUGAAACAUCUGUACCAGUUGCGGAGUAGCCCGAAAGAGGCAGGCUGGUACUAUUUCAUGUCCAGUUCCGCAAAGAGGAAACCGAUCACUGGGUUUCCAUCUUCAUGUAAAAAUUGGAAGAAUAAAUUCUUCUUUGCUGGAGGGAACUGGUGUCCAGCGGUUCGGUCGCUUGGUGGGGAGAUUUAUCUUCCCACCCAUUUUGUCACCCCAGGUCGUUCAUUUUUUGCCUAUAUUCUUUCUCAAAUUGACACUCAUUGGGUUCUUUAACCUUGUUUGUUUUUUCAGAAUCGUGGGGUUUGGUGAAGGACCUUGAAGACCGACCUUUGCUUCAGGUGGAAACUGCUCUGUUGAACGCGUCUACUUGCCAAGACCUCCUGUCGCCAACAAACUUGGUCGGUUCCCGCUUAGUCGAUAUUGCCGCUGGAAUGGAUAACAAGAUCCUCAGCGCGUUGAGCAGAAAGCGUGGUCGGGCUCCGAGUAGCUCCAGCAACCCUCCUCCUCCUCCAAAGAAACCCAGCGUCGGUCCUUCCAAGGUGCCAGUUCCUGCUCUGCCCCCUCCUCCACCUCGUAAGAGUGGUGGGGAUAAAACCUCCGACAAGAGUCCUGAGGUCAGCUUGCAGUCUGGGGACCGCUCUUCUCCUCUUCCAUCUCGGGAUCAGGGUGACUACCUAAGCCCAUAUCAGAAGGAUUAUAGAAAAUCGGUUGGGCCCAAGAUGGUGAAGGACAUCGAGAGCAUGAGCCUCUCCGAGUUAACUGCUUCUGUUCAAAGAGUCUCCUUCAGGCUGGCCACAAUGGUCUCGUGCUACAAGACCGGGUCCGCGCGUCAUGAGAGGAAGCUUCAAGCUGAUAACCAGGAGUUGAAAAAGAAAGUUGAAUCUGCUGACCGCUCCAAGGAGAAACUGGCCGAGCUGAACAAGCAGCUUACGGAGCUUGAGGAGAAAGUUGCUGUUGCUGAGUCCACUUCCUCCAAGCUUGAGGGUGAGUUGGGUGAUCUGAAGUCCGAUCUUCAGGCUACCCAAAGUGAAAAGGAUACUCUGAGGAUCGCCCUUGAAGGAGAGAUCAACUUCCUGAAGGACAGCUGGCUGAGGAGAAAAGCAAAUCCGCUGACGUGGAUGAUCGGCUGGAUGCCGAGUAUGACUCCGGGGUUGCUUUCAGCUAUAAGUGCAUCAUGUCUGUGCUUAAGGAAGAAUACCACGAGCUCGACAUGAGCAAGCUGGAAUCUGGGGUGGAGAGGUAUAUGGCUGGGGCCGGCCAGGGAGAUAAGGAGCAGGUGGAGGUUCCUUUUGAUGAGGUGCGGGAGGGAGGAGCUGGUCAGUGUGUUUUUUAAGUGGGACAAGGGUCUGUGCCUCCUCCUCCCGUUAUUGCUGAUCUUCCACCUCCCGAGAUAGCCGACCCUUCUCCUACUGAGGCCGUUGACCUUCCUAAUCCUUAGGUCUAUUUUUGUAAAAACUCUAGAUUGUUAUUCGCUUUGUAAACAUUUGAACAUUUAUAAAUUUUUAAAUGCUCUCUAUUGGCUUUCUUGUCUGGUUUUGCUCACGGGUUGCUUCUGCAAAACAACUUGGCAAUUUAUCUGAUUUUGCCUGUUGGUUCUUUAGUGCAUUGAGCAGGAAUAGGCAUCCGUUUGCCUUAGCGAAAUUUUCGCAAAAUUGCCUGCUGGUCUUCGGUGACCGAGCAGGAUUGGACACUUAUUUGCCUUAGUAGAAUUGUCGUAAAUUUAACUGCUGCUUUUCGUUGACCGAGUAGAGGUAGGCACUUGCCUUAGUAGAGUUUUCGUAGCUUUAGCUGCUGAUCUUUUACUUCACCGAGCAGAAGUAGGCACCGAUUUGCCUUAGUAGAAUUUUCGUAGCUUUAGCUGCUGGUCUUACGUUGACCGAGCAGAAGUAGGCACUGAUUUGCCUUAGUAGAAUUUUCGUAGCUUUAGCUGCUGGUCUUACGUUGACCGAGCAGAAGUAGGCACUGAUUUGCCUUAAUAGAAUUUUCGUAGCUUUAGCUGCUGGUCUUACGUUGACCGAGCAGAAGUAGGCACUUAUUUGCCUUAGUAGAAUUUCCGUAGCUUAAGCUGCUGGUCUUUCGUUGACCGAGCAGAAGUAGGCACUGAUUUGCCUUAGUAGAAUUUCCGUAGCUUAAGCUGCUGGUCUUUCGUUGACCGAGCAGAAGUAGGCACUGAUUUGCCUUAGUAGAAUUUUCGUAGCUUUAGCUGCUGGUCUUUCGUUGACCGAGCAGAAGUAGGCACUGAUUUGCCUUAGUAGAAUUUUGGUAGCUUUAGCUGCUGGUCUUUCGUUGACCGAGCAGAAGUAGGCACUGAUUUGCCUUAGUGAACUUUCAAGAAUUUAGCUGCUGGUCUUUCGUUGACCGAGCAGAAGCAGGCACUGAUUUGCCUUAGUGAACUUUCAAGAAUUUAGCUGCUGGUCUUUCGUUGACCGAGCAGAAGCAGGCACUUGCCUUAGUGAAAUUUUUAUUGAUCUUGCUAGCAGGGGGAUUUCAUGUUGAAUUCAUCUUUAUUGAAAUUUGAAUGUAUUACAAAAAACAUAGAAUAUAUGCAUGUGCGACAGGCCAUCGGGCAUUGUAACAGAAAUAACUUGCCAGAGUGAGGAUUUAAUAGAGCAUUUUGCUUACUGGAAAUACUUCUUCAGGUGUUCGGCGUUCCAUGACCUCUUCACGUCUCGUCCGUCUUGGCACGCUAAUUUAUAUGCUCCUGGUCCAGUGGCUCGUAUCACUCGGUAUGGGCCUUCCCACUUUGGGCCAAGAGCGCCAUGGUUAGGAUUCCUGGUGUUCUGGUUCACCUUCCUAAGUACCCAAUCUCAUGCUCGGAACUGCCUCACGCGUAAAUUCUUGUUGUAAUAACGCAUGACCCUUUGCUGACAUUGGGCCACUUUCUGCGAGGCCUCUUCCCUUUUCUCCUCCAGCAGGUCUAGGCUUAAGCAGAUCUGCUCGUCAUUUUGCUCCUCAACGAAAUGUUCUGUUCGAUGUGUCCCCACUCCAAUUUCCGCUGGGGCUACCGCCUCAUGACCAAAAGCUAAAGCAAACAGGUUUCCCCUGUGGCGGUUUUGUGGGUUGUCCGAUAGGCCCAUAAUACCCCUGGUAGUUCGUCAACCCAAGCUCCCUUCUUCUCUCCCAAUCUAGUUUUCAAGAGCUUCUUUAUUACUUUGUUAGCUGCCUCCACUUGUCCGUUUGCCUGGGGGUGCGAGGGGGUGCAAAACUUCAGGUCCACCCCCAGAUUCCGACAAAAUUCUCUGAAGUUGUUGUUGUCAAAUUGCCUCCCAUUGUCGGUAAUAAUGGCAUAAGGGAUUCCGUAUCUGCAGAUGAUAUUCUUCCAAAUAAAAUCUGUUGUCUUUCUUUCCGUGAUUUGGCUGAGGGUCCCCACUUCUAUCCACUUGGUGAAGUAGUCUAUUGCUACAAUCGCAUGGGUUGCCGCUCAUCGGCCUUUCGGUAACGGACCAAUCAGUUCUAUUCCCCAUUGAGCAAAUGGCCAUGGGGAUGUCAUAGUAGUCAGCUUUUCUGGGGUUGUGUGGGAACCUCUGAAAAGCUUUGGCAGAUAUUGCACCUCUUUGUCAUCCAUUUUGCAUCCUGGUGCAUGGUCGGCCAGAAGUAUCCUUGCCGGAGUGCCUUGAAGGCUAAAGCUCUGGCUCCUGAAUGAUUUCCACAUAUCCCUUCAUGAAUCUCCCUUAGUACAUAGUUUACCUCCUCGUCAUCCAAACAUCUCAAAAGGGGUAAGGUGAACCCUCGGCGGUAUAACACUCCAUCUAGUAGCGUGUACCUCGCUGCUCGGCAUUUUAACUUUCUUGCUUGCCUUUUGUCUUUCGGUAAAACUCCGUCGCGGACAUACGCGCAAAUCGGGUCCAUCCAGGAUUCUCCAGCGCUUACUCUCAUCACCUCUACUUCCUCCCCUAUACUCGGCGAGGUCCUCACCUCUAGUGGAACCGACUUAGGUAAUUUUGGAUCUGCAAUUGCAGCCAUCCUAGCCAACAUAUCCGCUCGGUAAUUCUCAUUCCGAGAUAUCUGCUUUACUUCCACCUCUUGGAAAAGCCCGACCAUCUGCUUCGCUUUUUUUAAAUAAAGACCCAUCUUCUCUCCCCUUGCUUGGAACUGAUCAUUGAGCUGAUUACAUACCAAUUGGGAAUCUGCUCGGAUUUCUACCCUUUCUGCUCUCAAAGCGUGUGCAAGCCCGAGCCCGGUGAUAAAGGCUUCAUACUCAGCUUGGUUGUUUGUGAGCUGAAAUUCGAACUUCACCGCAUAUGUUAUCUCGGUUCCCUCUGGGCUUCGUAUUACAACUCCUGCUCCGGAUCCUUGCUCACUACAUGAUCCGUCAACCAUUACCAGCCAUAUCCCCUUUGAAUCAUGUUGCUCUGCCGGUUGUUCCUCUUGGACCUCUUCCCCCGGUUCAACACGGUCCACCAUAAAAUCUACCAGGGCUUGGGCCUUGAUUGCUCCUCGGGGCCUGUAGGACAGGUCAAAUUCGCUCAGCUCCAUGGACCAUUUUACUAACCGACCAGACACAUCUGGUUUUUGAAACACUUGCCGAAGUGGCUGGUCAGUCAUCACAACGAUCUGGUGGGCUUGGAAGUAUGGUCGGAGUUUGCGUGCUGCCGUUAUCAAAGCCAGCGCCCACUUCUCCAUUAGCGGAUAUCUGGUUUCUGCAUCCACCAGGGCCUUGCUUGUGUAGUAUACCGGGUGUUGCUUCCCUUCUUCUUCCCUGACUAAGACCGAGCUGGUAGCCUGCUUAGAGAUUGCCAAGUACAAGAGCAGCUGAUCACCCUCUCUCGAAGUUGAUAGUAACGGGGCGCGGGCUAGGUAUUCCUUCAGCUGUCCAAAUGCCCCCUCGCAUUCCGGUGUCCAUUCUAGCUUCUUCCCUUUCUUUAUGACUUGGAAGAAAGGGUGGCACUUAUCAGUGGCUCGCGAAAUGAAUCGGUUCAAUGCUGUCAAUUUCCCCGUAAGGCUCUGCACCUCCUUAACUGUUCGUGGGGACCUCAUUUCUAUUACCGCCCGUAUUUUUUCUGGGUUGGCUUCAAUACCCCGAUGGCUCACCAGGUAUCCCAAAAAUUUGCCCGAGCCGACCCCAAAUGCACAUUUCUCCGGGUUCAGCUUCAUUUCGUACCUCCUCAGCAAUUCGAAAGUCUCCUCCAAGUGCUUCACAUGAUCUCUCGGGUCUCUUGACUUGGUGAUCAUAUCGUCCACAUAUACUUCCAUAGUGUGACCGAUCAAUGGUUUGAAGACCUUGUUCACUAACCUUUGAUAGGUAGCUCCUGCAUUUUUCAGGCCAAAGGGCAUCACCCUGUAACAAAACAGACCCAUGUUAGUUAUAAAGGUGGUGCUUUCCUCAUCCUGCUCGUUCAUGGGUAUCUGGUUGUAUCCGGAGAAGGCAUCUAUGAAACUGAGCAGACUAUGACCCGCGGUUGAGUCCACCAACUGAUCUAUUUUUGGUAGGGGAAAUCUAUCCUUCGGGCAUGCCUUAUUAAGGUCCGUGAAGUCUACACACAUUCUCCACUUCCCAUUGGCCUUCUUUACCAGUACCACAUUGGAAAUCCACUCCGGGUACUUGGCUUCCCUUAUAAAUCCUGCUUUUAGCAGCUUUUCCACUUCGGCAUUUAUGGCCUCGUACCUUUCAUGAUUGAAGCACCUCCUUUUCUGCCUCACCGGCCUUGCCCCUCUCUUGACCGCCAGCUUGUGACAAGCUAUCCCGCGGUCAAUACCUGGCAUAUCCUCAUGAGACCAGGCAAAUAUGUCUGCAUGGGACUGUAGACACUUCACCAGCUCGGCCUUUAUUGCUUCGCCCAAUUCUGAUCCGAUCUUAACAACUCUGCUAGGGUCACUCCUGCUUACAACAACUUCCUCCAGCUUCUCAACAGGUUCCUGACGACCAUUUUUUGAAUCCCCUCGGUUAUCUAGAGAGGUAACCUGCAGCGUUUCCUUGGCCGCUGUAGCAUAGCAGCUCCUGGCCAUUCUCUGGUCGCCCUUUACCACACCCACAACUCCAUUUAUUCUGUACUUCAUCGCCAGAUAAUGCGUGGACAUUACACAUUGGCUUAUCCUCAUGAACGGUGUCCCCAAUAUCAUCUGGUAAGGACUUCUUUCCUCUACCACUACAAAGUCCAACAUCAUCGUUCUUUCAAAUGGCUUUGUCCCCACAGUAAUCGGGAGUUCAAUGACCCCCAUGGGAGUUAACCGUCCCCCUCCAAAUCCCUUCAAGGAUGUAUUCGUUCGCUCCAGCUUGAAGUCUAAAAUCCCCAUAUCAUCUAGGGCCGACUUAAACAGAAUGUCUACUGAGCUGCCCGUAUCUACCAGUAUUCGUCGCAAUUCUGUACUGGCCACCAAUGCUUUAAUCACCAGUGCAUCCUCGUGAGGGUACAAAAUGCCCUCUUCGUCGUCCUCUGUCCACAUAAUAGGAACUUGCCGCACUUUUGCCCUAUUGGCUACUGGCAAAUUGAGAAGCACUUCCUUGCCAGUCAUGGCAUAUCUCCUAUAGUUUUUUCGUGCUCUGUUUGAAUCCCCGGCCAAUGUUGGCCCUCCUGCUAUCACCUGGAUAGUCGGCUGUUCUCGUUCCAAACCCCUUUCAACUCCUUCAUCCUGUGCAUAUUGCGACUCACUGACGGGCGACACUCUAUCUACGUACUCACCCAAGUACUGGUUCCUCACCAAAUCCUCCACCUGAAUCCUUAGGUCACGGCAUUGGCUGAUGGUAUGACCGUGAGUAUUGUGAAAUUUGCAGAACCUGCUCUUAUCACGCCGGUGAGCGGGUUUCGUUAUAGGGGCCGGAGUAUACAGCAGUCCUCGUCCCUCGAUCCUUUCAUAUAGUUCCUCCAUGGAGAUUUUUAAUGGAGUAUAUUGUCUAUAUGCCGCGCUCUGGUCAACCAACUGAACUGCUCGGCUAUGAUGGAUGUCACCUCGGUCUGGUAUAGCCGGUAGCUGCUCUGGUCGGCCAGACCUGUAAUUAGUUGCAUUUACCGCUCUGGGGGUGCUGUGAUAAGGGUGAGCAGUCAUCUGCCUGAAUUCUCGCUGCCGCUCUGGGAUCGGGGGGCGCGGAGGUUGAGCCCGGCUGUGUUGGAACUGUUGUGCUCUCUGAGCUAUGGGGUAAGGGCGAGACCGAACUGAUAUUCCGCCCAUCCCUGAAGAUUCUCCAGUUCGCUUUCCCGACCCGCUCCCUUUCGGGGCUCUCCGUUCCCUUCGCCUCAGCUCUUCUAGCUGUUCACUUUUAAUUCUUGCUGAUUUCUCCUCUUCUAUUUCUAUAUCUCAUCUCGCCUGCUCAUACCCCGACGAGUAAUUCUGUACGAGGGGGCUUCUUAAGUUAUACCACAAUCGGCCGAUUCUUACACCUUCUUUUAAUCCCCUCAAUGCCUGCGGGUGAUUAAAAGCUCCCAAAUCCAGCACGGCUCGGUGAUAUCGUUUUACGAAAUCUCGAAGGGAUUCAUUCUCCUCCUGCUUCAUCCCCAUCAAUUCCAUCAUGUCAUCCUCUGGGGCCACUGCCCCUCGGAACUGCUCGGCCAACUCCUGGCACAUCUGCUCAUACCCCUUUAUUCCUCCUCGGGGCUGCUUGCGGUACCAUUCUCGGGCUCGUCCCUCUAGUGUCAACGGGAACACCCUGCACCUCUGAGCUGGUGUCAGCCCCUGCACACCCGUCAUGUCGUUGAAACGCUCAAUGUGCACCAACGGGUCACUUCGCCCGGAGUAUUUGAGGUCGGGGAAGCGGAAAUCUCUUGGGAUUAUGGUACUCAUGAUCUUAGUUGAUAACGGGGAUUCUUCAUCUAGCAUUAUCCUCCAGCUCGGGGGCUUUCUCUUGCCCUGCAUCUCCUCUAUCACCUGCGCCAAUCUGCGCACCUCCCCCUCCAAUUCUAUAGCACGAUCAGGAUCAUGUGCAGCUAUCUGGUCUCGCUCCUGCUCGACGUUCUGCAACCGCUGUCUGAGCUCUCCUUCAUCAACACUGGCCCCUCGGCCAUUUAUUUCCAGUACCCGUCUGGGGCGAGGUUGGUCUCUCCCUUCAUCCACGUGUUCCCCUGGGACCCGACCAGUACUUCGGUGAGGAUGCACUCCGUUAGGUUGGUCUGCGGGCGGGGGGAUUUCCCCGACCCUACGCCCCCGGAGGCUGGGUUCUGCUCCAACUCCAUCUCUUCCCACGGGGGUUUCACAAUCCCUUCUCUGCUCGUCCCUCAGCUCAAACAAUACAGCCGCGAGAGUCUCCAUUUGUUUCUCCAUCUGCUCCAGUCUAUCUUGCAUCAUCCUCUCUCGGGCUUCAUUUGCAAUCUCCCGGAGAGUGAUUGUCUCCACCGUUUCAUUGCCCUCCCUUAAAGUAUCCUUUCUUGACGCAUCCAUAUCCAAUCGUUCGCUGCUUCUCCGGUACUUACUAAUUUGGUGGUAGCUUUUUAUUCAGCUCCCCACAGACGGCGCCAAAAUGUUGAUGCCAAAAUCGGCUCGUCCUUGGACCGACCAGAUUCGUUCACCAACGUUUAAGUUAUCCACUGCUGCACGAACCGCUAAGGCUGGAAUUACCCUCCUUUCUCUCACUAGACCUGCGUUCACCAAAAACAGAUCAGAGAUGCCGGUGGUUUUGCCGGCGUAAACCCUCCGAUGCCUAAGUUAGCACAAGGUGUUUACGGGAAAACAGUUAAAUUUUGAUUCAAGAGUGGUUCUAAUUUGCUCGAAGUUUGUAAUAAAAUUGCCUGGUUUCAAUUUGGCAGCGUUUUCCCUCUCCCAGUUUUGUUAUCUCCGUCUUCAUCGAUUUCUUCUUCUUUUAUAGCUGCUGUUUGUCCCACGUCUUCCGCUUACCCUCUAUCCCCCCUUUUCUCGGGUUGUGGCAGCCCCUCAUGGGGCUCUGACUGUUGCAUUGUGGCAAACGUGGGAUCUUAUGUGUCCUUCAACGGUUCCGGGAAAGGCGCAGCAGCCGCGAUUCUGUGGGAUCGUGUUCCCGCUUUUCUGGGGAGUGUGUAUCGGUUCGGUAUUAACAUCUGGUCGGCAUACGCUCCCGUGCUCUGCUCGUACCCACGGCUGAGGUGAUCCAUGCCGGGGUGGAGGUAGUAGCAUGGUCGACCUGGUGCUUUUAUUAACUUAACACUAACGACUACAAAUUUUUUUUAAAAAUCAAAUAGCUACUGAUCAACUGUGCAAUUGCUUUAUACAAUUAGGGUUCUUGCCUUAAUGAUGUCAUGGAGAUGGGUGAAUCAAUGGCCACCAGGCACCAAAUUCAUGACCAAUCAAUGACCAACAAGCACCAAAGUAAUGCCAAGCACACCAACAACCACCGAUUAAUGGCAAGCUUAGUGUUUAGAAUUUGGAGAAGCACUUGGUACUGUAUCGAGGUAUUAAAUCAUCAAAAACCAAUUUGGUUUGGACUCUUCAAUUUCAACUUGACUCCUACACCAAAGCCGCCCAACAACAACUCAACAACCGAAUCACUCGUCCUAAUAGCAUAACAAUCCAGUCGUCAGUUGCCUGCACAUGAGAGACCAUUUUCUAAUUUAUGAUCGAAAUUGUUGAAUUAAUUUUACAAUUCUCUUGUACCAAUUUUCAUCAUAUAUGUUGCCUCAAGAAGUGAAGAUUGAUGUCGGAAUCACUUUCAGUUUCAAUUACAUGAUGUUUGCGAUCUUCUUAUACCAAUUCGGUUUACAGUUGCCUUAAGUAUCCAUGUCCGUCAAAUCUUAUCUAUAUUAAAGUAACCGCCUAAACUGUUAACCAGUGGCUGUUUGAUUUUAAAAAAAUAUUUGCAGCCGUUAGAUUGAACAAUAAAGCAUCCGACGGCUCUGCCAAAUAGAGACAAAAAGUGUGGUAUAGUGCAACUGUUGUAACAUAGGUGGAUCCUCAUCAAUAUAUCUCGAGACUUUGUAAAGUUACUAUGAAAAUCCAUCACAGCUGUAGUUAUUAUGAUUUAUUUGGUCCAAAUAGUCUAAUGCCAGUGGCGUGACCUCGUGGGUCCUCAAAUUAUUCAAAUGGGCAUUUCAUCGAAUAGUUGAUAUACUCGGCAUCUGCAAUUGGAAGACACGUUCAAAAACUCUAAAUCAUGUUAAAGUCAACCAGAAAGACGAAACAUAGAAAGCAACAAUCCAACAACUUGUUUAAAAUAUUCGCUUCAACAAAUGGUUGCGUUGACGUGUAUUUUGGGGGAUCAUCAAAUAUAAACAAAGACCAUGUUAAAGACAAGCAAAAGCUGGCGAGAUUGGUACUGAUAUACUAAAAGAAAGACUAAUAAAGCUUUCCUAGCGGCAUCACUCGUGAUUAUUUGAUAAACUAGCGGUAAUAAAUGAUUAUAUUUUUAGUGGAUAACAGAGUACGUUACAAGAGCUGAUAACUGAUCGCUUUCUUUAUUUUUUGUCAAUAUUCAAGCAAAAAUACAAGUCAAUCAAAAUAACGUACCAUAUUAACAUUAAAUAAACAGAGAGGGAUAAGCUGGGCCAAGUCUUUAAAUCAGCUACGUCAUGGAAGAUUAAAAAAAUAGAUCAACUAGAAUAUAAUAUAAUGCUCUCACAUUUAAUUAAUUAGGAGGCUAAUGCACUAUAACUCAGCAUUAAUCAAAAUUAUUUCAUAAACUAGUAUAUACUGGAUAUCUCGAUCGGUGCAAAACCGAGUACUGAGAGAUAAAAAUUAACCUGGUGUCUUUGGCAGGUCUUUAAUAUAAUUGCUAAGCUUGCCCCAUGCCAUUGCCAACUUUGGCCAUCGGCUAGCUGCUACUUAUGAAGCAACUCAAGGAAACAUAAAGCAGCCGUCGUAAGAUCAAGCACAACAAGUGUGAUCACUGAUCAUGCAUCCAGGACAAUUUUAUAUUUAUUCAAUUUCAAUAAUCAUAAUAUACUAUUGAAUUAUAGACCAGGAUUUCUAUUUUUAAGAAUAUAAGACACAAGCACGAGCAUAUUCGCGCAUCUUUAAUAAAUUUAUUGGGACACACUAUUUCUGCUUAUUGAAGAAAAUCAAGAAAUGCUGAUUCCACCGUGCAUGGUUUAAUGUUAAUUAAAGUUUAAAGGGAUCAGAUUCAUAUUCAUUAAUAUGCUUUUAUACGAAUCGUUCUGUUUGAAUAUAAUAAUGGUUUCAGAAAUGCAUACCUGUUAAUUCUCCAUUUCUUGUCUCCGAGGAAAGUUUGACUUCAAGCAAUGUUAUAAGAGGUUUAAUUGUGGGUCAAUUUCUUGCGAGCAUUUCAACAAACAGGUGAUAUGCAUGCACAUCUCCUACGCUAUCACUGCCAUACUUGCCCUGUAGUUGCUUCCAGUUGUAACAGGAUGCUGACAUGUCAUCAUACUUGGACAGAUCUUUAGAGGCCAUUCUUCGAAGCGCUUGAUGAUGCAAACACGUGAGGACAAAUCAUGCACGUAUGAUAUGUGUUUAUUAAUUAAAUAUAACUAUUAAUUACAAGAUUAUUUUUUUAAAUAAAUACAUACAUGUCAUGUAUCUAUUAAUUAUAUAGAAAUAGAAUACAACAAAAUAUUUUUAGAAUCUGUGGGUGAACACAAUGUAAUUAUUAUAAUAAAAGAAAAACUUUAGAGCCUUUGGUGUACUCAUUAGUGAAAUUUGAGCAAAAGAAAAAUUCAUGUUUGUAAACCUCGAAACCACAAUAACCUUAAAUUUGAGAUCAUUAAUCAUUGAAUGUUUUGUUUGUAAUAUCAGUGGCAACACGUUUAAUGAUUUGAUUAAAUUUGUGUUUUGUUCUAUGAAUGAUUUCAUUCAUUUUUAUGAUUUUUUUGGGUUGACUCAACGGAACAACUAAUAAUUACCCAGUUCCAUAACCGUAAUUAUAACAGCGGCAAUUAGAUUUUUUUAUUGUUAUUAUUUUAAUGUGUAUUUUAUAGAAUAUAGAUAUUUUAGGCUAAUGAUAUUUAAGGGUGUUUUAAUUUAUUUUUUUUUUUAAGUUUCAAAUCACUUAACUUUUUUACCAAUCUAUUAAGGGUCCGCCUAAGUUACGUUUAAUGUAACUUACGGCUUGGCCCUAAAAUUUUGGCAACUACUCACUUCAAUGGACUGAAGUUGUUAUUGCUGGACAAAAGGAAAAAGAGCGGGUUCAAUAGAUGAGUUGUUCCCAUUGAAGCUAUCAAAGAAAGAAAAGGAAAAAGAGCGGCUGCAAAAGGGAGGAAAGUGGGAGGAGUUGAAAGGCUGUCACAGUAAAUUGAUCGCCUUGUUGAUACUGUGGAAAUGGAGGUCGAAUUCAAGAAGAAGAUCAUGGUAUUAAUGUUCCUAAAGGUAAAGGUCGAGAGAUGGGGAGAUUGAGAAAUAAUAGUGCUGCAAGUUUAAUGAGUGGACAAUAUUGUAGUUAUAUAUAUAUAUUUUUUUACACACAUGUAUAAAAUAUUUUAUUUUUAUGAGCUACUUCGAUUGCAAUAGUUUUAUGUACAUAAAAGUUUACAUAAAGAUUAAAUUUUUGCAUUUUCUUUUUGCACUUAUUUAUCAAUCAAUUUAAUAAUAUGUUAGCAUUUGUGCACAUUACAAACUGCAUAACAAUUUUUUUAGUUAAAAAAAAAUUAAAGUUAGUUUUAUUGCAAAUUAAAAUAGUUAAUAAAAAUUAUAUAAGUAUGUAAUAAAGAAAAUAGAAUAUACUCUUUAAAAAUCCAGUAAAUAAAAAAAUGAUGUUAAUAAUAAUAUUCUAAAUAAACUACAAAUAAACAAACAAGUACAUUUUUAUUAUUGCACAUGAAUAUUACACUUUGAAUUUUCACUUAUCAAAUUUGUAUAGUAGAUUAUUUGAAAAAUGAUUGUCAAAUAAUCAUCAUUUACCAAACACCCUACUAAAUUAUUCGUGAAAUUAAUUAUUGGGAAGUAAAAGAAAUCCCCAAUGUACCCUCAAUCAAUCACAAGAAGUUAUUUAAGUUAUGAUAUCUAAUGAAUUCUAUUAAUAGUGAGCGUGUUUAUCAAAAAUAUAAAAAUAAAUAUUUUAGUUAUUAUCCACCUGUUUUCCUGAAAUCAUUCCCAAUUUUUUUUCGUUUGCCGAAAAUUCCAAGGAAAAUAUAAAAAGAAGAAGAGUUGGGGGAAAAAAGAAAAGGAAGGAAAAACAGGUUCCUCUGUUUUCAUUCCCCUGUUUUGAAAUUAUCUAUCAUCGAUAUAAUUUAAUCCCCCUGUUACUAAAGGAGAAUGGUUCAGAUUAGUUGCCUGGACUCGCUUAUCUUGAUCUGGGUGGUCAAACCCGCCCAUCAGGAGGAUUCAGAUUUUGAAUUACCUGUCAUAAUUUGUUUUCCCACCUAAGCAUCUUGAGCAUGCUUAUUAAAAGAAUUGUUGUUCCACUCGUAUAGUCAAUGGAUUCCCACCUACGCGUUUGCUUAUUAAAAGAAUUAAUCUUGCUUUUCUAGGAAAAUAAUGCAAUACGCAUGACGGUACGUGUCCAUGUGAGAAAGUUGAUGAAAUCUUCACUUUCAGUGUUGGAACUCCACAAUCGAAACAAUCAAUACGACAAUUUUUCUCCAUCGUUUCAAUCUUAAUUAAAUAGAAAACAAGUACGGUCAAAUAAAUUCUGGUCUACCAAUUUAAUUAGUAUAAACAUAUGGAUCCCAUCAUUAAUAUUAUAAAUAUGUGGGUAUUUUUAAUUAUUACAUUAUAUGACUAUUUACAGAUUGCUUUCAUUAUGUCAUAUUAGGUAAGGAGAUUCCCCUUAAAAAAACAAAAAGAGGGAGAGAUUCCCUCUUCGGCGAAUGAAAAUAAAAGAAAUUAAAAAUAAAAUAAGACUUGGUAAAUUUCGCUCUUUUUUUCUCUUUUUGCUGUUGGCAUUUUAUUCAUAAAAGAAAUGAUCACAAGUCAUUCAAUAAAUAUUAAGGGCUGCAUGAUUAAGUCUUCUUCUUUUCCAAAUCAUUGUCAUUACUCUCAUAAGCUCUCUAUAAUCACAUUCCUCUGCAGGUAACAGAAAUUUUUUGUUCAUUGAAAUUGCUCUUAAAUGUUCAAGGCGAUCACAGAGGCUCAUCAACUUUCUGACCCCACAUAAUUAAACAGGUGCACUUGUUCUAAAACCUUCAAUUAAUUUCUUUUAAUAGCAUAAUCUCUAAUGCUUGAUCUUUAUAGCAUUUCUUUCUUAAUUUCCAUCCACUUUCCAAGAUAAAAAUUAUGUGGCUUGUUUUGCUUGAGUUUUGUAGUUAUUGUUCAUUUAUGGUAAAUUUAUGGUUGUUUUUUUUUUAAGACGCUUGAAGUAGGUUUUGUUAAUAGCAAAAACUCUGAUCCUUAACAAAGAAGAAAAAAUGUUGCGAUACUGUUUACUGUCUUUUCCUUUUUUGUCUUUCCCUCUAGUUCAUUUUAAUUUAUUUGAAUUCCUUUCUUUGACAUUUUAUUAGAUUUGUUAAGCAGCAGGCAAUGGCAGAGGUGGGUCUUGCAGCUCUCUCCAGCAUCGUAUCAGAAGGUGCAAAUUCACUGUUCAAAGCGAUUAUACGGCAGAUAUCUUAUGUGUUCAGGUACCAGAGCUACAUAGAUGGGCUAAAAGAUCAAGUGAAGCAGCUGGGAUAUAAAAGAGAAAUGGUGCAGCAACCAGUUAAUCAUGCUAGGCUACAAGGGGAUGAGCUUUAUGAGGGUGUCACAGACUGGCUACAUAACGUUGAUGAAUUCAUCAGUGAAGGGGUUGCAAAAUCCAUCAUUGAUGAUGAAGAUAGAGCUAAGAAGUCCUGCUUCAAAGGGUUAUGCCCAAACUUGAUUUCUCGUUACAAGCUUAGUAAACAAGCAGCAAAGGCGGCAGAAGCUGCCGCUAGUCUCGUGGGAAAAGGCAACUUCUCCAAUGUUUCCUACCGUCCUGCUCCAAAGCUGGCAGAACAUAUGCAAGUGAAAGAUUUUGAGGCGUUUGAUUCAAGAAUGAAAGUAUUUCAAGAUGUUGUGGAGGCAGUGAAGGAUGACAAGGUCAACAUAAUUGGGGUCUAUGGGAUGGGCGGCGUGGGCAAAACCACGCUGGUCAAACAAGUUGCAAACCAAGUGAUGGAAGAUAAGUUGUUCGAUAAGUUCGUUAUGGCUGAGAUAACACAGACCCCAGAUUAUCAUAAAAUUCAAGACAAACUUGCUUUUGAUUUAGGCAUGGAAUUUGACUUGAAUGAGAAUGAAUUUCAAAGAGCUUCUCGACUGUGUCAAAGGUUGAAGCAAGAGAAGCGGCUCCUCAUUAUACUGGAUAAUAUUUGGACAAAACUUGAGUUCGAUACAGUUGGAAUUCCUUAUGGGGAUGUUGAUGAGAAAGAUAGAGAGGACGAUCGGAGAAGUCGCACAAUAAUAUUGACGUCUAGAAGUCGAGAUUUAUUGCGCAAUGAUAUGAAAUCUCAAAAGGAUUUCUCAAUUGAAGUUUUAUCCAAGGAAGAAGCAUUGCAAUUGUUUGGAAAGAUAGUGUGUAAUUCUGCAAAAGCAUCUGCUUUUCAACCUUUAGCAGAUGCGAUCGUUGAAAAAUGCGGAGGAUUGCCUGUUGCACUGAUUACACUUGCAAAAGCUUUGAAAAAUGAGAGCUUUGACACUUGGAAGGAUGUGCUGCGUCAGCUAAGAAGUUCCUGUGCAAAAGAAAUUGAUGGAAUGGAAAGAAAUGUGUACACCUCCAUAAAAUUGAGUUACGACUUGUUGGGAAAUAAGGAAGCAAAAUCUCUGUUCCUUCUUUGUGGUCUAUAUACUGAAGGUGAUGUCAUACACGUUUCUGACUUAUUGAGAUAUGGUAUGGGUAUGGGCUAUUUUAAAAACGUUUACACGCUGGAAGAAGCAAGGAGUAGAGUGCAUACGUUGAUCGGCAAACUCAAAUCUUCAUGCUUAUUGUUGGACGGUGAUGCUGAAGAUGAAGUUAAAAUGCAUGACAUCAUUCAUGCUGUUGCUAUAUCAAUUGCAGAAGAGGAGCUCAUGUUUAAUAUUCCAAAUGUUGCCUACGUGGAGAAAAAGAUGGAAGAGACAAUACGGGAUGGUCCAAUAGCUAUUUCUUUACCUUAUAGAGAUAUUCAAGAGCUUCCCAAAAGGUUGGAAUGCCCCCGUCUCGAGUUACUUUUGUUGUUUUCAAAGCGUUAUAGCUCUUUGCAAAUUUCAGACCUCUUUUUUCAAGGGACAGAAGAACUCAAAGUUUUAGAUUUUACUGGAAUAUUUUUCUCUUCAUUACCUUCAUCACUUGGUUGCCUCAUUAACGUUCAAACAUUAUGUUUAGAUGGUUGCCGACUGAACGAUAUAACUGUAAUUGGACAGCUAAGGAAAUUAGAGAUUCUCAGCUUCCGAGAUUCUGAUGUCAAGGAGUUGCCACUUGUAAUUGGACAAUUGACGAGAUUACAGUUGCUAGAUUUGAGCAAUUGUAGCAGCCUUGUGGUGAUAGCUCCAAAUGUCAUAUCAAAAUUAUCUCGAUUAGAAGAACUAUAUAUUGGUAACAGCUUUUCACAGUGGGAGAAGGUUGAAGUAGGAAGUAACGCCAGUCUUGCUGAAUUGAAUGGGCUGUCAAAGCUAACUACUUUGGAGAUACACGUUCGGCAUGCCGAAAUUCUACCGCGGGAUUUGGUCUCUGUGGAAUUGCAAAGCUAUAGGAUAUGUAUAGGAAAUGAGUGGUGGAGCAGCUGGUCCGUUAAAUCUGGAUUAUCAAGAUUGAUGAAGCUCCAGGGGCUAGUAAAGUUUGGCAUUCUUUUGCAGAAUUAUAGGAUGAAACUGUUGUUGAAGAGAACUGAAUAUCUCUAUCUAGAAGAACUGAAGGGUGUUCAGAAUGUUGUUCAUGAAUUAGAUGAUGGGGAAGGUUAUCCACGAUUGAAGCAUCUUUCUGUAGAAAGAUGUUAUGAGAUUUUGCAUAUUGUCGGUUCAGUUGGACGGGUUCGUCGUAAAGUCUUCCCCUUGCUGGAGUCAUUGUCUCUUAUUGAUUUGAACAAUUUGGAGACAAUAUGUGACAGCCAACUCACAGAAGAUCAAUCUUUCAGCAACUUAAGGAUUAUAGAAGUAAAAUCCUGUCACAAAUUGAAGCAUCUUUUCUCAUUCUCCAUAGCCAAAAACCUAUUGCGGCUUCAAAAUGUAGAAGUGGAUGAUUGCGAUGAUCUGGAAAUGAUUUUUGGUAAGUGUUGAAAUUAAGAAUUGGUGGGAUAAUGGACUUCGCCUCAAUUAUUUUGAAAAAAAAAAACAACAAAGAUUAAUUAUGUAUAUAUUGUUUUUGUUUGUUUAUAGGACCCGACAGGGAGAAACCAACAACUUCUUUGGGAUUCAACGAAAUCAUUGCUGAUGAUGAUACUGCUCCAAAGGUGAUAAUUUUCUGUUCAAUAAUUAAUUGAUUAAUUUAUUAUCACCAUUAAUCUUCGAUCAUCAAAAGAAUAUUAUACUGGACGGUUGUACUUGAAGGAACAAAAAUGUACGGGUUUUCUUUGCAGGUUAUUCUUCCGAGGUUAGAGGAAUUGAAUCUCGCGCAUUUAAGAAACAUCAAAAAAUUAUGGGCCGAUCAUAAUCAAGGAAUGUACUGUUGUCAAAAUUUAACAAAAGUGACUGUGAGAUGGUAUUAUCGUCUGAAGUAUCUGUUUUCGUAUUCUAUGGUUAAUAGUCUUUUGCAACUCCAACAUCUUGAGAUAAGUUAUUGUUCGUCAAUGGAAGGGGUAGUCGACACCACGGGAUGGUUAGGAAGGGAUGAAGGAAAGUUGAUUGAAUUGAAGGUUUUUCCUAAACUACACUCCCUCAAGCUCUCUCAUCUUCCAGAACUAACAAGCUUUGCCAAUACGGGACAUAUUCAUUCAGAUUUAGUUGUUGAAUUCCCUUCAUUGCUAAACCUGAAGAUCCAUUGUUGCACUAAUAUGUUAAGAUUUAUCUCUACAAGCUCACCAGAAGACACCAUUCAUUCUGAAAUGCAACCUCCUCCUCUCUUUGACGAAAAGGUUUUUUUUUUUAUAAAAAAAAUAAUUUUAGUCACAAUACUUAAUUUGUCUUUUCCUUGAGUCUUCGAAUUUAGUUAAUACCUGCCUCUAAUUUAGUUAUCAAUUGAUUAUGCCAUUAAUUGAUUAAUUAGUUAUUUAAUCUUUAACUGCCAGGUACGACUUCCUAGGUUGGAGGUAUUAGAUAUUAAGUGGACGGAUAAUUUGAGAAGAAUAUGGCACCACCAGCUUGCUUCGGAGUCUUUCAGCAAAUUGAAGAAUUUAGAGAUAUUUGAGUGUAAUAACCUAAAGAAUAUUUUUCCUCCAUUGGUAAGGUUGCUGUAUUCAUUUCGAAUCUUUUUUUUUUUCAAAUUACAUCCAACAAUAUUUUAACCAUUUUUGGGUUUACAAAUGAUAUUCAGCCACUAAUUCUUUAUUUCAAGUAUUGUACUUCGAACCACCACUCUCAAAUCUACAUUUUAAGUCCAGUUUUUAGGUUCGCCAGCAUUACAAUCAACAAUAUAAUUUUUUUAAUCACGAUUCAACAGCAUAAUAUAAUUCAAUUUAAUUGUUUCUGCUCAUAUCUUAAUAAGUACAAUUUUCAACAAUUAAAGGAUAGUCACUCAUCUUAUAGGUUCACAAAUUCAUCUAUAUAUUUCUCUUUUCCUUAAUUCAUCUAUAACAGUCCCAUGUUGAUGGCGUUGGGAAGUGUUUUCCAGAAAUGUUUUCCAUUUUUAAAAGCAUGAAUAUCGGGAAAAAAUGUGAAAUACAGCGUUUUAGUUUAGUUAUUUUAAAAAUAGGCAUGUUUGAAAAUUAAAUUUUUUUAAAAAACUAGAAUCAAGAUGAAAAAUGAAUUUAGAAUAUUUAAAAAUUACCUGAAAUUCUUUCUCCGUUCCUAAUACUAAAUAGUGUAAAUACAUUUUCAUUAUCUUUGUUUUUCUGGACUUCUAUUUAUUUGUUUUUGUUUUAAUUUUUUCCUUUUUUCUUUAACAAAAAAUAUCUAGUAGACAUUCAUGGUUUGUUAUUUUUCAUAAAACAAUUGUAUGAUUUUGACAUACUUUGAAUCUAGUUGAAUGCUACUCUUUAUUUUCAGGUUGGAAUUCCCAAUAGUCUGGUGAAUCUUAAUGUAUCGGACUGCAAAAAAUUAGAAGAAAUCGUAGGACAUGUUGGAGAAGAAGCGAAGGAGAAUCGUAUUGCUUUCAACGAAUUAAAACUUUUGGAACUUGAUGAUUUACCAAGGCUUACCAGCUUUUGUUUGGAGAAUUACACUCUUGAAUUCCCAUCAUUGGAGCGAAUUUCUAUGACAGGUUGCCUGAACAUGAAGACUUUUUCUCAGGGAAUCGUAUCCACACCAAAGCUGCACGAAGUGCAGGUGAGUAAAAAGGAAGUAUUAAGUUUUAUAUGAAACUGUGAUGUUGUUUGGUUACUAAGAAAAUAGGAAGAAAGAAAACUUCUGUAAGCUGAGAAUUCUGUUAUUAUUGAUCUAAUGAAUCUGGAAAUUACAAGCCUUUUUAUAUGUGCAUAGAAGAUUCUACACACAUUGCACACACGCACAGUUUACUACUAACAACCUUUAGCUGACUCAGCUGCCAUGUCAGCAUACUCAUUAACUAACUAAUUCUAUUCUUAACAGGAAGAGGGUGAAUUGCGCCGUUGGGAAGGCAACCUUAAUUCCACUAUACAAAAGUGUUACAAAGAAAUGGUAUGUGUUAAAUCGAUUCGUCGAAAUUACUUAUGCAUCUCCCUUGCACUUGCACAUUUGAACAUAUACACCUGCCUUGUAUAUAUAGUUUUAGAAGUUAAAACACAAAACAUGUAAGUUUAAUGUAUAUAUAUAUCUAAUGCCUUUCAAAAAAAAAAUUUAUAUAUAUCCAGUGCAAUUGUUUUGGUUUGUGCAGAUUGGAUUCCAUGACAUACAGUAUUUGCAACUCUCACAUUUUCCACGUUUGAAAGAAAUAUGGCAUGGCCAAGCACUGCCUGUCAGCUUCUUCAACAAUUUAUUUAAGCUGGUGGUGGAUGACUGCACGAAUAUGUCGAGUGCUAUUCCUGCCAAUCUGCUACGUUGCUUGAACAAUUUGGAAUGGCUGGAAGUGAGGAAUUGUGAUUCACUAGAAGAGGUGCUUCAUUUGGAAGAGCUAAGUGCUGACAAAGAACAUAUAGGACCCCUGUUUCCUAAGCUUUCCGACCUAAGGCUCAUUGAUCUUCCAAAACUCAAAAGAUUCUGCAACUUCACUGGGAAUAUAAUUGAAAUGCCUGAGUUGGGAUAUCUAACUAUUGAGAAUUGCCGAGAUAUGGAAACAUUCAUAUCCAACUCUGUAGUGCACAUGACAACAGAUAACAAGGAACCUCAAAAAUUAACAUCAGAAGAGAACUUCUUGCUGGCUCAUCAAGUACAACCUCUCUUCGAUGAAAAGGUGAUUAUUGUUAUUAUUAUUAUUAUUUUUCCCUUCACUUUCGUUCGCAUAGAUGUAAUUUCAUUAGAAUCAAAUCAAAUUUAAUGACUCAUCUUUUUGCACGUCGUCUUAAUUUAUAUCUGAUUUAACAAUAUAACCUCCGUUAUUAACUAACUUUAUAGUAUGAAUUAUAAAAAUGUCUUAAAUUAAUUGGAUGCCUGAUAACACGAGGUGAUGAACUAUAUUAAUUAUGUGUAUUGCAUCUCUGUUUUCCUAGCUAAUUCAUAUUGGAUUUAGCAUCAGAUUUCAUUUAUGUGUUUCAAAGGGUAAUCGAUUUGAUACUUAUAUUUGGGAUCCUACUGCAAAGCAUACUAAUUUGGAAAUAAAAUAUAAAAUGCCGUGAUUAAUCUUGUCCAUAAAAUAUGCAGGGGAAGACUGCAGAGAUUGGAUACAUAUUUUCAUUUACAACUUAAUUUUGUUGAUUUUCAGGUUGCUUUCCCUCAAUUGGGGAAUUUAAGACUGUCUGGAUUACACAAAGUGCAGCAUCUCUGGAAGGAAAAUGACGAAUCCAACAAAGCGUUUGCAAACUUGGAAAGGCUAGAAAUAUCGGAAUGUAGUAAGUUGCAAAAAUUAGUACCACCUUCGUGGCAUUUGGAAAAUCUUGAGGCUUUGAAAGUAUCGAAGUGUCACGGGUUGAUAAAUAUGUGGACGCUCUCAGCAUCUAAAAAUCUAGUGAAUCUCGGAAGAAUGAUGAUAGCUGAUUGCAAAAUGAUAGAAGAAAUCAUACAAUUGCAGGUUGGAGAAGAAGUGAAAGGCUGCAUUGUCUUCGAGAAAAUGAACUACUUGACACUUGAUUGUUUGCCAAGCCUAACAAGCUUUUGUUCGAGUAAUUACACUCUUCAAUUCCCAUUCUUGCAAAAAGUUGUUGUGAGACAGUGCCCAAAGAUGAAGAUUUUCUCUCAAGGAGUCAUAGACACACCAAAUCUAAACAAAGUGAAACUCACCGAAGAAAAAGAUGAUGAUGAUGAAGGAUGUUGGGAAGGCAACCUCAAUGCACCAUAAAAAAAUUGUUCAAUGAAAUGGUGAGUAUCAAUUAAGUUUUGGUGCUAUUUAGCAAAUUAUUUUAUAGAAACUAAUGUGAUAUAAUAUGAUUGGUUGACUGAAAAUAUAUAAUAAUAAUAAUAAAUAAAUAAAUAAAUUAUGAGGGCCAUGUAAUGUUUUUGUUUAACCAAUCAUAUUAUGUCGCAUUAGUUUAUAUAAUAUUGUUUGUGCACAAGAGGUGGUGGUCAUAUCAUUACUCUAGCUUUAUUAUUCUUAUGGUGGCAAUGUAUGCUUGCUUACACGAGUAAUUUACAAAAUCUGCAGAAUUCUAAAGAAGAGAUUGAGCCAGCCCUUGAGGUACAGUGAAGAAGCUAUCUCGAACCAGGCCAAUCUCUUAUACAUGAUUCAGCUUGCUCGUUCUUCUGUACUUGAAUAAUCUGGUUCUAAACGUAUUUACAAUUUUUUGGUCAUGCUACAGACUUGCAAGACACUUUGGAUUUUGUUUGAUGCAUUCUCCGUUUAAGGAAGCACUUGAAUUGAUGUUUCAUGUUUCAUGCAAUAUCCAAUUAGAUUCUGACUAAAUUUCUGUGUUAUUUAUUCAAUUGGUCUUUUAAGCAUUUGAUUUCUAACCUGUCCUAAUAGAAGAUCAUUAUCUGAAGAAAACAGCAUAACAUUUGUGGCAUUAUGAGAAUAAGAAUUUUUUUGAGUAUAGUAAAAUUAUCUCGACCAUUGUUAAAAAGAAUUAAUCCGUCAAACUGACCUUCUCAGACCAGCACGCUUUAAAUUAAAAGAAUUUUGUGAAAGUCUAGACCAUGUUAUAGAUCUCGUGGAAAUAAGAAAACCCGUAAUUUUUUUCACAGCAUCAUAAGAAAAAAUCAUUUUUUUUUUAGUAUUUUUGUUAGCUGUUGAGUUUUAAUAGUAGUAGCUAUUAAACAAGAACAAUAUGUGUAUAUUAAAAAGUUGGAAACUGGUUGAUAGCACUUGGGAGUCGAGCAGUUCACUUGUUUGCGAGUAGAAACCAACUUUACUACUAAUUACACUCAUACAAAAAAUAGUAACUAAAGAAUCAGGAAAUUUCCUAUUCACUAUUCUUCAUUUUUUAAUGCAAAAUUCCCAUUCGAAAACACCAAUGACUUUCAUUCAAAGUAAAUGAGAAAUUACAAUGAAAAUAGAAUCAAAAUACAUGUAUGUAUACCUAAAACAAAUGAUUUUUUAAUUUAAAAAAAAAAAAACCCGGUUGAGGUGAAAUGAAACCAGAGUCAUGAUAUCUCUGGUUCCAACUUUGGGACAACAGCAGACUUGAGUUCUAUAUGAGAAACACGUACAGCACCAAUCAGCCGCUCCAGUAAUUCAUCUGUAGUAUUUGCCUGCAUACAAAAGAGCAAGAUAAAGAAGACACACACGAAGCAUUAUACCAUUCUGAGAACAUUCAAGUAUGCAAAAAUGCAAUUUAAAAUGCAAAUUGCAGUGCAAUAUCUCAAAAUCAUGUCUUUUCCCUUGUGUCCAUUUAGAAGUGGGGGAAAAAAACAAUCAUACAUACCUGUACAAGGAAAGCCAUGUCAACCACCAAUGUCGUAAUUACACCAAUUACAAGGCCCAAAACUCCAUUAGCAACAGUAGAAGAACCGAUGUCAACAUUAAUCUACAGAAAGAUGAACAAUGUUAAACCAUGUUAAUGGUAUCGGACGCUAUUUGAAAGGGGAACAAUUCAUCUGUAGUUACAAUCAACCGCUUUCACUAAUGAACAAGGGGUGCUUCCAACACUCUUGGCGCACGAUCCAUGACCCCUGCAUGAUUCAGUGCUUAAAAUCAAGAACAAGUGCAAAACAAAUUCAAGAGGGUAAAAUGGACAUGAAGUUUGAAGGUACAACCCAUCAAUACAUUUACACCUAAAUGCAUGCCUUCUUUGGACAAAUUGAAGUGUACCAUGCAGUAAAGGGUUAGUAUACGUUAAUAUAGUCCUAAUACAUGAAGGCCAAGAUGGAUACCUUAGGAACAGAUGGAAUCAGUUUCAACCUACUAUUGCGAAACUCAUCAUCGCCAUCAACAAACCGUUGCAAAAGUGAUCCCAUAACCAAUUGCCUUGCGACUAAAUAAAAUACCAUACUAUAAUGUGUUGAUCCAGGAACCUGCAGAUGCUUAGGUUACAACUAUACAACCUCCCAAUACAAUAAGUUUGAAACUUAAUACCUUCUGAAAUGAAACAAACUUACUUGAAGAUUAAAGAUCAGCGAGAAAAGCCCUUUUUCAGAAGCAACCUACAUUUUUUAGAAGAGGGUCAGUGUGUUAUAGAUUCAAUGAACCAUGAGAAGUUAUUUACAUUGUAGUAUCUCACAGGCAGUAUUUUCUCCUAAUGCAUCAAUGGAAAAGGAAAAAUAAAAAGAAAAGAAUAGUUACUUGUGCAGCACAGCCUUGACGCCUAGCUACAUGGUCCAUUCUCUUUGUGUCUUUGAACCAAUCAACAGCAACAAGAUCCAUUAAAUGUUUUCCCGCAGGUAUCUGCAGUUACAAAUUGCACAAAGCACAAGAAGAGCCAACCAAACUACAUCAUAACCUGUCUACCUAGCCUAUGCAGGAUAUAUAAAUACCAUAACAAACAAACAAAAUAUGGGGGAACCUUUGUUUUGUCAUAACAAAAAUGCUUGCUACGAACUCUAAAGUUAUUUCCAUCAGAAAGUUUCCAGCAGUCACGAGCAUUAUCACAGUCAUCGUGUCGUAGAUUGCCCGAAAAACAAGACAAAUCAAUUUGAUCAGCCUGCUCUUCCUCUAGGGCUGCAACUAAUUGAAAUUUUUUUUUAAAAAAAAAAGAUCAAUACCAUAAAAAUCCACUAGCCAAAUAUACAAAAAUGAAUACUUAUCAUCCACCUGUCCUCUUGAAAUCAUUCUCAAUCUUUUUUUCAUUUGCCUGAAAUCCCAAGGAAAAAUAUGUAACUAAUACUUCCCAUUCAUGAAUAUUGUCUAUCGUAUAAACAUGACAUUUUUAAUUGGAAUAAUAAAAUUAUUUAAUUAUUUUAAUUAAAUGUUAAUCCUACAAAUUAUUUUUGUUAAAUCUAGCAAGAAUAACUAAAAUUUCUUUAAGAUAUAUUUUGGUGGUAAAUUAAAAAAAAAUUAAUUAUUUGGCGGGAAUUAUUGAAAUUGGAGCCAUUUUUUUUGUGGGAAUUGAAAUAUAUUCUUUAAAUUAUUACAUAAAUAGCAAAAUGUACAUACACACACAUACAUAUAAUUCAUAUAUAAAAAUUCUCUAAUUUGUUCACAAGUACCAUAGAUUAUAAUUCAGUUAUGAAAUAAAAUAACUACAAUAAUUAUAGUUAAAUGAAUACUUCAUUAAUUCUUAAUUUGCUUCCUAACAUUAAAUGAACAACUUGAGUCAGCCACCUGAAUUAACCAGUAACAAUGCCUGAGUCAACUAUCUGAAUAAACCAGCAACCCUAGCUGAUUCCAGCACCUGCAAUUAACAUCAGCACAACAGGAACAAUCUUAAAUCAACACCAAGAACAGACCAAACUGCCAUCAAAUGUCACAAAACCAAACAGUCUGCUACUGCCAUCAAAUGCAAGCAAACAUAUGCAACAAAACCAGAUGCAAGUGAAAUUCUGGAGAAUAUCGGAUAAACCAAACCAAAUAACACACUUCUAGUAAUUAGACUAGAUGCAGUGUUCAAUUAAACUAAAUGUAGUCUCAUAUUACAUUCAAAAUUUCUAAAAGAAGCAGUGUUCCAUCAGAGAAGCACCAAAACCAAACCAAUCUAAUCCAGCAUAAUUACCAGCUCAACCCAAAACAAUUACACAUUAUAUUGACAUAUCAAAAUUCGCUAUCAAAACAUAGCCAAAUAAAUGAAAAUAAACUCAAAACAGACCCAAACCAACUGAUGUUGCGGCCCUAGUAGUCGUUGUCCGUUCCACUGCCAUGGGAGCGAGGGUAGGCUCCGUUGUCGAUGAGUGAGUAAGAUAAGGCUCCAAAUCAAUAGUUCCACCUCCUUUCUGCAAUUCAAAAAACAGAAAUUCAUAUAUGUAAAACUAUUAAAAAGUGUGAAACAACCUGUAAGUAUUCAACUUCUGUCAACUCAAUAGCACUUACUAAAGUUUUUAUACAGAAGAAAAAGGCAUUUUAAGUCCAAAAAAUUAGAAUUAUUGGUUGAACUCCAACUCCAUCAAUCCAUGCAACCAUCCAAUCUUUAACGAAAAAUGAAGCAUAAUUAACCAGACAUCUGAAUCAGAAAGAUUGUGCUUUCAUUUGGCACGAGGUGUUGGAAACAACUUAACAAAUCUAGACACAAUCUAUAACCAUCAUGUCCAAACAAAAGUCAGGAUCUAAAAUACUUUGAAAAAUCAGAAAAACAGUUUCAAUUUCUUUUUCAUCCAUUGUAAGCUCAAACUAAAGGUAGCCACGAUACCUUUAAACAUCAUUUGGGCUUAUACAUGCGACAUUUGCUCAUGAACAACUAAAGUUGAAUAAGAUUUUUAUAUGAAACAGAAUACAAAAGUCAAAGUAGAAUAUGACAGGAGCUACAAUAUAUUAUUCAGCAUCAGCAUUAUGUAUAAAAUAAAUUUAGAGGCAUUAUAUUCAUUCACAAUCUUGCAGAGGUAACACCAGAUUAUGGCACGCAUCUCUUGAAUAGCAGAUAAAGGAGGAGAUGCAGUGGGAAGGUAGUAACUUGCUUGCAUGAGAACUAGAAAGUAAUAUCCCAAGAUCAAUUAUAGAUCUCAUAAAACAAAAACAGUGAGGCAAACACAAU
rnacentral:lncRNA from 1 species